UGAGGGAUGUUGAACUGGUAUCCAGGGGAGAAAUUUUGAAAGGAAAACAAUAUCUUCAGUCCUUGAGAUUGGAAUGGAAUCGGUCGGGCCAAGAUGGGGGGGAUGAGGGUGAUAAGUCAGUGAUGGAAGGCCUUCAACCACACCCACAAUUAAAGGAUAUCUUUAUAGAAGGUUAUGGAGGUACGGAGUUUCCAAGUUGGAUGAUGAAUGAUAGGUUGGGUUCCCUGCUUCCCGACUUAAUUAAAAUUGAAAUUUCGGGAUGUUCAAGAUGCAAAAUUCUGCCACCCUUUUCUCAACUCCCUUCUCUCAAGUCUUUGAAGCUGGAUGAUAUGAAAGAAGUGGUGGAGAUAAAGGAGGGUUCAUUGGCAACGCCACUUUUCCCAUCUCUUGAAUCGCUCGAACUCUCUCACAUGCCAAAGUUGAAGGAAUUGUGGAGGAUGGACUUACUAGCAGAGGAAGGUCCUUCAUUUGCUCAUCUUUCAAAGUUGCAUAUUCAUAAAUGCUCUGGUUUGGCAUCACUGCAUUCUUCUCCUUCUCUUUCUCAAUUAGAGAUCAGAAAUUGCCAUAACUUGGCAUCCUUGGAACUGCCGCCGUCCCAUUGUCUUUCUAAAUUAAAGAUCGUAAAAUGCCCUAACUUGGCAUCCUUCAAUGUGGCUUCAUUACCUCGUCUUGAGGAAUUAAGCCUGCGUGGAGUCAGAGCAGAGGUACUGAGGCAGUUAAUGUUUGUCUCUGCUUCUUCUUCAUUGAAGUCUUUGCAUAUACGGAAGAUUGAUGGUAUGAUAUCUAUCCCAGAGGAGCCGCUUCAAUGUGUUUCCACUCUCGAAACUCUCUACAUUGUUGAGUGCUCUGGUUUGGCAACAUUACUACACUGGAUGGGCAGCCUUUCCUCGCUUACGAAACUUAUUAUUUAUUACUGCUCUGAAUUGACAUCACUGCCAGAAGAGAUCUAUUCCCUUAAAAAACUGCAGACAUUUUAUUUCUGUGAUUAUCCACACCUAGAGGAAAGAUACAAGAAGGAAACAGGCGAAGACCGGGCCAAGAUUGCUCAUAUCCCACAUGUUCGUUUCAACAGUGAUUCCUAUAUGGAAUUGGAGGUAGGUCCGAAAUCCCUAACCUUUCUUCCCAUUUUUAUUAAUUUAGAAUCAGAAUGCUAUAUUUUCAUUUUGUCUCUGGUAGUUCUUUUAUGUUGGCACCUCAUGUGUUUGUUUAAAUGCUCACAUCAAUAACUUUUCGAAAUUUUUUUCCAGCUUGACUACAUUUUCUGAUGCUGUGCACUAAACUAAUCAUUUUACUUGGAGUUCUACGUUCUAAGAGUUUGAGGAAAUACUGAGGUCUGGUAUGAUAACUCUCAAUCUUAAACGUUGUUUUGUGUUUGGAAUAUUACUACACUUGAUAGAUACCCUCACCUCACUUACAGAGCUUGGAAUUCAUGGCUGCCCUGAAUUGACAUCACUGCCAGAAGAUAUGUUCCCUCAAAAACCUGCUGACACUUGACAAUCUGCAUCUGUUCACACUUAAGAGGAAAGAUGCCGAAAGGAAAGGUGAAGACUAACCCAAGCACAAAUUGAUAUCAUACAUCCAUGAAGAUUGAACUGAUAUAGAAUGCCUUUCAGGUCUGAAAUCCCUAACUUUUCUUCUCAUUUUCUGUUACUUCAUUUGUAUUAUCUUACAUUUAAAAUGCUCUGUUUUCAUUUGUUUUGGUGGUUCUUUGUAUUUGCACCUUGUUUGAUUAAAUGCUUACUUCAGUAAAUUAGAAUUUUACUUGAGUCUUUUACAUCCUAAGAGUUUGAGGAAAUACCGAGCUCUAAUAUAAAUAGUAUUGGUCACAAAGUCCACCUUUCCUAAGAAGCUUACCAUUGGCCUAAUGCCCAAAGGAAACAACUUUGGAUUGGCUUGAAGAUUUCACAUGGUCUAAACAUUUGUAUUUACUAGAUGCCUGAUACAAAAAGUAGUUUCAAUUUAGCUCUUUGAUAUAAAGAUUAAAUAAUUGGAAAAUGUAUAAAUUUUUAUAUUUUACUUCAAAUUCAUUUCACUUAUUUUAACUCUUUGAUAUAAAGAUUAAAUAAUGGGAAAAUGUAUAAAUUUCUAAUUAAUCUUAAUAAUAUUUUAUUUUCUUUGAUAUUUUUCAUAGAACAACCAAACAUGAGAAAAUAAUUUUCCCUAUCAUUUUUUUCUUAGUACUUUUUGGGAACCAAACAUAAACUAGAUGUUUUACUUUAGUAGCUUCAUCAAAUUAAAUAGACAACCUCACACCUCUUAUUGAGCUAAGGUGUUAUUUGAGUUAAUGUUUUGUCUUUACUUAUUCAUUGAAGCCUUUGUCUAUUGGAUGCACAGGUGAUAUGAUCCAAACUCAAAUUGAACACCGCUCUUGUUUUGUAACAUUACUACAUUGGAAAGGCAACUUCAGCUCACUUAUAGACCUUUCUAUUGGUGAUUGCACUAAAUUGACGUCACUUUGGAAAAGAUGUGUUCUAGAUGGAAAAUCUUUCAUUAUAUGCACCUACUUGCAAGAUACCAAAGGGAAAUAGGUGAAUACUUGCCCAAGAAUAUAGAGGGCCAUACUUGGUUAAGGUUUCGUCAAUACGGAGAACCAUGUCAGGUAUGAAAUCCUCCUUUCUCAUUUUCUGAUGACUUCAUUUUUAUUCAAUAACCAUUUGAUAUUAUUUCUGUUGAUUUUAUUUUGAUAUUAGAUUUUCUUGCUUGCUCAAUAAUUUCAUUGAAGUUCUUUGGAUAUCACAUUUUCUUUGAUGUUUUUCUUUUCUUUUUAGAAUAAUUCAAAAUAUCAUUUUUACCUGUUCACAAAAUUUGAUCACAGUUGAGUGAUUAAAAUUCAAGUUUAUUAUUAUUAUUAUUAUUAUUAUUAUUAUUAUUAUUAUUAUUAUUAUUAUUGUUAUUAGCUAUUGGACAUAUUCGUUUUCUAAUACAGACAUAAGACUGACAGGUAAUGUGCAUAGAAUUUGUAGAAGAGAAGAAAGAUUUGAUCCAAGAUAUUCCUAAAGACCAAAAACUUUCAAAGUCGUCUAAGAUCCCAUAGGUUGAAUUUGGAUUCAUCCAAUUUACAAUCCACUAAUUCUACUUAUGUCAUCUUUGUUAUGUUACAAUUUGCUUUUACUUGUUAUGCAGCCUACCUUAAUAAUUUGGGGAGACCAAGAUACGACGUUCCUAAUAGAACCAGCUUACAAAUUGAAAAGGUAAACUUGUAUCACUUGCCUACAUGCCUACAACAAUACAAACACUAGCUUAUGUCUUUCUCAAUAUUGAGAUUGUUACUGCAUGCAAGCAUUUUGGGUGAGGAGGCCCAACUUGUGAUCAUCAAUAACAUAGAGCAUACUUUUAUUAUAGAGAAGCCCAAGGAAAUAUUUAAGCACUUGAAAUCCUUUCUCAUUGAUUUGCUUCCACCUCCUAGGCAACACUUGGAACCACUCACACCAUGACAAGGUGAAAAGAAACUAAUGCAACAUUCUCAAUAUAUCAAAGGAAAGGUCAAAUUUUAGAUUUUUGUGUUUUUCCUAUCACUGUUUCUAUACUAUUACUAGUGCACCUUAUUUGUCAACAUGAUUAAAAUAGAAUUCCCUAGGAUAACUAGUGUCUCAGGUGAUCUUAAGGUUCAUAAAUUUUUGGUUUCCACAAGAUAGGUGCCAACUAAUUUUAUUUUUUUCUACAUCCAUGCAAUAUUCUAGUCAUCUAUUAACAAGGGAUAAAAAUUCUUGUAGAGAAUAGAAUAAAGAACUAGAUUAAAUGAAAAUAGGACAUUAGUAUUCUAUUUACUAGUAAGGGUAAAAAAUUCUUGAUGGCCAUCAAGCACAUUGUUCCUAAAAUAAUAGCAUCCAUGUCGUUGAGCAAAAGUUUAUUGUAAUUGCAUUUAACAUAUAAAGCAAAACUGAUUUUUUUAUUUUAUUUUAUAUUUACACCUUAUGCAUUUGAUAAAAUUCUUAAACAAGUAAGUUUGAAAAUUUUCUCUUCAAAUCAUUUGAUAAUUGAAGGCCAAACUAAUCAAAUUGAUUUAAAUUUUACAUUCAAAAGUUGAAUUUAUUAUUAUUAUUAUUAUUAUUAUUUUUUUUUUUUUUGCAAAAUUUACUUCACUUUAGAAGUUUGUGAUUAUUCUCUAGUCCAUCUUAAAAUGAGUGCCUCCAUUAUUCCAUUCCUCUAUCACUACAAAAAGUUUAGAUUGACCUAAAAUUUUCUCAUGACCUAGAAACUCAUAUCUACUAGAUGGUUAAAGCAAAAAAAGGCUUUUGCCUUAUGUUUUAAGUAAUCUCCCUAUUAUCUAUUUGUUGAGAGCAUCAUACAAGAUGUAAUUAUAUUUCUUAAUUUUUUUUUAUGUAAUAAGAACUAGAUUGAGAAAGAUGCAACUUGUAGAGAAAAAAAUUUCUUUACUACUUCCCUUGUAUUUGCUUUGUGUGUAUCAACUGUGCUUUUCAUUAUUUUAAAAAAUAUCACUAACAAAAAACUUAUUAUUGUUAUAUAUCAUAAUUUAGCAAUUUUUUUAUUAUUUAGAAAUCAUGCUUGUCAUUGUGUUAAUUAGUAGGUAGCCUAAUAACUAUAUUGUUCAAGUUAUUUUGUGUUGGCAUUCUUCAUGUUUCAAAAGCUUGUUAGACUAGCAAUUUUAUUGCAAAUAUAAUGUUCUCAAAUCAAUACAGAAAUGGAUGAUUGUGGGGAUUAGGCAUUGACUUCCUUGAGAAGUUCAAUUGAGGGUUUUUUAAACUAGGUCUCUACAUCAACAAAUGCUACAUUUUAUCACUCGAGACCUUAGAAUAAAUAUUGCAGAAAGCUUCAUUUGCUACAUAGUAAGGAUGAGGUUGGCAUAUAAAUCCUAAGGACUUAAAAGCUUGAGUUGUUGUCUCUUCCAAGGGGCCUUUAGAUUUAUUAAUGAGUUCCAAAUCAUUGUCUACCUUGAAUUUGAAUCACUGCUAGAAGGAUGUGCCGCUAAGCAUUCUCAUGUUCUUGAUAUGGAGUAGAAAUGGACUUCUAAUUCAUGAAGAACUGAUGGGCUCUUUGAUUAUGCCAUCUAUAAUGUACUUCAGGUUCAUGCUUCAACCUCUCUUCUUGCUUUUGAUAACUUCAUUUUAGUUUUACACUGCUUUCCUUCCCUCUUAUCUGUGUUUAUGUAUGUUUGUGCAUAUAAUGUGAACCUUUUCCACUGUUACUUUAAAGUUUUUUCAUUCUUGGGCUUGGGAAAUUACUAAAUUUGAUUUUAAUAUUUUCCUGUAGAUUUCACCUUGCUUAAAAAGCUUUUGAUUAUUCAUAUUUGCAAGAUGGCUAAGACAUCUGAUUGUGCUCAGAACUUCUGGUUUCUAUUAAAUAUAGGUAUGUUGUUUGCAAUUCUAACCCACUUACUCCUCUUGAAGACUACAUAAAUUGCUAGUGUUUUUACUUUAAUGGUUAUAAACAAUGUGUGCCCUUGUUACUUCUUGCUUGCAUUCUAUAUGUUGAAGAGCUUUAUUAGGCUAAUUAUUUUAUUGAAGAUAUAAUUGUUGUCAAGUCAAAGCAAAGCCGAAUGGUGAUGUGGUUUCAACUUCUUAGAAGUAACCAAAAAGUAAGGAACUCUCUCUAUGGUAGUACUUUGAUGUCACAUUGGGCUUUCAGAUUGCUGCCUUGAAUUGACAUAAAUAACAUAGCAUCUUUCCCAAUUGAGUCGUUUCAACAUGUUACUAUGCUUCAAACUCUCUCAAUUAUGUCUUGUUUAGGUUUGGCAACAUUAGAACACUGGAUAGGCAGCCUCAACUUACUCACACAACAUAAAAUUCAUCUUUGUUGUUAACUGACAUCACUGCCACAAGAUGAGUUCACUCAGUAUUUUACAGACAGCUAUAGUUUGGGACAAUUCUGGUUUGGCAACAUUAUUAGACUUGAUAGGUAACCUAUCUUCACUUACAAACACCUUCAAAUUUAUAGUUGUCCUAAACUAGCAUCACUACUAAAAGACAUGUGUGUCCUCAACACCCUAUAGGCACUCACAAUUGGAGAUUGUUAUGGUUUGGAAACAUUCAACAGACUUGAUAGGUAACCUUACACCACUUAUAGAGCUUCAAAUUCAUGGCUACCCUGAAUUGACAUCACUUUCAGACUAGAUGUUCACCCAAACCUCAAUUGACACUCACAAUUCAAGGCUUCUCUAUAUUGGCAACAUUACCAGACUUGAUAGGCAUCAUCACUUCACUUACAUACCCUGGAAUUAAUAGCUACCUCAAAUUCACAUCAUUGUCAGAAGAGAUUGGUUCACUCAUAUCCCAACAGAGAUUCAUGAUCUUUUAUUGUCAAUGUCUAUUAGAAAGACUUCGAAGGGAAAUAGGUGAAGAUUGGGCCAUUAAUCUUCAAUCCUAGAUAUUGAUAUUUUGGUGAAGAUUGGAUUAAUAUAGAGUUCGUUCAAGUUUGAAAUCCUAACCUUCUCAUUUGUUAUGGUUUUGUUUUUAUCAAUAUACCCUGUUUACAUUCUAUUUGGUAAUUAUGGUAUGUAUUAGCAUAUAGAUAAAAAAGGACUUAGAUGGUUAAUUUGAAAAGUUUGCAUCUUCAAUUAAUUAGUAAUUAAAGACCAAACUGAUCAUAUUACUUUAAGUCUUGCAUUAUAAGAGUUCGGGAAAAAUGUUAGGGUCGAUUGAACUAUUAUUUUGUAACAAAUUUCACCUUGCUCAGGAAUCUCAUGAUUAUCCCUUGGCACAAACAUUUCUCGGUGUCUGAGAAAUUCAUAUCUACUACAUGGCUCAAGAAUCUAGUAGCAUUCAAAAUUUCUGCUCUCUUUCAAAUUAGGUGUGUUGCUUGCAAUUCCGGUCCUUUUCCUAUUUCUAAAUGCUAUAUUUUUAUUUUACUAUCAAUGUGUUAAGAGCAUUAUGUUCUGUUUUCUAUAAUAUUGUUUUCUUACUUAUCAUAUAUAUUAAUUAUUUCACUACAAAUGUAUUUGUUGCCAAGUUAAAGCAAAAAUGGAAAAUGACGAUUUUUCAUAGAUCAAUGUCUUUCUCAAUUGCUGCCACACCUGACUUCUCUCUAAGUUGUUGAAAAUUUAGAAGUGUGGUAGCAUAAUGUCUCUGGCUCAAGUGCUUUAGCGCCUCAUUGUCCUUGAAGCUUUAGAAGUUGUCAAUACAAUUGGUGUUUCAACAUGUAACCAGUUUGGAAAUUCUAAGAAGUGUAAGUACUAUGGUUUUGCAACUUUGUUAGAUUGGAUAGGCAACUUCAAAUUAUUGAAUGCCCUGAAUUGAAAUCACUACUAGAAGGGACCCACAAGCACUUUAUAGAAACUCAUAAUCUACUAGUCGUACCACUUAUUAAGAAUGCCAAAAGGAAAAAGUGAAUAUUGGCCUAAGCAUGGUUGAUUAAUAAACUACUCAUGGUCUCCUUAAUUCAAGUGUGUCAUUUAUUAUAUGUUUCAUGUUAGUAAUCCUACAUUUCUCUUGUUUUUGUUGGCUUUAUUUUUUUGAAUUAUUUUACAAUCAAUAUUUUAUCGAUGUUCUUCCUUUUGUACAAUUCUAUUUCUUGAUUCUCAAAUGAAUUAAGACAUAUCAAGAAAAAAAUCACAUUGUUUGCUUUCCAUAUACUAUAUGCUUAUAUGUACAUGUGUUAAAAACUUUUGAUUUUUAAUUGAUUACUUUCUAUUUAAUUUGUUAAAAAUUGUUAGUCUAUUUGGAGAUGAUUUUUUUUUUCAUAUGUAAUAGGAUACCAACAAAUUGAGUGAGGAGCACAUCUUACUAAAUCGUUUAUCAAUUUAUUCACCUUCCUAAUCUCAAGCUUCUUCAUGUUUGAAUUAAAACACCUUGGAGUACACAAACAAAAAUGAUGGUAAUAAGUCUUUCUCAUCAUCUUUAUUUUCAUUAGAAGGCAAUUUGUAUCAUCCUCAUUCCCAAUCCUAAAAAUAGGUUUAGAAAUUAGACAUGUUUUCUUAAAUGAUCUUCUUGGUCCAUGCAUGCUUUCUAUAUAUUUAAAAAAAUUUUAAACUAAGUACUUAAUUGUAGAUAUGAUAGUUUUCAAGUUAAUGCACAAAUGGUGAUGGUGAGGAUGCUAAAUAUAGUCCAUGCUCAGCCUAUUUGUUGACAAACUACCGAGGGCUAGUGCUAAGGGAAACACUUAAUGCACUUGUAUCAUACUCUCUUUUCUUUGCCUUCUCUAGUCGUUAUCCAAGGUUCAUAUAUAAUAUGUCUUUAUCAUUAAACUUUUCAUUUUUAACCUUUUGUCUUUUUAUGGUCUAUUACAUGGCCAUCAAUUUCUAAGAAAGUGGUGUACACUAUUAUAAAUCUUAUCUCUUUGUUCUUAUAGACAAUAGAACAACAUGCUAAUUGCAUGAUAUACAAUUUGUAAUAGAUGUUCGGCUAUCAGGUAACCUUUAAGUACCUUGGAGCUAAAACAUUUGAUGUUAAUAAGGUUUGAUGAUUCUCACUUUGGUGCUUAGGUGCUUUGUUGGAUUUCAAUUCAGGUGAUUAAUUAAUCUUAUUAUGAUUAUUUGAUUGCUAUAAUAACUAAAUAAUCAUUCCUAUUUUAUCUUGGUAAUUGACUUCAAUGACUUUUUAACAAUUAUAUCAUGCAUGAAAUGUCCAACCUAUUAUUGUUAGUAUUUCAAUAACAUACCUCUAAUGCUACCACUAAUAUACUUCAUGUAUUCAUAUUUAUAAAAUGUUUCAUUAUUUUAUAUAAUUUAAUGUUUUCAAAUUUCUUUUUUGAAUGGGAGAAAUGACCAUUAAUCUUGACAACAACACAAGUAUCAUUGGUCUAAUAUUGCUUUCUUGAGUAAUUUGGCAAUUUAAUUAUGAAGUUUAGUUGUACAUUACUUGAGAUUCAUGCUUUAUGUAUAUGGUCUAUUGUCCAAACUUCAAUGACAUUUAGUAGACUUGUGAGUGGCGUUUGUCUAUGAGUUUCAACUCUUCAAAACUAUUAUUGAAGCCUAAGUUCAACUUCAGUAAGGAAAAAAAAUCAACAUUUUCUUCCAUUAUGUAAUUUUAUUCACUAUUGAUCUCCCGAAAUAUUGUUUUUAAAACAUGCCCUUAAAUGGAAUUCAUGGCUUCGCUAUUAUUUGCAGGAGAAAUUGUCAAGUUCUAUAUUUGUUUAGAAAGUUGGAAGAAGUAUUUAAUUUGACAUGGUUUGGACAUCUUGCUGCCAUCUUUUUAAAUUAGUUAUCAAUAAUUUUCCAAAGUUGACAUUUUUGUUUAUCUCAUACUCCUUUUAUAUUAGAAGGUAAUGCAUCGGUAUUGUGUAGACGAAUCAAGCCUUCUUUAAUUGAGGCGGGCCUUUUGCAAAAUAUUUCAAGUUUGUUUUCUUUCCAUUUGUUGCUUCAUAUCUAUUUUUUGUAAUCAACCAAGCAAGGGUUUCUUGUCAUGCCAUAAUGGUGACUUGUAAUAAUCAAUUAUUGAUUGUAAGGAUACUUGGCUUUAUCAAUUAUUAUAUUGAAAUCAAUUCAGUACUAUGGCUAAUGCCAAAAGGACAAUAUUUAGUUUCGAUUGACCAUAAUUCACUAUUCUAGAAACAAGUGCUCACAAAUUUUGCAUCUUUGAAGGAUGUGGGAAAGAUUGGCUUAACUGCAUCACCAACUUACAAGCUCCUUAUAGCAUCCAUAUAUAUAACCUUCAUUGUUAAGGUUUAUAAUUCCUAUCUCAUUUUUUUCAUCUCUUUAUUGUUUAUAAUUUUUGAAUUGAUUUGUUAAAAAAAAUUUAAACCUUAUUUGCAAUACUGAUUUGUUUUAUUCUUAUGUGCAAUAGAAUAAUAAGUUGAAUAAGAAGCAUACACUACUUAAUUGAUAUAACCGUUUAGUCAAUUCUCUUCUCAAUUUUUUUUUGUUUUUCUCCAUUUUUGUUCAAGGUAAUCAAAGUAUCAUUAUUUCUAUUUCUAAAGGUACUUGUACCUAGCUUGAAAAACUUUAAGAUAAGUUAAAGUGGAGAACCAUUCCCAAAACAAGUAAUAAGUACAGUUGGGUUAUUGAUAUCAUAUCCUCGAUUGACAUCUAUGCCAUUGUAUUUACAUCUAAAGGAUUUAUGAUGAAAAUAAAUAUCUUCUUCAUUUCCAUUUUCCUCACUUUUUUUUUCGUAAUUUAUGUGCAUAUCAUAAUCUUUUGCGAGCAUAUAUAUGCAUGUUGUAAUCGCAAUAAUCUAUUGCUAUCAUAAUUCAUAGCCUAAUAUAGUUGCUAGCAUAUAUAUGCAUGUCAUAAUCUAUUGAAUUUUUUAGCAUAAGGUCUUAGAGUAUUCACAUAUCUAUAGGUUCUAUAUAUUUAUACUUUUUAAAACAUCAAAUGAAGUAUAUCAGCCUUAUCCCGAAGGUGAAGUCUCUUUAAAUUGAGCUUCAACAUGUUAGCAGUUACCUAACUUAAUAAUCUAACAAUUUGGUAUUAUAUAUCAUUUUGCAACUCUUCCAUAAAGUAAUUGUGUUUCCUCUAUUCAUAUUUUCUGUCCUUAUUUUUUUUUAAAAAAAUUGAAUUAGUAAUUGUGUGUCAAAUCAUGCUUACAAUCAUUAAUAGGUACUUAUAUGAUAAAUUGAUAAAUUUAUUUUACAAUUUUUUCAACAUAUUUGAAAAACAAAAAAAAUAAAAAAAAUAAAUAAGCAUGUCUUUCUAGAUGUAAUCACUACCAAGCUCAUGUGAAAAGCUAUAGCAAUGAGGGUAUAAGCUUCAGUUUUGUUUUGGAGAUUCAUAUUGAGAGUUGUAGAUUGUGAAUGUAAUUGUGUGCAUAAUGAGGACACUAAUAGUAUAAGCUUUGGUGUCUAUUUUUUUUUUUUACUUGAAAUAUCUAUAGCAGAAUCUGAGGUUCAACUUCAUCACCAAUAACAUGGUCGAGGACAUAACUUCAAGAGACAGCAAACAGUUUCAUAUUAAUCUUUUGGGGUGCAGGAAUUUGACAUUCUACAACGUUGCAAUUAGUGCACCAAAAGACAGCCUUAACACAGAUGGAAUUCACAUUGGACGUUCCUCAGGGAUCGAUAUCACCGAUUCAGCCAUAGAAACCGGAGAUGAUUGUGUCUCAAUUAGUGAUGGCAGUGGGCAAAUUAAUAUCCAAAGAAUAACCUGUGGACUUGGCCAUGGCAUCUGUGUGGGAAGUCUAGGAAAGUACCCCGAUGAAGAAUCUAUGGUUGGCAUUAGUGUCAAGAACUGCACCUUCAUCAACACCCAGAAUGGCGUCAGAGUGAAGACAUGGCCUGCUUCUCUCAUCAAGACACUACCUCUGAAAUGCAUCUUGAAGAUAUUGUCAUGAAUAAUGUUGGCAAUCCCAUAAUCAUAGAUCAAAAGUAUUGCCCCCAUAACCAAUGCAACUUAAAGGUACUUCUAAAGGAAAUGAAAAUUUCCAUUUUUAUUGCUUAUUUUCCCUCUUUUUCCCUUCAUUUUUAUUGGUUUGGAACUUAACUAUCCGUUGUUUUCAGAGUCUAUCACGCAUUAAGCUCAGCAAUGUUAGCUUCAGAAACAUCCAGGGCACUACCUCAACUCAGGUUGCUGUCAAGCUUGUUUGUAGCCAAGGAGUACCAUGCCAAGACGUUGAGCUUGGUGACAACAACGGAAAUGAAGGCCUUGCCAUGUCACAAUGCAAGAACAUUAAGCCAAAUCUACUGGACAAGCAACUGCCAAGGACUUGUGCCUAAGAUGCUUAAUCUUCUUCCAAAGUCUGAACAAAUUGUACUGCUUCUAUUAUAUAGCUACCUCUUCAUGCUCACGCGUCUGCUAUUUUAUUGGUGAAUAAACUACAAUGAACAAACAAUGAUACGAUACUCGGCUAUUAUGGAAGGUAUGUGCAGUUUGAUCCCAUAAGAAAAAACAAAUGUCUAUUUAGUCUUUUGCUGCUAUAGUACAAAUUGAAGCUCCAAAGAAUAAUGUUAAUGUAAAUUAUUUAAUGUUAAUGCAGUUUGGAUGAGAAAAUGCAGUCAAGUGAAUAAAAAUUCCUUUGGAGUGUAUCAUUUGAAAUUUUAUCUUUGGAUUACUACAACCAAGAAAAAACUAUAGAUUGGUAUCUGGUGUGUUGGAAAUGCUUGAUGGUUGGUAAUCGAACUAAUGUACUAAUGACUUCGAGAAAAACUAAGAAUGAUAAAGACAAUAGUAAUAAAUGGCAAGAACUGAGAAAGUAUUGAAGUUGUAAUUGUCUCAAGGAGCGUAUUUUGGGAUUUGAAUUAUAUGUAAAGAAGAAAUGCUCUUGGAAACUGCAACAUGAUGGAUCUUGAAUGGUUUUCUGUCAUAUGUGUUUGUUGUUUGGAGAUGACCGAGUAAUAUUAGUUUUAUCAUGCCCCUUUAAGCUGCCAUGUGGAAGCUGUAGCGUUAGCAGAGAGUUGAUAAUGCUUUUUGGGUAGUUGGAAGCUUGAACACCAACAUAUUAGUGCAAGGACAUGAAGAUAUUAAUUCAUUCAUACGAUUUAUUGUUUGAGAGGAUAGAAAAAAAAAAUAUAAAACUAUUUAAGAUCCUAAAAAUAUCUUAUAUUUCUCCGUUUUUUGUAUUUACACUCUGAUCCAUGGACUUUUACCCCACAAAAUAUCUCAUAUUCUUUUUCAAAUUUCUACCUACAUAUAAACUUCUUAUGUCUAUAUUUAUUAUAUUACUUUUUUCUCCUCAUGACCUAAUUAAAAUAUGUAUAAAGAUAAUCCUAACAACUUUUCUUAUUUUAUAGGCAAACCUAUUUCUAUAAGGAAUUAAUUGUAAAACAUCCUAUAUAAGCUACCUUAACAUAGCUGAAUUAUGUUAUAAAUUUUAUUUUGAUACGAUAAAUAACAAAAAUCCAUUGAUAAAAAAUUUAUCAAAAUCCAAUAACUGUAUAGGAUAAACUACACUUAUUUUGGAUAAAUAAUAAAGUACAUUAUCCAAGUAUUAAAAGAUUGUCUUUGUUGUGUAUAAUUUGGAGAGCCUCAGAUAAUGUGCAAGUAGAUGAGACUUAGAGUGAUAUGUUUUCUCUUUCAAAUCAAUUUUAGAGGGACCAAAUCCAAAAUUUUAGUCUUUUUUUAGAAGUGUUUUAGAAAAUAGUUUGGAAAAACACUUCUUGAUAAUAGCGUUUGAAAAUUAUUCUCUAAUAUUUUAUAGCACAUAAAUUUGUUUGAGAGAAUAAAAUGCUCUUAACUUGUUUCCUAUGUUUUUAAAUAUAUUUUAAAAAUAAUUUUCAUAUGCAUUGCUUUAUUUUUAAUCAUUCUCUAUAUUUGUAUAAUAAUUUUUUAAAACAAUUCUAUAAAGAAGUAAAAAGAAACAAAAAUAACUAAAAAGAUGUUCUUUCGAAACAUUGUAUUUUCUGUUUAAAAGUUUUUUUUUUUUUUUUUUUUCUGUUUUCUAGUUGUCAAACUAUACUUUCUUGUUUUUUUUUUUUUUUUUUUUUUUUUUUAUUUUUUUUUUUUUUUUUAUUCUAGAUAAUAGAAAACUGUUUUCAUAACAUGGCCUCAACUUUUACUAUGAAAAUCGAAAUGGUGCUUAAACUUAAACUUCAAAUUGAUUUUAAUCAAAAUAUGUUUUUUUUUUCUCCUUUUUCCUAUCAAAUCAAAACUCAAAUUUCUUUCUUUUCUAUAAAUACAAAAUUUCAAUUUCUAUCGUUGGACUAAGAACUCCAAAUCAUUUUCAAUUGGCGGUGGAGUCUUUGAUUUAAGGACACAGAAUGCGCAUGAAAAAUCUCAUAGUUGUGUGUGUGCAUGUAUGAUAUAUAUAAAGAAUGUUGGAUGAGGAAAUUGUGGAUAUGGCCAAAUCUGAAUCUCUUAUAUUUUUGCAAUAGCAUGUGAUUUACAUAGAAACUCGAUGGUGGAAGAAGACUAUAAAUAAAGGUCUCCUCUCCUCAUUCUAUUUAUCCUAGAAUUGAAGGAAAAAGAAUGAUCUAACUCUUUGAGUGAAAAAGUGAGGUUAUCUUGAGAAUUAGAGGAUUAUUAUUCUCUUGGGUGUAAUUAGGAUAUGGAUUGUGAGGAGUGAGUGAUUAUAAACACUUGUGGUUAUUUUUCUCCCUAUAAUGAAGAUCUAUAGUAGCUCUGUGGGCGUAGCUUGUUUUGGGUGAACCACGUAAAUUUCAUGUUUUGUUUGUCUACUCUAUUUCGUUAUUAUUUUCACAUUUUUUUUAUUCAUUUCAUUACUCUAGUCUUUUGGGAAGUUUAUUUCCUAACAACUGGUAUCAAAGCGACAUGUCUUGUGGUGUUUUAGGAGCUUAGUGGUAGUUUGAGGAGGUUGGAAUUUAAGAGGACAAUUGUGACCUCUCUAGUUUUUCUUAGGAACUUUUAUUUUUGUCUAAGGAGACUAGGUUUUAAGUGGGAUUGUUGUGAUCCUUCUAGUCUUUCCUGAGAACUUUUUUACUAGUUUAAAGCUUUGGGUGGAAGUUUUUCUAUAAUUUUUUGCAAGUACAGAGGUACUGUAAAAAGUACAAUUUUUGCAGAAGUCCUAAAGAACCAGAUUUGAGUGGGAUUGAUGGCAACAAACGAAGGAAAGAGCAUCAUAAUUUAGAAGUUCAAUGGUGAAGAUUUUAGCUUCUAGAAAAUGCAAAUUGAAGAUUAUCUAUAUUAGAAAGAUGUGCAUCUGCAUUUUUAAUGAAGAGUGGGCUCUACUCGAUAGGCAGGCCCUUGGAGUUAUCUGGUUGACGUUAUCUCAUAAUGUCGCUUUCAACAUAGCAAAGAAGAAGACUGUGAUGGGUCUUAUGGCGACUCUCUAUGACAUGUAUGAGAAGCCAUUCACUUCAAAUAAAGUGCACUUGAUGAGGUUGUUAUUCAAUUUGUGAAUGAUAGAAAGCGCGUCUAUAGCAACUCACAUCAAUGAAUUUAGUACAAUCACAACACAACUAAGUUUGGUGGAAAUCGAGUUUGACGAUGAAGUUCGAGCUUUAAUCUUUGUAUCCUCUCUACCGAAAAGUUGGAAUGCGAUAGUGACAACAAUGAGCAAUUCUUUUGCAAAGAAGAAGAUGGUAUUUAAGGAUAUUCAAGAUCUAAUUCUAAGCAAAGAAAUACACCAAAGAGAACUAAGAGAAACAUCAAGUUCUACCUUAAACAUUGAAUCUAGAGGUAGACAUAAUGACAGAAACUCAAAUCAAAGUAGAUUAAAAUCAAGACAGAGCAAGUCUAGAUCUAGGAAGGAAGAGAAUAGUUGUUGGAACUGCGGUAAGACUUAUCACUAGAAGAGAGAUUAUAGAGCACCGAAAAAGAACAAUGGCAGUGAAAAGAAUCCACGAACAUGGCCGAAGAUAUUGGCAAUGCUCUAAUCCUAACUGUCAAUAGUCUAGUUGAAUCCUAGAUUUUGGAUUCUGGGGCAUUGUAUCACUGCACCUCUUAUUACGAAAUCAUGGAGAACUACAUCAGUGGUGAUUUCAGGAAGGUUGACCUGGAUGAUGUUGAGACCUUGAAGAUUACGAGAAAAAAAGAUAUUCAAGUGAGGCUACCAAAUAUGUGGAAAUUUAAAGAUGUGAUAUGUAUUCCUAGUUUUAAAAAUAAAAAUAAAAAAUCUCUGUGGAUUAACUUGAUAAGAAGCGGAUGAAAGAUCACCAAGGGAGCUAUGGUCAUAGCUCAUGGAAAGAAGAACGGUCCUCUCUAUGUUACUUCUAGAAUGGAGAAUAUUGUUGAAGUUGUAAAAUCAAAUGAGAAGUAGAAAAUUUGGCACGAGAGACUCAGUCAUAUGAGCGAGAAAUGGAUGAAGGUUCUUGUUUCAAAGACAAAGCUGUCAAAUCUAAAAUCAAUGUGAAGAUUGUAUAUUCAAUAAGCAGAAAUUGGUUAAUUUCUCAAAGAUUGGCAAGCCAUCCAAAGUAGAGAAGUUAGAGCCGAUUCACAUAGACACGUAGGGGUCAUCACCAGUUUCAUCUAUUGGAGGCUCAUUGUACUACAUCACCUUCAUUGAUGACUCUACUAGGAAAGUAUGGGUUUAUUUUCUAAAAAAGAAGUUAGAAGUUUGUGAUGUUUUCAGGAAAUGGAAAGCCAUGGGAGAUGCGAAGAUCUACUAGGGGCCUAUAAGUAGAGGUCUCAUCUCCUCAUUUUAUUUGCCUCAUAAUUGAAAGAAAAAGAGUGGUCUAAUUCUUUGAGUGAAAAUUGAGGUUCUCUUAAGAAUUAGAGAAUUAUUAUUCUCUCGGGUGUAAUUCGGAUUUGGGAUGUGAGGAUUCAAUGCUCGUAUACACUUGUGGUUAUUUUUCUCCCUAUGUUGAAGAUCUACAACAAUUUUGUGGACGUAGCUGGUUUUGGGUGAACCAUGUAAAUUUCGUGUGUUGUUUUGUUUGCUCUAUUUUAUUAUUAUUUCCACAUUUUUUUAUUUGCUUCAUUAAUUUGGUCUAUUGGGAGGUUUACUUCCUAAUAUUUUUCAAGUCAAAUUCUUAUCUAAAAUUGAAAUAAGAAUUGGUUUCAUCCUCAAUUGAAAUCGAUUCUUGGAACACUUCACCAUUCCCUUUCCACAUUUCCCACCAUCCAACCCGGCCAAUAAAUACAAUUACUUGGCUCCAUUGCAUAUUUUUGCUUAUCUUUCAUUCACAUUCAAAAAUGGUUAGAAAGGAACCUUGAUUUUAGGAAGUUCCCAAUUAUUAGGAUUUGAUUUAGUUUUCUAAUAGUCAAUUAGAAUAUUUACAAAUUUGAGUGGUUGAUUUAAUUAUAUGUUUAUACAUAAUUCCUACAAGUUAUUUUUUUUUUAAUACUUUUUGUUAUUAGGAAUCUCUAUUUUUUAGGUAAAGGUGUCCAUAAAAAAAAAAAAAAAAGGAGUUAGUGCGAUAGUUGAACAAGAGUGGUGGAAAAUAAUGUCAUUUUCUUGAUUUUUCUCAAUUACUUACCUUCUUACCUUGACUUUCCAUCAUGACUUAUUUCUCUCUAUGGAUUUGUUUAUGUGUUAUCAACUCUAUUACUUGAAUAAAUUGGGUUGUAAGAAAAAGAUGACAAGUAGGACAGAUUUGUUACAAGUUCUUUAGCUCAAUAAAAAAACUUACAAUAAUUGGAGUAUGAAGGUAAAGACUUUACUUGAUUCACAAGAUGUAUGCAAAGGUUGAAGAGGAAGGCUAUAAACAAGGAGUCAUGACAUAAAACCACUAUUUUAAAAGCAAAGUAAUUUUUUGAAAGGUAUAAGGAAAAAAGAAAAAAAAAAAGGAAGAAGAAAGCUCUUACCCUUAUCUAUCAAGCAAUGAAUAAAGGCAUAUUUGGAAAUUUUCCAAAUGCAACCAUGCACUACCAAGAAAGCAUGGAAGAUAUUAGAAAAUGCAUAUAAAGAAAUUGACUAAUUAAGAAAAGUUUGCCUUUGUACUGGGUAUUGUGUAGAGAAAUCAAGUCUUCUUUAAUUGAGGUGAGUCUUUUGCAAAAUAUUUCGAGUUUGCUCUCUUUCCAUUUGUUGAUUCAUGUUUUUUUUUUUUUUGGUAAUCAACUAGGCAAGAAUUUCUUACUUGUCAUGCCACAAUGGUGAACAUGCUUGCAUGAAUAGUAUUCUCUCUACUCUUUCUUUUUUAUUCUUUCUUUAUUAUAUUGAUGGAUAUACUUAGAAGUGAAUAGUUAAUUGGGUUUUUUAUUAAAAGAAAUCAAAUAUUGGUAAUGCUAUUUAGUAUCAUGCUUGUAAUAAUCAAUUAUUGAUUGUAAAGAUACUUAGCUUAAACAAUUAUUAUAUUGAAUUCAAUUUAGUACUAUGGCUAAUACCAAAAGAAUAAUAUUUAGUCUUGGUUAACCAUUAUUCACUAUUCUAGAGACAAAUGCUCACAAGUUUUGCAUCUUUGAAGGAUACGGGAAAAGUUGACUCAACUGCAUCACCAACUUACAAGCUCAAGCUUAUAUACAACCUUCAUUUAUCAGGUUUAUAAUUCGUAUCUUUUUUUUUUCAUCCCUUUAUUGUUUAUAAUUUUUGAAUUGAUUUAUUAAAAGGAAUUUCAACUUUAUUUGCAAUAAUGAUUUUUUUAUUCUCAUGUGCAAUAGAAUAAUAAGUUGUAUAAGAAGCAUAUACUACUUAAUUGGUAUAACCCUUUAGUCAAUUCUCUUCUCAAAUCCUUUUUAUUUUUCUCCAUUUUUGUUCAAGGUAAUCAAAGCAUCAUUCUUUCUAUUUCUAAAGGUACUUGAACCCAAUUUGAAAAACUUUAAGACAUGUUAAAGUGGAGGACCACUCGCAAAAUAAGUAACAUUAGUUGGGUUACUAAUAUCAUAUCCUCGAUUGACAUCUAUGCCAUUGCAUUUUCUUCUAAAGGAUUUAUAAUGAAAAAAAAUAUCUUCUUCGUUUCCAUUUUCCUCCCUUCUUUUGACCAUAAAUUUGUGCACAUUGAAAACAUUCAUAGCCCAAUAUUUUUGCUAGCAUAUAUAUGCAUGUCACAAUCAAUUGAAUUUUUUAGCAUAAGUCUUAUAGUAUUCACAUAUGUGUAGGUUCUAUAUAUUUAUCAUGUUUACAAUAUCAAAUGAAGUAUAUGAACCUUAUCUCAAAGGUGAAGUCUCUUUACAAGGAGCUUCAACAUGUUAGUAGUUACCUAACUUAAUAAUCUAACAAUUCGUCACUAUAUAUUAUUUUGCAACUCUUUCAUAAAGUAAUUGUGUUACCUCUAUUCACAUUUUCUAUCUUUAUUUUAAAAAAAUUGAAUUGGUAAUUGUGUGUCAAAUCAUGCUUACAAUCAUUAAUAGGUACUUACAUGCUAAAUUGAUAAAGUUAUUUUACAAUUGUUUCAACAUAUUCAGAAAACAAAAACAAAAGAAAAGAUUAAUAAGUAUAUCUUUCUAGAUGUAAUCACUACCAUGCCAAUGUAAAAAAAUAUAACAAUGAGGAUUUCAAAGAUUAAAUUAAGUCUUGGAGACUCAUAUUGACAAGUUGUAAAUGGUGGGUGAAGUCUCUUUAAAAUGAGCUUCAAUAUGUUAGCGAUUACCAAACUUAAUAAUCUAACAACUUGACACUAUAUAUCAUUUUACAACUAUUUCAUAAAGUAAUUGUAUUAUCUCUAUUCACAUUUUCUAUCUUUUUUUUUUUUUAAAAAAAUUGAGUUGAAAAUUGUGUGUCAAAUCAUGUUUGCAAUCAUUAACGGGUACUUAUUUGCUAAAUUGAUAAAGUUAUUUUACAAUUGGUUCAGCAUGUUUUGAAAACAAAAACAAAAGAAAAUUAAGAAGUAUAUUUUCUAGAUAUUAUCACUACCAAGCCAAUGUGAAAAGUUAUAAUAAUGAGGAUUGCAAAGCACCAGUUAUGUUUUGGAGAUUCAUAUUGAAUGUUGUAGAUUGUGGAUGUAUGGUAUAGGAGUUAACUUGAGUUUAUCAUUCUUUCUAUUUUCGAUACCUUAAUUUUAUAUGCAUUGUCCAUCAUAUAUAUUUGUUAUCAUCUAUUCUUUACAACCAAUUUUUUAAUGACUUCUACAAUUUGUGUAUAAUGUAUAUAUUGCUUUUAUUUGUACCAAAGCAUCAUCAAGCUACAAAAGCAUCACAAGUUUUUCUAUUGGGUCAAGUAUUUUAGUAGUUUUUGUACUUAUACUUGAAACUUUUUUAUGACACUAAUGAGGACAUUUACCUUGAUUAAUUUAACAUUUAUAUUGCAAGUAUCUAAAUAAGAGUUCUAUAGAUUUAUUUAGACAUUUAUGGGCAUAUUUAUCCUCUUUCUGACAUAUUAUAAUGAUAUUUUUAACAUUGAUAUAAAUUAUUUGUUUGAAGGUUUCAACUAUUGAAAAAUAUUAUUCAAGCCCAAUGUUAAUCUUUUUCUAUAGUGGAUUUCAAAUAAUAAAUUCUUAUUUGAUUAUUUGUAGCGAAAAUAAACAACUUUUAUGUUUGAUGCGGAAAAAUAUAGAGUAGGUCACUUUCACAAUAUAUGGAUGCUACUCCUAUACUUUUAAAGAUGGUUACAAUCGCCUUUAUGAUGGAUAAUGAUUUUCUAGUUCUUUUAGUACUAUUAUAUUAUGUCCAAAUUUUAAUUUUGAUAUGGUCCAUAAUCUCAUCGUAUGUACUAUUGAUAGAUUACAAUGCAACAAACGCAAUGUGAAUCUCAAAGAUGAUUAUUACGUUGAAAAGUAAGUUCCCCAUGUUUUAUUUAAAUUUUUUUUAUUCUCUAAGGAUUGUUUUAUUCUCUUUAUUUUUAAAGGCUCAAAUCAUCUUAAGUUUAUUUUUUCUCUUAUUUCAAUAGUUGUAGCCCAUAUGUAGGAGAAAUUUCUCUAAAUGAAGGGUAAAGAAGAACAAGUGCAUUUAACUUGUUACACUUGCAAACUAGAAGACAACCUCAUAUUUCAGAACCUGCACUACAUGAUUUCAAUAAAAAUUAAGAUUGUUGAUUGAGAAAGGAAUGGUGAAUUCAAAAUUCUCUAUAAUUUCCAUUGUUGGUGCUCUUGAAGAUUUUGGUAAAAGACUGAACAAUUGAGUUUAGCAUGUCCUUGAAAUGUAUUUGUUUUAUGAAUCAAUGCAACUUGGUUAAAGUCUCUAUAUAAGUCAUAUACAACAUAUUUUCCCUUUAAUAUCAGCUCAUCAAUUUUUGUUUCCAAGCUUUUUGUCAAUUAUAUUUUUUAAUCCUUUCUAUUGUUUUUUGGUCUUCCAAUGACUUUGUUUCUAUUUUCAAUACUUGAAUCCAAUGUAAGAUGUUUGCAUUUUAAUUUUAUAAUUUUCUUUAUUAUUUUGCUUUUUGUUUUUUUAUGGUGUUUCCUUUGUAAUCACUUACUAGAUUCAUACUUCUAAGAAAACAUGUUGAUGAUGAUGAAAACAUGUUUCUAUAGAAAUAUAUAUAUUAUGAAGACUUCUUAUGCUUCUAUUAACCUAAAAUGAUGAUAUUGAUAAGAAGUGUAUUUAUUAUCAUAUUGCAUUACAAGUUUACUGGUGGAUCACUCUUAACAAGUACAUCUUAGCUAAAAGUUAAAAAAAUGUUUCUCUUUGCACAUACCUUUACUAUUGUUUCAAUUGCUAUCUUAAUAUGUUAUGGAAAAACUACUACAAAUAACAAUAAUAGGGAGAAAAAAACAAAAAAACAAAAAUAGAAAACUUAUAAAGUAGGACGAUUUAUGUGGUUUGGCCUAAAACCUACAUUUAUCCAUGAAAAUGAAGAAGAAUUUCCACUAUUAUUAAAGGAUAUUGCAUCCUAAAGCUCUCAAAUCCCAUAAUUACACUAAAAAAGGACUUUUUUUUUAAUCAAAAUCUCUUCCUUUAUUUUCUUGAUUAUAUAAGAACAUUCCAUAGAGAAUUAAUUAUGUAAUUAUCAAAGAUAACUAUUCCUAAAAAAAAAAUCUUAUAAUAUGAUAUUUUCUUUAUAAUAUAAAAAAAAAUCUUUUAUAUAAAUAUAUCAUAAUAGGAAAAUAUUAAAGACUUAUAAAUUGACUUGAAAAACAAUUUGAAAUAUUUUUCAACAAUCUCCACAUUAGCUCAAAUUCCCAAGAUUCAAAUAAACUCAAAAGUCUUCCAUGUUACUUUGCUCUUAUACACCCUUAAGGGGACUUCAAGUAAUGUCAAUACCAAUUAAGUCUAAGCAAUGCAUGAACUUAAUCAUAAAGAUAAGUUUAGUCAUCAUAUAUAUAAAAUUAUCAACUAUAGGGAUCUUUUUCAUUACAUUAGAACCUUGUUCAAUCAUAUCUCUAAUAAAAUGCAUUCUAACAUUAAUAUGUUUGGUCCUCUCAUGUAACAUAUAAUUUUUAGUCAAAAGUAUGACACUUUGGUUACCAUGAUAACAAUAAUCAAUGAUUGGAACCAAAUAAUUACAUUUUGUGUGCCUAAACUUAGACAUGCGUAUUUAAUAUCCAAUUCUAGUUUCAUCCCUUUACUCAAUUUUAUUCCUAAGUCCUUAAUUUUGUGUUUAAAAAUGCAUGUACUGGUGGUUAAUUUUUCACUCCAUAGUUGUCAUAUCAUCCAAGUAAUAGUUGCUACAUUAUUCAACAACGGGUUGCCUAUAGACCCACAUUUUUCAUAUGCAUCCCCACUCAAUGGCGUGGUUGACUUUUUAAGUGAAAAACUAUGUUUUAUAAAAACUUGGAGUUGCCACUUAUUUUUAUUUUUUUAAGGGAAAAUAAAAUAAGAAACUAAAUCUUAAAAAAAAACGACUCCUUAAACUUUUGGAAAAACUUGUCUUUUAAAAAUCCAAGUCUAGAUCCAGGGAUUAGGUUACUUAUUGGGAUGGUACCUUAAAAACGGAGCAUCCCUCUAAACCUUCAAAAGGUCUCUAUUGGCUAGGUUGAGGGAAGUGUGACAAUUAAUUGAUAGAAUUAGGGUACAAGAAAGACUAAAGUGUUUAGCUAAAUUCUAACAGCAUAUUAAGUAUGCAGAGCAAUCAUUUCAAGUCAUAAGUAUAAAAAGAGAGAUAGGGUGCGUACCUAGACUAUAACUCAAACACUAUCAUAAGACAUCAAAGUUAGUUCAGAUAUCAUAUCACUCAACACACAUUAUCAUUCACAUCAAAGAAUCAAAUAACAAUCAAAGCAACCAAUAACAACAUCAAACAUAGAGAUGUUCAUACAUGAAACAUACACAUAUGUUGAAUUAAGAGACAAAGGGUGAUGGGUGUAUUUGAAUUGCAUAAAUAAUUUACAAUGCACUUCGAUAAGAUAACAAAGGUUAGAAUAAAUUAUAAUGGAAAAUAAAGAGAUCCUAAAUCCUAGCAUGCAUGGUAUUUACAUGGCAUAAGGACAGAACAUAGGCUCACAAAGACAUCAAUAUUCCUACAAGGCAUGCAUACAACUUCUAGAUGUAUACAUAAGAUAUAAGAAACAAUGAUUAAUUAUAACAAAACAUAUAACCAACUAAUCAAAAUAUAGGCAUCACAAGUAUAAUUCUAAAAUAUUAUGUAAGCAUCACUUGACUAGAUAAUAAAUAAAAGCCAACAUCCAUAUCCAUUAAUCAUGAAUUAAACAAUAUGAGCAACUAGUAUGCAAAAAUCCAACAUAUGAAUAUAACCACACCAAAGCACAGAGGAUAUCUCCUAUACGUUUAGAACAAAUAAAAAAUUCCAAACACUCGUUCAAAUAUCAAUUUUAAUUCAAAAAGACCAAAAGUUCCAGAAGGUCCAAAAUUGAGUAGAACACUGAAUUUUUAAAAAAAUAUCUAGGCCUUCUAAAUUCAUACAAAAAAUAGAAAAUGUCAUUCAAGGUGCCUAAAUUAUAUAAAAAAUAAAUCCAAGACAAGGAAGCACUCAAAAGAAUUUUAAAACACUCCAAUUGAUUAGUUGUCCAAAAUUAGUCAUGUAUAGUAAGUGCAACUUUGAAAAAUCAUAUCUCUCUCUAAAAAAAAUAUAUUUCAAUAUUUUAUAUGUCAAAAUUCAACUUCAUGAAAUCAAUAAUUUUGGAAAAAUAUUUAUCUAAAUUAAAAAGGUAAAAAGGUAAUUUAAUUUUACAAAAUUCUAUCAGAUGUACCAAAACAAAACAUGCUGAAAGAAUAUAUCAUAACUCAACUUUGAGAAAGACUUGUUGACUCAACUAACGUUCCAAAAUCAACUUCAAGAAGUGAACAACAUCAUAAAAGUUUUGGAAAAUUUUUUAAAACACUCCAAAAUUAUCAAAACAUUUUUUUUUUCCUAAAGGGUUAGUAGCUGAGUUGAAAAAUGAGUUUUGAUAACCUUUUUCAUGUAGGUGUUCCAUCAAGUCCCCAUUCAAUAUUCAUAGGUUUAACCCAUGCAUUCCCAACCUCAAAUGAAAAGAUUCACCAAUGCCAAAAAUACUCCCAUUAGUUUGGAAGCACGAGUUCAAACUUAUGUGAAUAAAAAACAAAGUUUUGGAAGACCAAGAAAUAGAUAAUGCAACUUAGAUGAAAUGAGUUGCAUGUUUUUUAACGGAGUAAGAUCUUUGCCUUAAACCUAAAACACAUUUUUUUUCAAAGAUUUUAGAUAGUUUAAAUUCUUUUGAAAAUGAUUAUAGAAGAAGCACAAGGAUCCAACUGGUUUAAGUAAUCCCCGAACAAUCGGAAAAAAAAAAAAUGGACUUUUAGUUUUCUAACUUAAAAGGGAUUUAAAAACAUAAGAGAUAUUAACUUGGAUCCCCUUUAUAGUUGAAGGAGGCACGUGCAUGAUGGAGAAAAUCCAUUUUUGGUAAAAAGAAAUUUUGAAUUAACUCAAAAUAACAACUAAGAAAGUUUUUUUUCUAACAAAAAAGUUUCAAACUCAAGAAUUCUUCAAAGAGUAAACAAAAUAGGUGUCAGGUUAAAGAGAACCUACAAUUUAACUAGAUAUAACAUCUAAUGAAUUUUAAAACAACCAUCCACAUGAAAAUUUAACCAAACACAUAUCUAUAAUUUUUUUUGAAAAACAAUCAAUAUGGAAAAUUAAGCAAACAUAAUUCAAUACAGUUUUUUUAAAAAAAAAAUCUAAAUAACACAUGAACUUCAAUAAUUAAAAUAUCUAAUGGAUUAUUAUUAUUUUUAAAAAAAAAAACCAACAUAGAAAAUUUAACCAAGCACAUAUUUGGAAUUUUUUAAAAAGAAUAAUCAUCACUAAAAAAUUAACCAAACAUAAUUUAAUAAAUUUUUAAAUAUAAAUAACACAAGAACCUAAACAAUUAUAAUAUAUAAUGGAUUUUUAAAAAUACAACCGAUAUGGAAAUUUUAAUCGAGCACACAUUUAGAAUUUUUUAAAAGAAUAAUCAACAUGAAAAAUUAACCAAACAUAAUUCAAUAAAUUUUUAAAUCUAAAUAGCAUAAGAACUUAAUCAAUUAUAAUAUCUAAUGGAGUUUUAAAAAUAUAAUCAAUAUGGAAAAUUGAACCAUACACAUUGAAAAUUUUUUACAAGAAUAAUCAACAUGAAAAAUUAAACAAACACAAUUCAGUAAAAUUUUUAAAUCUAAACAACACAAAAAUCUAAAUAAUUAUAAUGUCUAAUCGAUUUUUAAAAAUACAACCAAGAUGGAAAUUUUAACCAAGCACAUAUUUAGAAUUUUUUAAAUAAUCAACAUGAAAAAUUAACCAAACAUAAUUCAAUAUAAUUUUUAAAUCCAAAAUAACACAUGAACCUAAACAAUUAUAAUAUCUCAUGGGUUUUUAAAAAUACAAUCAACAUGGAAAAUUUAACCAAGCACAUAUUUAGAAUUUUUUUCUAAAAAAAUAAUCAACAUGAAAAAAUUAACCAAACAUAAUUCAGUAAAAUUUUUAAAUUUAAAUAACACAAGAAUCUAAACAAUUAUAAUAUCUAAUGGAUUUUUAAAAAUACAAUCAACAUGGAAAAGUUAACCAAUCACAUAUUUAGAAUUUUAAAACUUUUUUUUUUAAAAGAAUAAUCAAUACGAAAAAUUAAACAUAUAUAACUCAAUAAAAUUUUUAAAUCUAUUAACUAACAAGAAAAAAAUUAUCUAAUCUAACAAUCCAAUGAAUUUAACAUUUAAAAAAAAAAACUAAAAUGAGAUUAUCAACUUCAAGUACCAAUGAUUCAAAAAAAUAAACAAUCAUCAAGAAGAGAUUAAACAAAUAUCUAAGAUUUAAACAAAAAAAUAAUAAAUAAAUAAAUAAACAACUUUUGAUCAUCAACACCAAGAACCAAUGAUCCACAAAAAUAAACAACCAUCAAGAUGAGAUUAAACUAACAUCUAAGAUUUAAACAAAUAAUAAUAAUAAUAAUAAUAAUAAUAAUAAUAUAUUGCUGAAUUCUGAACCGUGAUUGACUUGUUAAUGGGAUUUUAAGGAUUCGUAUGUGGCGGAGGAGUUUUGCACUUGUUUAUCACAGAAUUGCGAGGUUUUCUGUUUAUUAUCUUUGAGCAAAUCGGGGGUUAGAUUUGAGCAGAAAACAGAGGAGGGUGAUUGAGCGGGAGGCUAGUGAUGAGCAGUUCAUCCAACUUCGCAUUUUCCGUGUGAUAGUUUCAGUUCACAGAACAAUCAAGGAUUGAAGUUCUAAUGAAGCCUCUGUCACAACUCUCAGAACCCAACUUCCUUCAUCUUCGACUCUUUGAUCAGAGCUUUCACAUCUAUAGCAGAAUUCUUCAUUCCGCUGGCUAUCUGGCCUCUGAUAAUUACACUUUCAUGUUCUUGGUUCGCACCUCUGCUCAGCUAUUGGCGCAUGUGACUGGUUCGUCUACACAUGGUGCCGUUGUGAAAUAUGGAUUUGAGCAUGAGCCACAUGUUCAAAGUGGCUUGAUUUACAUGUACGCAGGAUUGGGUGGUUUGGUUGCUUGCCAUUGGAUGUCUUCAUCAAUUUGUGAGCCAGAUUUGGUGUGUCAGACUGCAAUGGUCAGUGCAUGUGCCAAGGUGGGAGAUUUUUCUUUUAAGCCGUUUGAUAAAAUGUCCCACAAGGACCCUAUUGUAUAGAAUACAAUGAUUUCGUGAUGCGCAAUGCAGGCAAUCAAAAAAGGGAAUCGAAUUUAUUCAACUUAAUGCAAAGGUCGGGUGUUAUUCUAGGAGGAUGAGUUUCUGAGAUAUUCAUUCAACUCAGAGGCUUCACGUUCUAUAACAAAAGGGAUCGGGUGAUUUAUUUGAGUCUUCGAGGAAUUCUAUCACUGAGUGUGAAAAGCCGCCCUCAACGCAUGCUGGCUCUCCUGUGUGCAGUGGUUCUGGGAGCAUGAAUGAUUAGAUAUCGUAUGUUUCAGGACGUGAAACUUGCUGCAAGGAGAGGAGUGGGGCUUCUCGAGAUGCUCUGUCAUACAACAGAGUUGGUAGUGAAGAAAUCUAAUAUGAAGUAACUGAUUGUGGCACUACAUUUAGUUUUGCUGCAGGAAACUCUUUUGGUGCAACACCUGCAAGCUGAAGUUUAAGGUGUCCUUCUUCCAUUUGCUUCAACAGAUGAAGAUUCUGAUAUAGAAAUACAUGGAUCUAGUUCUGUAAGUAUUGAUGAGAAUGAUGUGGUUGAGGUCAUGUUGCCCAGAACUUCAGGUGUCAGUCAUUGCUUAUCUACUGUAAAUUCUAGUUCUGUAAAUGGCAUUUUGACAGGGACAAUGUCAUUUUCAUUGAAGCUGCCACCAAUUGUUUUCCGGAUAAAUUUGCAGACAAUAAAAGCAUUGUUGGAUCUUUCUACAAGAAAAUUCGACUCGCUCCCAACUCCAAUUCAUAUCCUCUUGAAAGAAUGAAGUUCUCUAUGGGCACCUCAAAAGCAUCCUUCAAGACUGAGAAAUCCAGGAGUCAGUUACAAAACGCAAGACAUGUCAUGCUCAGAAAGUGCUACUGUCAUUUAUAUUUUAUUGCGUCAACGCGGGAACGAAUGGGCAAACUUCGCUUGAGGUGAGAUGCUGAGAACCAAGGUCCUCGAUCAUUCAAAGCCAAAAUGAAAUCACAUCAAAUGCCUGAACAGAUUGUUUUCUGGAAGUGGAUUACCCUGAAGAUGCUGAGCAUAGUCACGUAGACCUCAGUAUAUCAUUGAUCAAUCAAAGGUGAUUCAGAACCUGUAAAAAUGUUUGAGAGAACUAUUAAUUUGAUAAACAAUCAGAUAAUUAACUAUCGAUAUGAUCCGUCUGAAAAGUGGUUGGUUUUGAUUGGAAUUGCUCCGGGUUCACCUGAGAGACCACAGCUUGUCAAAGGGAAUAUGCAGCUUUUCUCUGUUGAACAGCAUCGAAGUCAAGCUCUUGAAACUCAGGCUGUAUCAUUCGCCACAUUUAAAGUUCCAGGGAAUGAUCAAUCCUAUGCACUUAUUGGUUUUGCCACAAUAUCCUUUAAUGCCGGACAGAUUGUCUCAAAGCUACAUGUCAUUGAACUUGGAUCCAACUCAGGGGAACCAGGAUUUAUAGGGAAACAGGCUGAUCUUUUCUUUCCCCCAGAUUUUACUGAUGAUUUUCUAGCUGCAAUGCAGAUAUCGCACAAAUAUGACUUUAUACAUGUGAUUACCAAGCUUGGAUUGUUGUUUGUUUAUGACCUGGAGACGUCUUCUACAGUAUACAGAAAUAGGAUUAGUCCAGGUCUAAUAUUUUCUUACUGCUGAAGUUACAUCUAUUGGAGGUUUUUAUACCAUCAAUAGGCGAGGGCAGGUGCCAAUUGCUACUGUAAAUGAGGCAGCAAUCAUACUUUUCGUCAGCGGCCAAUUGAACAACUUGGAGUUAGCAGUCAAUCUCACAAAAAUGGGGAGUUUCUCUGGUACAGAGAACUUGGUUGUCCAGCAUUUCCAAAAAUUGUUUGCUCAGACAAAAUAUAAGGAGACUUAAGGAAUCCCAUGGUGGAACCAUGUCAACAUAGACUAGAACUGAUGGAAAUUUAUCUUCCUCACUGUCAGAUAUCACUGCUCUUGAGGAGUCUCUUACUGCUGCUGGUGGGAAGUUCAUCUUUGUGCAAAAGCUUCGUGACUUUGUUUCUGUUACAUGUGACGUUUUGCAGCAUAAGGCUUUUCUUUUUAUUGAGGGACUUGAAGAGCAAAUGCAGAAGCUUCAUGAAGAGCGUGCAUCAGCUGUCUUAGAAAGGAGAGCUGCUGAUAAUGAUGAGAUGAUGGGAAACACAAGCAUCCAUUGAUGAUGCAAUGUCGGUUUUCACUAAAAGUGGUUCUAAAAAGGCAAUGGUUGCUGCUGCUGUUCUUCUAAGAGAACUGAACUGAGUAGCACACCAGCAUACUGUUACGGCUCAUGAGCAUCAGAAGAAUCAUAGCAGGGGAGCCAAAUAACCGGGUGGAGACUACCAGAAAUCAUGCUUAAGAUGACAUUGCUCAAUCCUAUGCCAGCGGAGCUGUUUCUAAUGUCCAAAACCAUUGUGUUAGAUGACACUAGUCCAGCCACUCUAAAGAUCAGAAAGCCUAUCGAGGGAGUUGCUUCAUCAGGAAAGGGGUAGAGGAGAUUUAAUUUCUAUUGAUGUUCUUAGUAUCAGGAACUCUUCAUCCUUGAGCGCCAAAAGUUGUAAGUCUAAAAUUUGGAAAGCCAGCUAUUUCUUCUGAACUGCAUCUGUCUCCUAGUACCAUAGGUCAGCUGACCUCAAACGUGAAAUCUAGAAAGGUUGACGCUGCUUGCACAGUGGUAGCUAGCUUCUCCUUUAUGCUGAACAAAUUUUAUUAGGAUUCACGAUCAGUUGAAGCAUCCACAAUUUUUGAUGCUGAAAUGGAAGAAACAUUUAAGGUCAUUAAACUAAGAAGUCUGAUGGCUGGUUCCUCUGCCCAUGCUGUUCCAACUUCAAUUGGUUCCAGUUUGCCACCAAGCUCAUCAAUAGACUCAUUGCCUUCAGAAAAGUCAACACCGAAUCCCCAUGCUGAGGAUUUCAAGUUCAAUCCCAAUAUAAAGGGGUUCAUUCCGCCUCAAGUGCCUCCUGUCAUAUUCAAUCCACAAACUACAUCAAUAUCCUUUUGACAUCCAGAAACCAUUUGGAAAGAUUCUCAAUGAAGAGACAUAUACCCCAAAAAUGAUCCCAAUCAAGGCACUUUCAAGCUUGGUCAAGCUUUAUGGAAGAGUUGCAGCAGAUUGAGAGGCUCAAAGCAUAGUCGUCUUAAAGCAGAGUAGUCUACUGGACACCUUCUUGAUAACCAACAGACUGCAAAGUUCCCAAUAGAAGUUAGUUCUUAAAGUAGCAUUUAUUGGGAUUAAUGUUCCUCUUGAGACCAUACAGGUGAAAGAUAUCAUCUUCAGUUUUACAAGGUGGAAUAAUGCUCAGUGGGCAUAAGAAAUGAAUGAUUCCAGUGAUGAAACCAUGAUCUUCAAUAGUGGUUCUGCUCCACCAGCCUAAAGUGAAUUUCGCCAAGCCCAGAUGGAGAUCCACUUGGUAUAAUAACUGGUUUCAGGCAGAUAGUAGUGACGGCUCAUGAUUGGGAUGAUAUAUGUGCCUUCUUCUCUUGGAUUUUGGGGUUCUGGAAAGCCAAGAAAACUGCAACUGUGGAAGACCGUAUCCUUGAAAGAUCAUUCUGGUGUUAUUGGUGAGAGCAUUAGCUUUUCAGACGAGGUAAUUGGUGUACUACAGCACUUGCUCGCUGUGCACAUAACAGAUGACAUUGAGAACCUGUGCUGGGAUUUCUUGAGUAAUAGAAUGCGGUUGUUUCUGGUACUCUCCUUGCUUCAAACUGGAAUUGGGGAAUAUUGCCUAAAAACAACAAUGUCCCUGGAAUAGGUCCAAUCUCUCCUGACUAUGCAUCCAGUGAUAAUGAAUAUCUUACUUUUGCAGAAGGCCUAAUUUCCAGUUUACUAGAAGCUGGGCAAGUUGCUAAAAUCUCAAGGAUAUUGUCAUCUUUCUUGAACAUAUAUUUACAAGCUUACCAGAAAGCAUUUCUCUCUACAAUUAACAAUGGCCAGCACCAUGGUGAUAGGUUUUCACCUUUAUUGCUUCUCAAACAUACUGGUGUUGACAAAGGCAUACAGGAUGGGUUUCUUGAGAAGAGUGGAAUAAAUCCUUGUCAUCUGGAGUCUGUUUAUGGUCUCUUAUCAAAGUUAGAUCAAAUGGUUAAGAAAAGAGCUUCUGGAUUCCUAUCGAAGGUCUUUUGGGAAUGUAUAUUGCAUGGUUUCCCCUCUCAUCUUCAAGCUCCCAGUGGAACUCUUCUUUCAUGCAUUCUAAGUAUAAGAGGGAUCAUUUGCAUUCUAGAUGAGCUACUGAAAAUCAAGUGAGCGCUUCUUUGGCUACAUAUUUCCCCUUGAUUGGCGAAAAUCAUCUACUGAGGCUACGGUUUCUCUCAAAGAAAAUGAGCUUGCUGGGAAUUUACUUAGGGAAGUUAUUCUUAAAAACAUCAGCUAGAUCCAGAAGUUUUAAAUCUUCUCAUACCAAGGCGAUCUGCAAUGGCAGUAGUCGUACAUCAUCUUCUGAUCAAAUUGGUAAUGAAAUUUGGGAGAAUGACGUUAAUAAAGUUGAGGACCUUGAAGCAGUUCAGAUAUUGCAGGACAUUUUUAGCAAAUAGCAGGGAACUACAGGCAAAAGUGUUAAAUAGGAUGCUUAAGAUUUUCUCAGGUCAUCUUAAAAGCUAUAAAUUGUGUCAACAGCUAAAGACUAGGUCACUCCCUAUCUUAAAUAUGGAUGAUUUUCUUCCAUCAUCGCAAGAGAUCAUCUUGGAAAAUCUUGGAUAUGCUCCGAUUAUUGUGAAAAGCAUUUCUGAGCAAGAAUCGCCUUCACUUUGCUGUUUGUUGCUGUAGCUAAUCACGUCUGAAUUAAAGCACACCAUUCUUUCAUUUUUUGUCAACACAAUGGUAAUCCUGAUCAGUUGGAGAGAAAAUUCAGCUACAGCAGCUUCAAGAAACACUCUGGCAGCAAGGAUGAUAUCAUAUCCUCAUCAAAGCUAAUUGAAUCCGUUUCUGGGAAGUUUCCUUUUUUUGAAAUUAAGAAUAUAGCUGCUGAUGCAUAGGGAAGAGACUCCCAGAUUUAAAAUUUGCAGUCAGGAAAGAAGCAGAGUACUCUCUGAGGAAGAAGUGGAAAAAGAUUGAAAACUUUGAUGCCCAUGAAGAAGGAACCUGAUUCCACUCUUGAAAAAAUAUUAGACAAAUCUACUGGUUAUUUGACGAUUGAAGAGUCGUAGGGUAUUAUUAGUUGCUUAUGAAUUGUUAAAACAGCAAGUUCCUGCAGUGGUCAUGCAGGCUGGUCUACAACUGUGUGCUUGCCUAAUAAAAACACAUUCUCUAGCCUUGGAGUUCCCUGAAAAUGGAGGUGUGGCUGCUCUUUUCUGUCUUCCAAGAAGCUGCUUCUUUCUUGGAUAUGACACGGUAACAUCUGCUAUCAUUCAGCAUCUCCUUGAAGAUCCGUAGACACUUCAAACAGCUAUGGAAUUGGAGAUACGACAAACUCCAAUGGGAACCUUGAAGUGUAUAUUUGUAGAUCAAAGCUUCGCGACCAUUACUGUUAGUAAUGAACUAAGCUUCAAUUUUGAUCUAUCUUCAACAAUAGGAAUUGAUUUAUCCAAAAAUUUGCUACAUAGAGAGAUACCGACAGGAUUUUCUGGGCUGUUGGGUUUGGAAUACCUGAAUUUAUCAUAUAAUUAUCUUGAUAGUCAGCUUCUUACCUUGGAAAAGACGGAGAGAUUGAUGGUACUGGACCUAUCAGACAAAUCUUUGUCAGGUCAGAUCCUAGAAAAUGUUUCCAAUCCAAGAAACGUAAAGAAUCAAGAUAUGUCAAGUGGAGGUUCAAAAUACGGAGGAUAAGGGUCAUAUUCAGAUUCCACCCUUCAAUUCGAUCAUGGUUUCUGGUUGUUCAUUGCAGUUGUUCUACUGAAAGGCACAGACGAGUAAUCAGUGAACUCGAUAAAGCAUUAUCUUCAUUUUCGAACCUGGAGUGCAAUUCUUCGAAGAGCAUUUUAUUGCCAGAUAAAAAGCAAAAAGCAUGAUAGAUGGAGGAAUGGUUCGGUGCCUAACUAGCAUUCUUGAGUGAUGCAGUUUUCAAGUUUGAUGGUCUGAACAAGAAAAAUCCCCAGCUUCAAACCGAAGAUCUGAUGAUCAGGGGAUUGCACCAUUAACUACAGAGAUUGGUGAGAAUAGUCAGAAUAGAAACAACCAACAAGGACUCAUGGAUGCAGUAGGAACAGAGCAGCGACAACGUCAAGGAAUUUUGCAAAGUGAAGGAAAUCAUUCAUUUACAGAUUCGGUCCGAUUAUGGAUGAAAAGCAACAAUUAGGAGUCUGCUUGGUGAUGGCAACGACAAGGAUACCUAUUCUAGUGGAACCAUUGAAUCAAAUCUUGGUGGCGAGAAAUUAACACAGAAUGCAGGAAAUCCGUCAAUACAAAAAACUGGGGAUUUUGAACUUUAUGUUCAGUGUUUGACCAAUAUUGGGGAGAAUCCAUUUGAGCUUACGGACCAAGUUACCUUAUAAAUCGAAAUGCUUCUGACCACUGAAUACUUUGGCAACGAAUUGGGUCCUUCUAUCCCGAAUUUUUAGACUCCACUCCAUCAUGGUUACCUUGCUACACACACCUCCUCCUCUUUUUUGGCUUCUUUGAUUAGGAAUUUACUAUUUUAAAUUGAAUUUUUUAAAUCAUUUUUCAACUAAGCAUUUCCAGCUUUGAAAAAUCCAGAUUUUAAUAAAUUUGCUGCCACUUUCCUCCAGGCAUGCAUUUUCACUAUCUUCUUUUAUUCUCAAUUAUUUUCAUGGUUUUCUCAAUUUUCAACAAGCAUGAACAAACUUCAUGAUUCCAAAUAAUGGAAUUCAUAGAAUCAAUUCAUGCAAAAUUAAUUAGAGCUAUGGUGGGGGCCCAACAUUCGUGAUAUUUUCCUCAAUAUUGUCUGUUUAAUUGUGCUUCCUCUAUGUGGAUACAUGAGAUUGUUUUACACUUAUUAUUGAGCUAAUCUUAUUUCUCAUUUUAGCGCACGGCUUGCUAUCCAGGUACGUUCCCUAAUACCCACUUUCUAAACCCUAUGAAUAUGAUUGUCGUUGCGUACUAUGCCCAUGCUUGCUAUCCUGUUUGAUUGUCUUGAUAUAUAUUUGAUGUUUGUUUGAUUAUCUUUGAUAAAAUGCAUAUUGGGUGAUAUAUUAUCUAAACUAACCAUUGAUGUUUUAUCAUAGCGCUUAAGAAGUGGUCCAGGUACGCACCCUAACUCUCCUUUAUUGUAAUUUGAUCAUGUUUGACAUGUUAUUUUUUAAAUCACCUUAGUCUAUCUAGAUAUCCUUAAUCACUCAAUUAAUUGCCACAUUUCCCCCAAUUUAGUCAGUAGAGACCUCUUUAGGGCUUAGAGGGGUGCUACCUCCUAGAGGUACCUUCGCAAUAAGUAACCUGAUCCCCAGACCUAGACUUGGGUUUUUAAAAAACACGCUUUUCCAAAAAUUAUGGAGUCAUUUUUUUAGGGUUUUAUUUCUUGUUUUAUUUUCCCUUUAAAAUAAAAAUAAAAUGAGUGGCGACUCCGAUUUUUCUUUCCAAAAAUUACUUUUUCAGAAAUAAAAAACGAGUCUCGCCGAUCGAGUGGGGACGCAUGUGAAAAAUGUGGGUCCACAGACAGGUUGGCCUUUGGCAAUUGCAGCAGACCCUCUGAACCAUCAUCAGCUAUCAGACCUAGCAGACCUCCUUGUCAUUUUGCUUACUUGGAGGUUCUUCAAGAUCACGGACCAUGCCGACUCCGUUUUGCAAUCGAUAUACUUUUUUAAGAUCAGCAAAAGCAACAAUCUAAACUCAGAAUCAGAUCACCCACAAUUGUCUAGUCACUGGAUGAGAAAACCUCCAGGUCCUUUUUGAGGAACAUGUAUUAAGGACCCUUCCACAACUUUCUUUAUCCAUUCCUUUGCCAAGUGAUAUGUUCUCUUCUAUCUUGCCACUCUGAAUUCAAGGAAAAUGAGUACCAAAUUAAACAUCAUAACCAACUUGUUCACUAUGGUGGCCUUUAAUUUGAGCUUUACAAUUUCUAGGAAACCCGUGACGGAUCAAAUUCCUAAGUUGCAUUCCUGAACGCACCAAAACUCAUGCUAAUACCUUCAUGGGCACCAAAACUAAUCAAUCUCACCACUAGCAAAACUUCUCCAAAAAAUCGGCAAAACUAUCCAUGCUUCAUCUUUCCUCUGUUCUUUCGCCCCUGUUUUUCUUCCUUCAUUCUCCAGUAAUAGAUACUUUAACCGGUGCCAAACAAUCUUCCUCCUGGAAUGGUAGUUGUACGAGAAACCCUUGAACUUGUUUUCUUAUUCCAAAUUUGGAUAUGGAGUUUUGACAGCAUCAAGAAACCAUUCUUUAGUGCCAUUGAUUAGUGAUGCAGGCAUGGCUGGAAAUACUCGAAAUAUCCACAUAAAACAAAGGAAGACUGGAAAUGGACCAAUAAAAAAUAAACAACAAAAAGGAAGAACCAAUGGAAGCCAAAUUUCAUAUUUUAUUCCAUGGGCUUAGGUUGGUGAGGGGAAUACAAGCAAAUUCCAACAAACAUAUACGACGACUAUUCUCAUGUAAUGCACAGUAAAUAAAAAAGGUAAAGUCUUUUAGCCCUAAACCAAAACUAGAGUACUCCAAAGGGAGAAAUCAACAACAUCUAGAGAAGCAAUCAAGUGCCAAUCCAAACAAACAUAUAGCCUCUAUCAUUCUACACCCAAGCAUCCAAACAAAACUCAAAAUCCCACGAAGAUCAAUACAUAACAAAAGGAUAACGAGAAUGAAGGAAGAGUCAACAAGAGGCAUUCCUGGAAAUGUUCCUCUCUAGUAAGAAAAUCCCUGUUGGUAUAUCGUCUUAGAUCUCUUACUCUGCUUUGUUGUGUUUCCUUCCUCUCCCUAUGAAGACAAUCUCAGAAUUCUCCNNNNNNNNNNNNNNNNNNNNNNNNNNNNNNNNNNNNNNNNNNNNNNNNNNNNNNNNNNNNNNNNNNNNNNNNNNNNNNNNNNNNNNNNNNNNNNNNNNNNUUUUUUUCCGGGGGGUUGGGGUGGGGGGGGGAAAAAAAAAAAAUUCCAAAAAAAAUUUUGGGGGUUUUUUUUUUUUAAAACCCCAAAAAAAAAAAAAGGAAAAUUUUUUUUCCCCAAAACAAAAAAUGGGUUUUCCCAAGGGGGAAAAUUCACAACUUUUGGGGAAGAAAAAAAGGGCCAAUCCAAAAAAAAAUUUUUCUUUUUUUUUUUUCCCCCCAAGGCUUCAAAAAAAAAUAAAAAUCCCCGGGGGUUCAUUUAUUUAAAAAAGGGUUCGGGGAAGGGGGGGGGGGCCCCCCGGGGGCCUCCCGAAAAAUUUUCCUUUUUUAAAAAAAAACCCCGGGGGGAUUUUUUUUUAAUUUUUUUUUUUUGUUUUUGGGGGUUUCCCCCCCCCCCCUAAAAAAAAAAUUUUAAAAUUUUCCCCCCCUUUAAAAACCCCCCCCCCCCCCCCCCCCCCCCCCCUUUCCCCUUUUUCUUUAUUCCUCCAAAAGCCUAAUCUAAACUCAAAGGGCAACCAAGGUCACGAUGAGGGGUCAAGUAAAUCCCCCAACUAAAGUCUCUGAGGUGGCUAAAAAAAAAGUAAAUUGUAUGAGUAGUCAUGGGCCACCAAGAGACUACUAUUAAGUAUCAAAUGAGCUUCUAAUAGGACAUGUGCUAAGAGGACAAAAUGGAGGGUCUACAAUACCUUUUUAGGAUCACAUAAAGGGACACUUUGUCUCAAUUCCAUGAGAUAUCAUGGUGCCUACAUUUAGAAUACCUAUUGUUACUGGCUUUCAUCAACAAUGACCCAAUCCAUAGGAAAUAUGUGAUCAACUUACAAUCUCACCCGUAAAUCAAAGACACUAGUAACUUUAGCAUAAACUCAACAUUCUCUCAAAGUUGAGGGACAACGCAAUGAAGUAGUUUGGUGAGGUCAUGACUACUUGAUAGCCUUAAGUCAUGACUUAUUGUAGGUCCUGUUCAAUGUGUAACCAUACACACUAAUGCACUCACCAUGGGAAACCCAUCUCGAUAGCCAAGACCAAUUAUCCCUCUAAUUAGGAGGUGGUGCACUACAACCCAUAAUAGGUUGCCUAGACCCAUGAAUCGGUUGUGAACAAGUCAUCUAUUUGUAAGAAAUCCAUGACUUGGAUCUUUCUUGCAACUCUUAAAGCACCAAGUCACGUACAAUGCAAAAUAUGCAUGCAAGAAUGCUCAUAAAAGUGUAAUGCAUGGAAUAAAUUAAAACAAAUAAAAGUGAAACUAGAAUAUCAUUAAAUAAUGAAUUCCAAAUUUGUUAUAUCAUUGUCAUGCUUUUAAGGGCUCUAUCUUAACAACAUUAAUUUAUUUUGUUCUAAGAUCAUCAAAUUUUUAUUUAACACAACCUCGUUGAUCUAUAUACAACACAACUUGACUUCUCCUUAAUUUGAUAUCAUAUUUUUUUUUUCUUUUGAAAGUAAAGGCAUCGUAUACCAUGAUCUCUUUGAUUUUCCAUUUUAUUUUUCAUCGUGGUUGCCUUUGUUUCCAUUUUGGAGGUGUUUCCAUAUGUUACAAGUGAGCAACUUAUAUUUAAGAGCAUGAAUUUUGGAAAGUGUAUGAGAGUUUUGCUUAUCUAAAGAUUCAAGUAUAUACUAACUUACUUCGAGAAACAAUUAUAAUGAUCUUAGUCAAACAAGGCAUGUAGACAAUAAGAUUUGAGCAUGAUGUACAAAGGAUCUUUCCAAAGAUAUCAAUGUCUACUUUAUGAGUUAAACUUAAGAAGUCUCCCUCUUGAUCAAGCACAAAAUGUAACUAAGGUUGAAAUUCCACUCUCCAAAGACAUUUAAUUAUCAAGAAUCAUAUCUGCAAUAGUGAUUAACAAAUAUCUAAGAAUCAAUCCACAUCAAGUCUUGUAGAUAUAGUAUAUUUCUCUAGUUCUCAAACUUGAGAUAUUAAAAAUCAUGCCAAUAUAUCAAGUAAAAAAGCAAAAAUCAUAUGCCCAAAGCAAACCAGAAGAAAACCCAAGGAAAAAAGUAGACAAUGAAACAAUUAAGCUCAAAACCUUUCAAGGCCUAUAACAUUAGAUAAUUAGUCAAUUAGGCGUAUGCCCAAGGAUUUCCUAAGGAACUCAAACCUAAGAGAAUUCAAGGGUUUUGUAAAGAUAUCUACCAAUUGAUGUUUCGUGGGGACAAACUCUAGAGAGACAACGUUUUCUUCAACAAAAUCCCUAAUGAAAUGAUGAAAAAUUUCAAUAUGUUUAGUACGAUAAUGAAGAACACGAUUCUUUGAUAUAUUUAUAGAACUAGAGUUUUAAUAGUAUAUGUUCAUGGUCCUUUACUCAAUCCUAUAGUCUUUCAGUAUUUGUUUCAUCCAUAAGAAUUGUGUACAACAACUUUCAGCAACAAUAUAUUCAACUUCAACAAUAGAUAAGGAUAUAGAUUUUUUUUUUCUUACUAAGCCAACCCACAAAACAAUCACCAAUAAAAAAGUGAGCAUCAUAUGUGUUUUUUCUAUCCUCAACAUUUUCGACCCAAUCAACAUCAAAAUAACUAACAAUCAUAAUAGAAGAAUCAUAGGGAUACCAAAAACCAUAGUCAAGAGUCUCACUAAUAUAUAAUGUAAUUCUUUUAACGGAAAUUAAGUGUGACUCUUUGGGGUUUGCUUGUUAGUUAACACAAACACCAACACAAAUGAUAUGUUAGGAUGACUCACUAUGGGGUAUAAUAAGUUUCCUAUCAUACUCCUAUAGAGCUCUUUUUCAACAUCCUUUCUAGAUGCAUCCUUAUUAAGCUUAGUGGUAGUGUUCAUAGGUGUCCUAGAGUGUUUGGUGGAUUCUAGACCAAAUUUCUUCACUAACUACCGAGCAUAUUCAGAUUGUGAAAGAAAGAUUUCAUCUUUUAGUUGUCUAAUCUACAAUCCUAAGAAGAAAGUUAGUUCACCAAUCAUACUCAUCUCAAAUUCAGUCUUCAUUUCCCUAACAAAACUAAAGUCAAGAUCACUAGAGGUGGCUCCAAAAACAAUAUCAUCAACAUAAAUUUAGAUCACUAAUAAUUCAUCCUUGUACCUAUGCGUAAACAAGGUUCUAUCAACUUCCCUUUUCUCAAACUUUUUCUCCAAAAGCUAGGUAGUAAUCAUCUCAUACCAAGCUUUAGGAGCUUGUUUUAAUCCAUAAAAGGCUUUCUUCAACCUAUAGCUAUGAUUGGGGAAUUUCGGAUCCUUGAAACCCUUAGGUUACUCUACAUAAACUUCUUUACUUAGAAUCCCAUUAAAUAAAGCACUCUUGACAUCCAUUUGAUAAAGCUUCAUUCUCAAGGAGCAUACUAUAGCCCAAGUAUCUUGAUUGAUUCUAGUUAGGUUACGGGUGGAGAUGUCUCUUCAUAAUCAAUCUCCUCUAUCUGUGAGUAUCCUUGGGCUACUAAUCUUGCUUUGUUCCUCACAAUGACCUUAUUUUCAUCUUGUUUAUUUUUUAAAAUCCAUUUUACACCUAUGACAUACUUAUCUUUAGGCCUAAGGACUAAAUACAACAUAUCAUUCCUAGUGAAUUGAUUCAACUCUUCCUAUAGUGCGGUAGUCUAAGACUCAUCUUCUAAAGCUUACUCCAUGAUAUUGGGCUUCAAUUGGGAGGUAUAGCAUAUAAGAUCCAUUUCAUUUAAUCUUUGAUUAUCUCCUAGCAACUACACGUUCAUUCACCUUACCUAUAACUUUUGAGAUACAAUAGUUCUUGGGUACUUUGGAUUUAUGCUUAUUCCCCAUUUCUUCAUAAUUGUCUUCUUGAGAUAUAUUCUCAUCCUUGUUGGGGUCAACUUCACUUUGAGGAACAUUAUUUGGGUUCUUUGAUUUCUCCUUAAAAAAACUCACAAAGAAGUAUCUUGAAAAAUCAUCCACAACAACUAGGACAAAUCUCUUACCACUUCUACUCUCAAUAUGCAUGGGACCCAUAGAUCCAUAAAAAGAAGGUCUAAAGGUCUAGUGGUCCUAAUUUCCUUAACCUUUUUGUGUGAACUUUUUUAUUGUUUACCCACCACAAAUGGGUUUAGGUUCACCACUAAGUUUAGGGAUUCCUCUAACUUUUUCACUAUUAACUAAGUGUACAAGAUCCCUAUAGUUUAUUUGACCUAGCCUUCUAUGCCAAAGUUUAGUAAGGUCUAGCUUAGCACUAGUGCACACAAGAGGUGUCUUAGAGUUAGGAUUUAUUGCAUAACAGUUGUCAACUAUCCUAUGUCCUGUGGUAAUGGCUUUUCCUUCUUUGUUGACUACCUUGCAUAAGUCUUAGCAAAAAUUCACCCUAUGAUCUUUGUCAUAGAUUUGACUAAUACUUAGGAGGUUUGCCUUGAGUUCAUCUACAUAAAGAACUCCAUCUAACUUAGGACAAGUAGGGAUAGAUAUACUUCAUUUGUCUUUCACAAGCUAAGUUUCCAUCCCCAAAGGUAAUUGUGCCACCAUUAUAGUCCUUAAAAGAUAUGAAAGAAGGACUUGUCUCUUGUCAUGUGUCUAGAGCAACCACUAUCAAAGUAUCACUCACUAGAAGACCUAACUUUAAGUGCAGUGAAGACUACUUGACAUUUAGGCUUAUUUUUUUUCAUCCAAACUUGUUUAAUCCUAGGUGGUAACUUAGAGAAGCUUUAUUGAGAUAUAGGCUUUUGAUUAGGUUUAUUCCCUUUUCCAUAAUUCAAGAUGUUAUUUUUAAGGGAAUUAAAGUCAUUCAUUAGCCUAUUUAUUUGAGAUUCAAAUCUCUCUAGGAACUUAGUGUAGCACCUAUACUGAGUGUGUCCUAUUUUCUUUCAGUGUAUAGUGAUGGGUUUAUGAGAGAUGCUACUUGGUUGGGGGUUUCAUCUUUUCCUUUAACAAACACAAUUUCUCCACUAGAAAGAGUUUCAUCUUUAUUAAUAUACUCCAAACCUCAUUUAUCACCAUGGGUUUUCAUUUAUCAAGUAUUUCAUUAAGCAUUUUAGUUCUAAGGUGAAAGAUCUCAUUCACAAAUGAAAAAGGCUUACUAUUUUUCAUCUCUUAAGUAGGAGUCUUAUUUUUCUCAAUAAGAGAAUGAUGUUCAGAUCAAGAAAUCUAUUUUUUUUUUCAAGUAUAUUAAUAUUUUUUUCUUUUAGCACAUCAAUCUUAGUUUUGUAAGCUUCAAGUAUAUGAUCAUAUCUUAAAUAAUUCUUAAUAAGUUUUUCAUGCUCAACAACAAGAUUAUUCAAAAAAGUAGCUUUUUGAUCAUUAGUGAAUUCAUUAUCACUAUCACUAUCAUGCACAAAUUCCAUAGAUGCAACAAAAGCUAAAAAGUUAUUAGGAUCAUACCUUGUAUCUUCAGAAGUUGUGGAACCACUUUCUUCAAAAUCAAUGUCACUCCAUGUAGCUUGCGUAGACUUUUUGACAUUUUUUGGGUUAGGACAAUCAGUAGCAAAGUGUCCCAAACCACCACAAUUAAAGCAUUCUACUUUCUUACCUUUGGAGGAACCUUAAUCAUUUUCUUUGGAUGAUUUCUUAAGUCUCUUUCCUUUUCUAGAUUCUUGAUUUUCGCAAAACUUUUUGUUGAAUUUCAUUACCGUUUUAAUUCUUUUAGUCAUAUAAAUCAAUUCAUUCCUAGUUAUAUUAUGUGACAUUUCAGUAUCUUUUUUCUCAUUCUCCGAAGCCUUAAAGACAAAGUCUUGAGGAUUUUGAGAAUUAGGUAAGGGCAUCUCAUAUGUCUAUAUAAAGCCAACAAGUUCACCAACUCUCAUCUAAUCAAUGUCUUUGCUUUCCUCUAUAGCAAUAACUUCAGGUUUAAAUCUCUUUGGGAGAAAACUCAAAAAAUUUUCUUACUACAUUUGAAUCUAGAAUGGGUUUUCCAAGGUUCAAAGAAGAAUUAACUAAUAAUCUCAAAUUUAGUUUUGAUUUUCAUGCAUUGUAAUAAUCUCAAAUUUAGUAGUAAGCAUUUGCAAUUUAGAAACUUUAAUAGUAGGUGUACCUUUAUGAGUGACUUGAAGGAUAUCUCAUGCUUCCUUAGCACGAGUAUGGUUUGUUAUCUUGCGAAACUCAUCUGGACAAACUCUAUUAAAGAUACUAAAUAAAGCCCUAACAUUGGCUUCACUUCCUUCAUUAUCAACUUUGUCCCAAUCUUGUUUAGGUUUUAAUUCUCCAAGUGAUCUUCCACGGACAUCAAGAAACAAUGAGGGCGUUCACCUUGCAUUUUAAGAAAAAACUUCAUCUAGGCUUUCCAAUAGGGAUGGUUACUCCCAUAGAAGCAAGGUAGACUAUUUAGAGGAGCCCUAGUUUUUUAUUGUUUCAUACUAGACUUACAAAAUCAAUAAAAAUUUCAUUUUUAUCCUAUAUAAUUAAUAAAAAUUUGAUUUUUAAUCAAUAUGAAAAAAAUCGAUUUUUAUUUGUUUGUAAUAUCAAUUGAAAAACCAAAAGUCUAUUAGGAUAACACCCAAAGGGAAGGGGGGUACUGAGUGUAUUUAAAAAUUAUUUGUAUAUUAUAACUAACUUUUUCCUUGCAAGAAGUUAGGGAUUAUUAAUUCAUUCAACAAUGGACAAUGUAAUCAAGAUAAUCAAAUAUAUGCAAUGAAGCAUAAGGAUAUUUACAUGGAAAACCCUCACACCAACUAUGGAGAUAAAAAACCACGAGGUCUAAGAUUGUUAAUCUAAAUCCACUAUAUGAGAUCAAGUUACACAAAUUUACUUGACCACUUUACCCUAAAAACUUACUCUCCAAUAUCUACAACUUAAUCCACGUCUGUGAUGCAGCAAAUCCCUAAUUGCUCCAAUGAAUACACUUCAGCCUCGCUAAAGGGAUGAAGAUCUUCAACCCCAAGAUUCAAAGCUUGAAUUCUUUGAAUGAGAGAUCAUGAAUGGUAUGACACGUUAGAAUUUCUCUUAAAGAGACUCUUUUGAAUCUCUCUAAUCUCUUACCCUAUAAGGGUUAUAGAGAGGUAUAUAUAGGCAAAUAACCCGAAGAGAUUUGAUAUGCAUAGGUUUCCAAAUCCAACUUAUGUGAAAUUCUCAAAAUUAUUCUCUAAUUUUUUGCAAGAAAUACAUGAGCGCUUGAGCACACAUAACCACCGCUUGAGUGGUGCUAAGCGCUUAAGCGGUCCCAAUGCUUGAGUGUUGCUGCCUACUCAAUUGUCCCCUAUUUCAUUCACUUUUUUUAAAAAAAAAAAAAAAUCAAUUUUUGUUGAUUUAAAAGAUAUCGUUCCUCUUUAUACCUCAUAAAAGUCUAACUUGCCACAAGUCAAACCUUUUCAGACAUACCUGUGACUUCUCAGUUGAACGAACAACAACCCUUGAUCUUCAAUGAAGAGCAAGUCACUAUUUAAUAGGACUUAUGUGUUCAAACAUUAAAAGAAAUAAAAUUGUCGACAUACAAACAAGACUCAAUGUCCUAACAACAUCUCUAUCAUUUAGAUUCCAUAUAUGUAUAUUACACCCAACAAACUUAAAAUGAUUGAAAAUUUCAUGAUAUAUCUAAUUUAAUGGCAAUAUAAAGACCACCAAAAAGAAUGAUAUUUGACAUUCUAAUCAUAAUACAUUUUUGUUAGUUCACGAUGUAAUUUUUAUUUGUUUUCAUUAAGAUUAUGUUUGAUUUUUGAAAAAUAGUAAAAAAAAAAAAAAAUGUAAUAAAAAAGAAAGAAAAUAUAAAAAAAUAAAAAAAUGAAAAAAAUAAAUUUUAAAUUUUAAAUUAAUAAAUUAUUUUUACACACUUCUUCAAACUUAACUCAUUUAGUUUUUAUCUUUUAUAUAAAAAUUAAGUAAUUUUUUUUUAAAGUUUCUAACUAAUUUUAAUUAUAUUUUAUUUUCUUUCAUAUUUCUUAUAGUAAAAUAAACAUAAAAAACAUUUUCCUUAACAAAAAUUUCCCCUUUUUCCAUAACAUUUUUCAAGGAAGAAGACCAAAAAACCAUAUAUAUAUAGCCUAAUUAUGUUUAAUCUUUUUAGAAAUAUCCCAUAAAAUAUGGAACUUUCCAAGUCAACCAAACAUUGUUUAAAAGAAUGAAUGAAAAGAAAAGUAAAAUGAAUAAAGCAUACACUAAUAAAUUUCUUUGGAUCAAUUUUCUUCUGUACUUUUAUUCUCAUCAGUUGCCAAUAUAUAUACACAGAGAAGAGAUACAUCAAGACUCCUAAAUAAGGUAAAACUAAACAAGGAAGAAAAUAUGUACAAAUUACAAACACAAUAUUUGCCUACCACGCCAAUCAAGGCUUACCAUAAUCGGCUUGCCCAUCAAAGUUUACCAUAAUCACUAAUAUAUGAAGUUGGAAUAUAAUUAAUGCGAGCACAUGAAGCUACAUUUGAUAAUAUCACAUCUCUUCAAUAACCCUUAAUUAUAAUGUCCAUAAUAAUUAUAAUUCACAUCUUAUAUUCAUGUUGCUUGAUAAUAAGAAAAUGGACACCAUAAAAAAUAGGAUAAAAUAAGUAUUGAAAGUCUUCACCUAAUGAAUAAUAAAUGUCCAUAUUUUCUAUUAGGCCACAUGGGAGUUUUCAAUGAACGAAUCAACGUCUCAGUUGUAGCCUUCACCUAACAUAUAACAUAACAUGGGCAAGUUAAUCGUAUUAUAUUAUCUUGAUAAACAUAAGUUUAUAUUUUUUUUUCUUUCUUAUCACCUCUUACUUUUUAAUAACUUUAGAAGUUCAACUUUUGUAUCAAAAUGAAAUUAUUAAAUCAACAAAACUUCAUCCAAAACUGGAAAAUUGAUAAAUUCAACAAUAAUAAAUUUUAUGAGGCACCAUAUUGACCAAAACCUAACCCAACUUUAGAUCUUUCUUCAAAUAUUCACACUUAUAAAUUUUUAUCCUCAAAGAAUUAUCGAUAACAUAUAUUUAUUUACCAUUACUUUGAUAUUUUGGUAAUCUAAUUUAUGGCCAAGCGCGAGCAUAAUUUAAAUUUAAAAUCAUUAUCAAUUCUCUCCCAAAUAUUUUCUUUUGUAGUUGAUAUUUGAACAUUUAUCAAUAUAAAGAUUAUUGUGUCGAUAAUAUUUUCACUCCCAACGAAAAUGAUGGCAUAAGAUGUAAGACUCAAGAUUCGGUAAGCUUGAGAUUUGAUAUUGGUUUUGAGAAAAUAUGUCUAAAAAAGUAAGUAUGAGAUUAUGUGUGCUUAAGAUUUGGUGUUGACUUAAAAUUUGAUGUGAUUUGAAUCACACAAAGAGGAUUAGUUUUAUCUUAUUGAAUUAACUUUCAAUAAUUUCAAGUCUUAGAUUGAGUUUUGUCCAUCUCAUCUAAAAUAUUAAUUGAUGUUUGACGUGGAUAACCUAAACUUUUUAUUACAUUCAAUUACCAUCAUUUAAGUGCUUUAUUCCUAAUAUUAAAGAGUAACAUUGUUGUACACUAACAAUCCUUCCUUUAACACUUCUAUGGAGUGAACCAUAACUAUUAACUCCAAUAUUAAUUCUUGGAUAGGGUAUUUAUCAUUUCUUCUCAAAACCAAUUAUAUUCAAUGAGAAUAAACUAAAUUUUUUAUGGCUUUCAACCACCAUCAUUUUGAUUGCCCAUCUCUAUACUUAAAGAAUGACAUUAUUGUUGCACCCUCAUGAUGAGAAAUAGUUUUAUUCACUACUUUUAACGAAUUUGUUAUUUUGAUUAAAUAUACUUCUUUUUAUUAAAAGUUUUGUAGCAUUCUUCGAACAGAUAACAAAUUAAUCGAUUUCAAUUUUAAUAAUAGUGAGCUUGUAGACUUGUUUUAUUUUCUAAUUUUUAUAUCAUCACACUUUGGUUUAUAAAUUGAUUCGUUAAUUAUAUUUAUGUAUUUGUCGCUUUCCUUUGACAUUUUAUAAAAUUAUUGUUCAUGUAAUAUGCAUGAAGAAUUUACUAAUAUUUUACUUAAAAUAUUAUAAGAAAUAAAAAGUAUUUAAACCACUUCGUUUUGAAAAAAUAAUGUAUUACCAGUGUUGUCAUUUUUAUAUUCACAAAAGUCUACUAUAAAUAUUUUUAUAAAUUCUCUCUUAUUAUUCACAAUUUUCCAUCCUUAGUGGUGUAUUAGGCAAAUAUUUUUUGUUACAAAAGUUACAAAAUAAAAUAUAGUUAUAGUGAAAAAAUUAUUAAAACAAUUAUACAUGACAUAGAAUGUAUAUUAUUAUAAUAUAUUAGCUAGUUUUAAGUUCUAAUAUUUAAUUGUGGGUGAGUGCUUAUUAAUGAAGCUUCUCCAUUUUUUCUCUUUUUAAAUGCCUUCUAAUUAACAUUUUUGGACUAUUUUGCAGAUAAUGAACAAAUUAGGUAACUUGAGUUUUAAUUAAUAUAAGUUUAUCCACUUGGUUUUCCCCUCCUUCAAUGCUUGGUCUCUGUUACAACCUUGUGAUUUGUAUUCAUGAGUAAUUAAUUGAUGGUAUCAUUUUCUAUAAAAUAUUGAAUGGUAGUUUAGGUUCAACUUUUGUAUUUAAAUUAUUUGUAUAUCUUUCUUCUAGAAGGAGUAUUCAAUCUUGUUUGGUAACUAUUUUUUAAAAAUAGUUUUUAAUAAUAGUUUUUGAAAAAAAAUAUAUGAUAUUUUGUAAGAUAAAAAUCUAUUUAAAACUUGAAAUAUUUUUAACAUGUUUUUAAUAUUUUUAAAUAUGUUUUGAAAAUAAUUUUAUGUGUAAAACUGUAUUUUUAUUUAUUAUAUAUAUUUAUAUAAUUAUUAUUUAAAGAAACUUUCAAAAAACAAGUGAAAACAAUUAAAAGAUGUUAUCUUAAAAUAUUCUAUUUUUUUCCUUAAAAAUAGAAAAUAGAAAAAAGUUUUUUUUAUUACCAUACAUGUUUUCUAGUUUUUUUUUUAAAGAAAAAAAUAAAAAAUUGCUCUUGAAAACAAUUGUGAAAUCAAAAAACAAAAAGCUUCUACACUUUUUUUUUCCCUAAAAUUUCUAUAUUUUUAUAAUAUUAGGUAAUGUUUGACUAAAAAAAUUAAGGAUAAAAAUAAAAAUAAAAAUGUAAAAAAAAGUUAUAAAAAAUUAUCUCCUAUUCUUUUGUCCAAGGAAAAACUACAAGGAAAACAAUUAAAAUUACAGAGGAAUACACUUUGGAUUCACAAAAUUUUCUCAUCCUUUUUUUUUUUUUGAAAGAAAUAUAAAAGGGAAAAAUCUUUUAGAUUAUGCUUGAUUAUUGAAAUAUAUUUUUUUUUAAAUAAUCCUUUGAUAUUUAGUUUUACUAUCGAAAAUAAGAAAAACUAAAUAAAUUAAUUAAAAAAUUUGUAUUUUCAAAUUAUUUAAUAUUUAUAUGGGAAUUAUUAACAUAAUUUUUUUAAAACAAAUUAUUUUUUAUUUUCUUCAUUAUUUCUUUCCUUUUUUUUUUUUUUUUAUGAUAUCUCAUAUGGCAUAUAUGAGAAAACUCCUAACUUUGUAUAAGUGUGGGUUCAUAUUAAUAAUAUAGAUAAACUUUAAAAUAGUGAGGAUCCCUUCAAACUCAGAAUAAAUAAUAUGUGUACUGUUGGAUAUGGAUAGUUACAUUCUCUUCUUUUUUUUUCUAUUUGCUUUAUCUUGGCUCCUCAUAAUUAGCCAAAUGUCCAUCCAAAAGACUUGGACGUAAAGGAAAAAAAGUAAAAUGAAUAAAGCAGUGGAGCAUAAAUAAUACAUUGGUUAUAAGGUUGAAUGAGAAGUGAGAACAGAUGGCACCACAUUUUAUAUUGACAACGACCGCAUUUUAUGGGAAGUAUUAUUUAAUACUUGUCCACCAAUUACAUAAUAUUAUUCAGUGCCCAUGUGACUCAGCAACGAUCUAUUUUUUCUAAGUCUCUUAGACUUUUACGUAUUAAUUUUUUAUCAUAUUCAUUGUUUUUAGAUUUAAUAAUUAUACAUUUACAACUACUUUAUAGUAAAAAUAUAAUAUUAUUUAUAAAUUAAUAAAUUAUUUAUUUAUCAAUAAAUUAAUAAUCCUACAAAAAUGAUAAAUUCUCUUGGUUCCAAGAGUAUUAUUUUACUGUAGUUGGAGAGACACCCAUUCCUUUACUGAUAUUAUUGGAAGAGAUGAAAGCAAAAAGGGUGUGAUACGGAAGUUGUUUUCAUUUAAGAAUAAAUCUUAAAGUUGUUGCCAUACUUGGUACUGGGGGCUGGUUAAGGCCACCCUUGCUCUCAAUUGGUCUACAAUGAGAGUUUAAGACCAAAAUAAUCCAUUUGUAAAAAAAAUGACAAUAAUAGUACCGAUCUCAAAAUAUUUGUCAAAAUAAUCUUUUGUAUCCACGUAAGCAUUCACAUGGAUUUUUUUUUAAGUGUAAAAAACCACCGUUGAUAACUAUGGUUUUAAAAGUUUCAAAAAUAUCUUUAAAACCACAGUUUGUAACUGUGGUUUUACAAUUUUUCUUAAAACCACAGUUAGUAACUGUGGUUUCAAAUUUAUUUUUAAUUCACCCCGUUUGAAUGGUAGUGUGAUUUUAAUAUUAUUUUUAAAAUAUUUUUUAUCAUAAUAACCAUAAAAUCACAGUUAGUAACUGUGGUUUUAGAAAUAUAAUAAAAACCACAGUUACAGAUUAUGGUUUCACACUUUACCAAAAUUUCUUAACGAUAUACCAAAUUUCCCUAAAGUUCAUUUAGGAGUAGAGAUAUUUUUUUGCAAUUUUUCAUUGUCAGUUUAAAAUUAUUUUUUUUACAAAUUAUUCUUAAUAAAUUUUUUCUUUACUAUUGUUUUAAAAUUAUAUAUAUAUAUUUUUAUCUUUAUUUUUUUUUCAUAUUUUCCUUGAAAUUUUGAGAAAAUAAUUUCUCCUACAUGCAUUCCCAUAAAAAUUUAUAUAUUUAUGGUAAAUAAAAUAUUUAUUUGUUUUAUGAAUUUUAUCACAUAUGAAUUAAAUAAAAUUAUUUUUUCAUAUUAUUUUUAAAUUUUAAAAUAAUUAAACAAAUUGUUUAUAUUAUUUAAAUUUUAUAUUUUCAAAUAAAAAAUAAUAUCAAUGAUUAUAAUUUUAGGUUAUUUAUUACUAAUUGUGGUUUAAUGGUUAUUAUGAUAAAAAAAAAUAUUUUAUCAUUAAAAUGGAGGUGGAUUAAAAAUAAUUUUGAAACCACAGUUAAUAAUUAUGGAUUUAAGGAAAAUUGUAAAACCAUAGUUACAAACUAUGGUUUUAAGCAUAUUUUUGAAACUUUUAAAAUCACAGUUACCAAUGAUAGUUUUUUACACUUAAAAAAAAAAUUCAUGUGAAUGCUUACGUGAAUAUAAAAGAUUACUUUGACAAAUAUUUUGAAAUGGGUACUAUUCCUACCAUUUUUUUUUACAAAAUGAUUAUUUUGGUUUUAAACUCCUAUGAUGAUGAAAGAGUGGUACAAUACUUGAGUCUAUGCGACACCUCAAACCCUGAGGAUAAGGGUACCGUGGUCAAAGUCAAAAUCUAAAUCAUCAAAUUUAAAGCAGCUUCUAAUGGAAGCAUUCAUCCUACACUAAUACCUCCUCAUUGAUAUCACGUGGGGAAUAAUAUAAAAGAGUUUAACUCCAUAUAUAGUAUCGAAUUAUAUCUUGGGAGAUAUCACCUUUUUUAAUAAAAAUCAAUUAGUAUGUAAGCUUAUUUAAUUCAAUUUCUUUGAAAAAAUUUACACUUUCAAUUUAACGAUAAAACAACAUAAUAGUUGUAGUAGAGUAAUUGAAAUGUUUUACAUAGAUUCACGGGCUGAUCUAAUGGAUUGAAAAAUAAACCUAUUUUUGGGUCUGAUUGAUUUUAUUUUAUUUUUAACAAUUAUGUAAUUGAGUUAUCCUUGUACCAAUUACUCAACCAAUUGGAUUGACCAUCAAUGUGAUUGACUACUUUUGAUAUAAGCGGGUCAAUGCAUCAUCAUCAUGUGGGUUAGGAGUAGUGUUAAAGCCGAAAGUCGUGAAUAAUUGAGUCUAUUACCAUUGAGUUAAUACCUUUAAAAAUACUUUUAGAAUUGGAUCAGUUUUUAAAUCGAAAAAUUUAAUAGUACAUGGUUUAUUGAUUGGACUAAUGGUUAAAUCGUGAUCAAAUAAUUAUAUUAUAAACUAUGCAUCAAUUUUGAUAAACCUUACAAAUGGCUUAGUAGUAGUGUUCCCAUUACUCACAGAUUAGCUAGACAUGUGCACAAAUCUGGCCCUUACAAAAGGGAUUGUGUUUCUUUUUUUUUUUUCACCUUGGUUCAAACUUAGAUAGAUUUAACUUUAAACUGACAAUUUUGAAGUAGAAUUUUUCAAUACUUCUGAAAUAUGAAAACGAACAAUUUUGAUUUUUUUUUUUUUAAUUUUAAAGGGAUAUUUGCAUAAGUAUUCAUAAUUUUUGCAUACAAUUGUGAAGCGUGACACUUUCAAAUUUAAAUAAGUAUUUUUCUUUACAUUUCAAUUUUUUUUUUAAUUAGCUAUUCAUUGACUUUUUAACAAGCUUAAGAGCAAAAUGUUUGAGUUUUGAAUGUAUAAAACAUGUCAAAGAUUAAAGGAGAAGAAAGAAAGUAUUUAAAUCUAAAAUUUAUUUCAAUAUACGUUAUUAAUAGUAAAAUAUCAUAUUUUACUCUUUAAUAAAUUAAAAAAAUCUAAAAACUUAUAUUUUAAAGUUUUUAAGAAUUUUUAUAACUAAUUAUAACUUUAAUAAUAUGUAAAAUUUACAUUUAAUUUUAUAUUGAUAUCAUGAAUUUAUAUUGGUCUCACAAUUAGAUAGUGAUUGAAUCAUGGAUCCAACUAGUCCAAUAACUUUUCGGAUACACUAACCCAUUCGAUUAUAAAAACAUAAUAAUAACUAUAAAAUUUUAUAUAUAUUAUCACAUUUACAAGUAAAAAAUCAUGCACGAUUUCAGACUUGAUUCUUUUAUACAUUUGAGUGAUAUUAGAGGUUGAAUUUUUUAUCUUAAUAUAUAUUAAUGCCUAUCAUGAAUACACAUUUGAGUGAUAUUGGUGGUUGAAUUUUUUAUCUUAAUAUAUAUCGAUGCCUAUCAUAAAUAAAAAGUAUGAAGACAUAAUACAACUGUAUUUGAGUUGUAGAAAGCAUGGUGUUUCCCACGUCCCUACCUAUGGAAUUAUAAAAUUCACACCAAGAAUGCAUCAUCAAAUGACCACAUCCACUGCAUGUGACCCCCAUGUGAUAUGUCACUACACUCUUUCCCAACUCUUCCAACUUCUUCAUCUAUAUUUUAAUCGACAAGUUUAAAUUUCUUUAAAAUGUUGACAUAGAAUUGAGAAUAAUGCUAAUCACAAUUUUCACACAAUUAAAAGUUUUGUACUUUUUUUUUAUUUAAGGAAUAAUCAUUUUUUUUCCUUAUAUAUAUAGCCUUACUCUAUGAAUGGCCCUUUCUCCUCUUGGCCAAAGGAAAUCCAAAUUAGCUUGAAUUUUGAUAUAAAUGAAGUUGUUCAAUUUGCCUAAUUUUUUUUAUUUUUUUAUUUUACUUUUUAUUGUAAUUUUCUAUUGCUUUUAUAAAGGUUGAGUUUUAUUUUGGAAACUUUUCACAAAAAUACAAGGAAAAAAUAGGGAGAAAAAUAAAAUAUAAAAAAGUUAAAAAAAAAAAAAGAGAGUAGAAAAUAGAUGUAAAAUUAAUAAAUUAUUUUUUCAAAUUUAUUUCAUUUAUAUUUUUUUAUUUAUAUAAAGAUUAAAUAAUUUAAAAUAUAUAGUUAUUUUAAUUAAUUUUAAUAAUUUUGAUUAUAAACCAAAUAUCAUAAAAUUAUUUUUCUUAAUUUUUUUCUUUUCUAUAUAUCUUCCAUAUUCUUUUCUUAAUAAUGCUGUAUCCAUAAUAAUAAUACUUCUGGAUGCUGAGGAAACCCAACCAUAUUUUAUAUCAUGUCACAUGGGGCUUGGAAUAGUUCUAGGUAGACGAGUUAACAAUUGAUUUGAAAUCUUCAACCACUAAUUUAAAUUCUUCACCUAAUCAAUAAUAAAUGUCCAUAUCUUUCUACCAGGCCACAUGCAUGGGACUUCGAAUGGUUUAAAGUGAACAUGUUCCCUGAUUAAUUUGGAGCUUUCACAUAAUAUAUAAUAUUUUUUUUAUUUACAUAAAAUUAAAUAAUUAAAAAAUAUAUAAUUAUUUUAAUUAUUUUGAUUUGAUUUUCUAUUAUAAAUCAAAUACCAGAAAAUAAUUUUUCUUAGCUUUUUUUUUUUUUCUAUAUAUCUUCCAUAUGUGUUUGUUCUUUUUUAGAAAUAUCCCAUAAAAUAUGGACCUUUUCUAAUCAACCAAACACCCAGGAGGAACAAAAAAGAAAAGAAAGAGAGAGAGAGAACUUAGAGAAAAAUAAAAUGAAAAAACCGCUAAAGAUAGUAUACGUUUUAUAUAAAGUUGGAAUAUAAAUAAAUGGACCCACACCCCUUCAACAACCCUUAAUCAUGUUGUAUCCAUAAUAAUAAUUCACAUAUUUUAAUAGAUUUGAAAUCUUCACCCAUUAAUUUAAGUUCUUCAUCUAAUGAAUAAUAAAUGUCCAUAUUUUUCUACGAGGCCACAUAGGACUUUGAAUAGUUUAAAGUGAACAUGUUACCUCAUUAAUUUGGAGACUUUACAUACUCUAUAAUACUAUAAAAUGUUGGAUAGAUCACUAACCUCAUUUAAAUAAUAAAAUCUUCUAAUUCUUUUUUUUUUUUUUCUGAUUUUUACAUGAUUGUGCUUUAUUUUAUAAAUUAAUUAAUAAUUAUAUUUAUUUAUCUUGGCUUCCCGUACAUAUUUUAUGAAAAUAUUAUCCAUGUAUGUAAUACACAAGAUGAAUGCACCCUUACAACUAAAUUCAUCUUUUAAAUUUAAAAAAAAAAAACUAAAAAUUAAUAUUAUUUUACUUAAUAUUUAAGUAAUAAAAAUAACAUAACCAAUUUAAUUUUUGGUUUUUCAUUUUUUUUAAAUUAGUCUUAUAUUUCACAACUUUUCAUCCUUAAUGUGCUACAAAUCUUUUUACCACUAUAAGGGUUAUGAAAUAAAAAUUAUGUGUAUGGAAUAAAUAAGAAAAAGAAAAUUAAAUUGUCUUAUUAUUUUGCAAUGUAGUUUCAUUCCCAAAAUUUCCUCAAAUCUUUUUGGUUAUAUUUGAUUAUUGGAAAAUGAAAAUAAAAAAUAGAAAAAAAAAUAUUAUUCUCUAAUGUUUGGUUUUUACAUUGAAGAUAUCGGAUAUAAUUAAAAUUAGUUAAAAUUUUUUAUAUUUUUAAAUUAUUUAUUUUUUAUGUUGAAAAAUUAAAAUGAAUAAAAUGAGUUUAAAGAACAUACAAAAUAAUUUAUUAAAUUUAAAACUAUCUUUAAUUUUUAUUCAUUUUUUUUUCACAUUUUCUAUUAAACUUAGGAGAACCAAACAUAUUCUUAGUAUUUUUUUUUUUUUUUUUUGUUAAUGUUGUUUUCCCUUGUCUUUUUCCAUAGUAUUUAAAAAUAAUAAAUUUGUUUCCAUUUCUUUUAGGUUAUAUUUGGUUUUUGAAAAAUUUGAGGGAAAAAAAUAAAGAAAAAUUAAAAAUAAAUUUAAAAUUAAUAAAUUAUUUUUAUAUGUUUCUUUAAAUUUAUUUCACUUAAUUUUCUCAAUUAUAUAUAGAUUAAAUAAUUUUAAAAUAUAUUUUUAAUUAUAUUUAAUUUUAAAAAAAUUUAUAGUGAAACCAAUGAGAAAACCUUUUUUAUUUAUUUAUUUAUUUUUCCUAAUAACCAAACCUAACCUUAGGAUUUUUCCAAAUUUCGGAUCCAAAAGUAACUGAAUGUUACGAAAAAAUAUAAAUUGAAUGAAGUACAGGAGCAUAAAUGGUACAUCAAUUUUAUAUUGACUACCUUCUGUACCUUUAAUUGCAGCGUGUUGACUUGUCCACCGAAUCCAUAAUAUCAGCCAGUACCCAUGUGACUUGGCCCAUCUCAUCCACCCCUAUAAAGAUAUCUCUUACUUUGUUCCCUAUUCUCUCACAAUUCCCUCAGCUUCUCAUCUUGUACGUGCUGUAUUUUCUUGGCUUUCUGCUACUUUGAGUUGUUCCAAAAUGGCUGACCAAAUUCCAUUCGGUGUUGUGGAGCACAUUUUGACCAAGUUGGGGUCCAAGGCGUUUCAAGAAAUUGGAUCCAUGUAUGGUGUUCCAAAGGAGCUAACCAAGCUCAAGGACAACCUCGACGUCAUCAAAGGUGUACUUCUGGAUGCUGAGGAACAGCAGCAGCAGAAAACUCGUGGAAUAGAAGCUUGGGUCCAGAUGCUCAAAGGCGCCGUGUAUGACGCAGAUGACUUGCUGGAUGACUAUGCAACCCAUUAUCUACAGCGAGGAGGAUUCGCAAGGCAGGUCAGUGACUUCUUCUCAUCUGAAAAUCAAGUUGCUUUUCGCUUUAAGAUGAGUCAUAGACUCAACGAUAUCAAUGAAAGGCUAGACGCUAUCGAAAAAAAAAUCCCCAUGUUGAAUCUGACUCGACGGGAGGCAAUACGCAUAGGAGUAGAGAAUAGUUGGAGAGAAACCCACUCAUUCUCGUUGCCAUCUGAAAUUGUAGGAAGAGAAGAAAACAAAGAGGAGAUAAUAAGGAAGCUGUCAUCUAACAAUGAAGAAAUUCUUUCCGUUGUUGCCAUUGUUGGCUUUGGGGGAUUGGGUAAGACCACCCUCACUCAAUUGGUAUACAAUGACGAAAGAGUAGAACAUUUUGAGCGUAAGACAUGGGUUUGCAUUUCUGAUGAUUCUGGUGAUGGUCUUGACGUCAAACUGUGGGUCAAAAAGAUUUUAAAAUCUAUGGGAGUUCAGGGUGUGGAGAGUCUGACCUUGGAUGGUUUGAAAGACAAGCUUCACGAAAAAAUAAGUCAAAAGAAGUACUUGUUAGUACUUGAUGAUGUUUGGAACGAAAAUCCUGGAAAAUGGUAUGAAGUGAAAAAAUUGUUGAUGGUUGGUGCUAGAGGUAGUAAAAUUAUAGUAACCACCCGAAAACUUAAUGUUGCAUCCAUUGUGGAAGAUAAGUCUCCCCUUAGUUUGAAAGGUCUAGGAAAAAAGGAGUCUCGGGCUUUAUUUUCAAAAUUUGCAUUUAGAGAACAGGAGAUUUUGAAGCCAGAAAUUGUAGAAAUUGGAGAAGAAAUUGCAAAAAUGUGCAAGGGAGUUCCUCUCAUUAUUAAGACUUUAGCAAUGAUAUUGCAUUCUAAAAGAGAACUGGGAUUUUGGUUGUCUAUUAGAAACAAUAUUAAAAAUUUGCUAUUACUUGGAGUUGAGAACGAUAAUGUUGUACGGGUCUUGAAACUAAGUUAUGAUAAUUUGCCAACACAUUUGAAACAAUGUUUUACAUAUUGUGCUUUAUUUCCAAAAGACUAUGAAAUUGAGAAAAGGUUGGUGGUACAACUAUGGAUAGCACAAGGUUAUAUUCAAUCUUCAAAUGAUAAUAAUGAGCAAUUAGAGGAUAUAGGGGAUCAAUAUGUUGAGGAAUUAUUGUCAAGGUCAUUGUUGGAGAAGGCGGGAACCAAUCAUUUUAAAAUGCAUGACCUUAUACAUGAUCUUGCACAAUCAAUUGUAGGAUAUGAGAUCCUUGUUUUAGAAAGUUAUGUAAAUAACAUUUCACAAGAAGCUCGUCAUGUAUCAUUGUUUGAAGAGGUAAAUCCUAUGAUAAAGGCUCUAAAGGGAAAACCCAUAAGGACCUUUCUAAACCUUGGUGAAGAUUCUUUUAAGGAUAGUACAAUUGUAAAGUCAUUUUUUCCGAGUUUUAUGUGUUUACGUGCAUUGAGUUUAAGUCGUAUGGGUGUAGAGAAGGUGCCAAAGUGUUUAGGCAAAUUGAGUCAUUUAAGGUAUCUUGAUCUUUCCAACAACAAUUUUGAGGUACUUCCAAAUGCUAUUACAAGGUUAAAGAAUUUGCAAACACUAAAACUCAUAUGGUGUCGGCGUUUAAAAAGAAUUCCAGACAACAUAGGAGAAUUGAUCAAUCUUAGACACUUGGAGAAUGAUAGCUGUUUUAACUUGGCUCAUAUGCCACAUGGAAUCGGCAAGUUGACUUUACUUCAAAGUCUACCAUUGUUUGUUGUUGGGAAUGAGACAGGGUGGUUAAGGAAUCACAAAAUUGGUAGCUUGAGUGAAUUGAAAGGCCUUAACCAACUAAGAGGAGGGUUAUGCGUAAGUGAUCUUCAAAACGUGAGGGAUGUUGAACUGGUAUCCAGGGGGGAAAUUUUGAAAGGAAAACAAUAUCUUCAGUCCUUGAGAUUGGAAUGGGAUCGGUGGGGCCGAGAUGGGGGGGAUGAGAGUGAUAAGUCAGUGAUGGAAGGCCUUCAACCACACCAACACCUAAAGGAUAUCUUUAUAGAAGGUUAUGGAGGUACGGAGUUUCCAAGUUGGAUGAUGAAUGAUGGGUUGGGUUCCCUGUUUCCCGACCUAAUUAAAAUUGAAAUUUCGGGAUGUUCAAGAUGCAAAAUUCUGCCACCCUUUUCUCAACUCCCUUCUCUCAAGUCUUUGAAGCUUCAUAAUAUGAAAGAAGUGGUGGAGUUAAAGGAGGGUUCAUUAACAACGCCACUCUUCCCAUCUCUUGAAUCGCUCGAACUCUCUGACAUGCCAAAGUUGAAGGAAUUGUGGAGGAUGGACUUACUAGCAGAAAAACCUCCUUCAUUUUCUCAUCUUUCGAAGUUAUAUAUUUAUGCAUGCUCUGGUUUGGCAUCACUGCAUCCUUCUCCUUCUCUUUCUCAAUUAAAGAUCCAUAAUUGCCCAAACUUGACAUCCAUGGAACUGCCGUCAUCUCUUUGUCUUUCUCAAUUAGAUAUCAGAAAAUGCCCUAACUUGGCAUCCUUCAAAGUGGCUCCAUUACCUUCUCUUGGGAUACUCUCUCUGUUCACAGUUAGAUAUGGUGUGGUACGGCAGAUAAUGUCUGUCUCUGCUUCUUCUUCGUUGCGGUGUCUGUAUAUUAAAAGCAUAGAUGAUAUGAUAUCUCUCCCGAAGGAGUUACUUCAACAUGUUUCUGGCUUGGUAACGUUAGAGAUCCGUGAGUGUCCUAACUUGCAAUCCUUGGAACUGCCCUCAUCCCAUUGUCUUUCUAAAUUAAAGAUUGGAGAAUGCCCUAACUUGGCAUCCUUCAAUGUGGCUUCAUUACCUCGUCUUGAGGAACUAAGCCUGCGUGGAGUCAGAGCAGAGGUACUGAGGCAGUUCAUGUUUGUCUCUGCUUCUUCUUCAUUGAAGUCUCUACAUAUACGGAAGAUUGAUGGUAUGAUAUCUCUCCCAGAGGAGCCGCUUCAAUAUGUUUCCACUCUCGAAACUCUCCACAUUGUUAAGUGCUCUGGUUUGGCAACAUUACUACACUGGAUGGGCAGCCUUUCCUCGCUUACGGAACUUAUUAUUUAUGACUGCUCUGAAUUGACAUCACUGCCAGAAGAGGUCUAUUCCCUUAAAAAACUGCAGACAUUUUAUUUCUGUGAUUAUCCACACCUAGAGGAAAGAUACAACAAGGAAACAGGUAAAGACCGGGCCAAGAUUGCUCGUAUCCCACAUGUUCGUUUCAACAGUGAUACCUAUAUGGUAAUGAAGGUAGGUCCGAAAUCCCUAACCUUUCUUCCCAUUUUUAUUAUUUAAGAAUCAAAAUGCUAUGUUUGUUUUUACUGCUCACAUUAGUAAUUUUGAAAUUUUUUUCCAGCUAGGAUGCGCUUUCCGAUGAUGUGCACUAAACUAACCAUUUUACUUGGAGUUGUACAUUCUAAGAGUUUGAGGAAAUACUGAGGUCUGAUAUGAUAACUCUCAAUCUUAAACGUUGUUUUGUGUUUGGAACGUUACUACACUUGAUACAUACCCUCACCUCACUUACAGAGCUUGGAAAUCGUGGCUGCCCUGAAUCGACGUCACUGUCAGAAUAUAUGUUCCCUCAAAAACCUGCAGACACUAAAUAAUCUGCAUCUGUUCACAGAAAGAUGCUGAAAGGAAAGGUGAAGACUAACCCAAGAUUGCUCAUAUGCCACAAAUUGAUAUCAUACAUCCAUGAAGAUUGAACCGAUACACAAUGCCUUUCAGGUCCGAAAUCCCUAACUUUUCUUCUCAUUUUCUAUGACUUCAUUUUCAUUAUCUUACUUUUAAAAUGCUCUGUUUUCAUUUGUUUUGGUAGUUCUUUGUAUUUGUGACUUACUUGUUUGAAAACUUUUACAUCUUCAAAUUAUUUUACUGUAAGUGUUUUGCAUUCUAAGAGUUUGAGGAAAUACUGAGCUCUAAUAUAACUAGUAGAGUCCACCAUUCCUAAGAAGCUUACCAUUGCCUAAUGCCCAAAGGAUCCCAAAAGGAGACAACUUUGGAUUGGCUUGAAGAUUUCACGUGGUCCAAAAAUUUGUAUUUACUAGACGCCUGAUACAAAAAGUAGUUUAAAUUUAGCCAUUAAUAUAACUUUUUUAUUAGAGAAAUAAUUGCCAAACAAAUGCAAAAUAGAAAAUGGUGUUAAUGAAUUCAGUACUUCAUCUAUGUUGCAGUUUAGCAGCUUUUGUUAGAUAAUGAGUAUGGGGUUGGGUUUAUCUUGUUACCAUUCCAAAUAUUCUUAAAAAAAUCAUCAAGGCUUUGUUUGGUUUCUUGAAAAUUUGAGGGAAAAAAUAGAGAGAAAAAGUGGAAGGAAAAAAAAAAGUGGAAGUCAAUAAAUUAUUUUUAUAUUAUACUUUAAACUCAUUUCACUUUUUUUAACUCUUUGAUUUAAAGAUUAAAUAAUUUGAAAAUGUAUAAAUUUCUAAUUAAUCUUAAUUAUAUUUUAUUUUCUUUGCUAUUUUCCAUAGGACAAUUAAACUUGAGAAAAUCAUUUUCCUUAACAUUAUUUUCUUAGUACUUUUUGGGAACCAAACAUAACCUAAAUGUUUUAGUUUAGUUUAGCAGCUUCAUCAAAUUAGAUAGACAACCUCACAUCUCUUAUUUAGCUGAGGUGCUAUGUUAGUUAAUGUUUUGUCUCUACUUCUUCAUUGAAGUCUAUCUAUUGGAUGCAGAGAUGAUAUGAUCCAAACUCAAAUUGAACACUGCUCUUGUUUUGCAACACUACUGCAUUGGAAAGGCAACUUGAACUCACUUAUAGACCUACCUAUUGGUGAUUGCAUUGAAUUGACGUCACCUUGGAAGAGAUGUGUUCCACAUGGAAAAUCUUUCAUUAUAUGCACCUACUUGCAAGAUACCAAAAGGAAACAGGUGAAUACUUGCCCAAGAAUACAGAGGGCCACACUUGGUGAAGGUUUCAUCAGUAAGGAGAACCAUUUCAAGUAUGAAAUCCUCCCUUCUCAUUUUCUGAUGACUUCAUUUUUAUUCAAUAUCCAUUUGAAAUUAUUUAAGUUCAUUUUCUUUAUAUAUUAUAUUUUCUUUCUUGCUCAAUAAUUUCAUUCAAGUAAGUUGUUUGGAUAUCACAUUUUCUUUGGGGUUUUUUUUUUCUUUUUAGAAUAAUUUCAAAAGGUCAUUUUUAACUAUUCACAAAAUUUGAUCAUAGUUGAGUGAUUAAAAUUCAAGUUUAUUCUUAUUAUCAUUAGUAGUUAUUUGAUAUAUUCGUUUGCUAAUACAAAAAUAAGACUAACAAGUAAUGUGCAUAGAGUUUGUAGAAGAGAAGAAAGAUUUGAUCCAAGAUAUUCCUAAAGAUCGGAAACUUUCAAAGCCACCCAAGAUCCCAUAGGUUGAAUUCGGAUUCAUCCAGUUUACAAUCCAUUAAUUCUACUUAUAUCAUCUUUGUUAUGUUACAAUUUGCCUUUACUUGUUAUGCAGCCUACCUUAAUAAUUUGGGGAGACCAAGAUAAGGUAUACCUAGUAGAACUGGCUCACAAAUUGAAAAGGUAAACUUGUAUCACCUGCCUACAUGCCUACAACAAUAUAAACACUAGUUCGUGUCUUUCUCACUAUUGAAAUUGUUAUUGCAUGCAGGCAUUUCAGGUGAGGAGGCCCAACUUGUGAUCAUAGAGCAUACUUUUAUUAUAGAGAAGCCCAAGGAAAUAUUUAAGCACUUGAAAUCCUUUCUCAUUGAUUUGCUUCCACCUCCUAAGCAACACCUAGAACCACUCCCACCAUGACGAAGUUAAAAGGAACUAAUGCAACAUUCUCAAUAUAUUAGAAUAUAUCGAAGGAAGGGUGGCCACAUAUGAAGACCCUAUUCCAAGGUCAAAUUUAAGAUUUUUGUGUUUUUCCUAUCACUAUUCCUAUGCUAUUAUCAGUGCACCUUAUUUGUCAAGAUGAUUAAAAGGGAAUUCCCUAGGAUAACUAGUGUCUCAAGUGAUCUUGAAGUUCAUAAAUUUUUUGUUUCCACAAGAUAGGUGCUAACUAUUUUUAUUUUUUUUACACCCAUGCAAUAUUCUAGUCAUCUAUUAACAAGGGCUAAAAUUUCUUGUAGAGAAUAGAAUAAAGAACUAAAUUACAUGAAAAUAGGACAUUAUUAUUCUAUUUACAAGUAAGGGCCAAAAAUUGUUGAGGGCCACCAAGCACAUUGUUCCUAAAAUAAUAGCAUCCAUGUUGUUGAGCAAAAGUUUUUUUAUAUUGGCACCUCAUAUGUUUGUUUAAAUGCUCACAUCAAUAACUUUGAAAAUAUUUUCCAAAUUUUCAACAAAUUGUAAUGCUGUGCACUAAACUAAUCAUUUUACUUGGAGUUCUACAUUCUAAGAUUUUGAGAAAAAAACUAAGGUCUGAUAUGACAACUCUCAAUCCUAAAUGUUGUUUUGUGUUUGGAAUAUUACUGCACUUGAUAGAUGCCCUUACCUCUCUUACAGAACUUGGAAUUCAUGGCUACCCAGAAUUGGCAUCCCUGCCAGAAGAUAUGUUCCCUCAAAAGCCUGCAGAAACUAAACAAUUUGCAUUUGUUCACACUUAGAGGAAAGCUGCUGAAAGGAAAAGUGAAGACUAACCAAAGAUUUCUCAUAUCCCACAAAUUGAUAUCAUACAUCCAUGAAGAUUGAACUGAUACAGAAUGCCUUUCAGGUUUGAAAUCCCUAACUUUUCUUCUUAUUUUCUAUGACUUCAUUUUUAUUAUCUUCCAUUCAAAAAUCCUCUGUUUUCAUUUGUUUUGGUAGUUCUUUUUAUUUGCACCUUAUUUGUUUUAUUAAAUGCUUACUCCAGUAAGUUUGAAAAUUUUUACAUCUUCAAAUCAUUUUGCUUGAGUAUUUUGCAUUCUAAUAGUUUGAGGAAAUAUUGAGCUCUAACAUAAAUAGUAUUGGUCAUAGAGUCUUCCUUUCUUAAGAAGCUUACCAUUAACCUAAUGGCCAAAGGAUCCCAAAAGGAAAUGAAUUUGGGUUGGCUUGAAGAUUUCACAUGGUCCAAACAUUCGUAUUUACUAGAUGCCUGAUACAAAAGAAAUUUUGCUCUCUUUUCAAUUUAGCCAUUGAUGUAGUCUAAAUGUUUUAUUAGAGCAAUAAUUGUCGAGUAAAUGCAAAAUAGAGAAUGGUGUUAAUGAAUUCAGUACUUCAUUUAUGUUGUAGACUUGUAGUUUAGCAGCUUCUGUUGAUAAUGAGUGUGAGGUUGGCUUUAUCAUGUCACUGUUCCAAAUAUUCUUAAAAAAAAUAAUUUAAGCUCUGUAUGGUUCUUAGAAAAUUUAAGGGAAAAUGUGAGGAAAACAAAAUAGAGAGGAAAAGUGGAAGGAAAAAAAAGUGAAAGUCAAUAAAUUAUUUUUGUAUGCUACUUCAAACUCACUUCACUUUUUUUUAACUCUUCAAUAUAAAGAUUAAAUCAUUUGAAAAAUGUGUAAAUUUCUAAUUAAUUUUAAUUAUAUUUGAUUUUCUUUGGUAUUUUCCAAAAGACAACCAAAUAUGAGAAAAUCAUUUUCCUUUACAUUUUUUUUCUUAGUACUUUUAGGGAACCAAACAUAACCUAACUGUUUUAGUUUAGUAGUUUCAUCAAAUUAGAUAGACAACCUCACAUCUCUUAGUGAGCUGAGGUGCUAUGUCAAUUAAUGCUUUGUCUCUACUCUUCAUUGAAGUCUCUAUCUAUUGGAUGCACAGAUGAUAUGAUCUAAACUCAAAUUGAACACUGUUCUUGUUUUGCAACAUUACUGCACUCGAAAGGCAACUUCAACUCACUUAUAGACCUUCCUAUUGGUGAUUGCACUGAAUCGACAUCACUUUGGAAGAGAUGUGUUCCACACAGAAAAUCUUUCAUUAUAUUCACCUACUCGCAAGAUACCAAAGGGAAACAGGUGAAUACUUGCCCAAGAAUACAAAGGUCAUACUUGGUGAAGGUUCCAUCAAUAAGGAGAACCAUUUCAAGAAUGGAAUUCUCAUUUCUUCUCAUUUUCUUAUGGCUUCAUUUUUAUUCAAUAUCUAUAUGAAAUUAUUUAUGUUCAUUUUCUUUAGAUAUUACAUUUUUUUGCUUUCUCAAUAAUUUCAUUCAAGUUCUUUUGGAUAUCACAUUUUCUUUGGUGUUUUUUUUAGAAUAAUUCAAAAUGUCUUUUUUAACGGUUCACAAAAUUUGAUCACAGUUGAGUGAUUAAAAUUCAAGUUUAUUAUUAUUAUUAUUAUUGGUUAUUUGAUAUAUUUGUUUUCUUAUACAGAUAAAAGACUAGCAGCUAUUGUGCAUAGAAUUUGUAGAAGAGAAUAAAGAUUUGAUCUAAGUUAUUCCUAAUAGGUUGAGGAAUUCAUUCUUGUAAAAAUUGAGUGUUAAAGCCUUCAAGAGGUUUGAAUCUUGAAGAAAUUAUGUGAGAGCCCAUUGGAGCCAGAAUCCAAGUGUAAAGGAGAUUGGAAGCUUUGUUGAAACUUCAAGUUAGUGGAACCCUCACUCGGUUAGGAGAUUGAGGAGAGUGGAUGUAGGCAAGGAAAUGCCGAACCACUAUAAAAUCCAAGUUUAAAUUCUCUAACUCUAUCUCUUUAUUUUUUUAUUAUAUUGUACUUGAAUUUGUUGUGUUGAAAAAGUUUUUGAAAAACCCAAUUCACCUUCCUCUUAGGUGUUUUUCUCAUUUAAGCAUAGCCUUUAUUUUCUCACACUUGAAAUCCUUUCUCAUUAAUUUGCUUCCACCCCAUAAGCAACCCUCGAAACCACUUACACCAUGACAAGGUGAAAAGAAACUAAUGCAACAUUCUCAAUAUAUAAGAAGAUAUCAAAGGAAGGUUGGCCACAUAUGAGGACCCUGUUUCUAAGGUAGAAUUUUAGAUUUUUGUGUUUUUCCUAUCACUAUUCCUAUACUAUUACCAGUGCACCUUAUUUGUCAAGAUCAUUAAAAGGGAAUUCCCUAGGAUAACUACUGUCUCAACUGAUCUUGAGGUUCAUAAAUUUUUAGUUUCCACAAGAUAGGUGCCAACUAUUUUUAUUUUUUUUACACCCAUGCAAUAUUCCAAUCAUCUAUUAACAAGGGCUAAAAUUUCUUGUAGAGAAUAGAAUAAAGAACUAGAUUACAUGAAAAUAGGACAUUAUUAUUCUAUUUACAAGUAAGGGCCAAAAAUUGUUGAGGGUCAUCAAGCACAUUGUUCCUAAAAUAAUAGCAUCCAUGAAGAUUGAACUGAUACAGAAUGCCUUUCAGGUUUAAAAUCCCUAACUUUCCUUCUUAUUUUCUAUGACUUCAUUUUUAUUAUCUUACAUUAAAAAAUCCUCUAUUUUCAUUUGUUUUGGUAGUUCUUUUUAUUUGCACCUUAUUUGUUUUAUUAAAUGCUUACUCCAGUAAGUUUGAAAAUUUUUACAUCUUCAAAUCAUUUUGCUUAAGUGUUUUGCAUUCUAAGAGUUUGAGGAAAUAUUGAGCUCUAAUAUAAAUAGUAUUGGUCAUAGAGUCUUCCUUUCUUAAGAAGCUUACCAUUGACCUAAUGGCCAAAGGAUCCCAAAAGGAAACGACUUUGGGUUGGCUUGAAAAUUUCACAUGGUCCAAACAUUUAUAUUUACUAGAUGCCUGAUACAAAAGAAAUUUUGCUCUCUUUUUAAUUUAGCCAUUGAUGUAGUCUAAAUGUUUUAUUAGAGCAAUAAUUGUCGAGUAAAUGCAAAAUAGAGAAUGGUGUUAAUGAAUUCAGUACUUCAUCUAUGUUGUAGACUUGUAGUUUAGUAGCUUCUGUUGAUAAUGAGUGUGGGGUUGGCUUUAUCAUGUCACUGUUCCAAAUAUUCUACAAAAAAAAAUCAUUUAAGCUUUGUUUGGUUCUUAGAAAAUUUGAGGGAAAAUGUGAGGAAAAUAAAAUAGAGAGGAAAAGUGGAAGGAAAAAAAAGUGAAAGUCAAUAAAUUAUUUUUGUAUGUUACUUCAAACUCACUUCACUCUUUUUAACUCUUCAAUAUAAAUUUCUAAUUAAUUUUAAUUAUAUUUGAUUUUCUUUGUUAUUUUCCAAAAGACAACCAAAUAUGAGAAAAUCAUUUUCCUUAACAUUUUUUUUUCUUAGUACUUUUAGGGAACCAAAUAUAACCUAAAUGUUUUAGUUUAGUAGUUUCAUCAAAUUAGAUAGACAACCUCACAUCUCUUAGUGAGAUGAGGUGCUAUGUCAAUUAAUGCUUUGUCUUUACUUCUUCAUUGAAGUCUCUAUUUAUUGGAUGCACAGAUGAUAUGAUCCAAACUCAAAUUGAACACUACUCUUGUUUUGCAACAUUAUUGCACUCAAAAGGCAGUUUCAACUCACUUAUAGACCUUCUUAUUGGUGAUUACACUAAAUUGACAUCACUUUGGAAGAGAUGUGUUCCACAUAGAAAAUCUUUCAUUAUAUGCACCUACUCGCAAGAUACCAAAGGGAAACAGGUGAAUACUUGCCCAGGAAUACAAAGGCCAUACUUAGUGAAGGUUCCGUCAAUAAGGAGAACCAUUUCAAGUAUGGAAUUCUCAUUUCUUCUCAUUUUCUUAUGGCUUCAUUUUUAUUCAAUAUCUAUAUGAAAUUAUUUAUGUUCAUUUUCUUUAGAUAUCACAUUUUUUUGUUUUCUCAAUAAUUUCAUUCAAGUUCUUUAGAUAUCACAUUUUCUUUGGUGUUUUUUUUAGAAUGAUUCAAAAUGUCUUUUUUAACGAUUCACAAAAUUUGAUCACAGUUGAGUGAUUAAAAUUCAAGUUUAUUAUUAUUAUUAUUAUUAUUAUUAUUAUUGGUUAUUUGAUAUAUUUGUUUUCUAAUACAGACAAAAGACUAGCAACUAAUGUGCAUAGAAUUUGUAGAAGAGAAUAAAGAUUUGAUCUAAGCUAUUCCUAAAGACCAAAAACUUUUAGAGCUACCCAAGAUCUAUCAGGUUGAAUUUUGAUUCACCUAGUUUACAAUCCACUAAUUAUCCUUAUAUCAUUUUUGUUAUGUUACAAAUUGCCUUUACUUGUUAUGCAACCUAUCUUAAUAAUUUGGGAAGACCAAGAUAACUUCUUCCUAGUAGAACUGGCUCACAGAUUGAAAAAGUAAACUCAUAUCACCUAUCUACAUGCUCACAACAUUAUAAACACUAGCUCAUGUGUUCCUCACUAUUGAGAUUGUUGCUACAUGCAGGCAUUUUGGGCGAGGAGGCCCGACUUGUGAUCAUCAAUAACACAAGGCAUGCUUUUAUACAGAGAAACCCAAAGAAACAUUUAAGCACUUUGUUAGCCCAAGGAUUCUCCUAAUCAGGUUUUGAUGAUAACAAACCAUGGUUAAGUGACUAAUUGGUUUGAAUGGUAAAAAAUCUUAGGUAUAAAUUUGGAAAUUCAUCAAAGGAUCAAAUGGAUACAAGAUCGAGACUUUUGGAAGACUUUUGAUCAUAGGAAACAAAUGUAAGAUGAAUGCAUGGGUGCACUUAGGUUUUACAUAUCUUUUCAUGAAGCUUUGAAAACUCGGUUUAUUCCUUAAAAUUACGAUUUCAUUAAAACCCGAGUUUUAUCAAAUGUACUUUAGGCAAAGCGUUUCAAAAUUGGCAUAUUAAUUUACCUAAAGAUCUUGCCUAAGUGUUAGAAAGGAAAAUAAUUGAAAAAUAUAGGUUUUCGGGGCCAAAAGGCUGAACCGAUCGAGGCACAUGCCAACCGACUUAACUAACCAGGGAACCGGUCAAUCGGUUGCUCUUGUCCGACCAAGAUCUGGUCGAGGAGUGUCAAAAACACUCUUUCUCAUCCAGUAGCCUUCUCUUCCCAGUCGAGGUACUCUCCUACCUCUGGUCGAGGUUCAGUCGAGGCAACGGUAACCUGCCAAAGCAUUAAAUGCUCCAACGGCUAGUGAACCAUUUGACCCCCAGCUCGACCGGUUGAGGCUAUUUUUUGCUAUUUUUGGCUCCUGAGCUUAGAAACCAAUAAAUUGAGAGCUCCACUUCAUUUAUGACAUAGAGAACACUUGCAAUCAAUUGUCUACCCAUUUAUUCUUGCCUUAAAAGCUCUCAUUUAUUUCUUAGUGCAUUAAAUCCUCACUUGCAUAUCCUUUAGUGCACCCUUGUGAAUCAUCCUAGCUUUGAUGUGUAUUUGAGUUAUCAUUAAGUUAGAUUGAGGGAUUCAUCUUGUAAAAAUUGAGUGUUAAAGCCUUCAAGAGGUUUAAAUCUUGAAGAGAUUAUGUAAGAGCCCAUUGGAGCCAGAAUCCAAGUGUAAAGAAGAUUGGAAGCUUUGUUGAAGCUUCAAGUUAGUGGAACCCUCACUCGGUUAGGAGAUUGAAGAGAGUGGACGUAGACAAGGAAAUGUCGAACCACUAUAAAAUCCGAGUUUAAAUUCUCUAACUCUAUCUCUUUAUUUUUUAUUAUAUUGUGCUUGAAUUUGUUGUGUUGAAAAAGUUUUUGAAAAACCCAAUUCACCCAUCUCAUAGGUGUUUUUCUCAUUUAAGCAUAGCCUUUAUUUUCUCACUCUUGAAAUCCUUUCUCAUUAAUUUGCUUCCACCUCAUAAGAAACCGUCGGAACCACUUACACCAUGACAAGGUGAAAAGAAACUAAUGCAACAUUCUCAAUAUAUCAGAAGCUAUCAAAGGAAGGUUAGCCACAUAUGAGGACCCUGUUUCUAAGGUAGAAUUUUAGAUUUUUGUGUUUUUCUUGUCACUGUUUCUAUACCAUUACUAGUGCACCUUAUUUGUUAAGGUGAUUAAAAGGAAAUUCCCUAGGAUAACUAAUGUCUCAGAUGAUCUUGAGGUUCAUAAAUUUUUGGUUUCAACAAGAUAGGCAUCAAACCAUUUUUAUUUUUUUCUACACCCAUGCAAUAUCCCAUUCAUUUAUUAAUAAGGGCUAAAAUUUCUUGUAGAGAAUGGAAUAAAGAACUAGAUUAAAUGAAAUAAGACAUUAUUAGUUUAUUUACAAGUAAGGGCAAAAAAUUAUUGAGGGUCAUUAAGCACAUUGUUCCUAAAAUAAUAGCAUCCAUGUCAUUGAGCAAAAGUUUAUUGCAAUUACAUUAGCAUAUAAAACAAAACUAUUUUUUAUUUAUUUAUGUUCACACCUUAUCCAUUUGAUAAAAUGCUUAAACAAGUAAGUUUGAAUUUUUUUUGUCUUCAAAUCAAUUUAAAUUUUACAUUCAAAAGUUGAAUUAAUUUUUUUUUUUUUGGAAAAUUUAACUGCACUUUAGAAGUUUGUGAUUAUUCUUUGGUCCAUCUUAAAACGAGUUCCUGCAUUCUUCCAUUCCUCAAAUUAAAAUCACAAUAAAACGUUUUAGAUUGACCUAAAAUUUUCUCAUGGCCUAGAAAUUCAUAUCUACUAGAUGGCUAAAGCAAAAAACACUUCUACCUUGUAUUUUAAGUAAUCCCUGCUUGCUAUUUGUUUAUUGAGAGCAUCAUACAAGUUGUGAUUAUAUUUCUUAAUUUUUUUUAUAUGAUAAGACGGUAACUGGAUUGAGAAAGAUGCAACUUGUAGAGCAAAAAAUUUCUUAACUACUUCCAUUGUAUUUGCUUUGUGUGUAUCAACUGUUCUGUUAAUUAUUUUUUAAAAAUAUCACUAAAACAAACCUAUUAUGUCAAUGCUCUCUAUUGUUAUGUAUCAUAAUUUAGCUAUUUUUUCCCUAGAAAUCAUUCUUGUUAUCGUGGUAAUCAGUAGGUAGCAUAAGAACUAUUUUGUUCUAGUUAUUUUGUAUUGCCAUUCUUCAUGUUUUAAAAUAUUGUCAGACUAGCAAUUUUACUGCAGAUAUAAUGUUCUCAAAUCAAUGCAAAAAGGGACGAUUGUGGGGCUUGGGCACAACCUUCCUUGAAUAGUUGAAUUGAGGGUUUCUAUAAACUAGGUCUCUAUAUCAAUAGAUUCUACAUUUCAUCACUAUGGAGACCUUACAAUAAAUAUCGCAAAAAGCUUCAUUUACUACAUAGUAAGGAUAAUCCUAAGGACUUAAAAGCUUGAGUUGUCUCUUCCAUGGCAGCUUCAGAUCUCUUAAUAAGCUCCAAGUCAUUGUCUACCUUGAAUAUAAAUCAGUGCUAGAAGUAUGUGCCCUCAACAUUCCUAUGUUCCCGAUAUUGACUAGAUAUUUGUUGCUAAUUCAUGAAGAAUUGAAGGGGUCUUUGAUAAUGACAUCUAUAAUGUACUUCAAGUUCAUGAUCCAAACCCUCUUCUUGUUUUCAAUAACUUCAUUUUUUUAUAUUACUUUGUGGUCAAUGUUAUAAGAAUGUUGUAUUUUGUUUACCUGAUUCUCAUCCAUCAACACACAUGAAAGGAAAAGUUUUACAUUUCUUUCCUUCCCUUUGCUCUGUGUUUGUAUAUGUUUAUGCAGCUAAUGCGAACUUCCAUCGUAACUUUUUAAGUUUUUUCAUUCUCGAGUUUGGGAAACAAAUGGAUUUGAUUGUAAUAUUUUCUUGUAGAUAUCACCUUUCUUAAAAAGCUUGUAUUUAUUCACAUUUUCAAGAUGUCUAAGUCAUCUGAUUAUGCUUAGAACUUUUGGUUUCUAUUAAAUUCAGGUAUGAUGUUUGCAAUUCUAACCCCCUUACUCCUCUUGAAGACUACAUAAGUUUCUAGUGCUUUUACUUUAAUGGUUAUGGUCAAUGUAUCCUCUUGUUACUUCCUGCUUGCAUUCUAUAUGUUCAAGAGCUUUAUUAAAGUAAUUAUUUUAUUGAAGAUAUAAUUAUUUUCAAGUCAAAUCAAAAUUGAAUAAUGACGUGGUUUCAACAACUUCUCAAAAGUAAUUGGAAAGUAAGGAACUUUGUGGUAGUAUUCUGAUAUCACAUUGGGUCUCCAAAUUGUUGUCUUGAAUUGACAUAAAUAACAUAAUUUCUUUCCAGUUGAGCUGCUUCAACAUGUUAUUAUGCUUCAAACUCUUUCAAUUAUGUGUUGUUUAGGUUUGGCAACAUUAGUACACUGGAUAUGUUGCCUCGAGUUACUUACAUAACAUAAAAUUCAUCUUUGUUGUUAACUGGCAUCACUACCACAAGAUGAGUUCCCUCAGCAUUCUACAGACAACUAUAAUUUGGGACAAUUCUGGUUUGGCAACAUUAUCAGAGUUGAUAGGCAACCUAUCUUCAUUAACAAAAACCUUUAAAUUUAUAUUUAUCCCGAACUAGCAUCACUGCUGGAAGACGUGCAUCCUUAGCACCCUAUAACCACUCACAAUUGGAGACUGUUAUGGUUUGUAAACAUUCAACAGACUUGAUAGGUAACCUUGCACCAAUUACAGAGCUUCAAAUUCAUGGCUAUCUUGAAUUGACAUCACUUUCAAACUAGAUGGUUCAUCCAAACCUCAGUUGACACCCAUAAUUCAAGACUUCUCCAUUUUGGCAAUGAUAGCAAAUUUGAUAAGCAUCCCUACUUCACUUACAUACACUAAAAUUGAUAGCUACCUCGGAUUCACAUCAUUGUCACAAGAGAUUGGUUCCUUCAUAUCCCUGCAAACACUUGUGAUCUUUUAUCGUCCAUGUAUAUUAGAAAGACUUAAAAGGGAAAUAGGUGAAGAUUGGACCAAUAAUCUUCAGUCCUAAAUAUUGAUAUUUGGUGAAGAUUGGACUAAUAUAAAGUUAGUUCAGGUUUGAAAUCCCAAUCUUUCUUCUCAUUUUUUAUGGUUUUGUUUUUAUCAAUAUGCUUUGUUUACAUUCUAUAUGGUAAUUUUAUAUGUAUUAGCAUAUAGAUCAAAAAGGACUUAGAUGAUUAAUUUGAAAAGUUUGCAUCCUCAAUUAAUUAGUAAUUAAAGACCAAACUGAUCAUAUUACUUUAAGUCUUGCAUUGUAAGAGUUUGGGAAAAUGUUAGGGUUGACUGAACUACUAUUUUAUAACAGAUUUUGCCUUACUCAAGAAUCUUAUGAUUAUCCCUUGGCACAAUCAUUUCUUGUGUCUAAGAAAUUCAUAUCUACUAUAUGGCCAAAGAAUUUAGUAGCAUUCAAAAUUUCUGUUUUCUUUCAAGUUAGGUGUAUUGCUUGCAAUUCUAACAUGUUUCCUAUUUUGAACGUUGUGUUGUUAUUUUACUAUCAAUGUGUUAAGAGCAUUAUACUAUAUUUUCUAUAAUGUUGUUUACUUGUCAUAUGUAUUAUUUAUUUUAUUGCAAAUGUACUUGUUGCCAAGUUAAAGCAAAAGAGGAAAGUGAGGAUUUUUCAUGGACCAAUGCCUCUCUCAAUUGCUGCCACACUUGACUUCUCUCUAAGUUGUUGAAAAUUUAGAAGUGUGGUAGCAUAAAGUAUUCAGCUCAAGUGCUUUAGUGCCUUACUACCCUUGAAGCUUUAGAAGCUGUCAAUACAAUUGGGGUUUCAACAUGUAACCAUUUUGGAAAUUCUAAGAAGUGUAAGUAUUAUGGUUUUACAACUUUAUUAGACUAGAUAGGCAACUUCAAAUUGCUGAAUGCCCUGAAUUAAAAUCACUACUAGAAGGAACCCAUGAGCACUCUAUAGAAACUCAUAAUCCACUACUCUUGCCACUUAUUAAGAAUGCUAAAAGGAAAAAGUGAAGAUUGGCUUGAGCAUGAUUGAUUAAUAAACCACACAUGGUCUCCUUAAUUCAAGUGUGUCAUCUGUUAUAUGUUUCAUGUCAGUAAUCCUACAUUUCUCUUGUUUCUAUUGGCUCUAUUUUUUUUUUAAUUAUUUUACAAUCAAUCUUCUAACAAUGUUCUACUUUUUUUACAAUUUUAUUUUUUUUAUUCUAAAAUGAAUUAAGACAUAUAAAGAAAAAAAUCACCUUGUUUGAUUUUCAUAUACUAUAUGCUUAAAUGUACAUGUGUUAAAAUCUUUUGAUUUUUUAUUGAUUACUUUCUAUUUAAUUUAUUAAAAAUUGUUAGUCUAUUUGGAGAUGAUUUUUUUUUUUCAUAUGUAAUAAGAUACCAACAAAUUGAGUGAGGAGCACAUCUUACUAAGUCGCUUGUCAAUCUAUCCACCUUCCUAAUCUCAAGAUUCUUCAUGUUUGAAUUAAAAUACCAUGAAUUACAAAAACAAAAAAUGAUGAAAAUGAGUAUUUCUCAUCAUCUUCAUUUUUAUUAGAAGGCAAUUUGUAGCAUCCUCUUUCCCAUUCCUAAAAAAUACUACAGCUUUGUAGGUUGAGAAAUUAGACAUGUUUUCUUAAAUGAUCUUCUUGGUCCAUGCAUGCUUAUAUUUGGAAGAUUUUUAAACCAAGUAUUUUAUGACAUAUAUGAUAGCUUUCAAGUUAAUGCAUAAAUGGUGAUGGUUAGGAUGCAAAAUAUAGUCUAUGCUCAACCUAUUUAUUGACAAACUACCAAGGGCUAGUGCUAAGGUAAACACCUAACACUUGCAUCAUACUCUCUCUUCUCUGCUCUCUUUAUUUGUUUUCCAAAGUUCAUAUAUAAUGUCUUUAUCAUUCAAGUUUUCAUUUUCAACCACUUUUUAAACUUUUGUCUUUUUAUGGUUUAUUACACGACAAUCCAUUUCUAAUAAAUCUUAUCUUUUUGUCUUAUAGACAAUAGAACAACGUGGUAAUUGCAUGACAUACAAUUUGUAAUAGAUGGUCAACUAUAUAUUAAGUAAUCUUUAAUUGCCUUGGAGUUGAAACGUUUGAUGUUGAUAAGGUUUGAUAAUUCUCGCUUUGGUGCUUUGUUGGAUUUCAAUUCAGGUGAUUAAUUGAUCUUGUUAUGAUUCUUUGAUUGUUUUUAUAACUAUUGUGAUAAUCAUUCUUAUUUUAUCGUGGUAAUUGACUUCACUGACUUUUUAACAAUUAUAUCAUGAGUGAAAUGCCCAACCUAUUAUUGUUAGUAUUCCAUUAACAUACCUCUAAUGCCACCACUAAUAAACAUCGUGUAUUAAUAUUUAUAACACGUUUCAUUACUGAAAUAAUUAAAUAUUUUCAAAUUUCUUUUUAGAGUGUGAGAAAUAACCAUUAAUCUUUACAACAGCAUAAGUAUCAUUGAUUUGAUAUUGCUUUCUUGAGUAAUUUGGCAAUUUAAUUAUGAAGUUUAGUUGGACAUUACUUGAGAUUCAUGUCUUAUGUAUAUGGUCUAUUUUCCAAGCUUCAAUUAUAUUUAGUAGACUUGUAAGUGGUGUUUGUCUAUGAGUUUCAACUCUAGAAAACUAUUAUUGGAGCCUAAGUUCACUUUCAAUAAGGAAAAAAAAAAAAAAACUCAACCUUUUCCUCAAUUGUGUAAUUUUAUUCACUAUUGACAUGCCCUUAAAUGGCAUUGCUAUUAUUUGUAGGGAACAUUGUCAAGUUCCAUAUUUGUCUAGAAAGUUAGAAGAAGUAUUUAAUUUGACAUGGUUUGGACAUCUUGCUACUAUCUUUUUAAAUUAGUUAUCAAUAAUUUUUCAAAGUUGACCUUUUUGUUUAUCUCAUACUCCUUUUGUAUUAAAAGGUACCGCAUGGGUAUUGUGUAGAGGAAUCAUGCCUUCUUUAAUUGAGGUGAGCCUCUUGCAAAAUAUUUCAAGUUUGCUCUCAUUCCAUUUGUUACUUCAUGUCUAUUUUUUUGUAAUCAAUCAAGCAAGAGUUUCUUACUUGUACAAUGGUGAACUUGCUUGCAUGAAUAAUACUCUUUUUACUAUUUUUUUUCUUUCUUUAUUAUAUUCAUUGAUACACUUAGAAGUGAAUAGUGAACCAGGUUUUUUGUUAAAAGAAAUCAAAUAUUGGUAAUUAUUUAGUAUCAUGUAUAUAAUAAUCAAUUAUUGAUUGUAAAGAUACUUGGCUUAAUCAAUUAUUAUAUUGAAAUCAAUGUAGUACUAUGACUAAUACCAAAAGGAUAAUAUUUAGUCUUGUUUGACCAUUAGUCACUAUUCUAGAGACAAAUGCUCACAAGUUUUGCAUCUUUGAAGCAUAUGAGAAAAGUUGGUUCAACUAUAUCACCAACUUACAAGCUCCUUAUAGUGUCCAUAUAUAUAACCUUCGUUGUUCAGGUUUAUGAUUCAUAUCUCAUUUUUUUUUUUCAUAUUUUUAUUGUUUAUAAUUUUUUAAUUGAUUUGUUUAUAAAUUUUUAAACUUUAUUGGCAAUACUAAUUUUUUUUUUUUAUUCUCAUGUGCAAUGGAAUAAUAAGUUGAAUAAGAAGCAUAAACUACUUAAUUGGUAUAACUGUUUACUCAAUUCUCUUCUCAGAUAUUUUUGUUCAAGGUAAUCAAAGUAUCAUUCUUUUUAUUUUUAAAGGUACUUGAACUCAGUGAGGACCAUUCCCAAAACAAGCAAUAACUACAGUUGGAUUAUUGAUAUCAUAUCCUUGAUUGACAUCUAUGCCAUUAUAUUUGCAUCUAAAGGAUUUAUGAUGAAAAAAAUAUCUUCUUUAUUUCCAUUUUCCUUCCUUCUUUUGACCAUAAUUUGUGUGCUUAUUGAUAGCAUUCAUACCCUAAUAUAUUUGCUAGCAUAUAUAUGCAUGUCAUAAUCUAUUGAUUUUUUUAGCAUAAGGUCUUAGAGUAUUCACAUAUCUCUAGGUUCUAUAUAUUUAUAAUUUUUACAACAUCAAAUGAAGUAUAUGAACCUUAUCUUGAAGGUGAAGUCUCUUUAAAAGGAGUUUCAACAUGUUAGCAAUUACCUAACUUAAUAAUUUAACAAUUUGGCACUAUAUAUAAUUUUGCAACUCUUUCAUAAAGUAAUUGUGUUACCUUUAUUCACAAUUUCUAUCUUUAUUUAAAAAAAAAAAAUGAAUUGGUAAUUGUGUGUCAAAUCUUGCUUACAAUCAUUAAUAGGUACUUAUAUGCUAAAUGGAUAAAGUUAUUUUACAAUUGUUUCAACAUUUUUAGAAUAUAUAUAUAUAUAGAUGUAAUCACUACCAAGCCAAUGCGAAAAGCUAUAACAAUGAGGAUUACAAAGCUUCAAUUAUGUCUUGGAGAUUCAUAUUGACAAGUUGUAAAUGGUGGGUGAAGUCUCUUUAAAAGGAGCUUCAACAUGUUAGCAGUUACCAAACUUAAGAAUCUAACAACUUGGCACUAUAUAUCAUUUUGCAACUCUUUCAUAAAGUAAUUGUGUAACCUCUAUUCACAUGUUCUAUCUUUAAUUUUUUUUAAAAAAAAAAGAAAUUGAAUUGGUAAUUGUGUGUUGAAUCAUUCUUACAAUAUUUAAUAGGUACUUAUACACUAAAUUGAUAAAGUUAUUUUACAAUUGUUUCAACAUGUUCUGAAAACAAAAAAGAUUAAUAAGUAUAUUUUUUCUAAAUGUAAUCACUACCAAGCCAAUGUGAAAAGCUAUAACAAUGAGGCUUACAAAACUUCAACUAUGUUUUGGAGAUUCAUAUUGAAAGUUGUAGAUUAUGGAUGUAUAGUAUAGGAGUUAGAUUGAGUUUAUCAUUCUAUCUUUGACAUCUUAGUUUUCUAUGUAUUGUCCAUCAUAUAUAUUUGUCAUCUAUUCUUUACAACCAAUUUUUUAAGGACUUCUAUGAUUUGUUUAAAUUUAUAUAUUUGUUUUUAUUUGUACUAGAACUUCACCAAGCUACAAAAGCAUCACAAGUUUUGCAAUUGGAGUUCAUGGAUCAGGUAUUUUAGUAGUUUUUGUAUCUGAAAUUUUUUUAUGAUACUAAUGAGGAUGUUUACCUUGAUUAAUUUAACACUUAUAUUGCAAAUAUCUAUAUAGGAGUUCUAUACAUUUAUUUAAACAUUUAUAGACAUAUUUAUCCUCUUUCUAGCACAUUCUAAUGAUAUUUUUAACAUUGAUAUAAAUUGUUUGCUUGAAGGUUUCAACUAUUGAAAAUUAUUAUUCAAGCCUAAUGUUAAUCUUUUUCUAUAGUGGAUUUCAAAUAAUAAAUUCUUAUUUGAUUAUUUGUAGGGAAAAUAAACAACUUCUAUGUUUGAUAAGAAAGAAGAUAGAGUAGAUCAAUUUCACAAUGUACGAAUCCUACGCAUUCUAUACUUUUAAAGAUGGUUACAAUUGGCUUUCUAUACUUAACAAGUACAUCUUAGCUAAAAGUGAAAAAAUGUUUCUCUUUGCACAUGCCUUCACUACUAUUUUAAUUGCUAUCUUAAUAUGUUAUGGAAAAACCACGACAAAUAACAAUAAUAAGGAGAAGAAAUAAAAGAACAAAAAUAUAAAACUUAUAAAGUAGGAUGAUAUAUGUGGUUUGGCCUAAACCUACAUUUAUAUGUGAAAAUGAAGAAGAACUUCUACUAUUAUUAAAGGAGAUUAAAAUCCUAAAGCUUUCAAAUCUCAUGAUUACACUAAAAAUGGACUUUUUUUUUUUUUUAAUCAAAAUCUCUUCCUUUAUUUUCUUGAUUAUAUAAGAAUAUUCUAUAGAGAAUUAAUUGUGUAAUUAUCAAAGAUAACUAUUCCUAAAAGAAAAAUCUUAUAAUAUGAUAUUUCCUUUAGAAUAAAAGAAAAAUCUCUUAUAUAAAUAUAUCAUAAUAGGAAAAUAUUAAAGACUUAUAAAUUGACUCAAAAGAAUUUGAAAUAUUUUUCAACAAUCUCCACAUUGGCUCAAAUUCUCAAUAUUCAAAUAAACUCAAAAUUCUUCUAUGUUACUUUGCUCUUAUGCACCCUUAAGGGGACUUCAAGUAAUAUCAAUACCAAUUAAGUCUAAGCAAUGCAUAAACUUAAUCAUAGAAAUAAGUUUAGCCAUCAUAUCUAUAAAAUUAUCAACUAUAGGGAUCUUUUUCAUUACAUUAGUACCUUGUUCAAUCACAUCUCUAAUAAAAUGUAUUCUAACAUCAAUAUGUUUGGUUCUCUCAUGUAACAUAUGAUUUUUAGUCAAAAGUAUGACACUUGGCUACCAUGAUAACAAUAAUCAAUGAUUGGAACCAAAUAAUUACAUUUUGUGUGCCUAAAAUUAGGCAUUCAUAUUUAAUAUCCAAUUCUAGUUUCAUCCCUUUACUCAAUUUUAUUCCUAAGUCCUUAAUUUUGGGUUUAAUGUAUUUUUUAAAUAUUUUCCUUCUUUUUUGGUAUAUUUAUAUCACAUUUUUGCUAGCCAUUAUAUUUUUCAUGUAUUGGUUGCUAAUUUUACACUCCAUAGUUGUCACAUCAUCCAACUAAUGGUUGUUACAUUAUCCAACUAUGGGCUGCCACAUGCUCCAGCUACCUUAGCCUCCUUGCCAAGUAUUUUCCAUGCCAAAAAAAGAUUGACAACUAUUUCAAUUGGUUGGUAAAGUUGAGAAAAGCUUCCACCAACCUCGCCAUUAAGUUGUGCUCCUUGCUCCAAUUUCUAAUUUUGCUUCCUACCCUCUUGUGGAGUUAGUGUGGAAAUGACUUUAUACAAGGGAGAUGAAGGUUGGUUUUAAGUAAGGUAGCUUAUUUGUAAACUUGUAUUUCCUUUAUUCAGGCGGUAGUUCUCAUUUCUUAGCCUUGAUUUUCAAUUUUGAUCCUCUUGUCUUGCCACUAUGAGUGGCCAACAUCCAAACCAAGGAAUAAUUUUUAAUAAAAUAUUAAUAUUCAAAUAAAAUCAUAUAUUUAUAUUCCUUAUCGCAUUUAUAGGAAGAGAAAUAUUUGGGACUAGGCCCAGUUCACUUUUUAUAAUUAUAAAUAUCAUAAAAAUAUGAAUAUUAAUAUCCUUAUCCUCAUAAAAGCAUAAUUAAUUUAUUUUAUAAAAAAUUAAUAUUAAAUGGAUUUAAAAAUAAAUAAAGUUUAAUUUUUAAGGUAUACAUGCAUAAGUUUUUCAUUACAUAUACACAUUCAAUACUUAAUUAGUAAUAGUGUAUUCUAAAUUUUUUUAUCUAGUCUAUAAUUAAUUAAUCCAUUUUUUGGAAUUCUAAAUUGUUCUUAAAAAUUAAAAUAUUCAUUAAAGAAUUGAAAGUGUUUAUUAUGUUUAACUUAAUUUAAAUUUAUUUAUCUAGUGAGAAAAUUCAUAAAAUAUAGUUUUAUGUAUAAAGGAAAUAGUAACGACUUUACAUUUAACGAAUCUUUUAUUUUAUAUUGAUUCAUUUAAUAGUCUAUUAUAUAUAUUUAAAAUUUAUUAAACUCAUUAAUAAAUUCAAUACAAAGUUUUACUUAAUUUGAAAUUCAUCUCUCUAGUGAAAAAAUUGAAAAAAUAUUAUUUUGUGAAAAAAAAAAUACAAUAAAAUCAUUCUAAACUAAUUUUUAUCCAAAGAUUUUUUGUAUUUAUUAGUUUAUUAUUUGAUUUUUAAAUUAAUUUAAAAAAUUAUUAGACUUAUUAAUGAAUCCAAUACAUUUUUUGUUUGUUUAAUUUAUUUAUCACACUAUCAAACAAACUUUUAUUAUUUAGUAAAAGACCUCUCAAAAGAGGUUUUUUUUUCUUAAUAAAAAUAAAAAUAAUAUUCUAAACGAUGUUUGAUUCAAGAGUUUUUUAAAAGUAAAAAUAAAAAUAAAAAUUAUUUUAAAUUAUGUGUACAUAAUUGUUGCAAAUUUAUUUCUUUUUCCAUUACCAUUUUCAUUCCUACCUAACAUUGAAAUGGAAACAAAUAAUCAAUCAAACCUUACAUUUAUUCCUAAUCUAAUGACAAGAAUUGGUGGUAUCACCAAAUUCAUUCCAUUCUCUAGUCUCAUGUAUCAAACAUAGUUGUAUAAUACCAAAAACUUCGUCUAAGUAAUGUGGGAUCUCACAUUCACUUUCAUACAGAUACAAUUUUUAUUGUAUCACAUGGAAUUGUGAGGCCUUUAAGUACCAUUUGUAAUGACCCACCUCCAAUUAUAUAAAUAUUAUUUGGUCUAAGUCCAAUGGACUCUAAUCGGUUUUAAAACUUGACUAUACUGUUAAGAGAAGUCUACUAUGUAUACAAUCUUCUCCUAAUAAACGUGUGACAUAACAAAUGGUGGGACUCAAACUAAAGCAAGGCCUUUCAAACUGUCUACCAUCUUAGUUUCAGCAUGAAUUCAGUUUGUUCCAAACAACAUAACUCUGGAGUAUUUUAAACAAACGAUUUCCAUUGAAAACACAUAAUUAAAGUAUAAGGAAAACAAACCCGAUCUUCAAGCGGUUUUGGGGAUCGCCUGUGGAAGAGCAGUGAAAUAGAAAUAUCCACUAAGUGUAUAGGGACCCAAGAUCAACACAUGCAACAGGAUAUCUAAUUCCUCCUAAUAUCAUCAGCAUGAAGAAAAUUGGCAUCAUUUCCACUGAGUUCUGAUGCCCUCUCUGAAAAAAAAAAUAAAUGCAAAACAUUUGUUUUUUCUAAUCAUCGGUCAUCCAUACAUAGAAAAAUCUAUGUGUGAUCUUAAGCUAGAAAAGAUGUUGCAUCUAAUCAAAUUCACUAGACAUGAUGAUAUCUAUACUUUUUUAAAAAAAAAUUAUAUUCAUAUUUAUGUCAGAAAAUAAAUUUUUUAUUUUUUAUUUUUAGAACAUUAAACUUUUUAAAAGUCCUUUCUAGGAUAUUUUCUAGCUUUUUCCUUUUGUUAAUUUUUGCUAUUCAAACAAAUCUUAAGAAAGGAAUCAAACUUGGACACAAUUGAAGAGCUUGGCAUUCUUGUUUUUAGAUUCCAAAGCAUAUAUAGAGAUUGGGGUAAAACACCUUGUACCGAAGAAAAAAAAAAGGAAAAAAAAAACACCACAACAAAAAAUUAACCAAAAAUCAGAAAAUUAAUUGGAAUAAAAAAUCAAGAAAAUAUUUUUUUGGGUUAAUAAUUAAUUAUAAUGAAAUCAAAAGAAAAAAGAAAAAUACAUACUUCUUCCUGGCUUUGCCUACACUGAAAGCCAUGAAAGAAUUAGGAAAGCAGUAAAGAACAAGAAGAAGAACCACAUCCAUAUUCUGGGGAAAGCAAAUCCUCUGCUGCCUUCUUCAGAUUGAAGGCAACUAAUAAAUGGUUUAAGGGGUUAUGAGUUUGACUUGGUUGAGUUUGAAGCUACAAAUGUAAGAAAAAUGGUAGUAAUUUUGGAAGCAUUUCUAACUCUUCUAUAACUUGAAAGAUAAAAAAUUUUAAGGGUUAAAAAUGUUAAAAGAGCUUUUUAGAAUCACCCCAAAUGUACUCUAAAUUAUUUAUGACUUGAUGUCACCUUCACACUCAUUUUUCAGUGUCAUUUAAUUUUGGUGUUCCCAUAUUGAAGAUUUAGGGUAAUGUAAUAUUCAAGCCUUCACAUUUUGCCUUCACUAACCUUUGAAUUUUAAUUAAAUUCUUUGAAGGAUAUUUGACCACUUCAUUGUCCAAAAAUGCUUAUAUUGCCAUUUUUUUUUUGUCUUUUUCUACAAUUCCAAUUUUACUAUUUUUCUUUUAAUUUAUUCCUAUUAUUAUUUAGGCUAUUAUUUAUAAUAUUCUUAAUAUUAUAUUUAUAAUUGUUAAUAGUAUAAUUACUUUUUUUCAUUUAUUUGUCAUUUAUAUUGCUUAUCUUAUCUUUAAUCAUGUAUAAGACUCAAAAACUGCAGAAAACAUUAAUAAGUAACUACUAAACUUCAAAGAGAUAAUAAAAUUCAACUACAUUGAUAUUACAAUAAUACAAAUGAAAUAUAUAGCAACUAGCCCUUAAAAGGGCUUUUAAGAGAUAAUGAGUCUACUUCAGAUUGACAUUUAAAGUAGAAUCACCAUCUCUAUAGAUAUAUAUGAAGCCUAAAAAGAAUAGAACAUCACUAAAUAAUAUUAAUAAAACAACAACUAGAUCAAUUGAUAGUGAAAGUAAAGGUUUACAAGAUGAAUCACAUAAAUAAGAACAACUAAAUUGAGAAACAAAUUACAUGUCUGACAAAUCUAAUGAGGGAAAACAUUGGAGCUAGGUGCCCAAUGAUUGGCUCCUUGAAGUUGACCUACCUCCUCAAUAGGUACAUAGGAGUCCUUACCUAAAAAAACAUUAAAAUCAAUAGGGUGAACAUAAGAUCUAAUAAAUAGGCACGAUAUGCAGAUGCUAGGAUGGUUAGUCCAAGGUAAAAAAAAUAGUUCUAAAAUGUAUCACGUAAUAAUUUUGGUGUAUUAUGAGAGGAAAAUGGACUUGUGAGAACUAUACUUUGUGGAUAGAAAUGUGAGGAAGAGUGAAAGACACUCAGUGGAGUAAGAGAGCUAACAGUUUAGGGUAGUCAUACAAAGUGUGGGUAAAUAGAUGUAUCUAUUUUUGUUCCUAACAAUAUUUUUUUGUUGUAUAGUGAAAUAUUAUCUUUCAAAUAUGGAAGUAAGCAUGGUUAGGUGUACCAUGUUAAAAUCUUAAGUAUUUGUUUUAUUUUGUGUUCUUCCAUUAAUAUAUUUCAAUAUUAGAGCUUUCAUUGACUCAAUAAUUUAUUAUACGAUGAAUCAUCAUAAGUGAAUAUAUUUUUAUAUUAGAAUAAACCAUUUUCUUAAUUAUAAGUAUAUUUGAAUAUUUUACUAAACUAUUUUAAAAUAAAAAUAUAGUAAAAAAAAUUAAUAUAUAUAAUAAUAACAUGAUAAAUAACAUAUCCCAAACCAAAUGCAACAUAAAUUUCUAAAUUGUCUCUCCUUUCUUAGUUCUCUAUAAUAAUAUUGCCAUACCCAUUGUUUAAGCUAUAAAUUAACAUUUUAUGUUCUUUGAAACAUAUGUAUUACCAACUCAAUAUAUAUAUAGCUACGAAGACAUAUUUCUCAUUUUUCCAAUCAAAAAGCAUUGUGAGUUGAAACCUUUUUGUUUAGAAAGUUAACUUGCAAUGUUAAUAUUCUUUUUUAAUAUUAGCCCCCUAGGAAUAUCAUUGCCUUUCACCACACUUUAAGUUUUUUUUUUUCGAUAUUCUUUUUUACUUCUACACUAGAAUUUAUGUAACUUCUUGUUCUUUAUUUAUUAUUAUUAUUAUUUUUUUGCAAUAUUUUCUCUUAAGUCUACCUUACACUUCUUAUUACCUCUCAUAUAUUUUUUUUUUUUGUCUUUUUCAAAUACUUGGUUGCUUCUCUAUUACAAUUCAUUAACUUCCUAUCAUUUUAUUUAUUUUUAUUUUUUGCAAAAUUCUUUCUUAAAAUACAUAAAUCCAUAGUUUUUAUUUUAAAAGUAUCAAGUAAAGAACAUAGACCUACUCAAACACCAUUGUAUAAUACCACUAAAAUUUCCAAAAAUCCCUAAAAUUUCAUAAAUUCUCUGCAAACUUAUCCCUAAUUAGAUGCUAUUACAUUAAAUAUAUCUAAUUCAGUCUAAACACAUGAUUGAUAAUAAUAUAAAAAAACUAAAACAAUAUUAAUAUGCAAUUUAUUAUUUUUCAACACACUGUAAUAGUUCCCAAAUAUUUUCAAACAUCAGCUAACAAACCUAAAUUUAUUCACUCAAAAUACAUAAUUGAUAACAAUGGAGAACUAAAAAAAAAAAAUUAUAAAUAUAACAAUUUUAUACUUUGAAUACAAUUCAAUAAAUCCUAAAUUUUUAAAAACAUUUAACUAAUAAACUUAACCAUACUCAAAUAUUAUUGUAUAACAUCUCUAAAAAUUUCAAUAAUUUAUCAAACGUGAAGACUACACUCACCGGUUUAGUAGAAUCACUUGCCUCUUCUAUUGGUAAUUGGGAUUUUUGUUCAGUAGCUUCGCUUUCCUUUGCUUCACUUUCUUCUGCUUUACUUUUUUCUUCUGUUCGCAAUUGACAUUUUUGUUUUUUCGUUACUUUUUUUAAUCUUUUUAUCAAAUCAUUCUUCAAUGAACUCAUUGUUUCAUUCGUGCUUGAAGAUACAAUAUGAGAUAACUUGAAAAAAACAGAAUAACGAUUUUUCUAAGGAUUCAGAAUGAAACAAAUGAUGAAAUGAUAGACGAUAAAAUUUCUAGGGUUUUUGAAGGAAAGAUGAGAUUUUUGUUUUGUGCAUCAAAGGAAUAUAAUGGAAUAAAAGAAGAUGAUGAAAGAUGAAAACUCGUUCUGUAAAUGAAGUGAAAGAGGAUAUGAGUUUUCCUUUUUGUGCACCAAAGGAAGAUAAUGAAGUAGAAGAAAAUGAUGAGAAAUUUUUUUUGGAAAAUAUGAGGAGUCGUUCUGUAAAUGAAGCAGAAGAGGAGAAGUUGUAAGUGUUGGAGAGAAAAAAGAAGAAGGACAUUUUUGUCUCAAUCAAUAAUUUUGUUUUGUUUUUUAACCGGUGGAUUAUAUUUGCAAAUAUGGGGGUUAUUUUGACCCCUUUAACCAAAUAACCCUUUUUUUUAUCGAGUUACAACUUUAAAUUAGGUGUAAAAAGAUAUUUUGAUAUGGUAGAUACUGUACAGUUAUAUAUUGAAAUUCCAUGGUUCAUUAGAUAAACCAUCCUUGAAUUUCUUUGGUUUCAAUUAAGAUGAUAGAUCAUCCUUCCAUAGAGUGACCUGAUAUGACAUUGAUUUUCUAGGGCUUCAAACACGAAGGGUGUCAAUGACUAAGAACUCCGUUUGAUUGUCGAGAAAAUGAGGAAAAAAACCCUUAAAUAAAAUAUAAAUACAAUUCAGAAUUUCAAUUUUACAUUGUUAGGGACCCCAAAAAUGGGAACAUUCACUUAACUGAGCCUAAUCCAACCACCUGCCUUAGUUUAAUUUAGUCCCCACUUUCUAGAAACCAAAAAAAUAUAAACAUUCCUGUGUUUGACUACUUAGAAAGCAUAGGACAAGCAAAGAAAAGGACAGUGCCUCCUCGAUCAAACAGUUUUUUUUUUCCUUUUCUUUUCUUGCAUUUUCUUUUUUCGGUAACCAAACAAAACUUUUUAAUUGAGCAUUGUUGUAUACAAUUUAGAUUUCUUUCCCUUAGUUUCUCCGCAACCAAACAGAAUUUUUCUCAAUUGAGCGAGGGUCUAGUAUAUCCUUCGUUUUCCUAUAACCAACAUAAUUUCCCUUGUUAUUUUUUUUAAUCUUUUCUUUGAAUUUCUCAGAAACCCAACGGAGUUUACUUCUGGUGCAACCGUGCAAGAAAAUGGUUUUACCUAAUCGCAUUUCACCGGACUAGCUGAAGCAAUAGAGGCUUAAGAAAAAGAGACUGAGCUUUGUUUGUUAAACUCCCUAUGUGAGUACGCAAAGUAAGAAGAAUUGAAGCUGAAAUUAGGCGGCUUCUAAACACGUCCUAGGAGUUGGUUUUAAAACCCAUUUUUUCCCCUUUUUGGUUGCAAUCGGUCUACAAAGAUGCCAUUAAAAGGUAACCGCGGUUGGUUGCAUGAACAAGAAAAUGAAAAAAAAGAAGUUAAAACUAAUUAAAAUUAUUUAAUAUUUUCAUUGAAAAGUAAAAAUAAUUACAAUAUAUUUAAAUAAACACAUAAAAAUAAUAAUUUAUUAAUUUUAAAUCUAUUUUUUAAAUUUUCAAUUUUUCAUUUAUUUUGUUCCCUCUAAGCUUUCUAACUAAGGUCAUAAUUUGGACAAAUUGUUGGAUUCAUAGCUAAUCUAAAUAAUCUAAUAGAGAUAAAUAAAUAAUUAAUUUAAGUUCAACCCAACCUCUAAGCUUUCUAACUAGGGUCAUAACUUGAACAAAUUGGAUGGUUAACAUACAACUUGGACAAAUUGGUGGGUUCAUAGCUAAUCUGAAUAAUUUAAUAGGGAUUAAUAAAUAAUUAAUUUAAGUUUAGCCCCACUUCUAAACAGAGGUAUUUAAUUCAAGCUCAACCAACUUCAUUUCUUCGAGCUCUGGUUGAUGAGGUUAAACUUGGGUUAGCCCCUGAUUGUAUAAUUCAAAAUACAUGUAGAAUGUUUUUUAAUAAAAAAAAAAUUAUAUACUUAUAUCAAAUUUUAAAUAGUAAGUAGGACAAAAUUUUAAAAUAACAAAAAAAAAAAAAACAAAAACAAAAACAAAGUUAUAUAUCUUUUUUAAAAAGUAAAAAAAUAUAUUAUAUAAUAUAAUUUGAUUUUUUAUUUAUAAAAAUUUAGAAAGAAUAAAAUUAUUAUAUAAAAUAACAUAUAUUGGAAAUAUUAUAAAAACAUUAAAAGUUUGUUCAGUAGUUAUUCAAAUAAGUGUUUCUAUCCCUAAUUUAAACUUUGGUUUCAAUCUAACUCGAAUUAAAUUUGAGUUGAAAAAGUUUAACUUGAAUAUUAAAAAUAAUUGUCUAAACACGAUCAAAUAUCUGAUUGGAUUCGACUAAUCUGCCAAAGUUGCACUCCUACCAAGAACCAUACACAAUAAAAAAAUUUUAAAAUAUUUUUUGUUCUAGGAAAGUACUCAAAAAGGAGAAAUAAAGAAAAAAAAUGAUUUUAUAUGUAUAAUUAAAAUUAGUUAAAUUUUAUAUAUUUUAAAAUUAUUUAAUUUUUUUAUAUGGAAAAGAAAAAAAAAAAGAGUGAAAUAAGUUUGAAAAAACAAGUAAAAAUGAUUUGUUAACUUUAAUAUUUUUUUUCUUUUCUUUUCUUCUAUUUUUUUCUUUUUAGUUUAUUUUUCUCAAAAUUUUCAAAAAAUAAACAUAGAAUUAAAAAAUAAGAAAUAAUUACAUAAUUGGAAAAUCAAUUUUAGAACUUGCUUAUAUGAUUGCAUUAGUUUGUGUAAAUAAUAAUUUUAUUGAAUGUUAAGAGAGUGGUAUUAAAUGCACAUUAUUUAAUAUUUUUCUAUGGAUAUUUUUAUGGGAGAAUUGUGUUUUGGGCCCAGCUAGACCCAAAAAUUAAUAAAAGAUCCUCCAAACACCUAUAAUUGAUUGUAAGGAUAUAAGGUUGGAAUAGACAAAAAUACCCCUUUUUUACUUACACCAAUUAUUUUGUCUUUAUACCACCACUCUUUACAUGCCCCAUCUAUAAAAUUCUCCUUUAUUUAAUCAUUUUUUUUAUUUUUUUUUAUUUUUUAAACUCCUUUAAAAAUAAUUGAAAAAUCAACAUUAUUUUCUAUUUUUAAAUUAUAAAUAAAUAAAAAUUAUAUUAAUGAUUCAAAAAUUAUUUUGGAACAUGCUUUUGAAAAAAAAUAUUAAUUUAAAUGAAUAAAAAUUAUUUUUUACAUUUUACAAGUAAAUAAUUUAAUGAUUAAAACACUAUUUAAAAUAAAUAUAUUUACUAUUUUUUUUCUUUUAUACUAAAAAGUAUUUUAAAGUUUAUUUUUUUAUUAUUAUAAAAUAAAAAGUUUAAAGUUUUUUUUUUAAUCUUUUUCUUUCCAUAGUUUAAUAAUUUUUUGAACAUAGACUUUUGUAAUAAGUUAUAUGAAUGUUCCAAAUUUGUUUAUUAAGGAAUUUUUUUAAUGAUUUGAAUUAAUUGAAAAUUUAUUGAAAUGAGAAAAAAGAAAAAGAGAGAAAGAGGAUAGAUGAAGAGUUUUUAUUUUAAAUAUCCAACUAAAAUGUUUUCGUAUUUAGAAAUGGAUUAUAUCAAUACAUAGUAUAGUAGAGAUUGAUUUUUUUCUCAUACAAAAGGGUCAAAUGAUAUGUUUACUCAUUUUAAAUAAAAACAAGUAGCUAAAAAUUAUAUAGAUUAUGUUUGAGUUUGGUUUUAAAAUAUUUUUUCUAGUUUUUAUUAUUUUUUUAUUUUUAAAAAUUAUUUUUAUUUUCUAUAUUAUCUCUUUUUGAAAAUACAUUUAAUUAAAAAAAUGAAAAAUAUUUUUAAAAAUGAAAAUUGAAGACCUUGUUUAAUACUAAGAUAAUAAAAAGAAUUAAAUUUCAUUUAUUAAUUAUUCUUUUUUAUUUUUAAAAUAUAAUAUGUUCACAAUUAAAUAAAGGAAUUGGUCAAUUGUAUAUUUUUUUCACAAAAAUGUAAUAUGUUCAUAAAAAAAUUGGAUUGAAGUUUUUCAUCAUUUUUUUAAUCAAACUACUAGAAUCAUGUUUAAUACAAAUAUAGGCAUAUAUGCACUACGGGAAUAUGAAAUUUGUGUCACUAUACAAGAGUAUUUACUAACUGUAUAAGGGAAAUGUACUAAGUGUACAAGCAGUGUAUAAGAUUACCAUUUAUAAAAGAUUUCAAUCUAUUUUGAACCACUCCUUUAUUUUCCUUGUCACUCAAAAAUUGCAUACUCAUGUCAUGCACUUUAUUUAACUCCCAUAUGGAAAUUCCGAUACUUUCCCCAAUAAUGAUGUUUAGGAAAAAAAAAAAAACUAACCCUAAUUCAUCCAUCCUUUUAUUAGUUAAACCAUUAGAAAUAUGAUUAACACACCUACAUGGACAUAUUACUUAGGAUAGAUAUAUUGUACAAUGGUAUUACACUAAUUGUACAAGGGAAAUGUACUAAGUGUACAAAGAAAAUGUACUAAGUGUACAAGGGUUUACAAGACUACCAUCUAUAAAAAAAUUUAAUCGAUUUUGAAUCACUUUUUCAUUUUCCUUGUCACCCAUAGAUUGCAUACCUACAUCAUGCAAUUUAUUUAACUUUCACAUGAAAAUUUCGAUACUUUUCUUAGUAAUAAUGUUUGGGGAAAAAAAUUUAAUCAUAAUUCAUCCACCAUUUUGUUAGCCAAACCAUUAGAAAUAAGAUUAAUAUAUCUACGUGGACACACAACUUAAGAGGGAUAUAUUGCACCAUUGUACAAUGAUGUUACACUAACUGUACAAGGGAAAUGUACUAAGUGUACAAGGGAAAUAUACUAAGUGUACAAGAGUGUACAAGGCUACCAUUUGUGAAAGAUUUUAGUCGAUUUUGAAUCAUUUCUUUAUUUUUUUUGUUACCCAUAAAUUGUUUAUGAAAUUUGCACUAUUAUAUAAGAGUGUUACACUAACCAUAAAAGAGUAUUCCACUCACUGUGUAAGGCAAUGUACUAACUGUAUGGGGUAAAUGUACUAAUUAUACAAGGGUGUACAAGGUUAUCUUUUAUGCAAGAUUUUAAUCAAUUCUGAACUUUUUUUUUUCUUGUCACCUAAGGAUUGAACACUUUUCCCCCACACAUUCCUUCACCUAAAAAUUGUUUUAAUUUGAAAUUUUAAAUUUCUUCAUCCAAAAUUUGUAAUUGCAUAUUUCAUUUAAGUAGUUUUAACAAUAUUUUUUCUUACUACAUUUACAUCAUAUAUAAAGGAAAAUUAACCAUAAUAUUUAGGUAUUACCUUUUUUUUUUUUUGUGAAAUCAAAUUAAUAUAAAUGGAUAACACAUUAAUGUCAUUGUUUCAAAUAACUUAAGACAAUAUAAACAACAUAUAAUAACUGUUGAGGAAAAAUUAUGAAUAUUUUUUUACCAAACUAUGUCAUUUAGAUCUUCUCUACCAAAAUUAAAACAUAGGAAAUAAAAUUAAAAUUAAUCACAUUUAAAGUGUUUAUUACAAGUAAACCGAAUGAAAUAUAUAUUUUUACUAUUUUACCUUUAUAAACAUAAUGUUAGCAGAUAUUAAAAAAAUCAUAUUUAAAUAGAAUUAAAAAGGAUAAAAAAUUAUCUUUGUAAAAUUUGUAAUUUUUUUUUAUAUAAAAAAUCAUUAUUUUAAAUUAUCAAUUUAAUUUAAAAUAAUUUUUUUGUUGUAAUUAUAGUUUUAAAGAUUCUACUAUUUUUAUAUUAUUACUUUUAAUUUAUUUUCUUUGAUUUUUUAUUUUAAAUUUCAUCUAAACUUGUUUUUUCUUACAUUUAUAUGUUUUCUAUUAUAUCAUUAUUUAAAGUAAUUUUCAUCUAAUUUGUAUUCCAUUAUAUUCUCUUUUCAAUUUUAAUGUGUUGUUAUACCUCUUUACAUAACAAAAGAUUUUAUUAUUUUUCAUCUACAAAACUUUAUACAAAAGAUAUCAUGUACAGGGAAAAAAAAUUAAAAAAAGAGAAAAUUAUGAUAUAAUUUACAUACACAUCUCUUAAUAUGAUACAUUUGCUUGACUUAAUGACAUCAUGCUUUAAUAAUUUAAAUCAUGUCAGUCCACAUCUAUUUUAGAUUUAAAAAGGCAUUUGAAUAUUUUUCAAAUUAUUAAGUUAUAAUACAUUAUUCAAUUAAAAAUUAAGUAUCACUAUUAGUUAAAAGAUGAUUAUUUUAAAAAAUAAUAUAUUAAAACAAUAUCAAUGUGUUGUCCAAAAAAUGGAGAAAAUAUUCAAAUAAUUGUCUACAACCUUAAAGAUAUUUAUAUAUAUAUUGGAUAAAAAAGAAUAAUAAUAUUUUUUAAGGUGUUUAAAAAUUAUUUAUUAUAUAUUUUGUAAGUUUAAAAAAAAUAUUUUAUGAGGUAUUUAAAAAUUUUUUACUUUAAAAAUAUAGUAAUAAUCAUUUUCAACCAUUGAUUACCAAUAUUUAAUUUAUUAGGCAUGGUUUUUGGGAGAAAAAUAAUUGAUGAAAAUAGUAACACCUUUCUAGAAAAGAAUUAAUGAUAAGGUGAAUGAUGAAAGAGAGGGAAAAAAAGAAUGAAAGAGAGUGGGAAGUUAGUUGUUUUCUUUUUCUUUUUGACAAUAAAUGACAUUUUCGGAAAAUUAAAUGUUUCAUAUCCUUCUUUUCAAUUUGUAGACUUUCUUUAGGUGUUGGGUUUAAAUAUGAAACUUAUGAGGAUCUUUUAUCAAUUUUUUGGCCCUGGGCCCAAAACACAAUUCUCCCUAUUUUUAUUUCUAAAGAAAGUAAUCUUUACAUGGAUUGGACCACUGUUUAUUUAUCCAUGUGGCCCAGCCCAUUAAAAACAUCAAACCAACAACCCAAGGGACGACCCUGGUCAUUCUCGGGGGCCCACAACCUUCAUCUCAAACAAAAGCCCAUGGGCAGGAUCACCUUCCACACACAUCUUCAUACCAGCCACCACGCUACCAACAAUCCUCCUCCAUGAAAGCCCACCUCCAUCACAGCAAGCAGAAAAUCCAACACGCCAACCAUCAACCUCCGCACAGACCUAACACUGCAUAGCCGUGUUUUAGGAGUGUCAGGACGUGAUUAGAGAGGAUCUACUUUGAGUGUUCAUGGAGUUUCGCUAUAAGAGGGUGAUAGACCAGAGUAUCAAUGCUCCCUUUGUAACUUUAGGGGCAAGGAGGAAUCAGUUUACCAAAAAUUCUUCAUGAAACCAUCCAUUUAUCUCAGGGAACAUUUAUUAAGUAGAGUCAAAUUGAUUUACAACUAAGAGAUGAUUCAUUCCUUUUAAUGAAAGAACCUUAUUUCAAAUUGCCCUAAUGUGGCCUAAUAAAGCAAUAUUACUGGUUAUAUUUUGGACACAUCUCAAUGCCAUCAAUGGCUUCUCCUUUUUCAUUCCUUUCUCCUCUUCUUCUGCUCAGAAGAUUCAGACUCAUAAGUGGAGGCAACCGGUAGUCUCGGUUCUGGAGCUUGGUGGAGUCAAGAUUGGCAGAGAUGGUAACAUACCCACAUCCCAAAAUUGCGUUUAAAAAGGAUCUUUAGCUUGAAUUUUGUGUGCCCAAUUUGCGUUUUUGCAGGCAUUUGCACUCAAGUCGUGUCGUUUGUUUGCAAUUUCACAAUCUGAUUUCUUUUCUAUUGUGCUUUUUUUUUUUUUUCCUGCUAGGUUCAAAUUCAAGCAUCCAAUUUGUGUUUUUCUGGGUAUUCUUAUGCCCAACUUGUGUCAUUCAAUUUGCAAUUGUCGUUAUCAGACUUCCUUCUCUCUUUUGAGACUUACAUGGUUAGAGACGUCAUUUCUGUGAAAUUAAGAAUGCAUGUUUCAACUUUCACUUCUUUCUCUCUUUCCUUUUUUUUUCCCUGUCAUACUCCUCGGUUCUGUUUGGCGAUAGUAGAAUUCAGGAAUGGUUUCCCUUUUCUUUUUUCUUUUAUUUAUUUAUUUUUCAAUUUUUGGGUUUCUUUUGGUUAUAUGGAUUCUACAUUUUUAUUUUAUUUUUAUUUAUUUAUUUUUUUUGUGAAAUUGGAAUUGAAGAACUUAUUUUGCGUUUUACAAGCUUAGCGGGUUACGUUUCUGUUCUAUUUGUUGUACUGUUGGAGGUGUUUGGUGCAUUUAUAUAACUAGGCUUGCAAUUUCGCCUUCUGAUAAAGGUUAAAUUUUCUCCCUUUUUAUUUAUUUAUUUUUUAAUGGUGUAUUUGUGUUGGGAUUUGGUGAAAUGGGGAUUCUGUACUGGGUUUAUGGCAUUUUUUCAAUUGGUUUGAUAUUUGUGAAUGUGGGUUUUGUAGGGAAGAUGUGCAAAUUUUUUGAAAGUAAGAAUGCAAUUACAACUUUGAUUUCCUUUAUAUUUAUAUUUUAUAUUUUUUAUGCUUAUUUGCGUAUAGGUUGAUGUCAAAAUUCAUCUAAUGGGUUGUUUUUUAUUGCUUUGGAUUGGUUUAAUGUAGUUGGAUGGUGGAUUUUGUUUCUAAAACUUAAGGUCAAUUUCAAUUUUUUUAUUUUUUUAUUUUUUAUUUUUAUUUUUUCAAUUCGAAGACCUGGGAAUUGAUGUACUCAAGUUUUUGGAUUUUGCUGAUUGCCUUGAUAAACUUGGCUUGCAGAGCCUUAAAAAAUAAACUAUACUCACUAAGCUAUAUCUCAGAUGAUACUUCAUCAGGGCGUGAAAUGCAACUUGGAGUCUUUGUAUUUUUUAAAUUAUUUGGGUUAUUCUAUUCUGAAUAUUUGGUAAAAUUAGAAUUCAUGUACUGAACCUUUUUCAAGUUCUUUUGGUUGGCUUGAUAUAUUUGGUUGUGGGGUUUGUAGAUGUGGUGAGGGAUGAUCCUACAAACAAUGUCCCGGAUGCAAUUUUGUCGAAACUUGGAAUGCAGCUUCACAGGAGGGAUCAACACCCAAUUGGAAUUCUGAAGAAUGCAAUAUAUGAUUAUUUCGAUGCCAAUUACUCUAACAAAUUUGAUAAGUUGGAUGACCUUUGCCCAAUAGUCUCCACAAAAGAGGUUUGACCAUUAAGAUAUAAAAUAGAAAUUUUAUGCAUGUUUUUUUUUUUUUUCACUGUUUUGAGCUAUACAUUGCACUAUUUGGAACUUGUAUUAUCUUGCUAUGACUAGUGCUUGGCAUUUUGUUGCUGUUUAUAUUUAUUUUGCUGCCCAUUUCCUGUUGGUUUCUGUCCUGUCCUUGGUGUUUUAACAUUUAAGAAUCCAUGAAAGUGGUAUUUGCAUCUGUUGCCAAUUAUUCCAUCAACGAUGUUUUAAGUAGGAAACCUAGUAUCCAAACUUCCAUCCAAACUUACAUAUAAAAAAAAGUCCAGAACAGGCAUUCAGUUUACCAGGUUUAUCAAUUCUCUCCAAUGUUUAUUCAACUCUUAAAUGCAGUAUUCUGGACGUACUCCAAAUUUGAAAUUCCUUUGGUAAAAUAAAAGCAUGGUACUUACAGUGGUCUAUUAAGGAAAAUGUUUGUUUGACCUAGCUUUUGUACAAAAAAUUCAAAGAUAGUCUUGCAGAUAUGUAUCAUAUGGGUGUAUAUUUCUCUAUCAUGAUACAAGUGAGAAAAAAUUCAGGAAAGUUGUUUUGUUGAAAAAAAAAUUGAAAGUUAAUUUAUGUUUUGAGAGGGACAUUAGACAACCUAGGAUUCAAAGGGACAUGUUGUCUCUUAGGAAAAUAUAAUUCAUAACAUUCUCAAUCACUUACAAGUUAUUUUCUUCCUUUUAAAUUGAUUUAUUUAAUUUUUUUCUUUGUUGUAGGCAAGCAAAGAAUAUAUUUACAAAACCUACUAUUAUCAUUAUUUUGGUACUUAGCAUUGAUGGAGAUUGUAAAAAUUCUCUAAUAGUAUUGCAGGAGAAAAAUAAUAUUUAUGAAUUUUUGUUAAACACAAUUGUCAUAAUGAUAAUAAUUAAUUAGAAUAAUAUAAGUUUGUAAUUGGAAAAUUUUUUAAAAAUAAAAGCUUUUGGAAAUAGUUUGAAUAGGAGUAGAAAUUCUUGGAUUUCAUGGAGAGCUUAGGUGGGAUCUAUGCAUGGGGUUGUUUGCUAACUAUUUUAGUAUUUGCUGCUCUUCUCUCUUAUAGGUGUUCAGUUGCAGCUUGUAUUCUCUUAGCAUACUUGGGUUGUGCCCCCUUUUGUGUUCUUCAAUAUAAUCUUCAAGCUCAUGACUAGUGCAAUUUCUACUAAUUGAACACUUUUCACUUCAAAUAAUAUUUAGUAAUCUAAAUAGCAUUUAUCAAAUUAUUUCUAACUCGCCAUUAGAUUUAUAAAGAACCCAAAAUAUGAAAUUUUCUUCUUAGGCAUGAGAAAUUGUCAUUGUUAUAAACCCCAUGUUUGUCUUCUACUUACAAGCAUAAUUAUAAAGCAUGAUCUGCACGUCUUAUCAUGAAAUAUAACAAUGUCAUAAAAUAGAUGAUUGAUAAAAUAUUAGAAGUCCAUUGCAAAUGCUUAAUGGAACCAAAAAUUAUUACAGAGCAAGUGCAUAUUUCACUCAAACUUUUAUGCAGUAGUGGUAGCUUAUAAACUCACAACUUGGACUUUAUAUGGUGCAAAUGUAUGUUAUCAGCUAUUGCUUUUGACCAGUCAUGAGUAGAUACUAUUUAUAAAAGGACACAAAGGAGGAUAUAAUCCAAGUGCACUUGUAGUCAACAAGUUACUCUAGGCAUCAAAAUUGAAAGAAACAACAAUGAAGAAAAGCAGCAGAAAGUGCCCCUACCUCCCAAACUGUCAAUGAACUACUGGAAGGAUCUACUACUAUUCAAGAUAACUUCUUCUAAGCACAACUACAUGUAACAGUUCUUAGCCUGCGCUAUGGUGUCAAGAGGUAGGCUCAUUGGAACAUGCCUAUUUUGAUGGAUUUAAGUUUAUGGGGAUAGUUAAAGUGUAAAGUGUUUGAUAAAAUAAAUUUGCUAGUUUUGAUAAAUUGGAAUUACUACUGAAUGAAAUGUGAAGCUAGAUAUUAGGAGGAGAAAGAAAGAUAAUUAAUUUAUUUGUAUGAAACUAUGACUUAUGCAUUGUGAAGCUUAUUGGUUGGGAAUUGUUGAACAGGGGAACUUACUUAAUAGGGGAGAAAGAACCACACAUAUUUCUUGAUGAGAAAAUAUAAUUACAUUAGCCAAAGGCCAAAAAUAUAUGAGUAGUUCGCUAAUUGCAUAUUAUUGGAAAGAGUGCUGAGCAACAUAUGAUUCAUAAACUUUUUACAAUUUAAAGGCCUAGGUCCAAUGAGAUAUGUUGCAUCAUAUUACCUAAUGAACCAAUGAAGUUUAUGGAUUUCCAAAACUUCUUGGAGAGGUUCAUUAUUUUAUGGUUCUUUUUUUCUUUUUUAGGGUUCUUUAUUUUCUUUUUGCCGAGAUAUCUAGAAUAUGGCAUGGUAGGUAUUUUUGCUCCAUACCUCUUUGGAGCUCAAUUAUUUGGCAAAGUAGGAAGAAAACAAAUUAGCAUCAACUUUGGCUUGACUUGAGAUCACAAAUCUGACUAGAGAUUUUGCAGUAGUGUGUUGAGGUCUAAUCCGAAUCUAGGUUGUGAUGUGUGCAUCAAAGAGUCUUUCCAGAAGUCGUGAAGCUUUGAGGUGUUUUGUGAUGGCAUGACUAGAUAAUGAGCUGCAUUUUGGUCUGGAAUUUGGAGUUUGGUUAUGCAAUUUCUGUAUCUAUAUCUCCAAAAUUAUUAACUAAUUUUAAUUAUUUUAUCUAUUUUUCAAAAUAAACAUUCAAAAUUGAAAGUUUGUGUCACGAGUAUUCAGGCUUAUCCGGAAUAGAAUGCCCUGCAUUAACUCUUGCUGUUAAUGCAUAUAAUACCAGGUCACUCAACACAACCAUUUGCUUGCUUAUGUUGACUUUCAAUGGCUUAAAAUUUAUGGCUUCAAUGGUUAUUACCUGCUAAUACUCAAACUAAUUUUUUUUUUGCUAGGUAAAUAAGAGCUUGUAUUAGAAGCGCCUAGAAGUGGCGAAAACAAUACACAUGAAGUAUACAAACAGAUUGCCCAAGAAACUAGACAAAGAAGACAAAAAACCUUUCCCCUAACUAGACAUAUGACCACUCCAUAAAAUCAAACAUAGACAAAGUAUGAUCCUCUAUAAACACCCUAGCUCAAUUUACAAGAGUAUACAAAAAGGAAUGUUUUAAAGCUUGGUCGGACUGUUCGAUAUCAUUUAAUGCUCUUUCGUUUCUUUCCUUCCAUAAAGUCUACAUUAAGCAUAAAGGGGCGACCCUCCAAGACUUCUCCCUUCUCUUACCCACAAAGGCACCAUACUAACCAAGCAAAUUCCUUUCAAUCGAAGAAUGCAAAACCCACUGCACACCAAAAAGGGAGAAAAUCAAACUCCAAAGCAUUGUAGCCUUUCUGCAAAACAAGAUUAAAUGGUCACUGGUUUCCUCUUUCUCUGUAUACAAGCAUAUUCAAACUAAUAACUAAUAGUUAUUGGAUUUAAAGCUUGUUUGUUAAUGUUCUUCAUGGUUGUGCUUCUAUUUUUAAUCGAUUCUCUUGGCCAUCACCGUUUCCCCCUUAUUAAGAUUGGAUAUUUAAGUUUCAACAAAACAGCCUACUAAAUCCUCAAGAUAGAUCUUAUUUAUAAGGCAUGGGAGUUUUGGUCAAUGUCUGCUUCCAAAAUUCUUAUCCAUAUUUCUGUGAAUUCUUAUGCCAGAAAUUUUACUUCUUGCAGAAUUUUGAUGAUGUCUUGGUUCCUCCUGAUCACAUCAGUAGGAGUUACAAUGAUACAUACUACAUUGACUCUCAAACUGUCUUGAGGUGCCACACUAGUGCUCAUCAAGCAGAGCUGUUGAGGAGGGGACACACUCAUUUCCUUGUGACUGGAGAUGUUUAUCGUAGAGAUUCCAUUGAUUCAACUCACUACCGUGUUUUUCAUUAGGUUUCUUGUCUAUGAUUUGAUCAAUGAUUGUUUUCUAUUAACAAGUUUCUUAAUGUUUUCUUCAGUUCAAUAACUUAUCAUGCAGAUGGAAGGUGUUCGUGUCUUCUUCCAGGUGAUUGGGAUGGCACGUCUUAUGCAGCUGAGGAUUUAAAGAAAUGUCUUGAGGGUUCGGUGUAGCACUUGUUUGGUAAACUUAGAUCAGGAGAUUGUCUUAAUCAGAUGCAAACUUAAUACUAUCUGUUGAUGUUGCAGUGAGAAAUAUGGGUUAAGGAAUUAUUUUCCAGGUCUAAUAAUUCAAAAUCUGGGAAAUACUGCAAGUAAAAGGGGGGAGGGGGAAUAAUGAAAUAAUAAAAUAAUAAAUUUAAGUGGGCAAAGCAAUUCAUGUUAUGCAAAAGCAGUACAGGUUGGUCAUUUAGAAGUCAAAUCAAGAUAGUCCAGAAUAAUAUAGGGAAUUAUUUGUGAUUCUCAAGGUACUUGUUAAGAAUCAUUGACAAAUUACCUAAAGAAACAUUUAAGAGUGCUAUUAUUAUUGAAAUUUCUGAAAUCUAUCAGAAAGGUAGUUUUCAUCUUGGGGUUUACCAUAUACUGUAUAGAAUCUGCGUGGGCUAAAUGUAUUGAAAUUUGCAGGUAAUGUGGAAAUGCGCUGGAUUGAUACAUAUUUCCCUUUCACCAACCCAUCAUUUGAACUUGAGAUAUAUUUUUAGGUGUGCUUUUGAUCUGGCUGGUGGUUACAUUUUAGCACUAUAUAUUUUGAAUUUCUUUAAAACUUUGUUUUUGAACUAAUUUUAGUAGAAACAGGCUCCAUUUCAUUUUUUUGUUUUUACCUUUUGUAAGAAAGGGUAAAAAUCAUUUAAAAAAUGUGAACUUCAGUUUAUUCCAUUGCUGGCAUGUGUGGCUUUCAUAUGUUAUUGAAGACACUAAGAUUCAUAGACUGAUAAUAACAGUAAUAACAGUAAUGUUGAUGAUAAAAUAAUAUAAAAGUAGAAACAAAAUUAGUUGUCACCUUUUUUUUUUCUUUUAAUUUCUUUGUUUUUCUUACUCCUCUGAUGUCGGGAAGGGGUGUAGGGCUCUUUGUUGUCACCAAAUGUGAAAAAGAGGAUGCAUUAUGUCCUUUUAUUUUGGACUUACAGGACUUAUGAUGAAGGCAUUGCUUUCUUCAAUGUAUAUUUAUGACUUCAAGACAUUUUUGUAUUUUAUUUUAUGGCAGCAUUUUUUAGUGUCACUAUUGAAGGAGAAAUUCAUAAGCAUACAUACACACAUGUUAGUGGGCAUACACAAACACUGAUGUUCCACACAGUAAUUAAAAAAUUCUUGCUUUAAGGAGUAUCUUUUUCCAGAACGCAUGUCCAUGUCAAAUGGCAACAUGCCAAUGACUAUUUGCCAGCAGAUGGAAUGCUGGCAACACUUUUAUGGAUUGAAUGUUUUCCUUUCCCUGUUCCUUGUAGUGAAUGAUAUGUACACUUUAGUUGCUCUUACAUAUUUGAUGCAUUGUGCUUCAUGCCCUAACUAAUGUAGAACAGAAAAGUACCAGAAAAAAUGAUGGGAGUCUAGGAAUUACUUCCAAAAACCUUAGGCUUCGCAUAUAGGUUUAGUUUUCAUCACACAAAAAAGAAAACAAUGAAAGCUGGAAGCUUUUGUGUUUUCAUUCAUUGAUCCUUAUUAGAAAAAUUAGGAGAACCCAACCUAUGGUAAUCACCCUGGGGGAGGUGAAUAGGUGAUGGUCUCUUUUUGCAAAUUUAAACUAUAUGAAUGUAAGAGACAAUUAUAUGCAAGUAUAUAAUAAACAAUGUAAAGACAAUUGCAUAUAAAUUAAAAGAGUAGGGAAGAGAGAAUGCAAAUACAAGAUUUUAUAGUGGUUCGAUGCAACCUGACCUACAUCCACUCUCCUCUAGCUUCAAUCCCAAGCUUGAGGUUGCAUAUAAAUUAAAAGAGUAGGGAAGAGAUAAUGCAAACACAAGAUUUUAUAGUGGUUUGGCACAACCCGGCCUACAUCCACUCUCCUCUAGCUUCAAUCCCAAACUUGAGGUUCCACUAAUUCAAGGCUUCUAAACCAAGCCUUCAAGCAAUAUAAUUGAAUUAUGGUUCCAAUUCACCCUCUUGGACUUUUGGCUCCAAGCACCCUUUACACUUCUCAAGAGAUAUCCCAAUCUUGAACAACCCCUCAAGUGAUACCCCACACUGGAGAAACUUCCUCUCAAAGAUUUACAAAUAAAUGAUUUCACAAAAUCCUAGUACAAAAACUUUAAGCUCAAAUGAUACAAGAAAACUAGGAUUGAAAUGUGCACUAAGGAUAUGCAAGUUUUAGAAUAAUGAUAUACUCAAAAACACUCUUUCAAGGCUCAAAUAUAUUCAAGAAAGAUUUGAGAAGGUUAAGAUCUUGAAACAAUGAAGACUGAAACCUUUUUAUAACGGAAAAAAGCCAAACUAGUCGUUGGGGGUUCGACCGGUUGACUAGCCGUUAGUAUUUAAUACUUGGUAGGUGACCGUUGAACCUCGACCGGACCUCAACCCGACCUCAACCAGUUGAGGUUCAACCUUGACCGGUUGAACAACCGUUCUGGAAGAAAGAGAAAGUUUUUUGCACCCUCGACCGGUUGAGUUGGGGGUCGACCCAGACCUAGACCGGUUGAGCUGGCGGUCGACCGGUUCCUCAUCCGGUUCAACCAGUUGAGCCGUUUUUGGCUCAACAACCAAGCUUUUUUAACUUAAAACCUUUUAAAACAAGUUUGAAAAACAUUUAACACAAGGUUUUAGUUGAAAACAUGAAAUCAUCCAAUUUUUAAAAUAUUUAAAACAAAAUAACUCUUGGAUGAUUUUGGUGCAUAAGUAAAGAAUGUAAUGCAUGAAAAUCCUAGUGCACCAACAACCUUACAAAGAGAUCUUAUGAAACUUAGGUUUUAAAAAACACUUCUCUUUGAGGUGGUCUUCUUCUUCAUGAUUUCUCCUUGGCUUGAUUUGUCUUUGUGAUUGCCACUUUAGAAAUCGUUUUGCCUAAUCACAUUUGAAAUAUAAUCAUUAGUUCUAAACUUUGUUUUGUUAUCAUAAAAAUCAAGAUUAACCAAAUCUUGGUUUCACAAUCCUUUUAGAAGAUAGAGUGAUUAGCUUUGUAAAUACAACCCUAAGACCCCUAACACUCUUUGGAACCAAUCACAGUAAUAAUAAAGCUGAGAAAUCAGAAACUUGAACUAAUAAAUAAAAAUUAAAAGGCACUUGCAAAUAUAAAGCAUUAAUGACUUUGGAAAUAAGAACACUCCAAUACCCCCCACGCCCUUUGGAAAACUCAACCUUGACAAGUUAAAGGCAUGAAAUUUCUCAUAAAGAUCACAAUUCAACUGCUGAAAUUCAUUGCUUGUGAUCCACAUACAAUCUCAAAGUGGCAUUUCUCUCCAUUUAACAAGAUACUUUUGAUAACCUCCUCUUCUGGUUGAAACAAUUUAGUGAUUAACAACUUUUCAAUCUUCUCUUUCAAUCAAGGGGCUGGUAGAAGAUGACCAUUUGGACCAUUAAUUGAUGUAGUAACUUUAGGAUUAGGAUAAAGGGUGUGGUCUUCAAUAUUAGAGAUCUUAUUAAUGCCCAUAUUUUCUGGCAAGUCAAGUACAUAAGCGUUGGGACUUGUUUUCCUAAGAAUUUUAUAGGGACCAACUUUCUUUGAGUGGAGUUUCUUAUAGGCACCUUUAGGAUAUUGUUCAGGCCUUAGUCACACAAUAACCAUAUUACCUUCAAUAAGUUCAGCAAAUUUUCUUUUCACAUCAUUGUAUGACUUAUUUAUUUAUUUGAUGGGCAAGCGGGAAAACACAUGUAAUCAUAUGACUUAUAAUUUCAUUGAUGAAAACAAUUUUCAUUGAACAUGAUAAUGUAUGUCAUCUAUAUGCUCACUAAAAGCAUCGGCUUCAAUGCUAGGUCAUGCAUCCAUUGUUAAAGGAACCAAAUCCAUAGGCUUUCUAGGAAGUGAUUCAGUCACAAUCUCGAAAGGACUAUGACUAAUAGACCUAUUCAAGGAGCUAUUAUUUGUAAAUUCGGCCAUUGAUCUGAUCUCCAACUAGGCAAUGAAGUAAAUGAUGCAAGCUUCAAUUAACAACUUCUAUUUGGCCAUCUCUUUGAGGGUGAAAAGCAAAAGAAAACUUUAGUUUGGCAUUUAGUAUUUUCCAUAAAGUUCACCAGAAGUAACUCAUGGACCUACCAUCCAGUUUAGGAAAAUCAUGAAGGCGAACAAUUUCCUUGAAGAAGAGUUUGUUUUUUUUUUUUAUAAGUAUUCCUUGAAGAAGAGUUUAACAAUCAGGCAACAUCUUUAGUCCUUAAGCAUGGGAUAAAUUGUACCAUCUUGGAGUAAUGAUUUAUCACUACAAGUAUGCAAUCAUGUCUCUGAUAGUUUUUGGCAAACCAGGGACAAAAUCCAUGCGUAGGUCUAGCCAUGGUUCAUGUGGCACAGAAGUGGCAUGUAUAAACCUGUAUUCUUCCUUUGCCUCUUUGAUAAUUUGUAGGUUUGAUGUCUGGAGACAUUCUUAGCCACAUCUUUUUUCAGACUUGGUCAGUAAAAAUGAUUUUCCACCAUUGUAAUGGUUUUAUCUCUUCCAAAUUGACCGGUUGUUUCUCCAGCAUGACGAAAUGAUGUUUUGGGUAAGCAAAGCCGAGUCCCUUUGAAGCAAUAUCAAUCAUGUAAAAAAUCACCAUAUUUUCCCGAAUUUCCAGGCACUAAAGCAACGCAUAUAAUGCUAAAAUCUUUGGAAGAAGGAUAAGGUCUCUUAAAUGAGUCAAAUCCAACAACUUGUACAACAAUAGAAGAAAGAGUGAAUGCCAAUUUGCUAAGAGCCACUGCAAAGAAUUCUUUGUCAUAGGUACAAUAUUUCUGCUUUGCUUCAUUAAGCUUUUUGCUAAGAAAUGCAAUAGGGACACCUCUAACUCUUAUAUUUGAUGCAUUGCAUGCCGCUUCUAACACCUCCCGGAAAAUUUGGAAGCUGCAAAACCAGUGCUUCAAUUAACAUUUUCUCAAUUUCUUUGAAAGCUUGUGAUGUUGCCUUGGUCCAAUUCAACUGAUUUUCUUCAUACAAUAAAUUAUAGGGGCUGUAACAUUGCUGAAACUUAUGAUGAAAUGUCCAUGGAACAUUUCUAGCCCAUGGUAACUUUGUACUUGUUGUGAUGUGUUGGGAAUUAGGAUGGCUUUUACUUCAUUCAUACUUCCAAUCCUUUUGCCAAAACAACAAGCCUAAGAAUACUACUGCUGAGAUCAUGAAAGAGCAUUUCUUGAAAUUUAUGUAGAGCUUUUCUUGGCGAACAACUGUCAUAACUUGCCAUAGAUGGGAGAUGUGAUCUCCUUUGGUCUUGCUGUAAUUAAGAUGUCAUCAAAGUAAACAACCAGGAACUUUUCAAUAAAUGGCUGAAGUACUUGAUUUAUGAAGCACAUGAAUGUGCUAGGGGCAUUUGAAAGGCCAAAAGGCAUGACUAGCCACUCAUAGAGGCCAUCUUUUGUUUUAAAGUCCGUCUUCCAUUCAUUUUCCAAUAUACUGCUUAUUUGAUGAUAUCCACUCUUUAAAUCCAUCUUUGAAAAUAUGCAAGAGCCAGCCAUCAUGUCAUAUCUAACAUAUGAUUGAAUCAAGGGAUAGGAAACUGAUACUUGAUGGCUAUCUUGUUAGUAGUGUGACUGCCAACUACUAUCUUUUUUUUUUGUGUUAGCAAGGCAAAGACAACAUGAGGGCUUAAACUUUCAUGAAUAGUUCCCUUGGACAGCAGCUACUCUACUUGUCCUUUUAGUGCUUCAUGCUCACUUGGAUUCAUAUGAUAGGCUGGAAGAUUAGGCAAUUGAGGCCUUGCCAUAAAAUCUAUAAGCAUGCUGAAUGUUGUGCAGAGAGGAAAGUUUUUUAGCAACAACUAUGGUAGGUCUUUUCGAGCAACAUCUAUGGUAGUUCUUUUUUAGCAACAUCUAUAGUCAUCAGGAUCAUAGGCUCUAUAAUCAAAUGAAUUUCGGUUUCUUCAUCUUUUUGUUGUUCUUGUUCUUCUUCAUGCUCCAUUCUGAUGUACAAAUUGUUCUUUGGACAAUUUAGGUUAUUUGGCUGGGUUGUUGACACUUAAAACACCUAUUAACCUUACCCUUAGGAUUAACGACAUUAGAAGAAUACAACUUAGACCCUGUAGGUUGGAUAAAUGGCUUGAAUUGGCCUAUUCUUGCACUGCAACCUACAUCAGUGAACCUCUUUGCACUGGUUCUAUGGAUGAAACUCACAUCCCAAGUACUCCUCCAUAUCUAAUGCAAAUUGAAAAACAUGUUCUAGGUUGUAUAAUAGCUUUCAAGGGAGAUCUGGCUGAGGGAGGGGGAUAGAAACACGGGUUUCUUCCAUCAUAUGGCAAACGCUCAUCAUAGAAACAAUUCUUUGGACAGAAUUAAGAUAAAUGGGGAAUGGCUUUCAGAGGAGCAGGAGAUUAGGGAAGGAAUUGCUAAUGCUUUUCAUCAGCUGCUAUCAGAAGAUACGGGGUAGAAGGCGGACAUUGGGAGGCUUCAGCUUGAUCAAAUCAGUCAGCAAAAAGCAGAGAAUCUGGAGAGUCUUUUUACAGAGAAUGAAGUUCAUAUAGCUUUGAUGGAGAUGAAUGGGGAUAAAGCCCCUGGUCCAGAUGGCUUUACUAUGGUUUUUUGGCAAAGUUGUUAGGACUUUGUUAAAGAUGAGAUCCUAGAAAUGUUCAAGGAAUUCCACGAGCAUAGCUCUUUCCUCAAGAGCCUCAACAAUACUUUUCUGGUUUUGAUUCCUAAGAAAAGUGGGGCUGAGGACCUUGGAGAUUUUAGACCUAUUAGUCUUCUGGGGGGGCGGGGCUUUAUAAGUUAUUGGCUAAAGUGCUAGCUAACAAGCUGUAGAAAGUGGUUGGAAAGGUGGUCUCCACUUCUCAAAAUGCCUUUGUGAUGGGAAGACAAAUUCUUGACGCUUCUUUAAUUGCAAAUGAAGUGAUAGACUCAUGGCAGAAACAAAACGAAAAGGGCCUUAUUUGCAAAUUGGACAUAGAAACAACUUAUGACAGCAUCAAUUGGAAGUUUUUGUUGAAGGUUUUGCAAAAGAUGGUCUUUGGGUCUAAGUGGUUGGGGUGGAUGUGGAGUUGCUUGUCUUCAGCCAAAUUCUCAGUUUUGGUUAAUGGGGUGCCUUCUGGCUUCUUCCCUAGCACUAAGGGCCUUAGACAAGGAGAUCCCCUAUCUCCUUAUCUCUUUGUUAUAGGAAUGGAAGUGCUGGAUGUUCUUAUCAGGAGAGCCGUGGAGGGGGGAUUUUUAUCAGGGUGUAACAUUAGGGGUGGUAGCAGAUCCUCUUUGAACAUCUCCCAUUUAUUUUUUGAUAAUGACACAAUUGUGUUUUAUGAGGCUAGUAAGGAGCAUCUAACUCACUUAAGUUGGAUUUUACUCUGGUUUGAAGCGGCUUCAGGUCUAAGGAUUAACUUAGUUAAAAGUGAAAUUAUUCCAGUUGGAGAGGUGAAGGAGAUUGAAGAGUUGGCUGUUGAGUUAGGUUGUAAGGUGGGGUCCUUACCCUCUCAGUAUUUGGGACUUCCUCUAGGGGCUCCUAAUAGAGCUUCUUAUAUGUGGGAUGAGGUGGAAGAGAGAGUAAGGAGGAGACUUGCGCUAUGGAAACCACAAUAUAUCUCCAAAGGGGGAAGAAUCACUUUAAUAAAAAGUACUUUGUCUAGCAUGCCAAUCUAUCAAAUGUCUAUUUUCAGAAUGGCCAAGAUUGUUGCUAGAAGGCUAGAGAAAGUGCAAAGGGACUUCCUAUGGGGAAGGGGAAAUCUGGAGGGGAAAAUUCAUCUAGUUAAUUGGGAGGUGGUUUGUACAGACAAGGAAAAGGGUGGGCUAGGCCUUAGGAAGCUAGCCAUGUUGAACAAAGCCUUGCUUGGAAAGUGGAUAUAGAGGUAUGCUUGUGACAAAGAUAAUCUUUGGAAACAAGUGAUUACGGUGAAGUAUGGGCAAGAGGGUCUUGGAUGGAGGCCAAAGAAGGCUAAUGGGGCGGUUGGAGUAGGGGUUUGAAAGGAGAUUUGGAAAGAAUCAGAUUGGUGCUGGGAUAACAUGAUAUUCCGAGCUGGGAAGGGCACCAAGAUCAUAUUUGGACAGAUGUUUAGUGUACCGAUACAACAUUGUCCCAUUGCUUUCCUCAUCUCUUUGUCAUGGCUGUUCAAAGGAGUUCAACGGUUGAGGAAAUGUGGGACCAAAAUUCUAGUCAAGGAGGUUGGAACCUAAACUUUUUGAGGGACUUCAAUAAUUGGGAGCUAGAUAUGAUUGGGGAUUUGCUCCAUGUGCUGAGGGGUCAUAGGCCUUCUUUGGAGGAAGACUCAGUUUUUUGGAGGCAAGGAAGAAAUGGUUAGUUCAGGGUUAAGGAAGCUUAUAGCUUGUUGACCAAUCCUAAUGAAAUCGGCUUUCCUUCAAGAAGUAUUUGGGUGGCUAGGGUGCCAACUAAAGUCGCCUUCUUUGCUUGGGAGGCGACGUGGGGGAAGGUGCUUACUCUGGAUAGACUAAAAAGAAUAGGGGUGCAACUUCCGAAUUGUUGUUUUUUGUGUGGGUGUGAAGAAGAAAAUGUAAAUCAUAUCCUUAUACAUUGUAUAGUGGUUAGAGUUUUGUGGGAUAUUGUCCUUGGGUUAGUAGAUGUUAAAUGGGUCUUUCCAGAAACUGUAAAGGAGGUCUUAAUUAGCUGGAGGGGCUCCUUUGUGGGGAAGAAAAGGAAAAAGGUUUGGGAUUCCAUUCCAUUGUGUAUUUUUUGGACGGUAUGGAAGGAGAGGAAUAGAUUAGCUUUUAGGAGGGGGUGUGUUGAAUAUUCAGAAGUUAAAGAAUUUUUUUGUCUGUAACUUGUGGAGUUGGGCCAAAUUGUAUUUUGGUGAGGAGUCUUUCUCUCUUAUAGGCUUCCUGGAGUGGGUAGCAUCCACUUAAGGGGAGGUGAUUCUUUUUAUCUUUGUUUUUUGAGGCCCUAGCCGCCUUGUAUACCCCCUGUAUGCUUUGUGGCUUUUUGCCUCUUUAUUAAUGCAUUUCCUUUUACUUAUAAAAAAAAAACAAAAAAGUUCUAGGCUGUAUAAUGGUUGAUGCAUCAACUCUCUUCUCAUUUUAGGUCUCAAUCCAGCUUUGAAUCAUGCAAGAGUUUGCCCUUGGAUCUUCUACUAUUUGACUCCAAGUCUUUAGCUCAUGAUAUCUUUGCAUGUACUUUGGUCUCUACAAUAGACAUGUUGUUCUGAUUCAUAGUAAUGAGGUGAUUACAUAACUUAUUACAAUAAUUGAUCCUGUAUGUAUUUUUCACAUAGCUUAUCCUUCAUCUCAUGCCAUGUGCUGACAGGUGGUAGCCUCAUCUUCCCAUCUUCCUAGUAUCUCUUUCAACAUCUGUCCACUAAUCUUUUGCUAAGCCUAUUAGUUUCAUUUUAGUAAACCACCCUCUCUAUUCAUCAUUCAUACAUACCAAUCAAAACAGUCCUCAAUUGUAGUUAGCCAAUCAAGAAAUUGAGUAGCAUUGCCCUUCAAAUUAGAACUUCUCCUUUUACUUUCCUUGUGAUAUCUUCAGCAGUUUCACAAGGUUUGCACCUUGUUUCAGGUAGUCCUCUAGCCCAUUCAGAUAUAGGAUAUUGUGGUGCAUGUCCAAUGUUCCUCCAAGUUUUUGUUGUUAUUAAUUUGAGAUAAUUCUCCUUGCACAACACGUGCUAAAUCAUUAGUGGGCUGAGAUAUUUGUGUCUCAAUGUUGCUUAGUCGAAUAUGCAGGCUAUCAAGCUGUUCCAUCACCACAUAGUAUCUCAUCAUGUUGACUAUUAGAUAAAUCUAUUUUGAAACUCUUGCUAGGUCUUGUAAUCAUGAUCUCAACUUGCUUUGAUGCCAAAAUUGAUGCUGAACAGAAAGGUAAAAGAAAACAUGUUGGGACUCUAGGGAUCACUUCCAAAUCUUAGGCUUCACACUUAAGUUCAGUUUGCAUCACGCAAAUAAGUUGAACUAUCAUAGUACGAUUGGUUCAUAAUAAGGUGUCAUCUGAUUGGUUCUCGUGGAGACAACUUGUGAUCAUUCAAACUGGAGGCUGCACCUGAUUGAUUACAUUGAAAGUUGGAAGGUUUUGUAUGAGAUAAAUGAACCAACUUUAUACACUAUAACUCUAGACCUUAGACUCUUUUAGAGCUAAUGGCAAUACUAAUGAAGUUGGAAAAUCAACAAUGUGAACUGAUAAAAAAAAUUGAAAGACUCUUGAAAAUGUAAAGCAUUAAUGAUUUUGGAAAUAAGAACACCUGUGAUCCUUUGACUAAACUCAUAAACAAAACUUAGACUGAAAUCCACAUUGAAGUAUAUAAAAUCCCGACUGGGCCUAUUAUCAUCCAAAGUAUGCCAAAUCAUAAUUUGGGCCUUAAGAGUCCAAUCUCUAUGCAUUUGUUAACCUUUCACAAGUGAUUGCCACUUGUCUUCAUCGCUAACAAACACGAUUAUAGCAUCAAAGAAGGGCCAUGUCCCCAAAUCUGGCAGUAAAAGUUCUUUUUACAAGCUAACCUCAGGGAUCCAAUUACUACAUUAUUGUGUUAACCAUGAACAUUGGUGCUCCUGUUCUGCUUGCAUGGUUACACUGAACCUGCUAUCCAAAUGUGUUGGUUGACCAAAUGAGAAACUCUAGGAAAAUGAAUGAAUUCAUAGUGACAUAGCUACAUUGAAUGCAACUUGUGUGUUUGUGUGAACAGGAUUGGGGGAGUUAAAGAGAGUUUUUAGAAGGGAGAAUACCUUUUUAAUUGGUCUUAGUGUUCAGUAUGCAGCUGGUUCAGUGAUCAAGAGGCCAGUUUAUAAUACAAUUUUCUUGAGAUUUUUAUUGAAGUGAUCCCUUGAAAAGUCAGGCUACUUUUUCAAGAAGUAAAUGUUUUAUCUUGGAGGUUGUAAAAGAUGCAUUCUCAGAAUAGGUGCCUUGAUUAUGUUUCUUCAGCAGAAGAACCUACAAUUAGGGUCCUGUGUAUAUCCUUUCUUGGAAUUUUCAUAACUUUACCAGUAUUAACUUUCUAUUUUAGGACUAAACUGUUCAGCAAAUCUAUGGAAAAGACUAAAGAGUAAGUACUAAGUAGUUCCUCCAAGGGCUGCCAAAAAGCACUUCCCAAGGCCAUGAGCCAAAACUGGGCCACAUGGAAAGGGGUUGUAACAAGUCACUUGACUUGGGGUUGUUAGAGGCCAUCAUUAGUCAAGAUUGGUUUUAGAUUUAACUUUAGGAAUUUAUUUAUUUUCCUGAUUCCUAUUUUAUUUUUAGUUACAAAAUCAUAUUUGACUCUUGUUUUCCACUCUAAAUUCACAAUAUGUGAACCUUUUUUUUUUUUAUCAGAAACGAAGAAGAUUAUAUUAAUAUAAAAACAAAUACAGGAGAAAUAAAAGAAACAAGAGAAAGAGAAAAAAAACCAAGGGAAGGAUGAGAGGUCUUUUCUACACAAAUUGAACAAAGGAGAAAACUCCCAACAAUAGAACUCUAAAAACAAAGAGAAACCCCAUCAAUUUUCAAACUUUUGAAAUGCAAACCCCAAUCCAAUUGAGUUGUAGAACAUUUAGAGGAACUCCUCUAAAAGCUUCAGUACAAGAAGCCCAUAGAGAAGAAUAAAACCGAAUCAAAUCCCAUACCAUCUCUUCCGUUCUCUCUCUAUCCUCAAAGAUCCUAUUGUUUCUCUCUUGCCACACCAUCCAAAUCAAAGUAAGGCAAGCAAUUUGCCAAAGUGUCUUGCCUCUUAAUGAGUUCCCCAAGCCUUUAAAAGUAAUAACCAACAUAUCCUCAAGGCUCCUUAGAGGACCCAAACCAACCCUACUAGAUUGAAUAACCUGUGCCAAAGUCCAAUGGUAACGGGACAAUGAAGAAAAAGGUGGUCAAUCGAUUCUCCAUUUCCUUUGCAAAGAAUGCACCAUUGAGGACAGAGGGCUUUGUAGGGUCUUCUCAAUUGCAACUUGUCAUUAGUGUUUACCUUCCCAUGUUCUACUAACCAAGCGAGGGCCUUAACCUUUGAAGGGACUUUUGAGCUCCAUAAGAACUUGGCCGGAAGGAACAAUAAAGGAUUUGAGACUUUUGACAAGGCCAAGAAAAAAGAUUUCACUGAAAACAAACCUAACGAAGACAAAGACCACGCUCUUGAAUCUGAUGAAGAAGUAGAGAAAAACACAAAACUAAGGGAGGACAUUAAUCUCUUAAGGAAAUCAAUUUCUGAAUCCGUUAGAUUGCGGCGAAAAUUAAAAUUCCAAGACAGUGGUAAGGAAUUGCCAAGGACAUUUAAGACAGUGAGGUUUUUCACAGAAAUAACUCUAUAAAGAUCAACAAAUUGAGAGCACAAAGUUUGGUUACCCCACCAAAGAUCUUCCCAAAACCAAAUUCUCUCCCCAUUGCCCACUACUAGGCGGACAAAAGGGGAAAACUCCUGGAAAACUUGAGCAAUAGCCUUCCAAGGACAUCUGUGUGACCAUCUAACCACCAUGUUGGUGUUCCAUCCAUUUGGAUGUGUCCCAUAUACUCGCAAUAACCUUAUGCCAAAGACCACUUGUGGAUCCGCAUUUUUCACGUGUGCCCCCAUUCAAUCGGCGAGACUCGCUUUUUAUUUGUGAAAAAGUAAUUUUUAGAAAAGUUGGAGUCGCCAGUUAUUUUAUUUUAUUUUAAAGGGAAAAUAAAACCCUAAAAAAAGAUGACUCCAUAAUAUUUGGAAAAGCGUGUCUUUGAAAAACUCAAGUCUAAGUCUGAGGAUAAAGUUACCUAUUAAGAAGGUACCUCUAGGAGGUAGCACCCCUCUAAGCCCUAUAAAGGUCUCUACUCACUAAGUUAAGGGAGAUAAGGCAAUUAAUUGAUUAAUUGAGGGUACCUAGGUAGACUAAUGUGAUUUCAAAAAAUAGCAUGUCAAACAAGAUCAAAUCACAAUAAAGGAGAGUUAGGGUGUGUACCUGAACCGCUUCUUAAGCACCAUCAAAAGGGAUCAAAGGUUAGUUUGAAAAUAUGACACGUAACAUGCAUUUUUAUCAAAGAUGAUCAAACAAGCAUCAAGGCAAUCGAGUAUGACAUCAAACAUGGACAUGGCUCAUGAUAACAUACACAUUCAUAGAAUUUUAGAGUUGAAGGGGUAGAAAGAGCGUAUCUGAUUAGCGAGCAUCCACACCUCUAUGGGAAACAAGGGUAGCUCAACAAAUAAAUACAAAACAAAUUCAUGUAUUUCAUCAAGAGGAAUAAAAAAUCAAUCAGAUAUCAAGCAAACAAUAUUGAAGAGAAUAUCAUGAAUGUCGGGCCCCCCUCUAAAGGCCUAAUUAAUGUUGCAUGAGUUGAUUCUAUGAAUUCCAUUGUUUGGAAUCAUGAAGUUCGUUCAUGCUUAAAAAAAUCAAGAAAACCAAGAAAAAUGUUGAAAGACCCAAAAGAUGCAUGCCUAAAUGAAACAUGGUAGCAAGGGUUUUUAAAACUGAAUUUUCUCAACCUGAAAUCCUUCAAUGAUGAAAUUAAAAAAUGAAUAAUAGCUUUGAUGGAAAAGAGAUUUUGAAAACGUGAUUCAAAACAUGUAAGAUCACAAGGAAAUAUAAAAGCAAUAAGGGAAUGGUGCAUCAAGAUGGCCACUGUAUGAGUGAGGUCUGGGGGUGUGACUGAGACUACUUUGCUAAAUUUGAAGAUGAUUUCCUUAAUUCCAUUCUGCUGCAACAUUCUGAUACGCCUCAAUAAUUCAGGCACGUUCAUCUCCUUGGCCAUCUGAAACAAGCUCCAUGGUUUGCAGAUAAUUAUAAGUCUCAUGAAUGCAGGAGCAAUCAUUACCUAUUUCCAGUAAUUAACAUAUUUAACAUCCUGUUCACGAGUCAUGCAACCUGGUUAACCCACCAGAUUGCAAAGAAUUAAUGCCAAGUAAAUUCUAUGAGGAACAAGUGGGUGUCACGAUUCUCAAUUUUUGAAGCUUCAAUCACAGACUACACAAAUAGUUGACUUUCAUUAAGUUCGUCAUCAUCAUCAUCCACACAACCAGGUUGUUGUUUCAAUUCAGUGUCAAGUUGGUGAAUCUUCUUCUGUUUUAGCCAUAUAGGAAGCCUUUUCGAUUGUAAAUCCGGAAUGACAUCAAGCUUAAUCUCCAAUUCUGAACCCUCAAGGUACAGUUUCUUCAUUGAGCCUUUAUUACUUUUCCUUUACUGAUAUUACAGUAGUUCAACUCAGGCAGCCAACUUAGCGAAUUAAGCAAGCAUUUGUUGAGAAGACGUUCAGUUCAUUUAAACAGCAGAGAUGCUUCCCAAACACUUUGAGAAGUUAUAAAAGGAUUUCUCACCAAUCUGCUCACUGUCCUCCAUAUUUAAAAGUCCCUUUAGCCAUCUCAGUUGUGAAUCUUCAAAUCUAUGAUCCUAAUCUGUCCGGAUAAUUUCCCUCCUAGCAAAUUCGGGAAUCGACUUAGAAUUUCUAAGAUGUUCAAGGUCUUCCUUGAGUUUUGAAUACCCUAAUUUCAAUAUAGAAACCUUUUCUGUAAGAACCUUUCCUGAAGCAAUCUCAACAGCAAGUUGUUUAGCGAACUUUUGUGUUUCAACGCCUAUUUCAUCAACAUGACUUUGUAGAGAGCUUACCUCCAGCUUAAGCUCAAUAAUAGAAGACUCCGCAACUUCCAAGCUUCCUUUAAGCCUAUUGCUCUCUUCAUAAGAAAUUGACAAGUCAUUAUCCACAGAAUUGUCUAGACUCCGUCCAUGAACCCAAUCAUUGCUUCUCUGUGCCAAAAACCUUUGAUCUGAUGGGCCCUCUUUCUCUGUCUGGGGACUUUGAGUGUAGGAAAGUCCAUUUAAAUCACCAGAGGUUGCAUUCUUAAGACUAUCGAUCUCAUGUGUGCUGGAGGUAUCAUGCUUUUCAGUUUAUAAAAUUUCUGAUGUAUUGAAUGAGCCAUCAAAUCUAAUAGCUGAGUCUGAAUAUUCUUCAUUUAAUCCUCCCUCUUCUUCAAGUGAAGGAAGCUCUGUUGAUUCUGGUUUGAAUCUAACCUUUACAUUGACCUUAUCCAUGUGUUCAUUGACAGUUUCUUCGGAUGAUAAUGCUUCUCCUCCGUUAGAUCCAUCACGCCUAAUUUGUCCAGUGUUCAUCUGCAACCCUCUCUCUCUUUGUUCCCUCUGCUGCUCAAACUCUCUGAACCUGAUUUUAGAAGUUAACAGCUGCACAGUAACAUGUAAUACAGUCCCAGAAUUGCAUCCAUGAAGAGGCAGUGCAACAGUAGAAGGCUUUAGGGCAUUGGAAUAAUCAGCAAGGUUGAUAUUAGCCUCACCCAGGAUAUUAGACCAUGAAGAACCCAUUGCCACUAUAACUUUACAGAGCUUCUCAUCGUACUGCUUGGUUAGACUUGUUUGAAAGCUGAGCGUUCACAUCAGCUUUCAUACGUCGCAGGAGGUAUGGCAUACUCAAGUCACGUAGGACUACUGCACACUUGUAAAUGGUGGAUGCAUGUAAUGGAGAAGCAUUGGCAUAGCCACCAACAGAUAUAGGAACUGUAAAUUCUGCUUCAAAUAUAUGCAACAUCCCCAAAUUCCCAGAGAAUAUAAAAUCGAACAAAGACCACAGCUCAGCCAGCUUAUUCUGAAUUGGCGCACCAGUCGUUAUAUGGUGAAGGGUCUGUAACUGUUUAUGGAGUAUGCUAACUCCAGCAUUUGAAUUCCAAAUUCAGUGUUCUUCAUCUAAAAUUGCAUAACCCGUUUGAUAUCAAGUAGCUUUCCAGCCUGGAUGGUCUUGCCAAGUCCCAUCUCGUCUCCAAUAAUUCCACCUACUUGUUGGCGAUGCAGUUCUCACAGCCACUGAACCUCCACCUUUUGAUAAUAAAAAGGUUUACUGAAAAUGCUUUUAGGUAUUCUCAGACCACCUUCAAGUGUUACAUAAGGGGGGUUCAUUAUCGUCUGUAUUUUCAGUAUCUUUUUGGUUUACUUCUUCAUUACUAGAGGUCACUAAAUUGUCACUUGUAUCUUUCAUCAUGAUCUGCCUCCUCAAAUUCUAAGAUUAAAGCACCUGCAGAAACAUUCUGAGCUAUGUCUAUGCUGGAAGAUGGACAAGACUGCCUCUUAACUUCACUUCGAACAGCUGGAGUUUCUGAACCCUUACGAUUUGGAUGGCAAGGUGGCUCUGAGGGGAGCCAAUUUCUAAUCAGACGGCACAGCCUUCGAAUCGCAGUUUUCGCUGUAAGAAGUGGAACAGAUUCACCAAGAGAUGCAAGACUUUGAUCCAGUUUUAGCGUAGAAUUUUUAGAACCAGUCAUUUUCAAUCUACUCACUAUACAUUCUGAUUCAAACAAAAAUCCUUUCGAUCGAAUGAGUUUCGUUCCAUCGCCUACCACAAUCUUUUUUUUAAUUUUGAACAUGAGAGAAAGAGAGCGUCAUAAAUUUUGUUUUGAUUUUCCCAUUUCAAAUAGCAUUUGCCUCAGCUUUUUGAGAAUAGCUUCAUCAUCUGGCCUGGCCAUUUUCAAUGCUUCUGGGAGAUUCUUACAGCCUGCAUCAUCUUGAUCACUUGGUUUGCUGUGAAAAUUGUUUGUUUGUAUGAGAGGAGCAAAUAUCGAUUCUGCAUUCGGUGUACAGGUGGUUGCCAGAAACUCCAGUCUUUAAACACAAAUUGAGUCUUCAUCAUAGGGUGGAUGCUAUUGAAGCAUUAGAAAUCCUUCAAUUAAAUUGUUUGAGCAUUCCAGAACCUUUUGGCAGAGUAUCUUCCAGCGCUAUGGGAGACAAAGGUUAAAUGCUUGGCUGGAUUUAUGGCAGCACACUCUUCCAGUGAUGCGGCGAUUUCGACGUGUUCCUGACUGAUUUCAAGAGCAUUUUUGCUGCUCUUUGUGGUCAAUAGUCUGACCAACAAAAACUUCAACACUUGUAUUAACUGGAAAGUUCAUCAGCUGAUGGCCAAGAGAAUCCCAAGAUCUGCCUCAAAAUGGGUUUAGUUCUGAUGCGAAUGCUGCUCUCUCUUUUUUUUUUUCUCAGGUAAUCUGUUGAUAAAGCUCACCAAAUUUUCACAUUCAACCCGAUCUUCCUCCCUCAGAGCAAAACUGGUUAGAGAAGACCUCCCAGGAAGGAGUUGUCCAUAUGUUUGAACUAGAGUUAUUUCAGGGACAGCAGCUAAAAUUUUCAACAUGGAAUGAGUGAGUGUACAAGGAUGACGCUUGAAAAUGAGGUUUAAGGCCCCAAUUUUUCCUCUUUCAGCGAGUGCAACAGCAGCUCAUCAGAAGGCCACUUUCUAGAGAGAAUGGACGGAGUAAUAAGAUUCUUGGUCAUUCGUUGCAUAAGCAUCAACCUGGUACUCUGGCUAGGGGGCCAUAGUUUGAUUGACAUCUUGCGUUAUUGAAGAUUUUGGGCAGUGGAGUCCAUGUCAAAGAAACCUAUGUUUCUGGGAAAACCUCUUUCUGGGAGAUUUUGGGUGAUUUUGAGAAGGUUAUGGAAAAAUUAAAGGGGAAAACUGAAGGAAAAUUUCUGAAACCAAGGAGCAUGGAAACUGAUCCUUUUGGGGCAGCAUGUCAAAUGCCCUCCUUGCCAAGACUAGAGCAUCAUAUUUUGAGUGCAUAUUUACAAGUGCACCACUCACAAGUACCUCUUUGCUAACUCAUGCUUGAAGAGCAUACCCAUGAACUUCCUUUCCUUUUUCUAAGGAAUGAAGAGCAGAACAUGCAGUUAGAGCUGCAGUUAAAGUCAUUUGAUCUGGUCUAAUUUCUUCUAAUAGCAUCUCUCUGAAUAGCUGAACAGCUUGUUCUGCAUGGUCAUGCUCUGAAAACCCAGAGAUCAGGGAGGCCCAUAAAACAUAUUCUUUGUCAGGCAUUUGCUCAUAAACUGUGCAAGAUUCCUCUAAACUACCACAUUUUGAGUACACUGUGGAAAGAAAACUGCCCACAGAAAUAUCAGUAAACAAGCCAAUUUUAAUAAUGCAGCAAUGAAUCCGUCUCCCCAAACUUACUGUCUAUUAUGCUCAAGACACUAGAACUACAAAACUUAUCAGGUCUCAGACCCUCCUGAAGCAUCUCCUGAAACAAUUCAACUGCCUUUCCAGUACUCCCACUUUGAGCAAAGGUGGAUAUCAUAACAGCCCACGUGGCUAGAUUCUUUGUACUUUCCAUCUCUCCGGACACCCUUUUAGAUAAAUCAACCACUCUUAUUUUUGAAUACAUAUUGAUCAAAGUAUAACUUACAGUGGAAUCCAAAUUAAUAGAACCCAGUUUUGAAAAUCUAGGAAUGUAGUUAGAUUGCCUCUUUAUUCAUAGCUGGUUUAGCGCGAACAGUAAGUACACUAGUUAUGGGGUAGUUGCCUAUUUUCUCUCCUACUUUUCUCAUUUCUUUGAAGAAGUGGAAAGCAGAAAAAAAAGCUGUCAUCCUUUUGAACAAAAACAGAAAUGGUGGUAGUCCAAGAAACUACAUUACAUAUUGGCAUUCACAAAAAUUCUUUCACAGCUUGAUCCAUAUCCCUGAAUUUGGCAUACAAAUCAAUGAUGGCAGUCCCCACAAAAACAUCUUCUCCUGCACCACAUUUAAUUACUCGUCCUUGAAUCCCUCUUCCAAACUCAAGUUCCUCAAGCGCAGCACAAAUUGUUAAAAUGCUUGAAGACGUAAAACUAUUUGGCAUAAAAAAAAUCUGCAACACAUUCGGCAGAAAAGAUCUAAAGCAACCCAAUUUUCCUUAUUUUUAACAACCCCAGAAAUGAUAGCAUUCCGGCAAACCACGUUCUCACAUAAAACGUCUUGAAACACCUUCAAAGCUGCAAAGCUUUGUAAACAAAUUAAUCAUUCCAGCCUGAACAUACCCAUUUGAGAAGAACCCAUUUUUCAAUGCGAGUGAAUAUACCAAUUCACCAUACAAAGGAGACCCUAAGGCAGUACAAGCCGAAAGAACACUCCCAUAGGUGAACUGGUUGGGAUCAAAUCCUAGAAAAAAAAACUCCAUCUUACAACAAAAAAAUCCUCCACGAAUCCUCAAAUUAAAAGUUCUGGUUGCAACCUGAAAUCGCAAUAUCCCAAGAAAUAACAUUUGGGUGAGGAGUUUUAUCAAACAAUCUGGGUACAUGAACCAGGGAAUUGGAUUUACAAUACCAAUCCAUUAAAGAAUUAACUAUUCAAAGUCAGUGAUCCCUCUCCAUAUGAUGAUAAGAUCAGCAGAGCAUGGCAACAAGGUUGCUUCCAUAAGGAUCAUCAGUUGCAGUAUAAACUCCCAUUUUCUAACAGAAACGAAAAUCAAACUUCCAGAAUUUCUCCCAUUUUUCCAAGGUCGGUGAUGUGUGAUGGAUCCAGAUUUCAAUGAUGCGUGUUCCAGAUUUCUGCAGUUCACUGGAGGAACCUUGGAAUCAACUAUCCAAUAUUUGAGUGAGAUUGUUGCAUACUUCAUCUCUCAUAUUAACACUUCCGUCAUUCCUCAAUAUACGCCCAAAUGCAAUGACAAAGACUCGGACAGCAUGCAGGAAAUGGGAUAGAGAAGAAAUAAAAACGAAGUAAAACUCGGAGAAGGAAGGAGCAGAAGAUGUUGAUCAGUAAACAUAAAUAGCCCCCACUUCAAGUAUUAAUCCAUGGGAUAAGAACAGAAUAGAGGGAACAAUGUAAAAUAGGAUUCAAACGAAAACAGAGUAUGAUCACAUUCAGGCAUGGAGUUAUAUAUUUCCGAAGGCAUCCAUGACACAUAAAAUAAUCAGAAUCAAAAUAAGGUAAAGAAGUAAACGACCAAUCUCAACAGAACAACUUGUGGCCCUUAACGUCCACACCAACCAACAAUAUAUUAAAUAUUCAAAAAUGAACACAUGGAGAAAUCGAACAUGAGUAAGAAUUCCGAGAAUAACUAGGAACGCAUCUGGAAGAACCUUGGCUGCAAUCACUCCUUUCCCACUUCUCUAUGCUUUUCCUCCAAGACAAUCAAAGAAUUCCUGGUUCCUCUUUCUUUUCCCCUCCUCUUAUCAUUCGUUCCUGCUCAAGAUCCUCUAGAAAAAAUCCCCCUUUCUCUAACAUCCUUUCUCACGUAUAUAUAUCACCCCUAAAAAAAUAUUCAAUCUGCUGAAGGAAAUCCACUUUCCUUUCUUUUAUUUUCUUUCCUUUUCGAAAAUCAGAAUGUUUCUUCCCUUCUAUGUAGGAUCCCCUCCUUCCAUAUGUAUGCAGCCACAUUAAUCCCCUUUUCCCUCCAAAAAUAUUUUUCUUACCUUCUUUGAGUGCACAUGCCUUUGUGAGAGUUGAACAACAGCCCCCAUUCUCUUGUCAAACAAUAAAAAAUGAAAAUAAAAGGAAUAAAACCAAAAAGAGUUAGCAAUCUUGCAACAUAUAAAAGAAUAAAGUAAAAUAAAAUGAAUAAAUAAAGUAAAAACAAAAUAAUUAAAUAAAAUAGAACGAAAUGGUCAAUCCUAUGCGGGCCAUGCAAGUCAUGCGACUAUGUGAAACAUGUAAGAAACACUAAAAAGUCUAAUAGGCCAAGUGUGCCUAAGAGGGCCUAGGGGGAUCAGGAUAUUGUGUAGGUGACCUAAACAUGUCUAAGUGUGUCAUCUUAAAAGUGCACCUGAAAGCUAUCCUAAAAGGAAGGAAAACCCUAAGUCUAACUUAGGGCUGCCAAGAAUCACAAUGGGGUUAGACAAAUCCCUCAACCAAAGUCUCUGAGGUGGCUCAAAAAAGGUAAGUAGUGUGAGUAGCAAUGGGCCACCAAGGAACUACUGUGGAGCACUAGAAGUGAACUUAAAGACAUGUGCUAAAGGGACAAAAUUGAGGGUCUACACCACUCCUUUCUCUAGGGAACCUCCAAAGUCAUUUCCCUAAGAGAGCAAUAUUUCUCAUAUUAGUCUCCCCAAAGCUCAAACCUCCCAACUCCUUUGGUCUACUAACAACUUCCCAUCUGAUAAGAUGAUCUUUCUUCCCUUCCCUCGCCCCAGACCAAAGAAAAUCCCUUUGCAUCUUCUCAAUCUUUGAAGCUAUUGAUACUGGGAUUUUAAAGAGGGAGAGGAAGUAGCUAGGGAUGUGAGACAGACAAGACUGAAUUAAGUAAUCAUCCCUUCCAAAGACAAAAAGGCCUUUUUCCACCCAUCUAGCCUCCUCGAAAUUCUCUCAACCACCGGAUCCUAAAAGCCUAUUGUCUUUGGGUUCCCUCCCAAAGGAAGGCCUAAAUAAGAUAAAGGUCACUCUAACACUCUGCAAUCCAAAACCGAAGCCAAACUAGACAACAGCUUUUGCCUAGUGUUAAUACCUGAAAUGGUGUUUUUUUCUAAGUUGAUUUUUAAACCAGAUACUUGCCCAAAAACCAAAAUGAUGAUCUUGAGGUUUUGAAGAUGUUUCAUAGAGGCUUUAGAGAAAAAUAUGGUGUCAUCAGCAAACUGUAACAAAGACACUCUAGUCCUAUCCCUCCCCAUAAAGAAACCCUCAGUUAUCCCAGUUUCCUUCUCUGAUCAUCAACCUACUUAGAACAUCUGCCACUAGAGUAAAAAGGAAAUGAGAAAGGGGGUUUCCUUGUCUCAAACCUCUAGAGGCCUUAACCCAACCCUUUGCAUUCCCAUUAACUAGGAUUGCAAAACUUGAUGAAGACAAACAACCCCUUAUCCAAGAUCUCCAUUUCUGGCUGAACCCCUUCCUUUGUAGUACAUGAUCUAAAAAACCCCAAUCCACAUGAUCAUAGGCCUUCUCAAAAUCAAUUUUGAAGACUACCCCUUCCUCCCCUGACCUUCUUUUCUCAUCCACCACUUCAUUGGCUAUCAACACAACAUCCAAAAUGUGUCUCCCUUCCACAAAGGCUCCUUGAGAGCUAAAGAUUGUUUCAUGAAGAACUUUGUGUAAACGCCUUGAUAAGACCUUAGCAAUUAUCUUAUAUAAACUUGCAACCAAGCUAAUAGGUCUAUAAUAUGAUAUUUUAAAAGUUUGGCUUUUCUUUGGCACCAUAGCAAUGAAUGUCGCAUUUGUACUUUGAUUUAUUACCCCCUUAGUGUGGAACUCAAGAAACACCCUCAUAAGAUCCUCUUUUAUCACAUCCCAACACUCUUGAUAAACUGUUAUAGUAAAGCCAUCAAGGUUAGGGGCCUUUUCCUUAUUCAAUUGGAAAACUGCCAUUCGAACCUCCUCUUCAGAAAACGGUCUAUCCAGCCAAACUGCACUCUCUCCAGAAAUAGGGGCCCAAUCAAUCCCUUCAAUCCUCCAAGAGUCACCUUUAGGUUUGGAAUAGAGUUUCCGAAAGAAAUUUACAAUCUCCUCAUAAAUAACCUCAAUGUUACUUAAAGUCUCCUCUAUCUCAGAAAUCAGAGACUUAAUGAACUUCCUGCUUCUUAUUCCAGUGGCCACUCUGUGAAAGAACUUAGAGUUGCAGUCCCCUUCUUUAAUCCACUUAACCCUAGAUUUUUGUCUCCAUUGAACCUCUUCCUUUAAUAACAAAUCCUCUAGCUCCUUCCUUCUUAAGGUCAUUUCCGAUACCAAAUCAAGAUUUAAAUUCCCUUCUUGUUCAAUUAGAUCAAUUCUACCUAAGUCCGAAAGAAUGUGUUUUUUCCUCUCUCUUAAAUCUCCAAAGGCCACUAUAUUCCACUCUUUCAACUUUGAUUUAACAAACUUUAGUUUCCUCAUGAACUUGUGACCUUCCCAACCUUCAACCAUACACUCUUGCCACCAAUCUCUAAACUUCUCUUUAAACUCAAGAUGGAGCAACCACAUAUUCUCAAACCUAAAAGGAGUCGGUCCCCAUUUUAAAGGAUUAGUUUCCAAACAAAUUGGGCUAUGAUCAAAGGUCCAUUUAGGAAAGGCCUCUUGAAAACUUUGAGAGAAAAAAGAAUCCCACUCAGAAGAAAACAAAAACCUAUCCAAUCUCUUGCAAAUAGGAUCCACUUGCAUGUUUGACCAUGUAAAAGCCGCAUUCCUUAGAGGGGGAUCCAACAAACCACUCUCCCUUAUAAACUCAUCAAAACACCUCAUGUUGAUUGUUAACCUAGAAUCACCCAUCUUCUCAGAUAUCCUCCUGAUAACAUUAAAAUCCCCUCCUACACACCACCUUGGGAAAGUUAGACCAUACAGGUCUUGAAGCUCCAACCAAAAGUCCUUCCUCCACAAAGGCUUAUUCGGACCAUACACUGAGGUUAACCAAAAAGACCCUUCCUCAUCAGAGUUCAACUUUACAGUUACAGAGAAGGAUCCUAACACCUUCUCUGUACACUUGAACUUAAUUGAAUCCCACAACAUCACAAUCCCCCCCAAGCCCCACAAACAGGAAGAGCAGCCCACUCCAAACUUCUGUCUUUCCAAACACUGCUCACAAACCUCCUGUCCUAAAUUACUCUCUUUGUUUCCUAAAGCAUCAGAGGUUAUGCUCAUUUUUUAAUUAUUUUUUUAUGAUUCUCAUAUGUCUUAGCACAAAUAAAGGAAAGGUUUUUUUUUAAUUAAGUUAAUUGAUUGAUAUUGAAAAAAUUAAUUGUUAGUUAUGUUCUAACUUUACAUGCUUGUUAAAAAAAUUAGACUAGUUAAUUUUAAAAUAUCUAUCAUUCUUGUAAUAAUUCACUAUUAAUUGCAUAGCUAAGUGAUUAUGUUCCUUCAUGUUUUCUUUUCAUAUCAGGUUGAUAAUAAAAAUGUAAUAUUGAGAAUGAGUUGAGCAUUGUUCAAUUUCUCAAGAUAAAUGUUCAUAAGGUAUGGAUGGUUGAUGUAUAUGGAAAGGAUUAGUUCACUUGCUUAAUAUCUAUAAUAUGUACUCAUUCUUGAUAUUUGUGAUCACUUCCUAUCUUUCUUCUUUUAUUGUCUUGCUUGUUAAUUUAUAACUUUACAUUCAAUUUGUUAUGAACCAUUAUACUCUAUUUGAAGUUUUGAUUUUAUGAUUCUUAUACACAAAAGAAUACUAACCAUUUGAGCAAGGAGGACAUGAUACUAAAUCAUUUAUCAAUUUGGCUAUUUUCUUCUCUCUAAUUUCUUAGCUUGGGAAUCAAAAUGCUUUGGAAUAUACAAGAAACAAUGGGGAUGAGUCUUUUUUUCAUCAUCUUUAGUUUUAUUGAUGGUCAACUUGAAGUAUCAUCCUUCCUAUUCCCUAAAGUACCCAAACUUGAUAGUUUGAAAUACUUAACAUGUUUACAAAAAUAUUCUUACAUCCUGUUUAGGUUCUAUAUAUUUGGAAAGUUUAUGAAGUUAAUUAUUUUAUUAUAGUCAUUGGCAAAAUGUUGCUCAUACCUUGAACAUAUCUACGAGCUAUUAAUGGCUAGUGCACGAGAAAGCCCCUCUUUCCUCUACUAUCCUUAGUUAGCAUAAAGGGUUCAUAUUUUGUUUUUAUUAUUUAGUCUUGUAAUUUCUACUUGUUAUCCCACUUUUUGUCUCUUUAUGGUUUAUUACUUGAAAAUCAAUUUUUGAAACAUGUUCUUAUAGGUAAUAGUGCUAUAACAUGUUAAAUUCAUGAGAAAAAAAAUUCUAAAUUGAUAUUCAAGGUUUAGUUUAUCUUCAAGUGUCUUCUAGAUGUGGAUUUUUGUGCUUACAAUCCAAAACAUUGAUAUAUGUUCUUUGUAGCUAAGGUUUGGUUUAUUUUCAAAUGCCUUGUGGAAAAGGCUUACGCUUUUCUUCUCUUUCUUUUUGAGAAAAUAUAUUGAUGAUUGCUAGAGAAUGAGGUUGUUGGAAAUCAAUACCAUAGAAAAUGUUUUGACUUUUUAAAAUUAUUUAAUGAAUUUGGUUGAGAACUUACUUGAUAUAGAAAAACAUAUUUAUUUGUGAAACAGGGAAAAAGAAAUAUUUUUUUACACGACUUGCCUUGUGUUUGCUUGAUGUGUGCACACAAACAAAUCAUAUAAUUAGGAAUAAAAAUUGUUUCUCCUUUUUAUAAAUAAAACUAUAACCAAAAUGCAAUAUAGAUAAGUCACAUUAAUUUAUUAUAUCAGUCCUAAAAAAAUGUUUGAACUAUGUUAACUAGUAGGUAUUGGAAAAAGGAAUUAUGUCAUCUUUAUUUGCUAUUUACUUAUUUUAUAAAAUUCUUAUAUCAAUAAAGUUUGAAAUUUGUAUGUAAUAAAUCACUAGCAUUUUGAAUUUUCAUUGUUAUAAUAAUUGUUUCUAAUUGUCUACUCUUUUUUUUGCUUUAUUUUUACAAUUUUUUUAGAAAGUUUCUCAUGUUAGUUAUUGUGUCAUAAAUAUAAUAAUUUUCAAGACAAUGAGGACUUGUGGUAUAUUGCUCACAUUCCAUAAAUAUAUGCUGACAAGGUGGUUUUUAGGUUUAUAUUUUAGAUCUUUUUUCCCACUAUUUAUCUCUUUAUCAUUUAUUACUUGGUAGUCAAUUUCUAAAACACAAUGAGCCUUCUUCUUUUUUCAAGACCAUUUUUUUCGUUCUCAAAUGUACUUGCAUUUGAAAAACUUAAGAGAAUGUUGAUAGGAGUUUCAUUAUGAGGACAUGCCACAACAACAUCACUUGUUAAUAAUAUUAUUCUAUGAGUUGACAUUAAUGUCAAUGCAUCUACACCUAAAAGGAUUCAUUAUACAAAAGUAUCUUCUACAUUUCCAUUCUCUCCCCUUCUCUUAACAUUAAUAUCUACACAUAUUGUAAACAUCAAAGAUCCAACAUCUUUGCUAGCAUAGGAACACAUCAUAGGCUAGAGCAUGUGCCAACAUAAGGACUUAGAGGCUUAAUGUAUCUUUGAGGUCUAAAUACUUAUGGUUUUUCUAGAUCAAUUAAAUUGUAUAUUCACCUUACCCUAACGCUAAUCUUUUACAAAGGACCAUCAAUAAGCCCCCACACUUGAAAAUCCAACAAUUGAGCUCUAUGCACUAUUUUGUAGCUCAUCUAUUUAGUAAUUAUAUUGAUCUUGUUACUUUAUGUUUGCAUUCUUCAUCUUUGGAGAAUUUCUAAGGUUGACAAUUUUGUUAAUAUUGUAGAUGUGAUUCUUUGCAAGUUGAUGCAAAAAAGCAAUACUAUUGUCAUAGUGACCUUGGUACUUUUCUUGAGUAAGUGAAAAAUGAAGAUUGUCAUAGACUAAGUUCUAUCUCAAUAGUUGCCUCUAAAUAUAUGGAACAAAUAGCUCAAAGACCUCAUUUGUGAGAUAAUGGGGAAUGUGAGAGGAUGACCUAUAAUUCCAAGCCCUUGGAAGCUUGUUCCAACAACAUUUUAGAAUUGUUUCCAAAUUCGUGUCUCUAUCAUCAAGAUCUCAACAUGUUGCAGCCUUGAAAAUCCUAAAAACUAGUUACUAUUCUAUUUCAAGAUCAAAUACCUUACCAGACUUGAUAUUAAGCUAUGAAUUUUUGAAUAAGCUUCAAACUGUUAAAUGUUAGAAGGAAUUGAUCUCUUAACUCUCUCCAAAGAUUCAUGAAUUACAAUUUCUCACACUUGUCAAAGAGAUGCCAAAGAGAAAGAUGAAGAUUUGCCUAUGAUUUCUCAUGUUCUUGAAAUUGGUACUGACAAGGAAUGAAUGGUUGAUUCAUAAAGAGCUUAUAUACUAUUUAAUUCAAGCAUGAUAUUUAUAAUAUAUUUUAGGUUUGUGUAAUAGAAAGUGAGAUAGGAUCACUAUUGUUGAUAGAAAUUGAUAUAUUCUAUGAUUUGUGUAAUAUUGAUAUUCUUAGUUGAUUUGAAAAUUCAUUUAUGGAGUUUCUGUAUUGAAGUUGCUAACUUUGGAUUUUCAGCACUUGUAAGUGUUUCACCACUUACAUGUCCCCUUUUUGUCAAGCUUCAAUGAUAUUUUCAACACUUACAAAUAGUUUGUUGCUAACCUUUUUCACUACAAGAAAUAAUAGUUUUAACAACAUGAAUCAAACGUUGUCAAAAACCUUUCAAAAUGUACACAUAUAUGUUGUUGAAAAAGAUGUUUAGAGCAUGCAUUAAACCUCAUUUAAGUUUUUUACAAUAUGCGUGUACACAUUGACAUUACUAUUCACAUCAAAAUGAAAGAGAUUGAAAUAUUAAAUAUCAUUGCUAUCAUUUAGAUUCUAUAUAUGUUUUACCUUCAACACACUUAAGUUGAUUGAAAUUUUCAUAAUAUAUCUAAUUUAAUUGUAAUAUAAUAUAAAGACCACAAAAAGAAACUUAAGAUGAUUGAAAAUUUCAUAAUAUAUUUGGUUUAAUGACAAUAUAAUAUAAAGACUGAAAAAAGAAAAUAAUGUUUGACAUUCCAACCAUAAUACAUUGUUGUUACUUCAAAAAUUUGAAAAAAAAAAUACAUUCAUAAUUCAUUCAAUAAAAACAAAUACAAGAUUCUAGAAACUUUUAACACCUAAUUUCUACAUGUAGAACAAGAACAAGGUUAGGAUUUUUUUGAGUAGUUAAGUGAAACUCAGUUUCUUAUCCUACUUUACAAUUUUUGGUUUCUUACUUAUUCAAAAAAAAAAGUUGAUAAUAUUAAUACUUUACUUGGUAUAUAUGGAAUUACAAAAUACAACAAGAUUUGCAUAUGGAAUCAUAAAAGAACACUAGAAUGAAAAUUAAUAGACAUACAAAGAUAUACAUUUGAGUUGAAACACACCUUGAGGAGAGGUACAACAAAAAACUUAAGCAAAUGUACCCAAGGAUUAUGGAAUUCUCCUCGUUUUUCCUCUAACAAACCUCACUUUUCUACAUGAUACUGAAGUUGUCAAAAAUACAAAUUGAUACUAAAACAUAAUAAUUAUAGUCAUAUCCCAUUAAGACAUUAAAAUAUUAGAAAGUCUCUUGAUGAGCAUUAAGAGGGUUAAAAUUAUGUUUAUUGCUCGGAUACAACAAAAUGAAGUUACAAGUAUACUAAAUAAUAUGCUAGGAAAUAACAAAUCGACACCAUAUAUAAGAGUAGAAUUGAAGCUAAAACAAGAACUUUGAAUGCUUGUUUUGCACCCUUUGUGUGGAAAGGCCUUAUUAUAUUGUUCUAAUCAUGUAUACUUUAAAAAAAAAAAAAAUUGUUUUGCAUCUUUUUUCUUAGGGGUCUUUUUAUGCAAUUUUAUUUUCCUAUCACAAGAAAUUUUAUUAAAGUCUUUGUAAGUUAUUUUUCGUCAUAAUUUCAUUGUAAAACAAAUAAGAAAAUUUGAGAUUUUUCCUAAUAUUUUUGCUUUAGAAUGGAGUUUUUUGCCUUUUUGUGUGAGACUUGGACUCAUCAAUAUCUCAUAGUUCAAAAUGGAGCCUUUCGCAAAGGUAGAAGAAGCACCUUCAACACUAAUGAUGGAGUUACUUUAGGAAACAUGACUUUCAUUCUUGUAAAAAUGCCUAAAGACAUUUCAUUGUUUUGACCACUGCACAAAAACCCAUGUUUUCUUGAUUUCUUAAGGAGUUGUAUCUUUUAAAUAAAUUUUAUACACAAACAACACUUGAUCUCAAGAUCAACUCAAGUAAUCCAUGUCUAAGAAAAGGAUGUGAGCCAAUUGAACCAAAGUGUUUUGAACAACUUGAAGACAAGCUAUGCCAUAUGUCAUACCACCUUUUUUGAUGGAACUCAUGAAAGGCUAGUGAAUAUGAGUCUUUGAGGAAUGAAUUGGGCUCAAUGUUGUUGUAUAUAAUUUAGAGUAGAUAUUUGAAAUGUAUGGAUAUUAUUUGUCAUACCAUCAUGGGUAUGAGUUGUGAUGUUUAUUUUCCUUGUAAUUUAUUUUAUGCAUUUAAGUGUCUUAUUUCAAAAAGGUAAAAUUUUUAUAUUUGAUUACAUUAGAGUUUAUAUUUAAUACUUUAAUUAGGAUGACUAAUGAUUAUAUAUUGAUGUAAAUAUUAUUUUUCUCAAAGGAAGUUCAAAAGUUAUGUUUGGAACCAAAUCCCAAAGGAAAAGAAUUCUAAAAUUAGAUUUCAAUCUCUUGGUGAUCAUGAUUGGUAUGAGAAGGAAUUGAAAUGAAAAUAAUUAUCUUGGGUUUGGUAUUAUAACAAGAAUAAAAAAUAAAUAACUUUGGUGUACUACUUGGACCAUGCUACGACAUAAAUAUGAAUGAUCUAAAUAUUAAUUCUUCUUAACUAAAAUCAACCUAAUUAUAAAUUUAAUUAUAAAAGUAAAUAAAUUUAUCAUAAUAAAAUUAAUUAAGAAUAUCAUUUAUAUAAAAUUUACAGAAACAAUCAAUUUCAAUUAUUUAAAAUCACUUCUCAACAUUAAACUUAAAAAUCCCUCCAGCAUGAUCUAAAUUAUCUUAUAUUCAGCUUUUUAAUUCAUUUAAAAUACAAAGUAACUUACACUUGUUAAAAAAUAAAAAUAAAAGAUUAUGAGCAUAAAAAAAUAUUGUUUUCGUUUAAAUCCCUAUACUUCUCUAUUAAUAAUUACUAAAAUAGAGAAAUAACUAAAAUAACAUGACAUAAGUGAUAAAAAAAGAAAAAAAAGAAUGGAUAUAUAACUACAAUGAUAUAAGUGAGAUUAAAAUUAAGAAUUUACUCAAGUUAGAGAAUUAUUUAUUCUAAUAAAAAUGUUAAAGAAAUACAUUACUUAAUAUAAUAAAUUCUUUUUUCCUUUUGUCAUUCCAUAUGAGCAUCUAUAAUAUUGAAAAUAGAAAGAAAAGAAUCCCCAUCCAUAUUUAAAAUAAUUUAUUUUAGAAUAUUCUACCUCUAAAAAAUCCAUUAAAGUUCAAAAAAAGUAAAAAGAUGAUAUGACUAGUAUGUAUAGAGAAGAGAGUGAAAGAGACAAAAAAAAUGUAUUUACUAAUUUAAAUUUAAAGAGAAAAGGCAAGAGUAAUAAGGCAUCAUUGAAAAAGGGAAAGUUUAUUUUAAUAAAAUUCAAAUCUCAUAAAUUGAAAAGUUGAAAAGUUGCCUUCCAAAUCCUUUAAAAUUCUUUCCUUCUAAAAAUUCCCUCAUUUCAAAUCUAUUCUUCCCUUUUCCAUUUAAUUCCCUUGAUUCCAAAUAAAGUAAAAUAAUAACAAUCUUUCUAACAAGUUAAUAACAUAUAAAAAAUAAUAAUAACAUAAUAACCUAUGAAGCAAAAUUACAGACAUUUGGAAAUACAUUACAAAAUUUUUGUGGAUUUCUUCAAGAAAGAUCCUAGAAGCAAAAAUUUAGAAAUAUUAAGAGGGUAAUUUUUUUAAAAUAAAUUAUACAAAUUCUAAUAAAAAAUAUUUAUUCAUUUAUUCAAGAAUAUUAAAAAAAGAAAAUAUUAUGAAAAUAGGUAAUAUAAAAAUUUUCAUAUUCAUCUCAAGGUUUAUAUAAAAAUUAUUAGCAAUAUUUUUUUGUGAAUAAUUAUUAAACUGUUAAUUAUUUGUUUGAUGGUAUUAUAAUAUGAGAUGGUGAGAUUAGAAGAGUAAAGUACAAAGUAGGUCCCAUAUGAUAUAAUUAACAUAUCUUUUCUCUUCCAACUUAAGCCCAACUAAAUAAUGGGCUUAGGGCAAAGCCCUAAGUACUCAACUGAAUGAACUGGCUUUUGUUAUCUAGGAAUUUGUUGCUAGCGUCAUCAUCUUUCGUUGUGGAUUUCUAUGAAUGCCAUUUUUUUGUAAAUCCAAUUAAUUCACCAAUUAAAACCAUAAACAUACUUAAUUCACCAAUUAAAACCAUGAACAUACUUAUCUAUAACAAGGGAUUUGAAGAGCUUUUUAAAUACUAAAAAUGGGGUUUAAAAGUCAAGAAAGGUUUAUUUCCUUAAAAUAUAUAACAAUAUCAAAAAAAUAUCUUUAUUUUAAAUGAAAGUGUUUUUAAAAUAUAAUUCACAAAUAUAAAAUUCAAUUGCAUGACAAUAAUAAUUACUUUCAUAGGAACUUCUACUAAACAAACAAGUUAUGGGGGGCUUCCCUCCACGUGUCCUUCCCAGACUCAAGACCCCUUGGGUGACCAAGGUAGACAUAUAACACGUUUGGGAUCACUUCAUCUGGACCAAAAUAAGCUUUGUAUGGCACUAGAAGUGAGAAGUUUUCCUUCUUCCACAAUACCAGACGAAAUAGACAGACCAAGCCGACUGGACAUUUCAGACGGACAAAUAAAUCUAAUCAGCAGCCCUUACUUGAUGUGAUUGCCCAGUCCAUGCAGCAGUGAUGGAGUUGAUUGUCCUAUCAAGGCUCGAUUUCCAUCGAGCAAUCAUCAUUACAAGAAAUGUUAGAGUGCAUAAUCAACGCUAUAAUGAUGAUGCCAUCAGCUCUAUAUAAACCCCUCAAGAAGCAUGAACAAGGUACACAUGCUCAUUCUCUCCCACUAAAAAUAGUUAGAGAUAUUCUUGUUGAUUUCUGACUUGAGCUUUGGAGGGGCAUGCCCGAACCACUUGUCCGGACAUCCUUCUUUGCAAGGAAGAAGUCUGUCUGACUCUAGUGAAGCUGGAUGGACCUGAAUCUAAUUGGCUCAACACCAACAUUAAUGUCGUAUAUGGGAAAGACUAAGGAUGUCAACACUUUCCAGAAGCUAAUCAUCAACUAUGGGUGGUGAAGACUACUUUGCUUGGCGUGAAAGAAUAGAGAGACGUCAAUAAGAGAAUGAUCGGCAGAUGUAGUCUAUGCUUCGCCAAACAAAGCGACUCAAACAAGAGAAUGAAGAGUUGCAGGCACAGAUGUCAGCAUCAAGCCCCUCUCAAAGUCGAUAACCUCAAAGACAACAAAUAGCCUCAAGACGGACUAAUGAAACAUCUUUCCCUGGGAACACAGAGUUCUUCUCUGGUAGCUACACGAGACAGUCUAAGGAGGAGGUUUCGCCAGCUUGCCAAAUGCAGCUGGACGAAGGCACUAACUCUACCCGGGCAUCAAUGAAGAGGAGGUACGAUAGAAGGUUACAUUUGUCAGAUGCGAUGCGAGCCUGAUUAGGACCUCAGGCACCAAGCGUGGAGGAGCAACCAUGCAUAUUAGAAACCCUGAAGGCCCGUCUAGGUCCCCCAACCACAGUAGUUAUGUUGGGAUGACCCUCUCAACCGCCAAGGCAACAACAAGCUGAGGCCCCGAAGAUCUGAGCUUUGCCUUGCUCUGUCAGUCGACGGUUGGAUGACAUGCUCUCCAUGCGGUUCAACCCUCAUAUUAUUAACUAUGAGCCAUCUAGAGGGUUCAUAGUGCCAAAAUUCACAACGUACGACGGAAAAAACAAUCUGUUUGAUCACAUCAUAUGCUUUAAGUUACUCAUGACCCUCGAUAUAGGGAAUGAUGCACUAUUGUGCAAGGUCUUUUCGGCCAGCCUACACGGCCAAGCUCUUUCUUGGUUCCACCGUCUCCCACAUAAUUCUGUGAACACUUUCUGGGAUUUAUCAAAAGCCUUUGUGGGCCACUACUUAUGUUUGGCUCAUCAUAAACAUAACAUAAACACCCUACAGAACAUCAAGGUGCAGGAGAAUGAGUUGCUCAAAGACUUCAUGAAGCGGUUCGGGCAAGCCGUGCUUUAAGUGGAGUCCUGUAGUAUGGAUGCCAUCCUGUAGAUCUUUAAGUGAAGCAUUGGCCCGGGCACGCCAUUUUUUGAGUCUCUCGCAAAGAAGUCGCCUGCAACAAUGGAUGACCUGUUCAGACGAGCAGACAAAUACUCCAUGCUCCAAGACGACAUCUGGGCAACUACUCAACAGGUCUUGGUCACCAAUCGUCCGACUAAGGAUGAUGAGGCAGAAAGUUUUAAGCCAUCGAACCAAUCGAGGCAUGCUAACAAGAGGUGGGCUAGCUAGCAACAGCAAAAUCAGGCGAGACUAAUCCUCCUCGGUAUCUCAUAUCAGAGACUUCUUCUGAUGAUUCGUGAUUUGUCAAACUUUAGAUGGCCAGAACUUAUCAAAAUAGAUCCAGCUAGAUGGGAUUAGAACAGAAGGUGCUCCUAUCAUAAGGAUCAUGGUCAUACCACCAAGCAAUGAAGGAGUCUCCAUUACUUGGUGGAGAAACUAAUCAAAGUUGGGCACCUAAAACAGUAUGUCCACACAACUGGCGGGCAAAGAGAGACGGUGCAAGAGUUAGCCAUCCAAGCCCUUGCAUUUUUGGCAGUUCUUAGAGUUGUCAUUAACUACAUACAUGGAGGCUUCGUAGAUGAUAGAGACAAUUCUAAGCGACAAAGGCGAAGGUUGCUCCGUGUAGCCUCUGUAAAAGAGCGAGUUCACUCCGUUUAGUGCAACUUUUCGGAAGAGAGUGAGUGCUCCAUUGAUGACACAGUUAUCUUCCUUCCAGUAGGUGUUAAUCAAGUAUUGCAAUCGCAAGAAGAUGCCCUAGUCCUAACACUAGGGGUAGGCAGAUUCGAUGUGAGAAGGGUUCUAGUUUAUCCGGGUAGCUCACCAGACCUUUUACAAAUGUCAAGCUACAAGCAGAUGAGCUACUCCCUAUCCAUCCUAGAAAACCCAAAGCGUUUGUUGUCUGGGUUCAAUAGAGCUACGAUGACUUCUCUGGGUGAUGUUGUGCUGCCCAUCCAAGUAGGCUAAGUCACCCUAAACGUACAAUUCUUAGUCAUCGACGAUUUGUUCCCAUAUAAUGCCAUUAUGGGACGUGCAUGGCUUCACAUAAUGAAAGUCAUUCCCUUUACGUACCAUCAGAUGGUGAGCUACCUCACGGAGGAGGGACCAGUCGAUCUCCUUGGCAACCAACUAGCCGCGCGCCAAUGCUAUCAAGUGGUGCUAGAUUAUGGACAUUUAGCCGGUUGGAAUCAUCAAAUACAAUGGAGCAAUAGCAAUUAUUGAGCUUGGUGAAGAAAGAUCCAUCUGCAACUGAUCCACUCCAGCCAUUAUGUCUCUUACAUAGCACAUAUCAAAUCACCUAUACCAGUUCGCUGCUUACGUAGGAUGAACUGGAACUACUAAGAAGUGUGCUUCAGCAAAACAAGGACAUCUUCGUUGGGAUUCACUCAGAUAUGCUAGGAAUUCAUCCAUCUGUGGCCUCCUAUGAACUUAACACCACGCCCUCCUCACAUCCUAUCUAGAAAAAGGUCCGAUGUUUUCAUCCGGACAGGCAGAAAAUCAUCCUAACGAAAAUUGACAAACUAUUGGUAGCCAGAUUUAUCAGAGAAGUCAAAUAUCAAAACUAGUUGGCAAACGUGGUGAUCGUUCAAAAGAAGAAUGGGAAGUGGCGAGUUUGUGUUGAUUACACCAACCUGAAUGAUGUCAGCUCAAAUGAUAGCUUUCCCUUACCCCAGAUAGAUUAGAUAGUCGAUUCCACCGUUGGCUAUGAGAUGCUCUCCUUCCUAGACGUCUUCUUCGAAUAUCAUUAGAUUCCUAUGUUCUAGUCGGAUAAGGAGAAGACAGCCUUUGUUACACCACAUGAGUUGUACUGCUUCAAAGUCAUGUCAUUCGGGCUUAAGAAUGCUGAUGCUACUUAUCAGAAACUAAUGACGAAAAUUUUCAAGCCCUUGAUUGGUCGAACUGUGGAAGUCUACAUUGAUGGCUUUGUUUUAAAAAGCGAAACCCGAGCUAAGCACGUCCAGCACUUAAAAAGAAACAUUCUGUCUUAUGCGGGCAUACAACAUGAAGCUCAAUCCAACUAAGUGAGCCUUUGGCGUCAAUACAGGAAAGUUUCUAGGGUUUAUGGUGACCCAAAGAGGAAUUGAAUUUAAUCCGGCUCAAAUAAAAGUUGUCCUCGAAACACCUACUUCAAGCAACAAAAAGGAGUUGCAACACCUCACAAGUUGUCUAACAGCUUUAGGGCGUUUCAUAACCCAUUUCACAGACAAGCUGAGACUUUUCUUCCUCACUCUCAACAGAGCAAACAUGUUCAGUUGGACAGAUGAAUGCAGGCAGGCAUUUGAAGUAGUCAAGCGCUACCUCACUGAACCACUCAUUUUAAGGAGCCUCAAGUCCGGUAAACAACUUUGUAUGUAUUUGGUUGUAUCCCGACUACGUUGUUAGUGUCGUCCUGUUUCGGCACAUACAAGACAAAGAGCAGAGGCUCAUUUACUAUGUGAGCAAAGUAAUGGUAGACGCUGAGACUCGGUACUCUAAAAUGAAGCAGACGAAUCUAGCCCUUCAAAAUGUCACUCAAAAGCUCUGCCCAUACUUCCAGGCUCAUCAAGUGACCGUACUCACAAACCAGCCACUCCGAGUUACCCUGCACAAACCGGAUCUAUCCGGACAAAUGUUGAAAUAGGCCAUCGAGUUGAAUGAGUGCGGAAUCAAGUAUUAGCCAAGGUUAUCAUUGAAGGGACAAGUUAUGGCCGACUUUAUAGUUGAACUCCCUAAAAAUCAAGUACAUCCGGUUGAUCGCCCUGGAGAGCAAUGGUGGACACUUCAUGUAGACGAAGCGUCCAGAGUGUUCGGAUCUGGAGUAGCUCUGAUCCUAUAAUCACCAAUUGGGGAACUAAUGGAACAAGCUAUCCAUCUCAACUUUUCUGCCUCCAAUAAUGAAGCAGAAUAUGAAGUUGUCCUAGCCAGGCUAGAUCUUGCCCUAGUAUUAGCAGCCCAAGUUGGAAAUCAGGAGUGACUCUUAGCUAAUUUUCAAACAUAUUCAACGAGAGUAUGCAGCAAAGGAUGAAUGCAUGGCUCGCCACCUCGCCUGGUGGAAAGUCACCUGAAAAAGCUGGACGAGUGGGUCACUAGACGAGUGCCGCAUGGGAGAAUGGGAAGACAGACGCACUAGUCGGAAUAGUUGCCACUCUUUCCAUAAAAGAGGCGGUGAUGCUACCUGUUUACCUCAAAGCUGCCACCUUAAUCAUACUCGAGCCAGUGUGCAACACCAGUCAAACGAACUUAGGUUGGAUGCUUAACAUCGUGAAAUACCUUCAAACAAGGGAGGUACCAGGAGAUAAGAAGCAAGCUCAUAAACUCCGCAUACAAGCAGCACGCUUCACUCUAAUUAAUGACCAAUUGUAUAAACCAUCAUUUGGAGGUCCAUACCUAAAGUGUUUGAGCGAUCCGAAGGCCAAAUAUGUUUUAGCCGAACUCCAUGAAGGCGUAUGUGGCAAUCACCUAGGCGGACGAACUUUGGCACAUCGCGCUUACACGCAAGGGUACUAUUGGCCCACCAUGAAGCAGGAUGUUGAAAACUAUGUUAAGAAAUGUGAUCGGUGUCAACGACACACUCCCAUUCCCCGUGUACCUUUAGAAGUGGUCAACCUAGUCACAAAUCCUUGGUCAUUUACAUAGUGGGGGAUGGACAUAGUCGGGCGCUUACCCAUUGCAGCAGCACAAAAGAAGUUUUUGCUCGUUGCAAUCGACUAUUUUAGCAAGUAGGUGGAGGCAAAAGCCUAUGCCAACAUCAAAGAUAAAGAUGUCUCUAAGUUCAUCUGGAAAAACAUCGUAUGUCGAUUCAGAGUUCCACGAGCGAUUGUUACUGACAAUGGGCCACAGUUUGAUAGUAUUGUAUUUCGAACAUUUUGCUUGGAGUUAAACAUAAAGAACCUAUACUCAACACCUCGUUGUCUACAAAGCAACAGACAAACGGAGGCGACAAACAAAACCCUAUUGAAUGCACUAAAGAAAAUGUUGGAAAUGGCAAAAAGAAAGUGGGUGGGUGAACUACCCGAAGUCUUAUGGGCUUACCAGACAACAUCCAAACGACCAACAUAGGCCACUCCUUUUACCCUUACUUAUGGGAUUGAGGCCAUUAUUCCAACUGAGAUUGACAUGCUUACUGCUAAAACAGUCGUGUAAGACUAUAGGAACAAUGAUGAAAAAAUCAUAAGACAACUAAAUUGGGCAGAUGAAUUAUGAGGAGACGUGGAGAUACAACUAUCUGGAUAGCUUCAUACCAUCAGAAGGCAAUUGCUCAGUACAACAAAAGGGCACGACCACAAAUUUUUUAGCCAGGAUCUUUAACUCUCAGAAAAGUUUUUGAGAAUACAACUUAAGUAGGAGCAGGGAAGCCGUAAUCUAAUUGGGAAGGGCCAUAUGUUGUAACUAAGGCAGGAUACUCGAGGGCAUACCACCUUCAGACUCUAGACGGAGUACCCCUACUCUGCCCAUGGAAUGUGACCAACCUAAAGCUAUAUUAUCAGUAAAAUUGCUUAUUACAAGUAGGGAAGACUAGGCUUCAGUCGACUAGAGUAAAUAAAUACAAAGAAUCAAACCCUGUCCGGGUAUCUUGCAAUUCCUGCCUCAGCCGGACAUCUUUUUCUUCAAUCUUCUCUUUCUCGGCCACCAUAGCCACAUUUUCCUCAACUAGUUGGCCAGCUUCAGCCUGAGAUGCCUCCUUCUCCUCCUCGACCUUCCUCAGUAGACCGACACCUUCUUCAGCCAGCUCUUGGGUAGCAACAACCUCACUCUUCGUCGUCUUCAAGUUAGCAAGGAGAUCCUCAUUCCCGUCCACGUUAUGGGCAACACAUGUCCUCAUGGUCUCGACUGCUUCCAACUAGUGAAAAAGGUGAGCGCAUUGCCGCAUAAGGUUUUGGAUUCCGGUUCCCACCUGGGGGCAACAGAGAAAUUGUUAUAAAACGAGAGACUAAGGUAAAGUAAGCGAAAAAAUGGGAGAUGGCCUACCACUUCUGUUGUCUCAAAAGCUAUGUAGUCCUGCAUAUGGAGAAUGCAAGCAAUAGCAAUAUUUAGAGUAUCGUACGGAAGUCGUGUCGAAGUGGCAUGUGCCCCUUGGCGCCCAAAAACUUGAAAAUGAAUAAUAUGUCUUACCUCAACCCGACAGCUACCCUACUAGAAAAAGGCAGACGAAUUAGGGGGCUUUGUGAGGGGCUUCCCCCCACGUGUCCUUCCUAGAUUCAAGACCCUUUGGCCGACUAGGGCAAACAUAUAACCCAUUUGGGAUCACUUCAUCUGGACCAAGAUAAGCUCCGUCUAGCACCAGAAGUGAGAAAUUUUCCUUCUUCCACAAUGCCAAAUGGAAUGGACAAACCAAGCCGACUGACAUUUCAGAUGGCUCACAAUGUCAGACAGAAUGGACAAACCAAGUCGGUUGGACCUUUCAGACGGGUAAAUCAAUCUAGUCAAGUCCUUAGGAUUUCUUAUAGGCAUGGUUAACCAUGCCUGAUGUCUAAGCAUCGGCUUAGACACCUAAUGUCUAAGCGUCGGACUAGACGCCUGAUGUCUAAGUGACGAACUAGAUGCCAUUUACACUCAAAAGUCAAUGUCAAUUAAUUGUUACACACAAUCCCAAACAUUGGCAAAAGCUAAAUGGACAUCAGCAAAUGGCACUAGUCAGCAACUCUUACUUGAUGUGAUUGCCUAGUCCAUGCACCAGUGACGGUGUUGACUGUCCUACCAAGGCUCGAUUUUCGUCGGACAAUCAUCAUUACAAGAAAGGCUAGAGUGCAUAAUCAGCGUUAUAAUGACGAUGUCAUCAACUCUAUAUAAACCCCUCAAGAAGCAUAAACAAGGUACACACGCUCAUUCUUUCCCACAAAAAUAAUUAGAGCUAUCCUCAUUAAUUUCUUACUUGAGCUUCGGAGAGGUGUGCCCGAACCACCUAUCCGGACAUCCUUUUGUGUAGGGAAGAAGUCCGCCUAACUCCAGUGAAGCUGGACAGACCUAAAUCUAGUUGGCUCGACACCAACACAAGUAAAAUGCUAUUAUAUGAAAACAUGUUUGAAUUUUGUAUACGCAUUUGAUAAAAUAAAAAAAAACCAAAAACCUUUUUUCACUUUGUUAAUAUAAGCUUUCAUGUUAUUUAUUUAUUUAUUUAUAAAUAAAACCAUUAUUAAGAUAUUAAAAACAACAUUUUUAUUUUUAUUAUUCAUUAAAUCUUAUUGACACUCCCUACUUAUUAAUACUCAUAUUUAAAUAACUUUAAAAGUUAUUAACUUUUUAUAAAAGUGUCUGAUAAAUCUACAUCAAGAGUUACUAAUUUUUUCUAUUUUUAAAAACAAAAGGUAUAUUUACCCAGUACCUAAUUCAUUAAAAUUAUAUGCCUCUUAACUAGUCUUGUAAAUGCAUUAUUUUUUUAUUCCACUUUCAAUGUACUUCUUAUCAUAUUUUUCAUGGUUAUAAUGAUUUAAUUAUAAUACAUAUUCAACAAAGCUUCAUCCAAACAAUGAAUAUGAAAAGGUAUAUAUGAAAAGGUAUAAAUUGAAUGAACCUAGAUAUUGCCCAAUAUUGAUAAAAACACAAUAGGAUGAUCAUACUGUUGUAAUACUCUCCUCUUCCUUUUUCAUACAAACAUAAUUUAACAUUUGGAUUAAACUUUCUAAAAUGUAAGUUUUCAUCAUUAAUUUGAAUCAAGAUAUCUAAUUAAAAAAUUAAAAGUCCUUCGAAGAGCUUACAAUACAGAAAAUUAAAGUUAAUUAUUAAGUAAUUAUAUAAACUUAAAUGAAAAGAAAUCUUAUUUUAAAAAUAAUGAAAAAAGAGAAAAUUAGAGACAUGGAAUUGCUUUUAGAACUAAUCCAAUUGAUGGAAAUUUGAGAAUGCUUACUAAUAGCCAAAGUAACAAACCCUAAAAAUAAUAAAGGGUAUGAAGACUUAAAACUUCAUUCAAUGCAAACCAAAUCAUCUAAUGAGCUAUACUUUUUGUGAAGAAGUUAUUUCUUAGCUAUAUUCCUUGGACACUACAAAAAUAUUUAGAUGGAUGGCUUAAAACUUAAGAAUUUUUUUUUUCAUUAAUGUGAUCUCAUGUAAUGCAUAUAUCCUAAUGUUUUCAAUUUUUUAGUUUUAUUUUCAUAUUUAUCUUGGGGUUAUGUAAAAAGCAUUAACAAUAUUCUUUUCAAAUAACUAUUAAAAUGUUAAUUAUUUAUUGGUGGUAUUAUAAUUUGCGAAGGUGAGGAUAGAGGACAAAGUACAAAGGGUCACCGUACGUAGGGCACAUGUAAUAUAUCUUUUCUCUUCCAACUUAGGCCCAACCCAAUAAUGGGCUUGGGGCAAAGCACCAAUUAUUCAACUUGAUGGAUUGGACUGGGUUAUCUAAGAAUUUGUUGCUAGUGCCUUAAUCUUUGUUUGUGGAUAUCUAAGAAUUUCAUUUUUUUUUUCUUUAAAUACAAGAAUUCACCUAUUAAAACUAGUCAAGAAAGUUUUAUUUCCUUAAAAAUUUCAAUAAUAUAAAAAAAUUAUCUUUAUUUUUAAUAAAAGUAUUUUUAAAAUAUAAUUCUCCAGUAUAAAAUUCAAUUGAAUAACAAUGAUAAUUAUUACCUAAUCUACUAAACAAACAAAUUAAAUGCUAUCCUUUCAUAACACACAUUUGAAUUUUUUUAUAUGUAUUUCAUAAAAAGUUUCUUUUUUCACUUUGUUAAUAUAAGCGUUAAUAAUAUUAUUAUUAUUUAAAAAAAAAUUAGAUCAAACCCUUAUUAAGAUAUCAAAAACAAUAUUUUUAUUUUUAUUUUUCAUUAAAUAUUAUUGACAUUCACUAUGUAUUCAUACUAGCAUUUUUUAAGUAGCUGUAAAAAAUUAUUACCUUUGUAAAGUAAGUUUCUAUGAAGUCCGAGUUACAAUUUUUUUUUUUUUAAAAAAAAAAUAGAAGAUGUAUUUAAAUGAUACCUAAUUCAUUAAAAUUAUAUGUCUCACUACUAGUUUUGUUAAUUUCAUUUUCAGUAUACUUGUUAUCAUUUUUUUAAUGGUUGAAAUCAUUUAACAAUGAAUAUAAAGCUUCACCCAAACAACAAAUAUGAAAAAUUAAAAAUUGAAUGAGCCUAUAUAUUGCUUAACAUUGAUGAAAAUAUAAUAUGAUGAUAAUACUAUGGAAUACUCUCCUCUUUGAUGGGUUGAUCAUGUUCAUACAAACACAAAUUAACAUUUGGAUUGAUUAAACUUUCUCAAAUGUAAGUUUUUGUCAUUAAUUUGAAUCAAGAUGCUUGAUCGAAAAACUAGGAUUCCUCAUAAGAACUUACAAUACAUAAAAUUAUAGGUAAUCAUUGAGUAAUUCUAUGGACUUGAAUGGAGAGAAAUUUUAUUCUAAAAAAAUAGAGAAAAAAAAUAGAAAAUUAAAGUCAUGUGAUUACUUUCAAAACUAAUCCAAUUGAUGGAAAUUUGAGAAAGCCUCCUAACAGCUAAAGUAACUAACCCUAAACAUCAUAAUAAAGCACUAUGAGAAUGAUGAUUGAAACUUCGCUUAAUGCAAACUACUAUCUUUGCAUAUCUAAGUCAUCCAAUGGGCAAUAAUACUUUUUGUGGAGAAAAUUGGACUUUUACCCCUUGCGAUAUAUAGGCCAAGACUAAGAUUAAUUGCUUUCUUUAUUGAUUACUACCCAAAAAGUGCUAUUUUACACCUUUAAUGCAUUAUGUUUUAAGCACUUUUGUGUAGUAGUUCUCCAUCUUUAGUCCAAUUGGCAUGUUAAGGACCUAGCAAUGUCUUUUAAUCAUAUUUGUGGCUAGUUUUAAUGUUUUGACAGCUUUUUGGAUCGUUAAAACAAGUCAAGCAAAGGAGAAAACCAAAGAGAAGCAAAGUGAAGAAAAAUCAAAAUGUAGCAGCUGCAGUCUUCUUUCGCACUUUUGGAGCACUUCCCGAAGUCCAAUUUUUACAUGCUAUAUACCAUUUUAAAGAUUUUGAAGUCAAGAAUCCAACGCUUCAAACCGUGCAUGAUUUGGAGCUGAAACAAGGAAGAUAUGGCCUUCGGAAGACAACUCCUCCAGGUGUGCGAGAAUUUCGCACAACCCCUUUUAGCUGUGCGAAUGGUGUGCGAAGUUCGCACACCUCCUUCAGGUGUGCGAAAAUUUCGCACACCCCAUGCGUGCUCUGUUUUUGCCGACUCCACUUUAGAUAUUUUCCUAUGUAAUUUUUGAUGUAAUUUCCUUUCCUAUCCUUGUAACUAACCAAUCACAAGCUUUUGCUUUUGUAAAGACUUUAUAAGGGGUGGAAAUUACCUCUUGGAAAAUAUACGCAUUACAUUUGACACUUAGAGAUUUUUUACAGAGCUCUCUCGUUUUCCAUUUUUUCUCUACUAUUUUCUUUUUCUUGGAAGCCAAACAACCUCUGAGGAUGUUUUCUCAUAGGAUGAGAGGCUAAACUUUUGGUUUCUUGGAGUGAUGGAAGCUAGGUGAAAAGUUCAGAUGCAAGGUGGAAAACGCUCGUGCAUUAAAUUCAGGUAGUUGGAAUUCAUAAAUGGCUUUUAAAUCCAAAGUUUUGCUUUAAAUCCCUUAGAAUCACUUUGAAUGACCAAUACAUGGUAAGCUUCAGGUCUUUAUGGAUGCUUAUUGCUAGAUCCAUAUUAGUCCAUUAGUUAUCAUGUACGAGUCAUUGGAAAGCAGUUCAAGGUGAAGACCUAUAGUGUCUAAAGCCAUUAAUGGACUUUGACUACCAUUUAUAUUGAUUAUUAUGGAUUAAAUCUUCAUUGUUAAACCUAUACCGGUUCGGGAAAUAACUAUAGGUUAAAUCCCCAAUGCGAGGAGAAAAAUCCGGAAUUUUCCACUUUGCAUUCUAAACUUGAUCCUAGUAAUCCUGAGCUCCGGGAGACUUUCCUUCUUCCAUUUUUAAUUAGUUUAUGUUAGUUUAGUUUUAAACACUUUCAAAUCAAAUUUCAUUUUCUUUUAAAUUUUAAGUUUUUGAUUAAGGAAAUCAUUAAAUACAAUUUCUAAUUUUGAAUACAUCACUGGUAGAAUGAAAACCCAUCCCAGAGUUCGACCCUAGAGCCACUAUACUAUAGUAGCUUUACUACAUUAGUAUGAGGUCAUAGGUUUUAUAAAUGUUUUUGAUUAAAUGACCCAUUUGGAGUUACAUGCGCGAAUCAAAAUGGCGCCGUUGCUGGGGAUGGUGCCACAAUACAGUGAUGCAACCUUUUAGAGGCUACUUGUGAUUUCCAUCACAAGUUUGGUGAAUUCCUUUUUCACUAACUUCUUUUCCUUUCAUUUUAUUUUUGUUAGGUUUAUUUUCAUUUUCUUUCUAACCUUAACUUUUUUCUAGGUUUCUUUUGUUUUUGUUGUUUUUGUUUUAUUUCAGGUAAGUAGUAACUUUUGCAUGCCCUAUUGGAUUCGGGACCAAGAGGGAAGAUUAGUAAGGAUUGAGAAUCCUCAAGACACAGAGUUGGAUAUUUGUGUUAACAUCAUGGACCCUCCACCAGAGGAUCAGAAUUCUCAACAAGGUCAAGGGGGUAAUCCUAAUGCAUAUCUAUCCAUGAGGGAUAGAAUGCAUCCACCAAGGAUGAGUGCACCCUCAUGCAUCCUGCCUCCUCUUGAGCAGCUGGUUAUAAGGCCCCAUAUUGUGCCCCUUCUACCAACUUUCCAUGGAAUGGAGAGUGAGAAUCCAUAUGCCCACAUCAAGGAGUUUGAGGAGGUGUGCAAUACCUUUAGAGAGGGAGGAACUUCAAUAGACUUGAUGAGACUCAAGCUAUUCCCUUUCACUUUGAAGGACAAGGCAAAAAUAUGGCUUAAUUCUUUAAGGCCAAGGAGCAUAAGGAAUUGGGUUGAUCUUCAGGCCGAAUUUUUGAAGAAAUUUUUCCCCACCCAUAGGACCAAUGGGUUGAAGAGACAAAUCUCAAACUUUUCUGCAAAAGAAAAUGAGAAGUUCCAUGAAUGUUGGGAAAGGUAUAUGGAGGCCAUCAAUGCUUGUCCUCAUCAUGGCUUUGAUACAUGGCUCUUGGUGAGCUAUUUCUAUGAUGGGAUGUCAUCCUCCAUGAAGCAAAUUCUUGAAACCAUGUGUGGAGGAGAUUUUAUGAGCAAGAAUCCGGAAGAAGCCAUGGACUUUUAAAGUUAUGUGUCUNNNNNNNNNNNNNNNNNNNNNNNNNNNNNNNNNNNNNNNNNNNNNNNNNNNNNNNNNNNNNNNNNNNNNNNNNNNNNNNNNNNNNNNNNNNNNNNNNNNNGUAGUGAUUAAAGGAGGAUAUGAUGAAAAAACAUAUGCCUCCCCCUUUUCCUCAAGCUUUACAUGGAAAGAAGGAAAUCAAGAAUUCAUCAGAAAUUCUUGAAGUCUUGAGACAAGUGAAGGUGAAUAUACCCUUACUUGAUAUGAUCAAGCAAGUCCCCACAUAUGCAAAGUUUCUAAAGGACUUGUGCACGGUCAAGAGAGGGUUACAUGUGACAAAGAAUGCAUUCCUCACUGAGCAAGUAAGUGCUAUCAUUCAGAGUAAGUCUCCAGUUAAGUACAAAGAUCCGGGAUGCCCCACCAUUUCAGUCAACAUUGGAGGGACACAUGUGGAGAAAGCUUUACUAGACUUGGGGGCAAGUGUGAAUUUGCUCCCAUACUCUGUGUACAAGCAACUGGGACUUGGAGGAUUGAAGCCCACAGCCAUUACUCUCUCCUUAGCUGACAGGUCAGUCAAAAUCCCAAGAGGGGUGAUAGAGGAUGUUCUAGUUCAAGUGGACAAAUUCUACUAUCCUGUGGAUUUUGUUGUGCUUGAUAUUGAUCCCAUUGUGAAGGAAGCAAACUAUGUACCAAUCAUCCUUGGGAGACCUUUCCUAGCUACCUCCAAUGCCAUUAUCAAUUGUAGAAAUGGGGUGAUGCAGCUCACAUUUGGGAAUAUGACCUUGGAAUUAAACAUAUUCCACCUAUGCAAGAGGCAUUUUCACCCAGAAAAAGAGGAAGGAUUGGAGGAGGUGUGCUUGAUCAACACCUUGGUUGAAGAGCAUUGUGACAAGAAUUUACAAAAGAGCUUGAGUGAAAACCUUGAAAUGUUUGAAGAAGGGUUACCUGAACCCUCUGAUGUUCUAGCCAUCAUGUCUCCUUGGAGGAGACGGGAAGAGAUCUUACCACUGUUCAACCAGGAAGACUCACAAGAAGCAACUGUGGAGGACCCUCCAAAACUUGUUUUGAAGCCACUUCCUGUUGAUUUGAAAUAUGCAUAUUUGGAGGAAAAUGAGAAAUGUCCAGUGGUGAUUUCUUCAACUCUUACUAUUGAUCAAGAGGAUAAUCUUUUGGGAGUCCUCAGGAAAUGCAAGAAAGCCAUUGGAUGGCAAAUUUCUGAUCUGAAAGGGAUUAGCCCUUUGGUGUGCACCCACCAUAUCUAUAUGGAGGAUGAUGCAAAACCAGUGAGGCAGCCCCAGAGGAGGUUGAAUCCUCACAUGCAAGAGGUGGUGAGGGGUGAAGUUCUGAAGCUACUCCAAGCUGGGAUCAUAUAUCCCAUUUCAGACAGUUUGUGGGUGAGCCCCACCCANUAGUCCUAAAGAAAUCUGGAAUCACUGUGGUCNNNNNNNNNNNNNNNNNNNNNNNNNNNNNNNNNNNNNNNNNNNNNNNNNNNNNNNNNNNNNNNNNNNNNNNNNNNNNNNNNNNNNNNNNNNNNNNNNNNNUGAGAAUCCAUAUGCCCACAUCAAGGAGUUUGAGGAGGUGUGCAAUACCUUUAGAGAGGGAGGAACUUCAAUAGACUUGAUGAGACUCAAGCUAUUCCCUUUCACUUUGAAGGACAAGGCAAAAAUAUGGCUUAAUUCUUUAAGGCCAAGGAGCAUAAGGAAUUGGGUUGAUCUUCAGGCCGAAUUUUUGAAGAAAUUUUUCCCCACCCAUAGGACCAAUGGGUUGAAGAGACAAAUCUCAAACUUUUCUGCAAAAGAAAAUGAGAAGUUCCAUGAAUGUUGGGAAAGGUAUAUGGAGGCCAUCAAUGCUUGUCCUCAUCAUGGCUUUGAUACAUGGCUCUUGGUGAGCUAUUUCUAUGAUGGGAUGUCAUCCUCCAUGAAGCAAAUUCUUGAAACCAUGUGUGGAGGAGAUUUUAUGAGCAAGAAUCCGGAAGAAGCCAUGGACUUUUUAAGUUAUGUGUCUGAAGUGUCAAGAGGAUGGGAUGAGCCCAACUCAAGAGAGAAAGGGAAGUCUCCCUUCCAACCAACCCAAAAUCCAAAAGGUGGAAUGUAUGUAUUAAGUGAAGACAUGGACAUGAAAGCUAAAGUGGCAACAAUAGCAAGGAGAUUGGAAGAACUUGAGUUGAAAAAGAUGCAUGAAGUCCAAGCCAUUUCCGAGACCCAAGCCCAUGUCAUGCCAUGCACCAUUUGCCAAUCAUGUGAUCAUGUGGUAGAUGAGUGCCCAACCAUGCCAGCUGUGAGGUAGAUGUUAGGUGAUCAAGCCAAUGUUGUGGGGCAAUUUAAGCCUAACAACAAUGCACCUUAUGGAAACACCUAUAAUUCAAGCUGGAGAAAUCACCCAAAUUUUUCUUGGAAACCAAGACCACCUCCAUACCAACCACAAGCCCAAACCCAAGCACCUCAACAAACCUCUUCAGUGGAGCAAGCCAUUGUGAACCUAAGUAAAGUCAUGGGUGACUUUGUGGGUGAGCAAAAGGCAAUCAACUCCCAAUUUCAUCAAAAGAUUGAAAAUGUUGAGAGUUCUNNNNNNNNNNNNNNNNNNNNNNNNNNNNNNNNNNNNNNNNNNNNNNNNNNNNNNNNNNNNNNNNNNNNNNNNNNNNNNNNNNNNNNNNNNNNNNNNNNNNNNNNNNNNNNNNNNNNNNNNNNNNNNNNNNNNNNNNNNNNNNNNNNNNNNNNNNNNNNNNNNNNNNNNNNNNNNNNNNNNNNNNNNNNNNNNNNNNNNNNNNNNNNNNNNNNNNNNNNNNNNNNNNNNNNNNNNNNNNNNNNNNNNNNNNNNNNNNNNNNNNNNNNNNNNNNNNNNNNNNNNNNNNNNNNNNNNNNNNNNNNNNNNNNNNNNNNNNNNNNNNNNNNNNNNNNNNNNNNNNNNNNNNNNNNNNNNNNNNNNNNNNNNNNNNNNNNNNNNNNNNNNNNNNNNNNNNNNNNNNNNNNNNNNNNNNNNNNNNNNNNNNNNNNNNNNNNNNNNNNNNNNNNNNNNNNNNNNNNNNNNNNNNNNNNNNNNNNNNNNNNNNNNNNNNNNNNNNNNNNNNNNNNNNNNNNNNNNNNNNNNNNNNAGCAAUGAAAGUAAUCCAAUCAGGUUUUUGGUGGCCCUCUCUUUUCAAGGAUGCCCACUCUAUGUGCAAGGGAUGUGAUCGGUGUCAAAGGCUUGGUAAGCUAACACGCCGAAAUAUGAUGCCCUUGAAUCCCAUCUUGAUAGUGGAUGUCUUUGAUGUUUGGGGGAUAGACUUCAUGGGACCAUUUCCAAUGUCAUUUGGACAUUCCUACAUUUUGGUGGGAGUGGAUUAUGUCUCUAAGUGGGUAGAAGCAAUCCCAUGUAGGAGCAAUGAUCAUAAGGUGGUUCUUAAAUUCCUCAAGGACAACAUCUUUGCAAGAUUUGGUGUGCCUAAGGCCAUUAUCAGUGAUGGAGGAACCCACUUUUGCAAUAAACCUUUUGAGACUCUUCUAGCCAAAUAUGGGGUUAAGCACAAGGUAGCUACACCCUAUCACUCUCAAACAAGUGGCCAAGUUGAGUUAGCCAACCGGGAGAUCAAGAAUAUAUUAAUGAAGGUGGUGAAUGUGAAUAGGAAGGAUUGGUCUAUUAAGCUCCUAGAUUCCUUAUGGGCAUAUAGGACCGCUUACAAGACCAUUCUUGGAAUGUCCCCUUAUCGCCUUGUUUAUGGCAAAGCGUGCCAUCUUCCAGUGGAGAUUGAAUACAAAGCAUGGUGGGCAAUCAAAAAACUCAACAUGGAUUUGACAAGAGCCGGGUUGAAAAGAUGUUUGGAUUUGAAUGAAUUGGAGGAAAUGAGGAAUGAUGCUUACCUCAAUUCAAAAAUUGCAAAGGAGAGGUUGAAAAAAUGGCAUGAUCAAUUGGUAAAUCAAAAGAAUUUUGCCAAGGGACAAAGAGUCUUGCUUUAUGACUCUAAGCUUCAUCUUUUUCCGGGAAAAUUGAAAUCAAGAUGGACGGGUCCUUUCAUAAUUCAUGAAGUGCAACCAAAUGGAGUAGUGGAACUACUCAACUUCAAUAGCACUCGAACUUUCAAAGUUAAUGGGCAUCGUCUCAAACCCUAUAUUGAAUCUUUUUCCCGAGACAAGGAGGAAUUCAUCCUCCUUGAUCCACCUCCAACAUGAAAACACUUGGUUCAUGGUUGAACUUAGUCUCUCCAAAGACUAAAAAGUUCAUCCUCUUUUUAUUUUCUUUUAAGUUGAUUUUACUUUAAUCUAGUGUUUUCUUGUGUUUAUGCAUGUUUUGAUUUCUAUUUUUGACUUUAAUUUCAUUCUAAUGUGGUUUGAAUUGUGUUUUUUUGUGCUAACAUGUAGGUAGGAAGGCUUGAAGAAUGAAGUCUUGGUGAAAACAAGGGAAAACAGGGGAGAUAAGACAAGGCUCAGCAAAAUUCGCACACCCCCUUAUGGUGUGCGAAAAUUUCGCACACCAUUUACCCUGUGCGAAUUCCAUUUUUGCACCACUUUUCAAAAAUUACAUGCUCUCGGUCCCCUGUGCGAAUUUCACAGGUAUGCGAACCUUGUGCGAACCUUGUGCGAAUUCAUUUUUUGCGCCAAUUUUCAAAACCAUGCUCUCUGUCUUGGAGAAUCACAGGUAUGCGAAAAUUUCGCACACCAUUUUCCCCUGUGCGAAAUUCAUUUUCUCUUUAAAAGCUUUGUUCUCCACUUCAAAGACUUAGCUUCUUCUUCAAUUCUCUCAAAGCCUCUCUUCCGAUCACCCAUUGCCAUCCACAAAGCUCCUUUCCUUCAUCAUCCAUCAUCAUCAGCACCACCAUGGCAGCCAUUAUCCAUAGCUCCACUCCAUAGCCGCGGCAUCCACUAUUCACCACUUCCCAUUUUCGGCAAUUUCAUCUCCUUCCACCAUCAAAAUCCUUUCAAAUCUUCACCCAACCCUCUAAAUCCAUCCAUAAUUCAAUCCAAACCUUGUUCUUAUCAAGCCAAAGCCUAAACCAUAAGCAUUCAAGCCAUGGUUUCUUCAUAAGAAACCCAUUGCCGCCGGCCAUGGGAGCUCCCAAUUUUCAAUUUUCCUUUUGAAAAGCUCCCAAUUUUCAAGCCUAAUCAUCAUGAAAAAUCUUUUUCAUACCUAAGCCAGCUUUUCCCGCCCUCAAAGGCCACAAAUUUUCACCAUCUCCAUCAAGCCCAAAUUCUUCAAGCGCACGGGUGAAUAGUACCCUGUGCGAAAAUUUGCGCACAUCAUUGAGAUGAUCUUGGAGAUCAGAAAGACCUAGACUUAUGAAUUGUCUUAACUCCUUAAUCUCCUUUUUAUGCUGCUUAACUUCUUCAUGAAGUUCCUUAAUACUGACAUCCUUGGGAGACUGCUGGUCGAACCUGUUUAAGAUAUCGUUAAGGUUAUAAGGAUUAACAGUCUUCUUGGCUUCUACCUUAACAACAGAUUUCUUAAAAACUUCGUAAAGGUUUUGCUUAGUUUUUUCAUCUUCAACUUUUCUAAAAGGAUCUAGNNNNNNNNNNNNNNNNNNNNNNNNNNNNNNNNNNNNNNNNNNNNNNNNNNNNNNNNNNNNNNNNNNNNNNNNNNNNNNNNNNNNNNNNNNNNNNNNNNNNUGUUUGUUGCAUUUAGAAGCUGUUCUCCAAAGAUGUAUUGAGAAAGACCUAGUGCUAAAUUGGGAGAAGUGCCAUUUUAUGGUACAACAGGGAAUUGUCUUAGGACAUAUCAUCUCCAAGAAGGGCAUUGAGGUAGAUAAGGCAAAGGUGGAGCUAAUUGUUAAGUUGCCACCUCCCACAAAUGUUAAAGGAAUUAGGCAAUUCUUAGGACAUGCCGGGUUCUAUAGGAGGUUCAUUAAAGAUUUCUCAAAAAUCUCAAAGCCUCUUUGUGAACUUUUGGUAAAAGAUGCCAAGUUUGUGUGGGAUGAGAAGUGUCAGAAGAGUUUUGAGGAACUGAAGCAAUUCCUCACAACAGCACCAAUAGUGAGAGCCCCAAAUUGGAAAUUACCUUUUGAGGUAAUGUGUGAUGCAAGUGACCUUGCUAUGGGGGCUGUCUUAGGGCAAAGAGAAGAUGGGAAGCCCUAUGUGAUUUAUUAUGCGAGCAAAACUUUGAACGAGGCUCAAAGGAACUACACAACUACUGAGAAGGAGUUGUUGGCAGUAGUUUUUGCCUUGGAUAAGUUUCGUGCUUAUUUGGUAGGGUCCUCUAUAGUGGUGUUCACUGACCAUUCCGCCUUGAAGUACUUGCUAACCAAGCAAGAUGCCAAGGCAAGAUUGAUAAGAUGGAUCCUUUUGCUCCAAGAAUUUAAUCUCCAAAUCAGGGAUAAAAAGGGAGUAGAAAAUAUGGUAGCUGACCACUUGUCAAGACUUGUGAUAUCGCAUGACUCACAUGGUCUGCCUAUCAAUGAUGACUUCCCUGAGGAGUCUCUCAUGUCAAUAGAGGUAGCUCCAUGCUAUUCUCACAUUGCAAAUUUCUUGGUUACUGGAGAAGUACCAAGUGAGUGGAGUGCCCAAGACAAGAGGCAUUUCUUUGCUAAGAUCCAUGCCUAUUAUUGGGAGGAGCCCUUUCUCUUCAAAUAUUGUGCGGAUCAAAUCAUAAGGAAAUGUGUUCCUGAACAAGAGCAAUUAGGAAUUCUUUCCCAUUGCCAUGAUAAUGCAUGUGGAGGUCAUUUUGCCUCCCAGAAAACAGCAAUGAAAGUAAUCCAAUCAGGUUUUUGGUGGCCCUCUCUUUUCAAGGAUGCCCACUCUAUGUGCAAGGGAUGUGAUCGGUGUCAAAGGCUUGGUAAGCUAACACGCCGAAAUAUGAUGCCCUUGAAUCCCAUCUUGAUAGUGGAUGUCUUUGAUGUUUGGGGGAUAGACUUCAUGGGACCAUUUCCAAUGUCAUUUGGACAUUCCUACAUUUUGGUGGGAGUGGAUUAUGUCUCUAAGUGGGUAGAAGCAAUCCCAUGUAGGAGCAAUGAUCAUAAGGUGGUUCUUAAAUUCCUCAAGGACAACAUCUUUGCAAGAUUUGGUGUGCCUAANNNNNNNNNNNNNNNNNNNNNNNNNNNNNNNNNNNNNNNNNNNNNNNNNNNNNNNNNNNNNNNNNNNNNNNNNNNNNNNNNNNNNNNNNNNNNNNNNNNNUCAUUUCAUCGAUCUAUCAUGCCAAAGACCUGAGGAGGAUCUACCACAGCUCCCCAGAGCAGUCAGAGAGCUGCCCCUGUGCGGGCCCCACUAGCUGCACCCUCACAUUUACCUGAUUCUGCCCCUCAGAGCAGAUACCAUACGAGGAGAGCAUCUGCCACGUCUGUGGCCCCUUCACAAGUUCCGCCUCGGAGUCCUCCUACAAAGAGAGCCAAGACUUCAGAGCCAGGAGACUCCUCCAGAGCACCUCGGGAUUCACAGUCUCAGCCUUCUUCUGCCAGGCGCCGUAGACCCAGCUUGCCCAUUGAGGGCAAUUCAGAUUGCCGAUCGAGAGACUUUCAUGUCGAGGCAUAUUUCGAUCACUCUCUUAUGCGACAGCAGCCUGAGUUACGGGAUUCAUACCACCUACUUGAGAGGUACCAUCUGAUACCCUUUAUGACUUUGCCCCAGUUCUUUUAUCCUCGAGUAGUUUUAGACUUUUACCAGUCUAUGACUACUCGUGGCGUCCCGGUACCUGCCUCGAUCCUUUUUACCAUUGAUGGACGCCAGAGUAUUUUGGGGGCUAGACAGAUUGCCGAUGCCUUCCAUAUCCCUUUUGCACCAGUAGAUCCCGCUACAUUUAGACGCUGGGUCCCAUUUUCUGAGUGGGACAUGGUUCGUAUCCUAUCUCGAGGGACAUCUUCCCAGAGGACCAUUUUGAGGAGAGAGCUUCCCCCAGAGAUGCUCCUAGUUGAUGUGGUGCUUCGCACCAAUCUUUUUCCUCUUCAGCAUAAAGUACAGAGACGAGGGGCCAUUAUGGAGGCAUUAUUCCGUAUCUCUGAGGGCUACUAUUUUGGCCCCCAUCAUUUGAUUAUGGCCGCUCUCCUCCAUUUUGAGGAGAAGGUGCAUACGCGGCAUCUUGCGAGGGCAGACUCCAUUCCUUUACUUUUCCCUCGGCUGCUAUGCCAUGUUUUGGCGCAUAUGGGUUUUCCUACAGACCCUCGUUCAGAGCCCCGCCGCCAUUGUCGAGAGAGCUUCUCUCUUGACCAAUGGACUCAGAUAUGGCUCCAUCGCCAGUCCCCAGAACUUCCCGAGCCAAGGGAAGUCCCUCCUGCUCCGUCCACUACAGACCCUCCACAGCCAGUACCGGAGGCAGCAUCAUCUGAUGCCCCACCUGUUGUUCCUCCUACAUCAGAGCCGCCCAUUACUAUCCUUGGUCCAGAGUAUCGUGCCUUGCUCACUUCUUUCCAGACUUUGACCACUACUCAGACGGCCAUUAUGGAGCGCAUGGACCACUUCCAGACUCAGCAGGACCAGCAGACUCUCAUUCUCCGUGAGAUUUAGCAGCACCUCGGUCUUGUGCCACCAGCUCCACCUGUAGCGGUGCCUUCCACAGUUGCAGCGGAGGACCCCUCCUAUCCACCAGAGGAGCCUACUACUUGAUCAUACGAUCACUCCUCUCCUUUUUUGUAUCUAUAUGCUACGUUUUGGGAUGUCUUAUAUAUUUUGGACCACUUUUAUACUGGGAUUGGAUGUAUUCCAUGUUUAUUUUGUAUAUUGUACUUUCUCAGUUUAUAUAGACAUCUUCUCUUUUAGUGUAUUUUAGCUAUUCCAUUUUAUUUCCUCUUUUCAUCACUCUUAUGAUUUUCCUUUUCUUAUGCAACAUGUGGUUUCUCCUGUUCAUUCAGAGUCCCUUACUAUCAGGAGGUAUCACUUCCUCCCUUAUUUUAUCGCUUGCUUUUGGAACAUUGGGGACAAUGUUCAUCUUAGUUGGGGGGAGAGUUGAGGAAGUAAUUUGUUGAAUUUGUUAAGUUAUUUUGCUAACAAAUUUUUUGCAAACUCUCUUUGUUUUCUCAAAGAUAAAUUCUCAAAAGUAAAUGGGAGAAAUUAAAUUCUUAUCUUAUUGCCAUAGUCUCAGAGUUUGUAUUAUGCUUAUUAAAGUUGAUAAAUUGUUGAAGCUUCUUUUGUUUUCAAGCUUAAGUCUUCCACUCUAAUCUUUUCACACACUGAACACAUUAGAUUCCAGUUAUAAGAUGGAAAACUUUCUCACCCCCUAAACUUUGGAAAUUAUCGACUUGGUGCCAUUGACCUCAUUCUAUUAGUGUUGGGACACCUUAUUAAAGGCCAAUGUGUCUUAUGAAAAUAAUUUUUGCUUCACUUGCUUUGAAACCCGAGCAAGGUCCGAGGGGUAUAUGGUGAAAAUCUUUAAAGCCUGGUGCCCUAAGCCUUUACUGGUUGGGAGUUCACCGACCUCACUGCUCGUUACAUGGGUGGAUGGGUGGAGUAACACUUAGAAUAAAAAAAUAAAAAAAAAUAAAAAAUAAAAAAUAAAAAAAAAAAGAAAGAGAAAGAAGGGUGCGUUCUUAGCCUUUUAUAUAUGAGUUAGUGUUACUUAAGUUAGAGAAAAACCUUAGUUGGGGGGAGAAUAUAGUUUGACAUACUAUAACUGGAAACUAAGCACCUUAACACUUAGAUUUUUGUGGAAGAUUAAGAAUUGAUCCUUUGGAAGUGGAAAUUAUUUUGAUACUCAAAUUUGCAUAAUGGCCGCUCUUUGAAUGUUGUGAUAAGUAAGUUAUUUGAUGACUCGUGUUGAUGAUUGAGUUUUAUAUCCUUGACUUGCCACGAGAGUGUUUGAUUCAAUCAUGCCACUUGGUUAUUUUUUGGAGUGAUCAGCAUGAUUUUGUAAAUUACUAUAUUAUCUAUUUUUCUUUCUUUUUUCUCUCCUUCAUUGCUCAGGGACUAGCAAUGUGUCAGUUGGGGGGAGUGAUUACUACCCAAAAAGUGCUAUUUUACACCUUUAAUGCAUUAUGUUUUAAGCACUUUUGUGUAGUAGUUCUCCAUCUUUAGUCCAAUUGGCAUGUUAAGGACCUAGCAAUGUCUUUUAAUCAUAUUUGUGGCUAUUUUUAAUGUUUUGACAGCUUUUUGGAUUGUUAAAACAAGUCAAGCAAAGGAGAAAACCAAAGAGAAGCAAAGUGAAGAAAAAUCAAAAUGUAGCAGCUGCAGUCUUCUUUCGCACUUUUGGAGCACUUCCCGAAGUCCAAUUUUUACAUGCUAUAUACCAUUUUAAAGAUUUUGAAGUCAAGAAUCCAACGCUUUAAACCGUGCAUGAUUUGGAGCUGAAACGAGGAAGAUAUGGCCUUCGGAAGACAACUCCUCCAGGUGUGCGAGAAUUUCGCACAACCCCCUUUAGCUGUGCGAAUGGUGUGCGAAGUUCGCACACCUACCCCAUGCGUGCUCUGUUUUUGCCAACUCCACUUUAGAUAUUUUCCUAUGUAAUUUUUGAUGUAAUUUCCUUUCCUAUCCUUGUAACUAACCAAUCACAAGCUUUUGCUUUUGUAAAGACUUUAUAAGGGGUGGAAAUUACCUCUUGGAAAAUAUACGUAUUACAUUUGACACUUAGAGAUUUUUUACAGAGCUCUCUCGUUUUCCAUUUUUUCUCUACUAUUUUCUUUUUCUUGGAAGCCAAACAACCUCUGAGGAUGUUUUCUCAUAGGAUGAGAGGCUAAACUUUUGGUUUCUUGGAGUGAUGGAAGCUAGGUGAAAAGUUCAGAUGCAAGGUGGAAAACGCUCGUGCAUUAAAUUCAGGUAGUUGGAAUUCAUAAAUGGCUUUUAAAUCCAAAGUUUUGCUUUAAAUCCCUUAGAAUCACUUUGAAUGACCAAUACAUGGUAAGCUUCAGGUCUUUAUGGAUGCUUAUUGCUAGAUCCAUAUUAGUCCAUUAGUUAUCAUGUACGAGUCAUUGGAAAGCAGUUCAAGGUGAAGACCUAUAGUGUCUAAAGCCAUUAAUGGACUUUGACUACCAUUUAUAUUGAUUAUUAUGGAUUAAAUCUUCAUUGUUAAACCUAUACCGGUUCGGGAAAUAACUAUAGGUUAAAUCCCCAAUGCGAGGAGAAAAAUCCGGAAUUUUCCACUUUGCAUUCUAAACUUGAUCCUAGUAAUCCUGAGCUCCGGGAGACUUUCCUUCUUCCAUUUUUAAUUAGUUUAUGUUAGUUUAGUUUUAAACACUUUCAAAUCAAAUUUCAUUUUCUUUUAAAUUUUAAGUUUUUGAUUAAGGAAAUCAUUAAAUACAAUUUCUAAUUUUGAAUACAUCACUGGUAGAAUGAAAACCCAUCCCAGAGUUCGACCCUAGAGCCACUAUACUAUAGUAGCUUUACUACAUUAGUAUGAGGUCAUAGGUUUUAUAAAUGUUUUUGAUUAAAUGACCCAUUUGGAGUUACAUGCGCGAAUCAUUUAUUCCAAGUCUUUUGCAUAUCUAAGUCAUACUAAGAUUAAUUGUUUUCUCUAUUCCAAGUCUUUUCCAAAUCUAAGUCAUCCGAUGGGCCACACUUUUUAUGGAGAAGACUAAGCUUUUGCCCCUUGGGAUACAUAGGCCUCAUCCAAUGGGCCACACUUUUUAUGGAGAAUGCUAGACUUUUGUUCCUGACAAUAUGAAUGCUAAGACCAAUACUAAUUGUUUUCUCUAUUCCAAGUCUUCUACAUAUCUAAGUCAUCCGGUGGGCCACACUUUUUAUGGAGAAGACUAAACUUUUGCCCCUUACGAUACGUAGGCCUCAUCCAAUGGGCCACACUUUUUAUGGAGAAUGCCAGACUUUUGUCCCUAACAAUAUGAAUGCCAAGACCAAUACUAAUUGCUUUCUCUAUUCCAAGUCUUCUACGUAUUUAAGUCCAUCCAAUGGGCCAUACUUUUUAUAGAUAAGACUAAACUUUUGCCCUUGUGAUAUGAAGACCAAGACUAAUUGGUUUCUUCAAUAUUCCAAGUUAUGUGCAUACUUUUAUGUAGGGUAAUAACAUAAGGAAGUUUCAUAUGGUUUUAUAAUGCAAGUCUAGAUUUGUUAUUCUGUAUUUUUUUUUUUUUUACAUGUUUAAACACUUUCCCUCUUAAAUAACAUAACUUUUUUUUUCAAAUAAUCUUUGACAAAACUUUUGUCAUACCCUUUUUUAACUAUUAUACUAUUUUCCCAUAUCUAAAAUUUUCAAAGCACAUAUUUUGUUUUGCAAUUAUUUCUUAACUACGUACAUUCCUUAGACACUACAAAAAUGAUUUUAUUUGAAAAUUAACCAAUAAAUAUAUUUAGAUGGAUGACUCAAAAUUAAAGAAAAAAAUUUGUUCAUCAAUGCUAUUUCAUGUAGAAUAUAUAUGCAUAUGUAUCAAAGAAAAACAUGAAAAAUAAAAAACCAUACAAGUACAAAAGAAACAAUAUUUCAACAAUAAUGCUUUUUCCCUUUGAAACUUUACAUGGCUUUACAUGGAAACAACAUUUGGAUACAAGUACCAUAUAAAAUUUGUAAAAACCGUUCUUCAAAAAAUGUUUCUUAAAUUAAAAUUGUUUAGGAUUUUAUGUGGAAUUUGUAUUUUGAAAAGAUUGGUUCAAUAUAAUAAAAGUAAACUCAUUUUUUUUUUCAAAAGACGAGUUCAGUAUAAAAAGUAGGAAUUACUCAAAUUUUGAAAAGAUAAAUUUAAUGUAAAAAUAAUAAAAAAGUAAAAAAUAUUGGAUUCUUUAUUUAUUUGUCAAAUAACCCUUUUUAACAAUAUUCUUUUAAAAUAACCAUCUAAUAGACACCUUCAUCCUUUAAAAACUCAACUGCUUUAUAGAGAAGACCAAGACUUCUAGCUCUUGAUGUAGAGUUGUACUUCUUAAUAUUUCUCAUUAAAAGAUAAGAUUAACCUUAGAUGCUACUAACUGUGAAAGUUUUACUUUAGCUUAUGCAGGGACCUAUUUUAUGAUUAAAGAAACUUAUACAAACUAAAUGGAUAUCAUUUGAGAAAUUAUUGUGGCUAAGGUGGGUAAGAAAUAUGCUACUUUUUCCAUGAAAUCUUAGCUUGUGAUUAAAAGUGGGCAAAAUAGUUCGACUCUUGAUCGGACAACGAACCCACAUUGUCAUUUUAAUGUGGAAGUGACUCUAAAUUUUUCUUUGAUUUGAAGUCAAUGGUCCCACAUUUGAAUUGGAAACUUUGAUGAAGUUUCUAAUAAUGAAAAUUUAAACUUAAAUUAUAAGGGAACCUUUGGGUAUAAAUUCAAGUCAUCCAUUAUUAUAUUUUUUUCAUCACACAUCAGCCAAUUUUUGUUAUAGCUUUUGAAGAUACGAUGUAUCGAAUCCUUUGCUUCCUCUUCUUUCUCUCAUAUUCUCAUGUUUUUUGUUUCUACGAAGCUGUGUCCUCAUCACCAGAAUGUUGCCUUGCUUCGACUUAAGCAAUUAUUUUCCAUAGAUGUCUCCGCUUCUUCUUCGGAUGAUUGAAAUUUAGCUUCUUUUGCCAAGACAGACACUUGGAAGGAAGGCAUUGUGGAGACAGACAUGUUCAUGAAUCUUGAAAAUCUUGUCUAUCUCGAUCUUUCAUAUAACAUUCUGACAUUGAGCAACUACAGCCAUUCCAACAGUGCGCUACCAUCCUUGGAAACAUUGUUGUUGUCUUCUUGCAACAUAAGUGAAUUCCCAAGAUUUUUAUGAAGUCAAGAGUUAUUGGCGUUUUUAGACCUUUCAAACAACAAGAUUUAUGGACAACUUCCGAAAUGGGCAUGGAAUGUGGGUACGGAGACACUGUCUUACUUAAAUCUUUCUCAAAACAUGCUAACCAGGUUUGACAGAUUUCCAUGGAGGAUUGUGCAAUAUCUUGACCUUCAUUCCAACUUGCUUCAAGGGCCACUUCCAUCAUUGAUUUGUGAAAUGAGUUAUAUUGAAGUUCUAGAUUUCUCUAAUAACAACUUGAGUGGCUUAAUUCCACAAUGUUUGGGAAACUUCAGUAAGUCUCUCUCAGUUUUGGAUUUGUGAAUGAAUCAACUUCAUGGUACCAUUCCUGAAACAUUUUCAAAGGGCAAUCUUAUUAGGAAUCUUGACUUCAAUGGAAAUCAAUUGGAAGGGCCUCUACCACGAUCUUUGAUCAAUUGUAGAAGGUUGCAAGUUUUAGACCUUGGAAAUAAUAUAAUAAAUGAUACAUUCCCCUUUUGGUUGGAAACUCUUCUAGAGCUACAAGUUUUGAUCUUGUGUUCUAAUAGGUUCCAUGGUCACAUAAGCGGUUCAAAUUUCCAAUUUCCAUUUCCUAAGUUACGAAUAAUGGAUCUUUCAAGCAAUGGUUUCUCUAGCAGUUUACCCGAAAUGUAUUUGAAGAAUUUCAAGGCAAUGAUGAAUGUCACUGAGGAUAAAAUGAAAUUGAAAUAUAUGGGGGAAUACUAUUAUCGAGAUUGUAUAAUGGUAACAAUCAAAGGAUUUUAUUUUGAAUUUGUAAGAAUCAUGUUUACCUUCACAAUGAUUGAUUUGUCAAGCAAUACAUUCCAAGGAGACAUUCCAGAUUUCAUUGGUAGUCUUAGUUCACUUCGAGAACUCAACUUGUCUCAUAACAACAUUAUAGGGCAUAUUCCAUCAUCUUUAGGGAAUCUAAUGGUACUUGAAUCAUUACACCUCUCUUCGAACAAGCUUAGUGGGAGAAUUCCAAGGGAGCUGACAAGUCUAACAUUUCUUGAAGUCCUAAAUCUUUCGAAAAAUCAUCUCACUGGAGUCAUUCCUCGAGGCAACCAAUUUGAUACAUUUGCAAAUAAUUCAUAUAGUGGGAAUAUAGGAUUAUGUGGAUUUCCCUUGUCUAAGAAAUGUGUAGUUGAUGAAGCAUCACAACCUCCCAAAGAAGAAGAGGUGGAAUCCGAUAUUGGAUUUGAUUGGAAAGUCAUAUUGAUGGGGUAUGGUUGUGGACUAGUAGUUGGGUUGUCUAUGGGGUGCCUCAUCUUCUUAACAAGAAAGCCUAAAUGGUUUGUAAGAAUGAUUGAAGGAGAUAGACACAAGAAGGUUAGAAGGUCAACAAGGAGCACUCGCAAGCAGGGAGCAAGAAGAAGUUAGGCCAUUUCUAUGAUAUUGUAUUUUGUGGUGAAUGAUACUAAUUAAUGUUGCAUUCUUAUGUAAACAAAUAACAUGUAUUGCGAUUAAUGAAGUAAGAGUCUUUGAAGUUGUAAAAAUGUUUAUUUUUAUUUUUUCUUUCUCGAAAUGGAAUAAUACGUAGUAACAAUAUUUUCAAAUCAUCACUACCGUUUAACUUAUUUACAUAUCAUGACUAAAAGUAUUUUUAAAUGUUGGGUCAUAUAAUUAGAAAAGGUUGAACUCACAAGGUUUUGCAUAGAAUUAGAUGCAAUCGACUACUUAUCACUAAAAGACUAACGAAUUUUUGUUAGGAACAAAAGGUGAUUUUUUAAAAGAAUGAUAUUAAAAGGGCUAUAAAUUAAUGAAAUCCAAAUUCCAAUUUUAGGUUACAAAUUUUCACUAAACUCUUGUCCACAUAAUACAUUUAUCUUAAUAUGAAACAUUUAAUUGGGGUAGUCAAACACCCUCAGCCUUACUAGGGCUGAAAUUUUGGUGAUGCCAUAUCUUUGGAGUCAUUGCAGAACAACCAGUGUUUUAAUGGCAUUCCAUAAGAAGAAUGAAUGAGUUAUGAUUUUUUUUUUUUCUUUUUCAAACUGACAUGUAAUUUUUUAAGAAAAUUCUUAAUGAACUUAUUGAAUUUCUUGACACAUUAAAAUUUUCUUCAUAUAUCAUUCUUUUGAUCAUUUUUCCUUUUGACAAAAUUUUGUUUAUCAAACUUCAUUAUAGACUUCAAUUCUAUAUGAGUCAGACAGACAAAUUGCAACCCAUGAAAGAAGACUCUUAUCUUACCUUAAGUUUAUUACUAUCUACCCAAUAAAAUGGUGUGCUGGAUUUAGCAUCUUGAGUUGGACUCUAAGCAAUAUUGGUAGCAUUAUUUUAAGGCUAUGUUGCUCGAUAGUGUUAAACAAAGGAGAACAAUUUGCUAAAAAAAAAAAAAUUCAUAUCAUGAAAAAGAAAAUAUAUAUUAUUUUCUCCUAUUUGAAUGUGAAAAUUUGGAGAAAGUGAAUUAAAUUUUUUUGAAUGUCAUGCAAAGAGAUUACAUAUAUAUAUACUCCAAACUUGUAGAUUUUUUGUUGUAGAGAGUGAAUUCCUUAUAGAUUUAUUUUAUUGUCGUAGAGAGUAAAUUCCAUAUAGAUUUUUUUUCCCUCAAAUUUUUUUUUAUGGAAAAAUAAAUUAAAAUAAUUUUUUCAUUUUUUUCUUUUAUAUUUCUUUGUUUUUCUUUCCUCCAAAUUUUUCACAAAUGAAACAAAGUCUUCUCACAAAAUAAAGAAGUGCUUACCAAUAGGAGGAUUUAAAUAAGUUGAAGAAAAAUAUCAAUGAGAUGGAAAUUGAACAAAUCUUAUAGUUUUGUAAAAAAAACUUCAACUAAGAAUAAAAAAAAAAGUAAUAAUAUACAUAUUAAGUUGUUUUAUUGAAAAAAAAAUCAAUAUAUGUAUAAUAAAAUUUAUGAUAAUCCAUAAUAAUUUACAAUAUUUGAACUCAUUUAAUAUUUAGUUUGCAUAUAUUUAUGAUAAUGCAUAUAUAAUAAUAUACAUGUAUUUCUCAAAUAUAGAUUCACAAAAUAUUGAUUGCUUUCUAAUAUUUUUUCGAGAAUCAUUCAAUGAAUUUUUCUACUUUGAUAGUACCUUGGAUUCUUUUUGAAUCAAUCACUUUAUUGUAACUGUUAUCCAAUAGAUCCCCAGAAUCUUGAGAUUUAAACAAGACACAUCUGAAUACACUAGAAGUAUGUUUGAUAAUGAUUUUAACAAGUAUUUCUAAUAUUUUUAAUACUUAAAAAGGUAACAAUUUUCAAGUGUUAGAAAUAUUAGAAACGCUUCAAAAAAUCACUAUCAAACACACUAAAAAUACUAGAAACACUUCCAAUAAUCACUAACAAACACACUCUAGUUAUCAAAAUUUUUACCCAUGAAUUUUAAGAGUUGAGGAUGAUUUAAGUUAUUAUUUGUAGUCAUAAUUUUACCAACAAAAUUACAAUUUUCUUGUGAUUGUGUACUUUCUUGGUAUUCUAGCUUUGAUUUGGUAUUUUAUAUUCCCCAAUCUUCUAACUCUAAUACCAUUUGUUGGAAUACACACAAUUAGAUAUUGAUAAUAUUUUUUCGAAAAUAAUGUUUUAUUGCAUUUUAUUAUAUUAUUUUUCAAUCUAAUAAUAAACUUAUUUCUAAUAAACUAAUCAUACUUAGACUAUAACAUCAAUUCUUAACUACCUACAUUCCUUGGAUGCUACAAAAAUGAGUUUAUUUGAAAAUUAACCAAUAAAUAUAUUUAGAUGGAUGACUCAAAAUUUAAGAAAAAAAAUUGUUCCUCAAUGCUAUUUCAUGUAGGAUAUAUAUGCACAUGUAUAAAAAAAAACAUAAAAAAUCGAAAACUAUACAUGUAUAAAUAUUAAGAUAAGAUUCAUUGGUGCAAGUACAAAAGAAACAAUAUUUCAACAAUAAUGUUUUUUCCCUUGGAAACUUUACAUGGCUUUCCUUGGAAACAACAUUUUGAUACAAGUAUCAUAUACAAUUUUUAAAAAACCGUUCUUCAAAAGAUAAUUCUUAAAUUAAGAUCGUUAAUGAUUUUAUGUGAAAUUUGUAUUUUGAAAAGAUGAGUUCAAUAUAAUAAAAGUAUCUCAUUUUUAUUUUUUUUUCAAAAGACCAAUUGAGUAUAAAAAGUAGAAAUUACUCAUAUUUUGAAAAGAUAAAUUUAAUUUAAAAAAAAAAAUUGUAUUCUUGUAUUUAUUUGUCAAGCAACCAUUUUUAACAAUAUUCUUUUAAAUAACAUUUUUUAAUUUUUUUUCCCAUGUUUUUUUUUUUUUUGCCUCCCAAUUCAGUCUAAUAGACACCUUUGUCUCUGUUUAUUGACAACAUAGAUGAUAUGGUGUCUCCCCCGGAGGAGCUGCUUCAACAUCUUUCCCCUCUCCACAAUUUGAAGUGCUCUGGUUUGGCAACAUCACCACACUGGAUAGGCAGCCUCACCUCACUUGCUGAAUUAGAGAUCAGUGAUUGCCCAGACUUGACAUGCUUAGAACUGCCGUCAUCUCCGUGUCUUUCUAGUUUAAAGGUCAGUGAUUGCCCAAACUUGACAUGCUUAAAACUGUAGCCAUAUCCUUGUCUUUCUAGUUUAAAGAUUGGAAAGUGCCCAAAGUUAGCAUCCUUCGAAGUGGCUUCAUUACCUUGUCUUGAGAAACUAAGCCUGGGUGGACUUGGAGCAAAGUUACCGUCAAAGUUAGUCUCCGUCUUUGCUUCUUCUUCAUUGAAGUCUCUGUAUAUGAUAUCUAUCCCGGAGGAUCUGCUUCAACAUCUUUCCACUCUCUAAACUCUCUACAUUUUGAAAUGCUCUCGUUUGGCAACGUUACCACACUCGAUAGGCAGCCUCAUCUCACUUACAGAGCUUGGAGUUCAUGAAUGCCGUCAAUUGAAAUCACUACCAGAAGAGAUGCGUUCCCUUAAAAACCUGCAGAAAUUCUAUAUCUGGGAUUGUCAACAUCUAGAGAAAAUAUGCCGACAGAAAACAGGGGAAGACUGGCCCAGGAUUGCUCAUAUCCCACAUAUUGAUUUCUACACUGAUCAACGAAUAACAAGGGAGCUCCGAAAUCCCUAACCUUUCUUCUCAUUUUUAUUAUUUUUUCGAUCAAAAUGCAAGGUUUUCUCAUUCUGUCUUGGUAAUUCUUUUAUAUUGGCACUUCAUAUGUUUGUUGAAAUGCUCACAUCAGUAAAUCGAUUUUUUUUUCCAGACCAUAUAUACAGUCGAUGAUGAUAUGCACGAAACUCAUCAUUUUACUUGGAGUUGAGGUGAGAUUUGAUAUGAUAUCUCUCCCAGAGGAGCCGAUUCAACAUGUUUCCAUGAUCUAAAGUCUCAACAUUAGACAUCGCUCUGUUUUUGCAACAUUACAACACUGGAUAGGCAGCCUCCCGUCAGGUACAGAACUUGGAAUUCAUGGCUGCCAGAAGGUACGUUCCCUCGAAAACCUGUAGAAGCUCAAAAUCUACAUUGAAGUCUGAAUGAGGGCUGAGGUGCUGUGUCAGUUAAUGUUUCUCUCCCCUUCAUUGAAGUCUCUGUCUAUUGGAUGCUCAGGUGCUAUGAUGUCUCCCAGAGGAGCUGCCUCAACAUGUUUCCAGGAUCCAAACUCUCAAAAUUGAAUACUGCACUGGUUUUGCAAUAUUCCUGCCCUGGAUUGGUCGCUUCACCUCACUUAUGGACCUUCAUAUUUGUGACUGCGCUGAAUUGGCAUCACUUUCGGAAGAGAUGCAUUCCCUCAAAAACCUUCUGACACUAAAAAAUCUUUCAUUGUCAGCACCUGCUUGAAGAUGCCAAAAAGAAACAUUUCAGGUUCAAGAACACAGAGAGCUAUACUUGGUGGAGAUUUCAUCAAUAUAGAGAGACAUUUUAGGUCUGAAAUCCACCCUUCUCAUUUUCUUAUGGCUUCAUUUUGAUUUAAUUUCCUAAUUACAUGAAUUCUAUAUCUGUAAUCCCAGUAUGAAUUAGCACAUAAAUCAGAAGUGAUUUUGAUUUUUUUAUGUCCACACUAUUCAUUUGAUGAAAUGCUUAAACAAGUAAGUUCGAAAUUUUUUCCCUUCAAAUCAAUUUCUAAUGCACCAUGAAUUGGUAAUUGAAGUUUGGAAAGAUGUUGGGAUGAUUUAAUUAUUAUUUUGUUGCAGAUUUCAACUUGCUUAAGACGCUUGUGAUUAUUUCUUCUUGGCUCAACCUGAAAUCAUUGCCUACGUUCUUCCAUUUGCUACCUCAAAAUCACCUACCAAAAGUUUUGGAUUGCCUAAAAAUUUUCUCAUGGCCCAUAAAUUCGUAUAUAUCAGAUGGCUAUAUAUUUCAGGUCCUGCUUUCCUUAGAAAUCAGGUCUACUCUCUGCCAUAUAUUUCAGGUAAUCUGUUGCCUGCUUUUAAUCUCUACAUCAUCUUUCAUUUUGCUUUCAAUUUUUGUCAGGAGUGUCAUACAAGUUGUAAUUAUAUUUGUGAACUUUCAUAUGCACUAUCAUUUUUUAUUGUUUUUUAAUAUAUAACUCCAACCAAACAUAUCAUAGACCAAAAACUUAUUAUGUCAGUUCGAGUAGUUUAUUUUUUUCCCCCUUUUGGUGAUGUUGUUUUGGGCCUAGAAAUUUUUUUAGAGUAAUUAUUGCAAAUGUAAUGUUGUCUAAUCAAUACAAAAACUAAUAGUUGUGAGGCUUGGAUACAUGGCUUCCUUGAUCAGUAACUAAAUUGAGUGUUUCUGUAGGCUGAUGUCUCUAUAUUUGGAAAUUCAGAGAGUUGCAAAUUCCAAGGACUUACAAGAUUGAGUCGCUGUCUCUACCAUUAGGGCUUCAACAAGUUACCAUUCUUGAAAUUCUAAAAAACAUCAGAUUGCCUCAUCUUUGAAUCGAAAUCACUCCCAGAAGGAUGUGCUUCCCAACACUCUCAUGGGCUCUUUGACUUUGCCAUCUACAAUAUAUCAGAGGUUCAUCAUCCAUCCUCUAUUCCUGCUUUGGGGGGCUCUAAUUUUUUAUAUUAUUUUUCCGUUAAUAUUCUAAAAAUAUUAUAUUCUAUUUUUAAUUCUUUUUACCUGAGUCUCAUGCAUUAGCACAUAAGAGAAAAGUCAUAUAACACUUUCAUAAUGCAAUCAUUUUCCAUUUUAGCCCUAUACUAUUUUUCUUGUAUAUGGCUAAGGCAUCCAAUAAAUAUGCCUUCACUCACCAGAAAAAUACCCAUCACGUCAUCUCCAACCCCCUCUUUCUUCUCCUUCUUUCUGCAACACCCAUGGUGGAUUCUUUUGUGUUCUAACAACAAAUGUACUCUGCUGUUUUGAGUUGCUUCUCAUGGCUCCAAAAUGAUGGGUGUUUUUCCAUUUUGUUUUGGUCUUCAGUGAGUUCAGAAGACGAGAUUUGAAGGACGGUGUUAGUGGGUUUUGGUGGGAAUGUAGAUUUGGUGGACCUAAUGCUACUGCUGUCUGGUUUUAAGAAAAGAGGGUUGCAGUGACGACUGACGAGAAUGAGGUAAUUUUGGGUGGUGAAUGGAGAAAGAGACGAAUUUGAGGUUGAGGGUUUGAUGAAGGAAGCUAUGUUGUGUGAGAUUAUGCUCUAAUACUUGUUUAGAAUUUUGGGUCUCUAUUGCAUUCACGUAUAUUGUUUGCCAUUCCAACCCUCUUAUUGCUUUUGAAGACAAAAUUAUUUUUGUAAAAUCCUUAGAUAGUAAAAUUUGAAGUUCCUACCUUCAAAGAUACCAAUUCCUUGUAUUUUUACUUUAAUGGUUAUAAUCUAUAUGUGAUCUUGUUAUUUUAUAUUUGUAUUUUACAUGUUUGGAAAUUUUAUUGCAGGUGUAAGUGUUGCCAAGUCAAAGCAAUGCCAGAUAGUGAUGUAGUUGUGACACCUUACUUCUCUAAAGCAACUCGAAAGUGGGGAUUGUUGCCUACCACAUCUCAUUUCGGGAAAGUUGUGUUUAUAGGCUAUGAUAUGGGAAAUAUAUGGUUUUGGAAACCCAUAUAAGUGAAAUAUGAGAUAUGCCUGUAAUAAGAAAAAUAUUAUAGGUUUCAUACACUAUUUACUGUUCAAAUUUUUAUUUUCGAAAUUACCCUUUAGGUCUUUUGUCAGCAAGAAAUUUUUUUUUUUUUUGGGUUUUCCUUAGGGGUUUUGCAUGGAUUUUCUCAGCAAUCAAAUGAGAAUGAAUUUUCCUGGAAAUCGAAUAGGGGAUGGAGACCCUUAGAACAGAUCCAAAAAGCACAAGGAGCAAAAACAAAAAGCAAUUUUUUUGGUUUUCCUUGGGGGUUUUGCAUGGAUUUUCUCGGAAAUCAAACAAGGAUGAAUUUUCCCGGAAAUCAAAUGGGGGCGGCGGCGAGAAUAGAUCCAGAAAGCGUAGGGAGCAAAAAAAAAAAGAAAAUUUUUUGGUUUUCCUUGAGGGUUUUGCAUGGCUUUUCUCGGUAAUCAAACGAGGAUGAAUUUCCUCGAAAAUCGAAUGGGGGAUGGAGACCCCUAGAACAUAUGCAUAAAGCAUAGGGAGCAAAAAAAAAAGCAAGUUUUUUGGUUUUCCUUAGGGGUUUUGCAUGGAUUUUCUCGAAAACCAAACGAGGAUGAAUUUUCUAUGAAAUCGAAUGGGGGCAGCGAUGAGAACAGAUCCAAAAAGUGCGGGGACAAAAAAGAAAAAAAAAAACAAUUUUUUUGGUUUUCCUUGGGGGUUUUGCAUGGAUUUUCUCGAAAAUCAAACGAGGAUGAAUUUUCCCGGAAAUUGAAUGGGGAAUGGAGACCCUAUAACAGAUCUAGAAAGCAUAGGGAGCAAAAAAAAAAAGCAAUUUUUUUGGUUUUCCUUAGGAGUUUUGCAUGGAUUUUCUCGGAAAUCAAACGAGGAUGAAUUUUCCUAGAAAUCGAAUGGGGGGUGGAUUUUCUUGGGGAUCAAACAAGGAUUUUUUUUUUUUGCUUUCGCUGCCGCCGCCCCCAUUCAAUUUCUGGGAAAAUUCAUCCUUGUUUGAUUGCCGAGAAAAUCCAUGCAAAACCCUCUAGGAAAACCAAAAAAAUUGUUUUUUUGGCUUGCUGACAGGAAGACCUAAAGGAUAAUUUCAGAAAUAAAAAUUUGAACAGUAAAUAGUGCAUGAAACCUAUAAUAUUUUUCUUAUUACCAGACAUAUUUCAUUUCUCUCAAGUCAUCGAAAAUUCAGUGAUGUGCUAGUAGCCUAAUGUCUUUGUCACAAGUGAUUUAGGGAUUCAGAUUAUUUCUCUGAAUUGACAUAAAUAAUAUGUUCUGGUUUGGUAACAUUAUCACACUCAAUGGACAACCUCCAUUUACUAACAUCUUCAAGUUUAUAGUUGUCCUGAACUGACAUGGCUGUCAGAAAACAUGCAUGUCCUCAACACCCUCUGGACACUUGUAAUUGAGUACUUUUUGGUUUGGCAACAUUAAUAGACUUAGUAGGCUUUCUUACGUCACUUCAAAACUUCAAAUUCAUGAGUGCCUUGAAUUGACAUAACUUCCAGAGAAGAUGGGUCACUCAUGCUCUGUAGACACUUACAACAUUAACGGACCUUAUAUGCAGUCUUACCUCACUUGCAUGCCUUGAAAUUGAUAGCUACCCUGAAUUGACAUCAUCUCCUAAAGAGAUUGUGUUGGAAAUCAAGCCCACGUCGCCUUCCUGCCUAUGCAUGCUCCUUCCCAUAUUUAGCAUCCUCUGUUUACUUCCUUGAAUUAGUGUAAUGUAUAGCCUUUAUUAUAAUUGAUUUAGGAGUAAUUCUAGCAAGGUAGUUUAUUCACUUUCCAUGUAAGAGUAGUUUAUUCACUUCCCAUGUAAGAGUUUAUUCACUUUCCAUGUAAGGGAAAUUCCGUCUGGUGAUAGUGUACCAUUCCGGAAUUGUCUCAUAUCUGUAGGCUAUUUAUUUAUGCUUUCAUUCAUUGUAAAAAAAGGUAUCACAGAAUGAAUUGAGGUGUUCCUCCAUAGUUUGUCUUCAAUUUCUUCAUAUUUUAGUCUUCAAAUUCUUCAUGGUAUCAGAGCAGGUUUAAUCCUAUCUCAUCGUCUUCAUCUUUAGUCAGUUUUUUUUCUACUCAAUUCUAUUCUUCUAAUUUAUGCCUAAAUACGGUCCAGCCUUUGGAAUGGCUACCAACUCAUCAUCCUCUACUUCUGAUAUCAUCAUCUCAUAGUCUUCAUCCUCUCAUCAGAUGGAAACCUCUCAUCUUCCAAUCACAGCCCAUAAACUGAAUGGGCAAAAUUAUUUGCAAUGGUCUCAGUCCAUAUUAAUGUUUAUACGGGGAAAGGAGAAAGAUGACUACAUCACUGGAGCUUCGGCGGCACCAGAAACCACAGCAUCAACCUACAAAAAGUGGAUAGCAGAAAAUAAUAUGGUCAUGUCCUGGCUAGUCAACUCUAUGACCGCUGACAUUGGUGAAAAUUUUCUGUCAUUUGAUACUGCCAAAGAAAUCUGGGACACUGCAAAAGAAACUUUCUCAGACAAGGAAAACACAUCUGAAAUCAUCCAGAUUGAAGGCAUCCUCCACGAUUUGCGUCAAGGAAACCUUACGGUAACUGAAUAUUUCAAUACUCUUACUCGUCUAUGGCGUCAACUUGAUACGUUUGAGGUUCAUAACUGGAAUUGUGUUACAGAUGGUUUUUUGUAUAAAAAGAUUGUCGAAGGGAAACGUGUGUUUAAAUUUUUGUUAGGUUUGAACAAAAAUCUUGAUGAAAUCAGAGGAAGAAUCAUGGGAGUAAAACCCCUACCUAGCCUCAGAGAGGCAUUCUCUGAAGUCCGUCGCGAAGAAAGUCGGAAAAAUCUCAUGAUGGGAUCCCAUCAACAACUGAAUAUGGCAGAAAGCUCGACUCUUAAGACUCAAUUCGCUCCUUUUGACAAUCGUAAAAAAAUUAAAGGAGGUAGACCUUGGUGUGAUCAUUACAGAAAGUCGGGACACUCAAGAGAAACUUGUUGGAAGAUUCAUGGAAAGCCAGUAGAUUGGAAGCCACGUCAACCACUUGAGAAAGAAGGACGAGGUAAUCAUGUGGCUACCGAUGAACAAUCGCCACAAACUGAAGCUAGCCCUUUUAAUAAGGAGCAAAUGGAGAUGCUUCAGAAACUACUGUCUCCUCUUUUGUCAAUACAGUCACAAACUAGCUCAUCUUCCAACUAGGUCAUUGGUUCCGGAACCUUGGCUCACAAAGGUAAUUUUUUGAGUGUCUUCACUGCUGGUAAGAAACGUAAAAAACCUUGGAUAGUGGACUCAGGAGCAUCUGAUCAUAUGACGGGAGAUGCGACAAUUUUUUAUACAUAUAGCUCAUGUCCAAAUAAUUUAACAGUUCGAAUAGUAGAUGGUUCACUAUCAAAGGUUGCCGGAACAGGUUCAGUUGUGCUAUCAAGGGAUCUUACUCUCAACUCUGUUCUCCUUGUUCCUAACUUGGACUGUAAUCUAUUGUCAAUUAGUAAACUCACUAAGGAAAAGAGGUGUAUUACUAAUUUUUCCUCCACUCACUGUGAAUUUCAGGAUUUGGAUUCGGGGAAGACGAUUGGCAAUGCUGAGGAAUGCUCUGGACUCUACAUCCUUAAGGAGCGCCACGAUCCACAAGAACAACCUCAAAUGGCAGUUGGUAGUAAUUCUUUUUCGGUUUCAUGUCAAAAUAACGAUAGUGCAAUUAGGUUGUGGCACUAUCGCUUAGGUCAUCCAAAUGUUAUGUAUCUCAAGCAUUUAUUUCCUUCAUUAUUUAAUAAAAAUCCAAAAUCCUUUGAGUGUGAAAUCUGUCAAUUAUCAAAGCAAGUCCGGUCUCAUUUUCCCAUUCAACCCUAUAAAGAGUCUAGUCCAUUCUCAAUGAUUCAUAGCGAUAUCUGAGGUCCGUCAAGAAUAAAAAAUGUAACUGGUACCAGGUGGUUUGUCUCAUUCAUAGAUGAUCACACUAGAUUAACUUGGGUAUUCCUCAUGAAAGAAAAAUCUGAAACGAGUCAAAUUUUCAAAAAUUUUAAAAAUAUGAUUCAGACCCAAUUCCAGUCAAAAAUACAAAUUCUAAAGUCUGAUAAUGCUAGGGAUUAUUUCAACUCCAUUCUAGGAGAAUUUCUAGCACAAGAAGGGAUAGUUCACUUAAGUUCAUGUGUUGAUACCCCACAACAAAACGGAAUCGCUGAAAGGAAAAAUAGGCAUUUGUUAGAGGUGGCUAGAUCACUAAUGUUCUCCAUGAAUGUUCCAAAAUUAUUCUGGGGGCAAGCUGUCCUUACGGCAGCCUACCUCAUCAAUAGGAUGCCGUUUAGGGUACUAAAAUUCCAAACACCUUGUCAAACACUCCUAAAAUCCUUUCCGACUACUCGUCUCAUCUCCACCGUCCCACCCAAAAUUUCGGGUGCUCUGUCUUUGUUCAUAUCAAUCAACAACAUAGAAGUAAACUUGAUCCUAGGUCACUCAAGUGCAUCUUUCUUGGGUAUUCUUCAAAUCAAAAAGGGUAUAAGUGUUACUCUCCGGUCACAAGAAAAUUCUACAAUUCAAUGGAUGUCACCUUUUUUGAAACCCAUCCUUACUAUCCCAAAAACGAUAUUCAGGGGGAGAAUUCAACUCAGGAAUAUCAAUUUUGGGAUCUUGAGUCAUUCAGUGAGUCACCCAUCACCACUGAAAAUCACAUUCCUCCAGAGUCAUUUAAUCAGCCCGAGUCCAUUGUUGACUUGUGGGAUAAGGAGCACAUCCAAGAGGAAACGGAGGAAGGAGCACUUUCUCAACAAACCCAUGAGGCAGAACCGGGUCCUAAUCCAAGCAAACUUCCAGGUAACAACGCUCCUGAUGGUACUGUUGAUUCCGAGUUAGAAAAUGAUAUUCUUAAUAUGCCCAUAGCUUGGAGGAAAGAAGUUAAAUCAUGCACUCAGCAUCCCAUUGGAAAUUUUAUUUCUUAUGAUAAGCUAUCACCUACGUUUCGUGCAUUCACUUCUAGCAUCACAGAGAUACAAGUUCCUCAGAAUAUUCAGGAAGCUUUCAAGUAUCCUAAGUGGAAGGCGGCAGUCGAUGAGGAAGUUCGGGCGCUGGAAAAGAAUGGUACGUGGGAAAUUACUGACCUCCCAAGAGGUAAGAAACCAGUUGGGUGUAAGUGGAUUUUCACAGUAAAGUACAAGGCAGAUGGUAAUGUGGACAGGUAUAAGGCUCGGUUGGUCGCCAAAGGAUUCACCCAAUCCUAUGGCAUUGACUAUCAAGAAACUUUUGCUCCAGUUGCCAAGCUCAAUACUGUUCGUGUACUUUUAUCCUUGGCAGCUAAUCUCGAUUGGUCGCUUCACCAACUUGAUGUGAAGAAUGCCUUCCUCAAUGGUGACUUAGAGGAAGAAGUUUACAUGGACAUUCCUGCUGGACUCGAGACGACAUCAAAUUUCAACAAGGUUUGCAGACUCCGAAAAUCCUUGUAUGGUCUCAAACAAUCUCCCAGGGCCUGGUUUGAACGGUUCACUAAGGUAGUGAAAGGGUACGGAUUCGUUCAAUGUCAAUCCGAUCACACAUUAUUUGUGAAACACUUCCCAGAAGGGAAACUGGCAAUUAUCAUUGUAUAUGUGGACAACAUAAUUUUGACAGGUGAUCAUGAAGAGAAAAUUGACUUACUUAAAAAAUUACUGACAAAGGAAUUUGAGAUCAAGGAUCUUGGAAACCUCAAGUACUUUCUCGGAAUGGAGAUUGCUAGGUCAAAGAAAGGUAUAGCAGUCUCACAACGCAAAUACGUUCUGGACUUAUUAAAUGAAACAGGAAUGCUAGGAUGCAAGCCAGCAGAAACACCUAUGGAUACAACUGUCAAACUGGAAGAAAGUGAUGGAAGUGCGCCAGAUGAUAAAGGAAGAUAUCAACGUCUUGUGGGGAAACUCAUCUAUCUUUCUCAUACAAGGCCAGACAUCGGCUUCUCCAUUAGUGUGGUAAGUCAAUUCAUGAAUAAUCCAACCGAAAAACACAUGACUACUGUGAUCAGAAUAUUGAGAUACCUCAAGAUGACACUGGGAAAGGGUCUCUUCUUUCAAAGAACAACAAAGAAAGAGAUUGAGAUUUUUUCAGAUGCAGAUUGGGCAGGUUCAGUGACUGAUCGGAGAUCAACUUCAGGCUAUUGUUCAUUUGUCUGGGGGAACUUGGUUACAUGGCGAAGCAAGAAACAGUCAGUGGUAGCCCGUAGCAGUGCUGAGGCAGAAUUUCGUGCUAUGGCACAAGGUAUCUGCGAGGGAAUCUGGUUGAACAAGUUGUUAGAAGAAUUACGGGUUCCAUUGAAGCAUCCCAUGGUGUUAUACUGCGACAAUCAAGCUGCCAUCAAUAUCGCUAAGAAUCCGGUUCAUCAUGAUCGAACUAAGCACGUGGAGAUAGAUCGACACUUUAUCAAGGAAAAGAUUGAAGAAGGAGUUUUCAAAGUCAGCUACACUCCGACAAACUGUCAAACGGCUGACAUUCUCACAAAAGCUCUUGCUCGAGUUAACUUAGAAGAUCUGACAGAAAAACUUGGAAUGAUCAACAUCUACAACGCGGCUUGAGGGGGAGUGUUGGAAAUCAAGCCCACGUCGCCUUCUUGCCUGUGCAUGUUCCUUCCCAUAUUUAGCAUCCUCUGUUUACUUCCCUGAAUUAGUGUAAUGUACAGCCUUUAUUAUAAUUGAUUUAGGAGUAAUUCUAGCAAGGUAGUUUAUUCACUUUCCAUGUAAGAGUAGUUUAUUCACUUCCCAUGUAAGAGUUUAUUCACUUUCCAUGUAAGAGAAAUUUCGUCUGGUGAUAGUGUACCAUUCCGGAAUUGUCUCAUAUCUGUAGGCUAUUUAUUUAUGCUUUCAUUCAUUGUAAAAAAAGGUAUCACAGAAUGAAUUGAGGUGUUCCUCCAUAGUUUGUCUUCAAAUUCUUCAUAUUUUAGUCUUCAAAUUCUUCAGAUUGGUUUCUUCGGAUCCAUACUGCCACAAUCUCUUAUUGUCCAUGGCUAUUGGAAAGAUGUGAAAGUGAAACAAGUGAAGAUUGGUCAAAGAUUGUUCAUGUUAUAGAAAGUUAUUCAGGUUUUAAAUCCCUAUCUUUCUUCUCAUUUGCUAUGGUUUCAGUUUAUCAAUAAGCUUUGUUUACCUUCUUUUUUGACAAUUCUAGUAUGCAUUAGCAUAUAAAGCAAAAAAAAAAGAAAAAAAAAGAUGAGAUACUAUUAAACCUAGUUGUUAUUUGGUUAUUAAAGACCAAACUAUUCAUGUUACUUUAAGUUUUGCACACUAAGAGUUUGGGAAUAAGCUAGUGUUAUGAAAAACGAAAAUAGACCACAAAAAAAAAUAAAAAAAAAAAUAAGAACAUACACAGAUUUACGUGGAAAACCUUAGACGAGAAAAACUACGGGCAGAGGAGAAGAAUAAUCCACUAUGUCAAAAAUUGGUACAAAAUGGGAGAGCAUUAAGCGGUUACAACAGAAAUCCCUUAGAACCUAUACACCAUCCCAUAUAUAUAUAUAUGGGAGAAAAAAAAAAUAAAGCAGGAAAGAAAUCUAUAAUUUUUUCUUCACCAUAUAUAUCGCACCGUAAAGAUUUCGGGUUGGACCAAAAAAGGAAAUUAGGUCACCAAGCUCUAACAAUCUCCACCUUGACACGAAUUCCAAUGUAAGGAAUUAGAAAAACAAACUCUAAUCUUCAACAAAAAAAAAAAAGAAAAACUCUUCACCUCUUCCACAAACCCUAAAGGGUAAUUCAACAACGAAUACUAACCAAGUCCAAGCAAUGCUCAAACUUGGCUAGAGGGAGUAUCUUCAUCAUCAUAUCAGUAGGAUUAUCAUGGGUGCUAACUUUGGCCACAUAAUAUCACCACGAGAAAUGAUAUCACACACAAAAUGAUACCACACAUCAAUGUGUUUUGUCCUCUCAUGAAACAUCUAAUCUUUUGUGAGGAAAAUAGCACUCUGACUAUCACAAAAAACUAUGGUAAUUUGCAAGUUGUCACUAAGUUCUCUAAAUAGUUCUUUUAACCAAAUAGCUUCCUUUCAAGCCUCUGUAAUAGCCAUGUACUCAACCUCAGUAGUAGAUAAAACAACUGUAGUCUACAAAGUAGCUUUCCAACUGAUAACACAACCACCAAUAUUAAAAACAUACUUUGUAAGAGAUCUUCUUUUAUCAAGAUUACCAGCAAAAUCAUAAUCAACAUACCCAGCAACUCCACCUCUAGUUCUCCCAAAAUGGAAAGAAACAUCAGUAGAACCACGCAAGAAUCUAAAAAUCCAUGAAACUGCUUUCCAAUGUUCUUUACUAGGAUUUGCCAUGUAUCUACUGACUGCACUGACUGCAUAUGAUAAACCUAGACAUGAACAAACCAUAGUAUACAUGAGAGACCCCACUACACUAGAAUAUGGAACUCGUGACAUAUAAUCAAUGUCAUCAUCUGAUUGUGGAGCUAAAGCAUAUGAAAGUCGGAAAUGAGCCGCUAAUGGAGUACUAACAUGUUUAGCAUUCUGCAUAUUGAACCUGUAAAGAACUUUCUCAAUGCACCAUUUCUAAUUUAGGUAUAAUUUACCUGCCUUUCUAUCUCUUAGAAUCUCCAUUCCAAGUAUCUUCUUUGUUGCUUCUAAGUCUUUCAUCUCAAACUCCGUACUGAGUUGGACUUUUACCUUUCUUAUAUUUUCCUUAUCCUGGGCUGCUAUUAACAUAUCAUCAACAUAUAAGAGGUUUGACUCAUUCAUGACCACUCAUGAUAUUGAUUAUUGUUUAUACAUAUCCCUAAUGAAGUACAAAAUUUUGAUAUUAUGAAGUGGUGAAAAUCUCAUGAAUCCACUUUUCCUGUACUAUCUAAAAUGACACGUGAUCUACUAACCCCACCGGUGUCUACUGUAGCAUUAGAAUCUUCUUUUUCUAUAGUUGCAAAUAUAACAGGAGACAGGAGGACAACUCUUACAGCAAAGAUGCUAGAAGCUUUGACAUGUUUGAAGGAUUGAGAAGAUGGACGCAUGAGACUUCAAACUUUAGAGGAUGAACUUAAAGAAGCCUUUGAGAAAUUGCAUCUCAAUGCAGACAAUGAUGUUCAAGAGAUUGAUGAUGAUUGAAGAUGAAAAAAAGAAGAAUGAAGAUUGAAUAAGAAGACAAAAGUGAAUAUGAUAAUUGAAGAAUUAUAUGUUAUUCGUUUUUUUUUAAAUCUAUUAAAUGUAGCUAAUUUUUAAAGGUUGAGUAAUGCAUAUGAUUGAUAGUUGGGUGAGUGCCAACCUAGUUGGGAUGUACUCAAACUAUAGUGAUGCAAUUCUCACAUUUUUCUUUCUCCUUAUUUUUUUCAUGUAAUUUGUUGAAAUAUUGAAUAAAAGAAUUAUUUUUUUAUAUUUCAUUUCCUUUUAUAUUCCAUUAUUUUAAAUUUAUUGUUAUUUUGAUCAAAAAUAAAAAAAUUCAAAUAUAAUUUUUUUACUAUUUUUAAAAACAAAAACUAAUAUUUCUAUAAAUUUUACAAUUACAAACUCGAUAAAUAUAAAUGUAAAAAAUAAAAAGUAUAAUUAUUAGAGGUGUAUAAAUAUAUAUAUAUAUAUAUAUAUAUAUAAUUAUUAGAGGUGUUUAAAGUAACAAAAAGAAAUUUUAUUUAAUAAUGAAAAAAACUUAAGAAAAAAUGACUUAAAAAAUUAAAUUAAAUUUUUUAACAAAGUGACUGGCCCAUGGGCCACGACCCGCUAGCAUGGCCCGGCCCGGACCGACGCAACACGUAUGGGUCGUGUUGAGCCACCUAUUUGGCUUGCAUAGGCCAUCGGCCUGACUCGACAAGAUUUUUAAGUGGGUCGUGCCGGCUCGACACGUUGACUCUAAUGGCCUAGUCAAUAUCGGGCCGUACCUAGUCAUAUCCCAUUAUGGCAUUAAGAUAUUAGAAAGCCCCUUGGUGAGCACAAAGAGGGUUAAAAUUAUGUUUAUUGCUUGGAUACAACAAAAUGAAGUUACAAGUAUAUUAAAUAAUAUGCUAGGAGAUAAUAUAUUGACACCAUAUAUAACAGUAGAAUUGAAGCCAAAACAAGAACUUUAGAUGCAUGUUUUGCACCUCUUGUGUGGCUUUGCCUUAUUAUACUAUUCUAUAUGUCAUGUGUAUUUUGUUUUGUGUUGCCUGUAAAAUAUACAUACAUACAUAUAUAUAUACAUACAUACAUAUAUAUAUAUAUAUAUAUAUAUAUAUAUAUAUAUAUAUUUGCACCUUUUUUCUUUAGGGGUCUUUAUAAAUUUAAAGAAAAUAAAAAAUUGUUGGCAAAUAAUGCAUAUAUGAUUGCUCAUCCACGUGUUCUCUUAUCCACUUCCCUUCUUUUAAUUGUGUUAUGAUUCAAUCCCUCUAAAAUCUUCAAGUAGCAAAUAAAACACGUAAAAUAGCAAAAAGAAGUCAAAAUUAAUAAGAAUUCUUACAACAAAGUAGCAUGUAAGAUAUUGAAAAUGGAGUGAAGAUGCAAAUCCGGUUGAAAAGUUCUUUCUUACUUGUCUUUUACAAUACUCUCCCUUGCUUCUCUAUUACAAUUUAUGCAUGUAACUUCCUAUCUUUUGUUUCUUAUCAUUCAUAUAACUUAAUUAUAGUUGACAUCCAAAUAGUACUUAAUCAUAUAAGGAUUCAUUUAUAUAGUAAUAUAGUAAAAGUAAGUUACAAUUAUCAUCUUAAUCAAUGUGGAAGCUACCAUGUUAGGAGUGUUAAAAUAUCCACAAAUCCAUAGUUUUCAUUUAGUAAAAGUACAAUUUCUUGUUUAAUGAAAUACACACUUUAAAGAAAAUGUAAAAAUUUAUAUGAACCACACUUUUCUAUAACUAGACCAAAGUUUCAUAUGCAUGAAACUAUAGAAAGUAUGAUUAAGUUCAACCAAUCAUUAAUCACAUCUAAUAGUUAUGGCCAAAUUAAACCCAAUGUAAAGAUUCUAAUAAAAUACAUUUGGGAUUUAAUAAUUGUUGGUGAGAAGCUCUCAACCAAAAAUAAACUAUUAUAAAAAAGGUUUAAGAAAAAAAAAACCCCAAGAUAUUUUAAUUAAAAUAACUAUAAUUUAAAUAAUUUUUUAUAGGAAAAAGAUCUUAAUUUUUUUAAGAAAAAAAAUUCAUGGUUUUUCUUCAAAUAACUAAAUAUAAGUGGAUUAAAGGUUAUGCAACUCUUUGUUUGAAAAUUAGCAAUAAUUUCAAUACAAUACACCUUUCAAAAUAUAAGUGGUUUUUAAUUGGUAGUUGUUUGAGUCAGAGAUUUAUUUAUUUUUAUUUUUAUUUUAUUUUUAAAAAAAACUUCUUAUCAAAACAUAUUUUAUAUUUUGAUAAAUCCUAGAUUCAACAGUUCUAUUAGAUUAAAAUGACAAUAUUUUUUAUUUGAACUUUAAAUAUAAUAAAUAAAUUCUAAGAACUUUUACUUAAUAUAAUCUUUUGUAUGUUUAUAUUACAUAAAUUGAUAAAUUUUUUCAAUUUAUUCUUACAUUGUAAAUAAGAUUAAUUACAGAUUAAACUUUCCUUCCAAAUAAAAUGGUUGAACAAAACAUUCAUAGAAACCAAAAAAUAAAAAAGUUGAAAUGCAAUGAAAAGAAAAAAAAUAAAUAGAAAAAUAUGAUGCAUUUUACAUUAAGGAUAUAAUUUUCUUAAUGUGGUAAAUCAUUUCUAGCUAGUGGCACCAGGGAUCAUAUUCUUGUUUCAUUGGCUCUUCCAUAUUGCUUUAGUGUUGUUUUUUUGGGACCAAAGCACUUUUGUUGAAACCUUACUUGUAGUGCUAAUGUUCUCUUUUAUACUUGCAUAUCAGCCCAUGGUUAACCUCUUUCCUUGAUUCCAUGUCUUCUAAUAUUCUCUUGUCUAAAUCAAGUGACCUCUCACAAAAGCUAAUAAAGUAAAAGUUUAUGCACUUUAUCAUAAUAAAUACUAAAUCAAAAAAGGUGUGAGUAUUACAUGAUACUAGGAGAUUUUGAAAAAAUUAUAAUAAAUUUAAAAUAGUUUAAAAUUUAUUUUUCAAAUCUAUGAUGGUUUAAAAAAAAUUCAAAUUAAAAGUUGUCUUCUGAAAAAAAAAAAAAAACUUCAAUAUUUUAAUAUCGAAAAUAAAAUGUCCUCACUAAUUUAAGGUCUUUAUGAAUUUAAAGAAAACAAAAAAUUGUUGGCAAAUAAUGCAUAUAUAUAUUGCUCAUCCACGUGUUCUCUUAUCCACUUCCCUUCUUUUAGUUGUGUUAUGAUUCAAUCCCUCUAAAUACUUCAAGUAGCAAAUAAAACACGCUUACAACAUGUAGCAUGUAAGAUAUUGAAAAUGGAGUGAAGAUGCAAAUCCGAUUGAAGAGAAGACCGAUGAAGAGAAGAUGCCAACAGAAAGUUAUGAUUUUAGGAUUUCAUAUUAAAUUUUAAUUUUCUUUCAUUUGUUUAUUAUCCCUUCUACUUUCUCAGUUUACUCAUACAAUGUAAAAGAAAAAAAAAUCAGUUUAAACGCAAUGAAGAAAAAUAAAUUAAUACACCAAUAUGAUGCAUUUUACAUGAAAUAUAGAUAGGUGGCCCCAAGCAUCACAUUCUUGUUUUCCUUGAUGCUGCUUUUUGGACCAAAGCACUUUUGUUGAAACCUUACUUGAAGUACUAAUGUUCUUUUUUGUUAAUCUCAUUGCUUCAUUCCUAUUCUUAUAAUAUUCUUUCCUAUAAUUCAAGUGACUUCUCAUAGAAGUUAGGUAAAGAAAAAAUUAAUUAUACUUAUCUUAAUCAAUACUCAAAAAAAAAUAUUUGAAAAUAGGUGGUAAUGUUUAAAUAAAAUAAAAUAGACAUGCUCUCAUUGUAUCAAUAAUUUUGAGACAAUUCACCUUUUCAAUAUAUAGGUUUAUAACUGGUAUUGGUUUGGGUUAGAGGGUGUUUUUUUUUUUUUUUUUUAACUUCUUAUCAAAACAUAUUUUAUAUUUUGAUGAGUCCUACUUUCAGUAUUUAUAUUAGAUUAAAAUGAUAAUAUUUUUUUUAUUUGAACUUUAAAUAUAAUAAAUCAAUUCUAAGAACUUUUACCUAAUCUAAUCUUUUAUAUGUUUAUAUUAGAUAAAUUGAUAAAUUUUCUCUACUUUCUCAAUUUAUUAUUAAAGAGUAAAUAAGAUUACAAAUUAUACUUCCUUCCAAAUAAAAUGGUCGACCAAGAAACCAAAAAAUAAAAAAGUUGAAAUGCAAUGAAAAAACAAAUAAAUACAAAAAUAUGAUGCAUUUUACAUGAAGAAUAUAAUUUUCUCAGCGUGGUAAAGCAUUUCUAGCUAGGUGGCACUAGGCAUCAUAUUCUUGUUUUCCUUGAUUGUCUCUUCCAUUUUGCUUUAGUGUCUUUUCAUUUUUGGACCAAAGCACUUUUGUUGAAACCAACCUUGUAGUGCUAAUGUUCUUUUUUAUACUUUUAUAUCAAUCCCUUGUUAACCUCAUUGCUUGAUUCCACUUCUUCUAAUAUUCUCUCGUAUGAAUCAAGUGACGUCUCAUAAAAGUUAAUAAAGUAAAAGUUAAUAUGCCUUAUCUUAAUAAAUACUCAAUCAAAAAAGUGCCGAGUAGCACGUGGUAUUAUGAGAAUUCGACAAAAUUACAAUCAUUUUAAAAUAGUUUAAAAAGUAUUUUCAAAUCCAUUAGUUAUCCAAACUUUUCUCAUCAUUUUCUAAAAAAAAAUAAAAUAAUUUUUUAAUGUUUGGUUUUCACAUGGAAGAGAUCAAAUAUAAUUAAAAUUAGUUUAAAAUUUUUAUAUUUUUAAAUUAUUUAAUUUUUAUGUAGAAAAUUUAAAAUAAAUAAAAUGAAUUUAAAGAACAUAUCAAAUAAUUUAUUGAAUUUAAAAUUAUUUUUAAUUUUUAUUCACUUUUUUCCUCACAUUUUCUAUUAAAUUUAUAUGAGAAACAAACACAAUUUUAGUAUUUUCUCUUUUUUUUUUUUGGUUAAUGUUGUUUUCCCUCGUCUUUUUCCAUGGUAUUUAAAAAUAAUAAAUUUGUUCCCUUUAAUUGCAGCUUGUUGACUUGUCCACCUAAUCCAUGAUAUCAGCCAGUACCCAUGUGACCUGGCCCAUCCCAUCCACCCCUAUAAAGAUAUCUCUUACUUUGUUCCCUAUUCUCUCACAAUUCCCUCAGCUUCUCAUCUUCUACGUGCUGUAUUUUCUUGGCUUUCAGCUACUUUGAGUUGUUCCAAAAUGGCUGACCAAAUUCCAUUCGGUGUUGUGGAGCACAUUUUGACCAACUUGGGGUCCUCGGCGUUUCAAGAAAUUGGAUCCAUGUAUGGUGUUCCAAAGGAGAUGACCAAGCUCAAGGGGAAACUGGGCAUCAUCAAGGCUGUGCUUUUGGAUGCUGAGGAGAAGCAGCAGCAGAGCAAUCAUGCAGUCAAAGAUUGGGUCAAAGAUUGGGUCCGGAGUCUCAAAGGCGUUGUGUAUGACGCAGAUGACUUGCUGGAUGACUAUGCAACCCAUUAUCUUCAGCGAGGAGGAUUGGCAAGGCAGGUCAGUGAUUUCUUCUCAUCUGAAAAUCAAGUUGCUUUUCGUUUAAACAUGAGUCAUAGACUCAAGGAUAUCAAAGAAAGGAUAGAUGACAUUGAAAAAGGCAUCCCCAUGUUAAAUCUGACUCCACGGGACAUAGUACAUAGGAGAGACAGCCAUUCAUUCGUGUUGCCGUCUGAAAUGGUAGGAAGAGAAGAAAACAAAGAGGAGAUAAUAGGGAAGUUGUUGUCGUCCAAGGGUGAAGAAAAGCUUUCGGUUGUUGCCAUUGUAGGCAUUGGGGGGUUGGGAAAGACCACCCUUGCUAAAUUGGUAUACAAUGAUGAAAGAGUGGUCAAUCAUUUUGAGUUUAAGAUAUGGGCUUGCAUUUCUGAUGAUUCUGGUGAUAGUUUUGAUGUUAUUAUGUGGAUCAAAAAAAUUUUAAAAUCUCUGAAUGUUGGGGAUGCUGAAAGUCUGGAGACUAUGAAAACUAAGCUUCAUGAAAAAAUAAGUCAAAAGAGGUACUUGCUAGUCCUCGAUGAUGUUUGGAAUCAAAAUCCUCAAAAAUGGGAUGACGUGAGAACUUUAUUAAUGGUUGGGGCUAUUGGUAGUAAAAUUGUAGUGACCACCCGUAAACCAAGAGUUGCAUCAAUCAUGGGAGAUAAUUCUCCCAUUAGUUUGGAAGGUCUGGAACAAAAUCACUCCUGGGAUUUAUUUUCAAAAAUCGCAUUUAGAGAAGGCCAGGAGAAUUUGCAUCCAGAAAUUCUAGAAAUUGGAGAAGAAAUUGCAAAAAUGUGCAAGGGAGUUCCUCUCGUCAUUAAGACUUUAGCAAUGAUAUUGCAGUCUAAAAGAGAACAGGGCGAAUGGUUGUCUAUUAGAAACAAUAAAAAUUUGUUGUCACUUGGCGAUGAAAAUGAGAAUGUUCUAGGGGUGCUGAAAUUAAGUUAUGAUAAUUUGCCAACUCAUUUGAGACAAUGUUUUACAUAUUGUGCUUUAUUUCCAAAAGACUUUGAGAUUGAGAAAAAGUUGGUGGUACAACUAUGGAUAGCACAAGGUUAUAUUCAACCUUAUAAUAAUAAGCAAUUAGAGGAUAUAGGGGAUCAAUAUGUUGAGGAAUUAUUGUCAAGGUCAUUGUUGGAGAAGGCAGGAACCAAUCAUUUUAAAAUGCAUGACCUUAUACAUGAUCUUGCACAAUCAAUUGUAGGAUCUGAGAUCCUUAUUUUAAGAAGUGAUGUAAAUAACAUUCCAGAAGAAGUUCGUCAUGUAUCAUUGUUUGAAAAGGUAAAUCCUAUGAUAAAGGCUCUAAAGGGAAAACCCGUAAGGACCUUUCUAAACCCUUAUGGAUAUUCUUAUGAAGAUAGUACAAUUGUAAAUUCAUUUUUUUCGAGUUUUAUGUGUCUACGUGCAUUGAGUUUAGAUUAUGUGCCAAAGUGUUUAGGCAAAUUGAGUCAUUUAAGGUAUCUUGAUCUUUCCUACAAUAAUUUUGAGGUACUUCCAAAUGCUAUUACAAGGUUAAAGAAUUUGCAAACACUAAAACUCACAGGGUGUGUCAGUUUAAAAAGGAUUCCAGACAAUAUAGGAGAAUUGAUCAAUCUUAGACACUUGGAGAAUAGUAGAUGUCAUGACUUGACUCAUAUGCCACAUGGAAUCGGCAAGUUGACUUUACUUCAAAGUCUACCAUUGUUUGUGGUUGGGAAUGAUAUAGGGCAGUCUAGGAAUCACAAAAUUGGUGGCUUGAGUGAAUUGAAAGGCCUUAACCAACUAAGAGGAGGGUUAUGCAUACGUAAUCUUCAAAACGUGAGGGAUGUUGAACUGGUAUCCAGGGGGGGAAUUUUGAAAGGAAAACAAUGUCUUCAGUCCUUGAGAUUGAAAUGGAUACGGUCGGGCCAAGAUGGGGGGGAUGAGGGUGAUAAGUCAGUGAUGGAAGGCCUUCAACCACACCGACACCUAAAGGAUAUCUUUAUACAAGGUUACGAAGGUACGGAGUUUCCAAGUUGGAUGAUGAAUGAUGAGUUGGGUUCCCUGUUUCCCUACCUAAUUAAAAUUGAAAUUUCAGGAUGUUCAAGAUGCAAAAUUCUGCCACCCUUUUCUCAACUCCCUUCUCUCAAGUCUUUGAAGCUUAAGUUUAUGGAAGAACUGGUGGAGUUAAAGGAGGGUUCAUUAACAACGCCACUCUUCCCAUCUCUUGAAUCGCUCGAACUCCAUGUCAUGCCAAAGUUGAAGGAAUUGUGGAGGAUGGACUUACUAGCAGAGGAAGGUCCUUCAUUUUCUCAUCUUUCGAAGUUAUAUAUUCGUGCAUGCUCUGGUUUGGCAUCACUGCAUCCUUCUCCUUCUCUUUCUCAAUUAGAAAUCAGAGAUUGCCCUAACUUGGCAUCCUUGGAACUGCAUUCGUCUCCUUCUCUUUCUCAAUUAGAGAUCAUCAAUUGCCAUAACUUGGCAUCCUUGGAACUGCAUUCGUCUCCUUCUCUUUCUCAAUUAGAGAUCAGAAAUUGCCAUAACUUGGCAUCCUUGGAACUGCAUUGGUCUCCUUCUCUUUCUCAAUUAGAGAUCAGAUAUUGCCAUAACUUGGCAUCCUUGGAACUGCAUUCGUCUCCUUCUCUUUCUCAAUUAACGAUCAUCGAUUGCCAUAACUUGGCAUCCUUGGAACUGCCGUCAUCUCUUCGUCUUUCUGAUUUAGAUAUCAGAAAAUGCCCUAACUUGGCAUCCUUGGAACUGCAUUCUUCUCCUUCUCUUUCUCAAUUAACGAUCAUCAAUUGCCAUAACUUGGCAUCCUUGGAACUGCAUUCAUCUCCUUGUCUUUCUCGAUCAUGGAUCUAUGAAUGCCCUAACUUGGCAUCCUUCAAAGUGGCUCCAUUACCUUCUCUUGAGACACUAUCUCUGUUCACAGUUAGAUAUGGUGUGAUAUGCCAGAUAAUGUCUGUCUCUGCUUCGUUGAAGUCUCUGUAUAUUGGAAGCAUAGAUGAUAUGAUAUCUCUCCCGAAGGAGCUACUUCAACAUGUUUCUGGCUUGGUAACGUUACGGAUCCGUGAGUGUCCUAACUUGCAAUCCUUGGAACUGCCGUCAUCUCCUUCUCUUUCUGAAUUAAGGAUCAUAAAUUGCCCUAACUUGGCAUCCUUCAAUGUGGCAUCAUUACCUCGUCUUGAGGAACUAAGCCUGCGUGGAGUCAGAGCAGAGGUACUGAGGCAGUUCAUGUUUGUCUCUGCUUCUUCUUCAUUGAAGUCUCUGUGUAUACGGGAGAUUGAUGGUAUGAUAUCUCUCCGAGAGGAGCCGCUUCAAUAUGUUUCCACUCUCGAAACUCUCCACAUUGUUAAGUGCUCUGGUUUGGCAACAUUACUACACUGGAUGGGCAGCCUUUCCUCGCUUACGGAACUUAUUAUUUUUGGCUGCUCGGAAUUGAAAUCACUGCCAGAAGAGAUCUAUUCCCUUAAAAAACUGCAGACAUUUUAUUUCUGUGAUUAUCCAGACCUAGAGGAAAGAUACAAGGAAACAGGUGAAGACCGGGCCAAGAUUGCUCAUAUCCCACAUGUUAGUUUCUACAGUGAUUCGAUUAUGUAUAGUAAGGUAGGUCCGAAAUCCCUAACCUUUCUUCCCAUUUUUAUUAUUUAAGAAUCAAAAUGCUAUGUUUUCAUUUUGUCUCUGGUAAUUCUUUUAUGUUGGCACCUCAUAUGUUUGUUUAAAUGCUCACAUCAAUAACUUUUUGAAAAAUUUUCCAGAUUAACAUCAUUUGCUGAUGCUGUGCACUAAACUAAUCAUUUUACUUGGGAGUUGUACAUUCUAAGAGUUUGAGGAAAUAUUGAGGUCUGGUAUGAUAACUCUCAAUCCUUGGAACUGCAUUCAUCUCCUUCUCUUUCUCGAUUAACAAUCCAUGAUUGCCCAAACUUGGCAUCCUUCAAUGUGGCAUCAUUACCUCGUCUUGAGGAACUAAGCCUGCGUGGAGUCAGAGCAGAGGUACUGAGGCAGUGCAUGUUUGUCUCUGCUUCUUCUUCAUUGAAGUCUCUGUGUAUACGGGAGAUUGAUGGUAUGAUAUCUCCCAGAGGAGUCGCUUCAAUAUGUUUCCACUCUCGAAACUCUCUACAUUGUUAAGUGCUCUGGUUUGGCAACAUUACUACACUGGAUGGGCAGCCUUUCCUCGCUUAAGGAACUUAUGAUUUAUGAAUGCUCUGAAUUGACAUCACUGCCAGAAGAGAUCUGUUCCCUUAAAAAACUGCAGAAAUUUUAUUUCUGUGAUUAUCCACACCUAGAGAAAAGAUACAACAAGGAAACAGGUAAAGACCGGGCCAAGAUUGAUCAUAUCCCACGUAUUAAUUUCCAAAGUGAUCGAGUUAUGGAAUAUAAGGUCCGAAAUCCCUAACCUUUCUUCCCAUUUUUAUUAUUUAAGAAUCAAAAUGCUAUGUUUUCAUUUUAUUAUUAUGUUUUCAUUGUAUCCCUGGCACCUCAUAUGUUUGUUUUUACUGCUCACAUUAAUAAUUUUGAAAUUUUUUUCUAGCUUGGAUGCGCUUUCCGAUGAUGUGCACUAAACUAACCAUUUUACUUGGAGUUGUACAUUCUAAGAGUUUGAGGAAAUACUAAGGUCUGAUAUGAUAACUCUCAAUCUUAAACGUUGUUUUGUGUUUGGAACGUUACUACACUUGAUACAUACCCUCACCUCACCUCACUUACAGACCCAAGAAUACAGAGGGCCACACUUGGUGAAGGUUUCAUCAGUAAGGAGAACCAUUUCAGGUAUGAAAUCCUCCCUUCUCAUUUUCUAAUGACUUCAUUUUUAUUCAAUAUCCAUUUGAAAUUAUUUAAGUUCAUUUUCUUUAGAUAUUAUAUUUUCUUGCUUGCUCAAUAAUUUCAUUUAAGUAAGUUUUUUGGAUAUCACAUUUUCUUUGGGGUUUUUUUUUCUUUUUAGAAUAAUUUCAAAAUGUAAUUUUUAACUAUUCACAAAAUUUGAUCAUAGUUGAGUGAUUAAAAUUCAAGUUUAUUCUUAUUAUCAUUAGUAGUUAUUUGAUAUGUUCGUUUGCUAAUACAAAAAUAAGACUAACAAGUAAUGUGCAUAGAGUUUGUAGAAGAGAAGAAAGAUUUGAUCCAAGAUAUUCCUAAAGAUCGGAAACUUUCAAAGCCACCCAAGAUCGCACAGGUUGAAUUCGGAUUCAUCCAGUUUACAAUCCAUUAAUUCUACUUAUAUCAUCUUUGUUAUGUUACAAUUUGCCUUUACUUGUUAUGCAACCUACCUUAAUAAUUUAGGGAGACCAAGAUAAGGUAUUCCUAGUAGAACUGGCUCACAAAUUGAAAAGGUAAACUUGUAUCACCUGCCUACAUGCCUACAACAAUACAAACACUAGCUCAUGUCUUUCUCACUAUUGAAAUUGUUAUUGCGUGCAGGGAUUUCAGGCGAGGAGGCCCAACUUGUGAUCAUAGAGCAUACUUUUAUCAUAGAGAAGCCCAAGGAAAUAUUUAAGCACUUGAAAUCCUUUCUCAUUGAUUUGCUUCCACCUCCCAAGCAACACCUAGAACCACUCCCACCAUGACGAAGUUAAAAGGUACUAAUGCAACAUUCUCAAUAUAUUAGAAUAUAUCCAAGGAAGGGUGGCCACAUAUGAAGACCCUAUUCCAAGGUCAAAUUUUAGAUUUUUGUGUUUUUCCUAUCACUAUUCCUAUACUAUUACUAGUGCACCUUAUUUGUCAAGAUGAUUAAAAGGGAAUUCCCUAGGAUAAUUAGUGUCUCAAGUGAUCUUAAGGUUCAUAAAUUUUUGGUUUCCACAAGAUAGGUGCCAACUAUUUAUUUAUUUAUUUAUUUUUUUUACACCCAUGCAAUAUUCCAGUCAUCUAUUAACAAAGGCUAAAAUUUCUUGUAGAGAAUAGAAUAAAGAACUAAAUUACAUGAAAAUAGGACAUUAUUAUUCUAUUUACAAGUAAGGGUAAAAAAUUGUUGAGGGCCAUCAAGCACAUUGUUCCUAAAAUAAUAACAUCCAUGUUGUUGAGCAAAAGUUUUUUAUAUUGGCACCUCAUAUGUUUGUUUAAAUGCUCACAUCAAUAACUUUGAAAAUAUUUUCCAGAUUUUUGAAAAAUUGUAAUGUUGUGCACUAAACUAAUCAUUUUACUUGGAGUUCUACAUUAUAAGAGUUUGAGAAAAAACUGUUUGAUAUGACAACUCUCAAUCUUAAAUGUUGUUUUGUGUUUGGAAUAUUACUGCACUUGAUAGAUGCCUCACCUCUCUUACAGAACUUGGAAUUCAUGGCUACCCUGAAUUGACAUCCCUGCCAGAAGAUAUGUUCCCUCAAAAGCCUGCAGACACUAAACAAUUUGCAUAUGUUCACACUUAAAGGAAAGCUGCUGAAAGGAAAAGUGAAGACUAAGCAAAGAUUGCUCAUAUCCCACAAAUUGAUAUCAUACAUCCAUGAAGAUUGAACUGAUACAAAAUGCCUUUCAGGUUCGAAAUCCCUAACUUUUCUUCUUAUUUUCUAUUACUUCAUUUUUAUUAUCUUACAUUAAAAAAUCCUCUGUUUUCAUUUGUUUUGGUAGUUCUUUUUAUUUGCACCUUAUUUGUUUUAUUAAAUGCUUACUCCAGUAAGUUUGAAAAUUUUUACAUCUUCAAAUCAUUUUGCUUGAGUGUUUUGCAUUCUAAGAGUUUGAGGAAAUAUUGAGCUCUAAUAUAAAUAGUAUUGGUCAUAGAGUCUUCCUUUCUUAAGAAGCUUACCAUUAACCUAAUGGCCAAAGGAUCCCAAAAGGAAACAACUUUGGGUUGACUUGAAGAUUUCACAUGGUCCAAACAUUCAUAUUUACUAGAUGCCUGAUACAAAAGAAAUUUUGCUCUCUUUUCAAUUUAGCCAUUGAUGUAGUCUAAAUGUUUUAUUAGAGCAAUAAUUGUCCAGUAAAUGCAAAAUAGAGAAUGGUGUUAAUGAAUUCAGUACUUCAUCUAUGUUGUAGACUUGUAGUUUAGCAGCUUCUGUUGAUAAUGAGUGUGAGGUUGGCUUUAUCAUGUCACUGUUCCAAAUAUUCUUAAAAAAAAAUCAUUUAAGCUCUAUUUGGUUCUUAGAAAAUUUAAGGGAAAAUGUGAGGAAAACAAAAUAGAGAAGAAAAGUGGAAGGAAAAAAAAGUGAAAGUCAAUGAAUUAUUUUUGUAUGCUACUUCAAACUCACUUCACUUUUUUUAACUCUUCAAUAUAAAGAUUAAAUCAUUUGAAAAAUGUGUAAAUUUCUAAUUAAUUUUAAUUAUAUUUGAUUUUCUUUGGUAUUUUCCAAAAGACAACCAAAUAUGAGAAAAUCAUUUUCCUUAACAUUUUUUUUCUUAGUACUUUUAGGGAACCAAACAUAACCUAAAUGUUUUAGUUUAGUAGUUUCAUCAAAUGAGAUAGACAACCUCACAUCUCUUAGUGAGCUGAGGUGCUAUGUCAAUUAAUGCUUUGUCUCUACUCUUCAUUGAAGUCUCUAUCUAUUGGAUGCACAAAUGAUAUGAUCCAAACUCAAAUUGAACACUAUUCUGGUUUUGCAACAUUACUGCACUCGAAAGGCAACUUCAACUCACUUAUAGACCUUCCUAUUGGUGAUUGCACUGAAUCGACAUCACUUUGGAAGAGAUGUGUUCCACACAGAAAAUCUUUCAUUAUAUGCACCUACUCGCGAGAUACCAAAGGGAAACAGGUGAAUACUUGCCCAAGAAUACAAAGGUCAUACUUGGUGAAGGUUCCGUCAAUAAGGAGAACCAUUUCAAGUAUGGAAUUCUCAUUUCUUCUCAUUUUCUUAUGGCUUUAUUUUUAUUCAAUAUCUAUAUGAAAUUAUUUAUGUUCAUUUUCUUUAGAUAUUACAUUUUUUUGCUUUCUCAAUAAUUUCAUUCAAGUUCUUUUGGAUAUCACAUUUUCUUUGGUGUUUUUUUUAGAAUAAUUCAAAAUGUCUUUUUUAACGAUUCACAAAAUUUGAUCAUAGUUGAGUGAUUAAAAUUCAAGUUUAUUAUUAUUAUUAUUAUUGGUUAUUUGAUAUAUUUGUUUUCUUAUACAGAUAAAAGACUGGCAGCUAAUGUGCAUAGAAUUUGUAGAAGAGAAUAAAGAUUUGAUCUAAGUUAUUUCUAAUAGGUUGAGGAAUUCAUUCUUGUAAAAAUUGAGUGUUAAAGCCUUCAAGAGGUUUGAAUCUUGAAGAAAUUAUGUAAGAGCCCAUUGGAGCCAGAAUCCAAGUGUAAAGGAGAUUGGAAGCUUGGUUGAAGCUUCAAGUUAGUGAAACCCUCACUCGGUUAGGAGAUUGAGGAGAGUGGACGUAGGCAAGGAAAUGCCGAACCACUAUAAAAUCCAAGUUUAAAUUCUCUAACUCUAUCUCUUUAUUUUUUUAUUAUAUUGUGCUUGAAUUUGUUGUGUUGAAAAAGUUUUUGAAAAACCCAAUUCACCCUCCUCUUAGGUGUUUUUCUCAUUUAAGCAUAACCUUUAUUUUCUCACACUUGAAAUCCUUUCUCAUUAAUUUGCUUCCACCUCAUAAGCAACCCUCGAAACCACUUACACCAUGACAAGGUGAAAAGAAACUAAUGCAGCAUUCUUAAUAUAUAAGAAGAUAUUAAAGGAAGGUUGGCCACAUAUGAGGACCCUGUUUCUAACGUAGAAUUUUAGAUUUUUGUGUUUUUCCUAUCACUAUUCCUAUACUAUUACCAAUGCACCUUAUUUGUCAAGAUGAUUAAAAGGGAAUUCCCUAGGAUAACUAGUGUCUCAAGUGAUCUUGAGGUUCAUAAAUUUUUGGUUUCCACAAGAUAGGUGCCAACUAUUUUUAUUUUUUUUUACACCCAUGCAAUAUUCCAGUCAUCUAUUAACAAGGGCUAAAAUUUCUUGUAAAGAAUAAAAUAAAGAACUAAAUUACAUGAAAAUAGGACAUUAUUAUUCUAUUUACAAGUAAGGGCCAAAAAUUGUUGAGGGUUAUCAAGCACAUUGUUCCUAAAAUAAUAGCAUCCAUGAAGAUUGAACUGAUACAAAAUGCCUUUCAGGUUCGAAAUCCCUAACUUUUCUUCUUAUUUUCUAUGACUUCAUUUUUAUUAUCUUACAUUAAAAAAUCCUCUGUUUUCAUUUGUUUUGGUAGUUCUUUUUAUUUGCACCUUAUUUGUUUUAUUAAAUGCUUACUCCAGUAAGUUUGAAAAUUUUUACAUCUUCAAAUCAUUUUGCUUGAGUGUUUUGCAUUCUAAGAGUUUGAGGAAAUAUUGAGCUCUAAUAUAAAUAGUAUUGGUCAUAGAGUCUUCCUUUCUUAAGAAGCUUACCAUUGACCUAAUGGCCAAAGGAUCCCAAAAGGAAAUGACUUUGGAUUGGCUUGAAAAUUUCACAUGGUCCAAACAUUCAUAUUUACUAGAUGCCAGAUACAAAAGAAAUUUUGCUAUCUUUUCAAUUUAGCCAUUGAUGUAGUCUAAAUGUUUUAUUAGAGCAAUAAUUGUCCAGUAAAUGCAAAAUAGAGAAUGGUGUUAAUGAAUUCAGUACUUCAUCUAUGUUGCAGACUUGUAGUUUAGCAGCUUCUGUUGAUAAUGAGUGUGGGGUUGGCUCUAUCAUGUUACUGUUCCAAAUAUUCUUAAAAAAAAAAAAAUCAUUUAAGCUUUGUUUGGUUCUUAGAAAUUUGAGGGAAAAUGUGAGGAAAAUAAAAUAGAGAGGAAAAGUGGAAGGAAAAAAAAGUGAAAGUCAAUGAAUUAUUUUUGUAUGCUACUUCAAACUCACUUCACUCUUUUUAACUCUUCAAUAUCAAUUUCUAAUUAAUUUUAAUUAUAUUUGAUUUUCUUUGGUAUUUUCCAAAAGACAACCAAAUAUGAGAAAAUCAUUUUCCUUAACAUUUUUUUUCUUAGUACUUUUAGGGAACCAAACAUAACCUAAAUGUUUUAGUUUAGUAGUUUCAUCAAAUUAGAUAGACAACCUCACAUCUCUUAGUGAGCUAAGGUGUUAUGUCAAUUACUGCUUUGUCUCUACUUCUUCAUUGAAGUCUCUAUUUAUUGGAUGCACAGAUGAUAUGAUCCAAACUCAAAUUGAACACUACUCUUGUUUUGCAACAUUACUGCACUCGAAAGGCAACUUCAACUCACUUAUAGACCUUCUUAUUGGUGAUUGCACUAAAUCGACACCACUUUGGAAGAGAUGUGUUCCACAUAGAAAAUCUUUCAUUAUAUGCACCUACUCGCAAGAUACCAAAGGUAAACAGGUGAAUACUUGCCCAGGAAUACAAAGGCCAUACUUAGUGGAGGUUCCAUCAAUAAGGAGAAUCAUUUCAAGUAUGGAAUUCUCAUUUCUUCUCAUUUUCUUAUGGCUUCAUUUUUAUUCAAUAUCUAUAUGAAAUUAUUUAUGUUCAUUUUCUUUAGAUAUCACAUUUUUUUGUUUUCUCAAUAAUUUCAUUCAAGUUCUUUGGAUAUCACAUUUUCUUUGGUGUUUUUUUUAGUAUAAUUCAAAAUGUCUUUUUUAAUGAUUCACAAAAUUUGAUCACAGUUGAGUGAUUAAAAUUCAAGUUUAUUAUUAUUAUUAUUAUUAUUAUUAUUAUUAUUGGUUAUUUGAUAUAUUUGUUUUCUAAUACAGACAAAAUACUAGUAGCUAAUGUGCAUAGAAUUUGUAGAUAGAAUUUGUAGAAGAGAAUAAAAAUUUGAUCUAAGCUAUUCCUAAAGACCAGAAACUUUUAGAGCUACCCAAGAUCUAACAGGUUGAAUUUUGAUUCACUUAGUUUACAAUCCACUAAUUAUCCUUAUGUCAUUUUUGUUAUGUUACAAAUUGCCUUUACUUGUUAUUCAACCUAUCUUAAUAAUUUGGGAAGACCAAGAUAACGUCUUCCUAGUAGAACUGGCUCAAAAAUUGAAAAGGUAAACUCAUAUCACCUAUCUACAUGCCCACAACAUUAUAAACACUAGCUCAUGUGUUCCUCACUAUUGAGAUUGUUGUUGCAUGUAGGCAUUUUGGGCGAGGAGGCUCGACUUGUGAUCAUCAAUAACAGAAGGCAUGCUUUUAUACAGAGAAGCCCAAAGAAACAUUUAAGCACUUUGUUAGCCCAAGGGUUCUCCUAAUCAGGUUUUGAUGAUAACAAACCAUGGUUAAGUGACUAAUUGGUUUGAAUGGUAAAAAAUCUUAGGUAUAAAUUUGGAAAUUCAUCAAAUGAUCAAAUGAAUACAAGAUCGAGACUUUUGGAAGACUUUUGAUCAUAGGAAACAAAUGUAAGAUGAAUGCAUGGGUGCACUUAGAUUUUACAUAUCUUUUCAUGAAUCUUUGAAAACUCAGUUUAUUCCUUUAAAUUACGAUUUCAUUAAAACCCGAGUUUUAUCAAAUGUACCUUAGGUAAAACGUUUCAAAAUUGGCAUAUUAAUUUACCUAAAGACCUUGCCUAAGUGUUAGAAAGGAAAAGAAUUGAAAAAUAUAGGUUUUCGGGGCCAAAAGGCUAAAUUGAUCGAGGCACAUGCCAGCCGGCUCAACCAACUAGGGAACCGGUCAAUCGGUUGCUCUUGUUCGAUCGAGAUCUGGUCGAGGAGUGUUAAAAACACUUUCUCUCAUCCAGUAGCCUUCUCUUCCCAGUCGAGGUACUCUCCUUACCUUUGGUCGAGGUUCGGUCGAGGCAACGGUAACCUGCCAAAGCAUUAAAUGCUUCAACGGCUAGUGAACCAGUCAACCCCCAGCUCGACCGAUUGAGGCUAUUUUUUGCUUUUUUUGGCUCCCGAGCUUAGAAACCAAUAAAUUGAGAGCUCCACUUCAUUUAUGACAUAGAGAAAACUUGCAAUCAAUUGUCUACCCACUUGUUCUUGCCUUAAAAGCUCUCAUUUAUUUCUUAGUGCAUUAAAUCCUCACUUGCAUAUCCUUUUAGUGCACCCUUGUGAAUCAUCCUAGCUUUGAUUUGUAUUUGAACUAUCAUUGAGCUAGAUUGAGGGAUUCAUUCUUGUAAAAAUUGAGUGUUAAAGCCUUCAAGAGGUUUAAAUCUUGAAGAGAUUAUGUAAGAGCCCAUUGGAGCCAGAAUCCAAGUGUAAAGAAGAUUGGAAGCUUUGUUGAAGCUUCAAGUUAGUGGAACCCUCACUCGGUUAGGAGAUUGAGGAGAGUGGACGUAGGUAAGGAAAUGUUGAACCACUAUAAAAUCCGAGUUUAAAUUCUCUAACUCUAUCUCUUUAUUUUUUAUUAUAUUGUGCUUGAAUUUGUUGUGUUGAAAAAGUUUUUGAAAAACCUAAUUCACCCAUCUCUUAGGUGUUUUUCUCAUUUAAGCUCACUCUUGAAAUCCUUUCUCAUUAAUUUUCUUCCACCUCAUAAGAAACCGUCAGAACCACUUACACCAUGACAAGGUGAAAAGAAACUAAUGCAACAUUCUCAAUAUAUCAGAAGAUAUCAAAGGAAGGUUGGCCACAUAUGAGGACCUUGUUUCUAAGGUAGAAUUUUAGAUUUUUGUGUUUUUCUUGUCACUGUUUCUAUACCAUUACUAGUGCACCUUAUUUUUGAAGGUGAUUAAAAGGGAAUUCCCUAGGAUAACUAAUGUCUCAGAUGAUCUUGAGGUUCAUAAAUUUUUGGUUUCAACAAGAUAGGCGUCAAACCAUUUUUAUUUUUUUCUACACCCAUGCAAUAUUCCAUUCAUUUAUUAAUAAGGGCUAAAAUUUCUUGUAGAGAAUGGAAUAAAUAACUAGAUUAAAUGAAAUAAGACAUUAUUAGUCUAUUUACAAGUAAGGGCAAAAAAUUCUUGAGGGUCAUUAAGCACACUGUUCCUAAAAUAAUAACAUCCAUGUCGUCGAGCAAAAGUUUAUUGCAAUUACAUUAGCAUAUAAAACAAAACUAAUUUUUUUUUAUGGAAAAUUUAACCGCACUUUAGAAGUUUGUGAUUAUUCUUUGGUCCAUCUUAAAACGAGUUCCUGCAUUUUUCCAUUCCUCAAAUUAAAAUCACAAUAAAAAGUUUUAGAUUGACCUAAAAUUUUCUCAUGGCCUAGAAAUUCAUAUCUACCAGAUGGCUAAAGCAAAAAACACUUCUACCUUGUAUUUUAAGUAAUCCCUGCUUGCUAUUUGUUUAUUGAGAGCAUCAUACAAGUUGUGAUUAUAUUUCUUAAUUUUUUUAUAUGAUAAGACGGUAACUGGAUUGAGAAAGAUGCAACUUGUAGAGCAGAAAAUUUCUUAACUACUUUCCUUGUAUUUGCUUUGUGUGUAUCAACUGUUCUGUUAAUUAUUUUUUAAAAAUAUCACUAAAACAAACCUAUUAUGUCAGUGCUCUCUAUUGUUAUGUAUCAUAAUUUAGCUAUUUUUUUUCCCUAGAAAUCAUGCUUGUUAUUGUGUUAAUCAGUAGGUAGCAUAAGAACUAUUUUGUUCAAGUUAUUUUGUAUUGGCAUUCUUCAUGUUUUAAAAUAUUGUCAGACUAGCAAUUUUACUGCAGAUAUAAUGUUCUCAAAUCAAUGCAAAAAGGGACGAUUGUGGGGCUUGGGCACAACCUUCCUUGAAUAGUUGAAUUGAGGAUUUCUAUAAACUAGGUCUCUAUAUCAACAGAUUCUACAUUUCAUCACUAUGGGGACCUUACAAUAAAUAUCGCAAAAAGCUUCAUUUACUACAUAGUAAGGAUAAUCCUAAGGACUUAAAAGCUUGAGUUGUCUUUUCCAUGGCAGCUUCAGAUCUCUUAAUAAGCUCCAAGUCAUUGUCUACCUUGAAUAUAAAUCACUGCUAGAAGUAUGUGCCCUCAACAUUCCCAUGUUCCCGAUAUUGACUAGAUAGUUUUUGCUAAUUCAUGAAGAAUUGAAGGGAUCUUUGAUAAUGACAUCUAUAAUGUACUUCAAGUUCAUGAUCCAAACCCUCUUAUUGCUUUCAAUAACUUCAUUUUUUUUAUAUUACUUUGUGGUCAAUGUUAUAAGGAUGUUGUAUUUUGUUUACCUGAUUCUCAUCCAUUAGCACACAUGAAAGGAAAAGUUUUACAUUGCUUUCCUUCCCUUUGCUCUGUGUUUGUAUAUGUUUAUGCAGCUAAUGCGAACUUCCACCGUAACUUUUUAAGUUUUUUCAUUCUCGAGUUUGGGAAACAACUGGAUUUGAUUGUAAUAUUUUCUUGUAGAUAUCACCUUUCUUAAAAAGCUUGCAUUUAUUCACAUUUUCAAGAUGGCUAAGUCAUCUGAUUAUGCUUAGAACUUUUGGUUUCUAUUAAAUUCAGGUAUGAUGUUUGCAAUUCUAACCCCCUUACUCCUCUUGAAGACUACAUAAGUUUCUAGUGCUUUUACUUUAAUGGUUAUAGUCAAUGUAUCCUCUUGUUACUUCCUGCUUGCAUUCUAUAUGUUCAAGAGCUUUAUUAAAGUAAUUAUUUUAUUGAAGAUAUAAUUGUUUUCAGGUCAAAGCAAAAUUGAAUAAUGACGUGGUUUCAACAACUUCUCAAAAGUAAUUGGAAAGUAAGGAACUUUGUGGUAGUAUUCUGAUAUCACAUUGGGCCUUCAAAUUGUUGUCUUGAAUUGACAUAAAUAACAUAAUUUCUUUCCUAGUUAAGCUGCUUCAACAUGUUAUUAUGCUUCAAACUCUUUCAAUUAUGUGUUGUUUAGGUUUGGCAACAUUAGUACACUGGAUAUGUUGCCUCGAGUUACUUACACGACAUAAAAUUCAUCUUUAUUGUUAACUAGCAUCACUACCACAAGAUGAGUUCCCUCAGCAUUCUACAGACAACUAUAAUUUGGGACAAUUCUGGUUUGGCAACAUUAUCGGAGUUGAUAGGCAACCUAACAAAAACCUUUAAAUUUAUAUUUAUCCCAAACUAGCAUCACUGUUGGAAGACGUGCAUCCUUAGCACCCUAUAACCACUCACAAUUGGAGACUGUUAUGGUUUGUAAACAUUUAACAGACUUGAUAGGUAACCUUGCACCAGUUACAGAGCUUCAAAUUCAUGGCUAUCUUGAAUUGACAUCACUUUCAAACUAGAUGGUUCAUCCAAACCUCAGUUGACACCCAUAAUUCAAGACUUCUCCAUUUUGGCAAUGAUAACAGAUUUGAUAAGCAUCCCUACUUCACUUACAUACACUAAAAUUGAUAGCUACCUCGGAUUCACAUCAUUGUCACAAAAGAUUGGUUCCUUCAUAUCCCUGCAGACACUUGUGAUCUUUUAUCAUCCAUGUAUAUUAGAAAGACUUAAAAGGGAAAUAGGUGAAGAUUGGCCCAAUAAUCUUCAGUCCUAGAUAUUGAUAUUUGGUGAAGAUUGGACUAAUAUAGAGUUAGUUCAGGUUUGAAAUCCCAAUCUUUCUUCUCAUUUUUUAUGGUUUUGUUUUUAUCAAUAUGCUUUGUUUACAUUCUAUAUGGUAACUUUUGUAUGUAUUAGCAUAUAGAUCAAAAAGGACUUAGAUGAUUAAUUUGAAAAGUUUGCAUCCUCAAUUAAUUAGUAAUUAAAGACCAAACUAAUCAUAUUACUUUAAGUCUUGCAUUGUAAGAGUUUGGGAAAAUGUUAGGGUUGACUGAACUACUAUUUUAUAACAGAUUUUGCCUUACUCAAGAAUCUUGUGAUUAUCCCUUGGCACAAUCAUUUCUCGUGUCUAAGAAAUUCAUAUCUACUACAUGGCCAAAGAAUUUAGUAGCAUUCAAAAUUUAUGUUUUCUUUCAAGUCAGGUGUAUUGCUUGCAGUUCUAACAUGUUUCCUAUUUUGAACAUUGUAUUGUUAUUUUACUAUCAAUGUGUUAAGAGCAUUAUACUCUAUUUUCUAUAAUGUUGUUUACUUGUCAUAUGUAUUAAUUAUUUUAUUGCAAAUGUACUUGUUGCCAAGUUAAAGCAAAAGAGGAAAGUGAGGAUUUUUCAUGGACCAAUGCCUCUCUCAGUUGCUGCCACACUUGACUUCUCUCUAAGUUGUUGAAAAUUUAAAAGUGUGGUAGCAUAAAGUAUUCAGCUCAAGUGCUUUAGUGCCUCACUACCCUUGAAGCUUUAGAAGCUGUCAAUACAAUUGGGGUUUCAACAUGUAACCAUUUUGGAAAUUCUAAGAAGUGUAAGUAUUAUGGUUUUACAACUUUAUUAGACUAGAUAGGCAACUUCAAAUUGCUGAAUGCCCUAAAUUAAAAUCACUACUAGAAGGAACCCAUGAGCACUCUAUAGAAACUCAUAAUCUACUACUUUUGCCACUUAUUAAGAAUGCUAAAAGGAAAAAGUGAAGAUUGGCUUGAGCAUGAUUGAUUAAUAAACCACACAUGGUCUCCUUAAUUCAAGUGUGUCAUUUGUUAUAUGUUUCAUGUCAGUAAUCCUACAUUUCUCUUGUUUCUAUUGGCUCUAUUUUUUUGAAUUAUUUUACAAUCAAUCUUCUAACAAUGUUCUACUUUUUUUACAAUUUUAUUUUUUUAUUCUAAAAUGAAUUAAGACAUAUAAAGAAAAAAAUCACCUUGUUUGAUUUUCAUAUACUAUAUGCUUAAAUGUACAUGUGUUAAAAUCUUUUGAUUUUUUAUUGAUUACUUUCUAUUUAAUUUAUUAAAAAUUGUUAGUCUAUUUGGAGAUGAUUUUUUUUUUCAUAUGUAAUAAGAUACCAACAAAUUGAGUGAGGAGCACAUCUUACUAAGUCGCUUAUCAAUCUAUCCACCUUCCUAAUCUCAAGAUUCUUCAUGUUUGAAUUAAAAUACCAUGAAUUACAAAAACAAAAAAUGAUGAAAAUGAGUAUUUCUCGUCAUCUUCAUUUUUAUUAGAAGGCAAUUUGUAGCAUCCUCUUUCCCAUUCCUAAAAAAUACUACAGCUUUGUAGGUUGAGAAAUUAGACAUGUUUUCUUAAAUGAUCUUCUUGGUCCAUGCAUGCUUAUAUUUGGAAGAUUUUUAAACCAAGUAUUUUAUGACAUAUAUGAUAGCUUUCAAGUUAAUGCAUAAAUGGUGAUGGUUAGGAUGCAAAAUAUAGUCUAUGCUGAUUACUACCAAAAAGUGCUAUUUUGUAGAUCUAAUUAUAAUGGUUUUAAGCACCUUUGAGUAGUAAUCAUAUUCAUUUAACCCAAUUAAUUCAUUAAGGUCCUUAGUAAUUGGUUUUAACCAUUUUGUGGCAAGUUUACAUGUUUUUAUCAGCUUAUGAAUCGAUUCAAGCAUGCCAAAUGAUGGAGGAGCUACUUGGACAAGUUAAAGCAAGGAUUUUGGAAGUUUACAGGCUUGAAUUUUAAGUGGAAACACGAGCACAAGCAAUGGAGAAGAGGAAAACAGAGUGAAGAAAACAGAGGACAGCAGCUGCAGUUUUCUUUUGCACUUUUGGAGCACUUUCCGAAGUCCAUUUUCUACAUUCUUUAUACCAUUUCAAAGCUCAGGAAGUCAAUAAUCCAAUGCUUCAAACGGUGCACGAUUCGGAGUUGAAACGAAGGAGUUACAUCCAUUGCAAGCAGAUCACUCCAAGCUGUUUUUGCACGGUUGCGAAAUCAGCCUUUUGUUGCGAGAAUUUCACAGCCAUUUUGCACAGUGCACGGGUGUUCUCCUGAAGCUUCCCGAUAGUUGCGACCGAAACUUUUAGAUCUUUUCUUCAGAUAUUUUUGUAUAAAUUUCCAUUCUUCUCCUUGUAAGCCACCAACCAUAAGAUUUCUUAGUUAGGAAGGUUGGAAAAACGUCUCUAUAUAUAUUCCCUUGCAUCCACUGUAUAUAAAAAAUAUGUAAUAUCAAUCAAUAUAUAAUAUAUCUACAGAGCACUUGCUCUGUUUUUCAUUCAUAUUCUUGUUUUCAUUUUCAUUUUCAUUUUCUAGCCAACCAAACUCUAAGGAUUUUUCCUCAGAGGAUGAGAGGCUAAGCUCUUUGUCUCUUGGAGUGAAGAAAGCCGGGUAAGUUUCCAUAUGCAUAAAUUGGAAGUUUUGUUGUUUUAGUUUUUAAUGAAGAGAAAGUGUGACCCGUUAAUGGUUUUUAUCUUUUUAGUUAACUUAAAACGCCUUUAAAUCACCUGGGCCAACACUUGGUAAGGCAAGUGAUUUCCGUCCAUGGAGAUUCACUAGUUUACCCCUUGCGAGCCUUUGGGAGGUGACUUGAAGGUAGGAUUUUCUAGAAUAGCCAACACUUGGUAAGCUUUUGGACUCCAAGGAGACAUCCAUUAGUUAUCUCUUGCGAGCUUUUGACGGGUAAUCCAAGGUUAAAGAUCACCUUGAAUGGCAAGUGCUAGGUGAGAGGUAUGAGCCAUUGCAUGGUGCAUCAGUGAGAGGGAUUUAGUGUUUGAACCCAUUAAUGGGAAGCAUCUGUACAACACCGGUUGGAGAAGGAACUAUAUGUUAAUUCUCUAAUGCGAGGAAAAGAAACAAGUGACCGGAACUCUCCAUUUUUGUAUGAGGAAUCUGAGCCUAGUGAUCUGAAACUCCAAGAAACAUCUUUUCUUUGUAAGUAAAAUCAGUUACUAUUUUUGGUUAGUUUAAAACCGAACUUUUUCCAUUUAAACAAGUUUAUGUUUUCUUUUAAAGCUAACCUUGAAAUGAAAAGGCACCAAUUCAACUUUGAAUUAAUAUCAUUUGUGAAGUGAAAACUCAUCCUAGUGAACGAUCCUAGAGCCACUAUGCUAUAGUAGCUUUGUCUUUGCUACCCUAGUAUAUGGUGUAAUAGGUUAAAAAUUUUGUUGAUUACUCCCUCAUUCAAGGAGCACCAGCUGGACACAAAUCAGCUGAGACACCAAUUGGGCACAAAUCAAAUGGCGCCGUUGCCGAGGAUGGUGCCACUUUACAAUGAUAUCACCUUUCUAGAGUACUUGUGAUCUUCAUCACAAGUUUGGUGACUUUUCUUUUCCUUUUACUAACUCUUUUUAUUUCUUUAUUGUUCAUAUUUUAGUAUACCUUUUAUUUAGUUUUUAGUUUACCUUAAUUUUCUUUCUUUGAAUUGUUUUUCUUUUGUUUUCUUUUGUGUUCUCUGUUUUUAAUUCACAAAUUGCUAGUUGUGCAUGCCAUAUUGAAUACGAGAUAGUAGAGGAAGCCAUGAACUUCAUGAGUUAUAUGGCUGAAGUCUCAAGAGGAUGGGAUGAACCAAAUGCUAGAGAUAUGGGAAGAAAGACGUCUCAACCUAAUGCUAAGGGUGAGAUGUAUAUUUUGGAUGAUGGCAUAGACAUGAAGGCAAAGAUUGCAGCUAUGGCAAGGAGAUUGGAAAAGCUAGAAAUGAUGAAUAUGCAACCAGUGCAAGCCAUCUCUUAGACACCAUUGCAAGCUAUGCCUUGUGCCAUUUGUCUAUCUUAUGAGCACUUGGUGGAUGAGUGUCCUACCAUUCCAGCCGAAAGGGAAAUGUUUGGUGAUUGCAACACCUACAAUUCCAAUUGGAGGGACCAUCCAAAUUUCUCUUGGAAACCACAGCCACCUCAGUAUCAGCAACCUGCUCAAGCACCACAGCAAGCCUCAAACCUUAAACAAGCUAUAGUGAAUCUUAGCAAGGUUGUGGGAGACUUUGUUGAAGCUCAAGAAGCCAUCAAUGCUCGAGUCGAUCAAAGAAUUGAUAGAAUGGAGAGUAUGUUGAAUAAAAGGAUGGAUGGAAUGCAAAAUGAUAUGGCCCAAAAUUUUGACAACAUCCAAUAUUCAAUUUCAAGGCUCAUAAAUUUGAACACAGUGCAAGAGAUAGAAAACUCCCCUUCUCAACCUUAUCAAAAUUCCAUGAGUAUCCAUGAAAUGGAGGCUCAAGAGGGAGAAUGUUCAAUGGUGAAGGAAAUUGAAGAGGUUAUCACUUUGAGGAGUGGUAAAGAGGUUGAUCUGCCCACAUGCAAGCUAGAACAUAAGGAAGAGAGUGAAACAGAGAAAGAAAAGAGGGAGGAAAUCAAAGGAAAGAAAAAGGGGAAAAGCAUAGAGAAAGAUGGCUAUGAUGUUAAUGUACAAAGAGAACCACAAAGGAUAGUCAUCAAGGAAGAAUUGAUGAAGAAACACAUGCCUCCACCUUUUCUCCAAGCUUUGUAUGGGAAAAUCAUACAAACCAAGUCUCAAGAGAGAGAUGCAAACUUCAUAUGGGAUCCGGGCAAGCUAAAUAAGGAUCAAAUUUUUUGAUGGACUUAGUCUUUUUAAAGACUAGUUAGUCCAUAUCUUUUUGUUUUGUUUUUUUUACUUGUUUUAAUUUUGAUUUCAAUGUUUUAAUUUUGAUUUCAAUACUUUAAUUCUAGUUUGUUUUGAUGUAAUAUAGGUUUUUGGAUGAUCAAAAUCAAGAGGAAUUGCAAAUAAAUUGAAGGAAGUCUUUCGGAGCAAAAUCGGAGUCAAACGGAGCGAAAAUAGGGGAAAAACAGGGGUCUGCGAAAUUUCGCAACCUCUGCGAAAUCGGCACUUUGCUGCGAAACCAGUUCGUAGCCUCAGGACCCUCUCUGCGAAAAUUUUCGCAGCUGCGAAACCACUUUUGGCACACGAGUGCCACUUCGCAGCACAAGAGCCCCCAUUUCGUAGCUGCGAAACGGCUGCGAAGUCCCAAAACGUGAAAAAUCCCAAUUUCGCAGCCAAAGCUCCAUUCCGCAGAGGAUUUCGUGGCUGCGAAACCAACUUUGGCACACGAGUGCCAUUUCGCAGCAUAGUGACUCUCAUUUCGCAGCUGCAAAACGGCUGCGAAGCUCCAAAGCGUAAAAAAUUCCCAAUUUCGCAGCCAAAGCUCCAUUCCGCAGAGGAUUUCACGGCUGUGAAACCAACUUUGGCACACGAGUACCAUUUCGCAGCACAAUGACUCCCAUUUCGCAGCUGCGAAACGGCUGCGAAGUCCCAAAAUGUGAAAAAUCCCAAUUUCAUAGCCGCACCCCCAUUUUGGCAAUUGUUGGACACAUCUCGAUCACUUCCCGAAGUUCAAAUUAUGCAUGCAAUAUCUCGUUUCAAAUAUUAGGAAGUCAGGAGUUCAUAGCUUCAAACGGUGUUCGAUUUGGAUUUGAAACGGAAAAGUUAUGGCCGUUUGAAGAUGACUGUGCAAACCAUGAGCGGAAAUGUCGCACCUCCAUUUUGCUACUGUUGGACACAUUUUUGAAGCACUUACUGGAGCUCAAAUUAUGCAUACCAUAUCUUGUUUCAAAUCUUGGGAAGUCAGGAGUCCAGAACUUCAAACGGUGCACAAUUUGCAGUUGAAACGAAGAAGUUAUGGUUAUUUGAAGACAAGCGCUCAAAGCUGAGCGGGAAUUUCGCAGCCGAGACACCAUUUGGAAGGGUGUUUCGCAGCUGCGAAACCACUUUUGGCACAUGAGUGCCAUUUUGCAGCACAGUUCCCCUCAUUUUGAAGCUGCGAUACACCUGCGAAAUCACUUUUGAGCUACGAAAUGAGUUGCGAAAUCAAUAUUGGGCUGCGAAAUCACUUUUGAGCUUUGAAAUGGCUAUGAAAUGAUUUUCAAACUUCAAAAUGGCUGCGAAAUCACCUCCAAGCAUCGAAAUGGCCUUCAAAUUUCGAAAUUGACUUGCGAGAUGGAGGAAGUUUUGCAAAAACACUUUGCAAAGCCAAUAGAAGUUGCUAAAAUGCCAUCAGAGCCUCACAAUCAUGCAUCUGAAGAGGAGAGCCCCGCACACCCUGGGAUCACACACACCAAGCCUCUCACUCCAUUUUUGACCUCCUUAAACCAUCAAAUCCCAUAGCUACCAGCUGAGAGCUCCAGCUAAGGAGACUAUGCCACCUAAGGAGAUUACCAGAACAGAGUCCAAAGUCCUGAUCCAACCCACUCAAGAGGCCACCAUAGUUGCAUCAGCUCCACAGGAUCCUACCACUACUUGAUCAUCUCUUUACUUUUUGUCUUUACAUAUUAUAUUAGUGUAGAUAAUUCCAUGUUUUGAUGUCUUAUAUUCUGGGAUUGGAUGUAUUACUGAUGAUGCAUCAUACAUAGACAUCAUUUUUGUUUAAACUUGACAUUUUUCUAUUUCCUCUACUCACUAACUCUUAUGUUUUCUUUGAAACAUGUGGUUUCUCCUAUACGACUCAGACUCCAUGUCACUAAGGAGGUACCACUUCCUCCCUAUUUUUUAAUCGCUUUUGUCACAUUGAGGACAAUGUUCAGCUUGGUUGGGGGGAGAGUUGAGGAAGUAAGUAUUGUUAAUAAUGCUAAGUUAUUUUGGUAAUUUAGUUGCUUUUUGCUUAAUUUUUAAAAUUUUUGCUUUAAACUCCAUGGAUAUUAAGGAUUAACUCUCAAAAUUAAAUGAGAGAAGUCGAGUUUCAACUUGAUUACAUGAGUCUUAGAGUUUUUAUUAUGCUCUUCUAAAAGUUGAUGAAUUGUUGAAACUCUCAUUGCAUGCAAACUUAUCUCUUCCACCUUAAGCUAUUCGCACACACAUACAUUAGAUUCCGGUUAUAAGAUGUGAAACUAUCUCACCCUCUAAGCUUGAGAAAUCAUAAUUUGACACCUUUAACCUCUCUUUAAUAGUGUUGGGACACCUCAUAAAGACCAAUGAGUCUUUGAAAAAAUAGAAAAAAGAAAAAGAAAAAGAAAAAAAUAAUAAUAAUAUAGAAUAAACUUCUUUGCUUGCCUUGAAACCUGAGCAUGGUCCGAAGGGGUGGCGAAAGCCUUUAAAGCCUGGUGUCCUAAGCCUUUAUUGGUUGGGAGUCACCGAUCCUCUGCUUGUUACAUGGGUGAAUUGGUUAAGUGUAGUAAGUGAAAAGAAUUGUGAAUAAGAGGUGCGUUCCUAACCUAUCAAGAGAUGGUUAAUUUUGCUAAACUUAAAGAAAGACUUAGGUUGGGGGGAGAUGAUAGUUAUCCAUACUAUACUCGGAAGCUAAUCACAUUAACACUUAGCUUUUAGUGGAAGAAUUUGAUUUGGAUAUUUUGAGAAUGGAAAUUCUUUUGAUACUUAAACUUGCAUAAUAUCCAUUCUUUGUACUCUAUGAUCAAGUGAAUGCUUUGACAACUCUUAUUAUAGGUUGAGUUUCACAUCUUUAUUGAUCCAUGGAUGUCCAUCAUGCCACUCAUAUCAUUUUUUGGAGUGAUAUGCAUGAUCUCUUUUAUGUAUAUUAUUAUAGUUUACUUAGUUUUUAUCUCCUCCAUUGCUAAGGGACUAGCAAUGAGUCGGUUGGGGGGUGUGAUUACUACCAAAAAGUGCUAUUUUGUAGAUCUAAUUAUAAUGGUUUUAAGCACCUUUGAGUAGUAAUCAUAUUCAUUUAACCCAAUCAAUUCAUUAAGGUCCUUAGUAAUUGGUUUUAACCAUUUUGUGGCAAGUUUACAUGUUUUUAUCAGCUUAUGAAUCGAUUCAAGCAUGCCAAAUGAUGGAGGAGCUACUUGGACAAGUUAAAGCAAGGAUUUUGGAAGUUUACAGGCUUGAAUUUUAAGUGGAAACACGAGCACAAGUAAUGGAGAAGAGGAAAACAGAGUGAAGAAAACAGAGGACAGCAUCUGCAGUUUUAUUUUGCACUUUUGGAGCACUUCCCGAAGUCCAUUUUCUACAUUCUUUAUACCAUUUCAAAUCUCAGGAAGUCAAGAAUCCAAUGCUUCAAACGGUGUGCGAUUCGGAGUUGAAACGAAGGAGUUACAGCCAUUGCAAGCAGAUCACUCCAAGCUGUUUUUGCACGGCUGCGAAAUCAGCCUUUUGUUGCGAGAAUUUCGCAGCCAUUUUGCAUAGUGCACGGGUGUUCUCCUGAAGCUUCCUGAUAGUUGCGACCGACACUUUUAGAUCUUUUCUUCAGAUAUUUUUGUAUAAAUUUCCAUUCUUCUCCUUGUAAGCCACCAACCAUAAGAUUUCUUAAUUAGGAAGGUUGGAAAAACGUCUCUAUAUAUAUUCCCUUGCAUCCACUGUAUAUAAAAAAUAUGUAAUAUCGAUCAAUAUAUAAUAUAUCUACAGAGCACUUGCUCUGUUUUUCAUUCAUAUUCUUGUUUUCAUUUUCAUUUUCAUUUUCUAGCCAACCAAACUCUAAGGAUUUUUCCUCAGAGGAUGAGAGGCUAAGCUCUUUAUCUCUUGGAGUGAAGAAAGCCGGGUAAGUUUCCACAUGCAUAAAUUGGAAGUUUUGUUGUUUUAGUUUUUAAUGAAGAGAAAGUGUGACCCGUUAAUGGUUUUUAUCUUUUUAGUUAACUUAAAACGCCUUUAAAUCACCUGGGCCAACACUUGGUAAGGCAAGUGAUUUCCGUCCAUGGAGAUUCACUAGUUUACCCCUUGCGAGCCUUUGGGAGGUGACUUGAAGGUAGGAUUUUCUAGAAUAGCCAACACUUGGUAAGCUUUUGAACUCCAAGGAGACAUCCAUUAGUUAUCUCUUGCGAGCUUUUGACGGGUAAUCCAAGGUUAAAGAUCACCUUGAAUGGCAAGUGCUAGGUGAGAGGUAUGAGCCAUUGCAUGGUGCAUCAGUGAGAGGGAUUUAGUGUUUGAACCCAUUAAUGGGAAGCAUCUGUACAACACCGGUUGGAGAAGGAACUAUAUGUUAAUUCUCUAAUGCGAGGAAAAGAAACAAGUGACCGGAACUCUCCAUUUUUGUAUGAGGAAUCUGAGCCUAGUGAUCUGAAACUCCAAGAAACAUCUUUUCUUUGUAAGUAAAAUCAGUUACUAUUUUUGGUUAGUUUAAAACCGAACUUUUUCCAUUUAAACAAGUUUAUGUUUUCUUUUAAAGCUAACCUUGAAAUGAAAAGGCACCAAUUCAACUUUGAAUUAAUAUCAUUUGUGAAGUGAAAACUCAUCCUAGUGAACGAUCCUAGAGCCACUAUGCUAUAGUAGCUUUGUCUUUGCUACCCUAGUAUAUGGUGUAAUAGGUUAAAAAUUUUGUUGAUUACUCCCUCAUUCAAGGAGCACCAGCUGGACACAAAUCAGCUGAGACACCAAUUGGGCACGAAUCAUAUGCUCAACCUAUUUAUUGACAAACUACCAAGGGCUAGUGCUAAGGUAAACACCCAGCACUUGCAUCAUACUCUCUCUUCUCUGCCCUCUUUAGUUGUUUUCCAAAGUUCAUAUAUAAUGUCUUUAUCAUUCAAGUUUUCAUUUUCAACCACUUUUUAAACUUUUGUCUUUUUAUGGUUUUUACACGACAAUCCAUUUCUAAGAAAUUAUUGUACUAUAUUUAUAAAUCUUAUCUUUUUGUUCUUAUAGACAAUAGAACAACGUGGUAAUUGCAUGACAUACAAUUUGUAAUAGAUGGUCAACUAUAUAUUAAGUAAUCUUUAAUUGCCUUGGAGUUGAAACGUUUGAUGUUGAUAAGGUUUGAUAAUUCUCGCUUUGGUGCUUUGUUGGAUUUCAAUUCAGGUGAUUAAUUGAUCUUGUUAUAAUUCUUUGAUUGUUAUUAUAACUAUCGUGAUAAUCAUUCUUAUUUUAUUGUGGUAAUUGACUUCACUAACUUUUUAACAAUUAUAUCAUGAGUGAAAUGCCCAACCUAUUAUUGUUAGUAUUCCAUUAACAUACCUCUAAUGCCACCACUAAUAAACAUCAUGUAUUUAUAUUUAUAACACGUUUCAUUACUGAAAUAAUUUAAUAUUUUCAAAUUUCUUUUUAGAGUGUGAGAAAUAACCAUUAAUCUUUACAACAACAUAAGUAUCAUUGAUUUGAUAUUGCUUUCUUGAGUAAUUUGGCAAUUUAAUUAUGAAGUUUAGUUGGACAUUACUUGAGAUUCAUGUCUUAUGUAUAUGGUAUAUUUUCCAAACUUCAAUUAUAUUUAGUAGACUUGUAAGUGGUGUUUGUCUAUGAGUUUCAACUCUUGAAAACUAUUAUUGGAGCCUAAGUUCACUUUCAGUAAGGAAAAAAAAAAAAAACAACCUUUUCCUCAAUUGUGUAAUUUUAUUCACUAUUGACAUGCCCUUAAAUGGCAUUGCUAUUAUUUGUAGGGAACAUUGUCAAGUUCCAUAUUUGUCUAGAAAGUUAGAAGAAGUAUUUAAUUUGACAUGGUUUGGACAUCUUGCUACUAUCUUUUUAAAUUAGUUAUCAAUAAUUUUUCAAAGUUGACCUUUUUGUUUAUCUCAUACUCCUUUUAUAUUAAAAGGUACCGCAUGGGUAUUAUGUAGAGGAAUCAUGCCUUCUUUAAUUGAGGUGAGCCUCUUGCAAAAUAUUUCAGGUUUGCUCUCAUUCCAUUUGUUACUUCAUGUCUAUUUUUUUGUAAUCAAUCAAGCAAGAGUUUCUUACUUGUACAAUGGUAAACUUGCUUGCAUGAAUAAUAAUCUUUUUGCUAUUUUUUUCUUUCUUUAUUAUAUUCAUUGAUACGCUUAGAAGUGAAUAGUGAACCAAGUUUUUUGUUAAAAGAAAUCAAAUAUUGGUAAUUAUUUAGUAUCAUGUUUGUAAUAAUCAAUUAUUGAUUGUAAAGAUACUUGGCUUAAUCAAUUAUUAUAUUGAAAUCAAUUUAGUACUAUGACUAAUACCAAAAGGAUAAUAUUUAGUCUUGUUUGACCAUUAGUCACUAUUCUAGAGACAAAUGCUCACAAGUUUUGCAUCUUUGAAGCAUAUGAGAAAAGUUGGUUCAACUAUAUCACCAACUUACAAGCUCCUUAUAGUGUCCAUAUAUAUAACCUUCGUUGUUCAGGUUUAUGAUUCAUAUCUAAUUUUUUUUUUCAUCUUUUUAUUGUUUAUAAUUUUUUAAUUGAUUUGUUUAUAAAUUUUUAAACUUUAUUGGCAAUACUAAUUUUUUUUUAUUCUCAUGUGCAAUAGAAUAAUAAGUUGAAUAAGAAGCAUAAACUACUUAAUUGGUAUAACCGUUUACUCAAUUCUCUUCUCAGAUAUUUUUGUUCAAGGUAAUCAAAGUAUCAUUCUUUUUAUUUUUAAAGGUACUUGAACUCAGUGAGGACCAUUCCCAAAACACGCAAUCACUACAGUUGGAUUACUGAUAUCAUAUCCUUGAUUGACAUCUAUGCCAUUACAUUUGCAUCUAAAGGAUUUAUGAGGAAAAAAAUAUCUUCUUUAUUUCCAUUUUCCUUCCUUCUUUUGACCAUAAUUUGUGUGCUUAUUGGUAGCAUUCAUACCCUAAUAUAUUUGCUAGCAUAUAUAUGCAUAUCAUAAUCUAUUGAAUUUUUUAGCAUAAGGUCUUAGAGUAUUCACAUAUCUCUAGGUUCUAUAUAUUUAUAAUUUUUACAACAUCAAAUGAAGUAUAUGAACCUUAACCUGAAGGUGAAGUCUCUUUAAAGGGAGUUUCAACAUGUUAGCAAUUACCUAACUUAAUAAUCUAACAAUUUGGAACUCUAUAUAAUUUUGCAACUCUUUCAUAAAGUAAUUGUGUUACCUUUAUUCACAUUUUCUAUCUUUAUUUUUAAAAAAAUGAAUUGGUAAUUGUGUGUCAAAUCUUGCUUACAAUCAUUAAUAGGUACUUAUAUGCUAAAUGGAUAAAGUUAUUUUACAAUUGUUUCAAAAUAUUUGGAAUAUAUAUAUAUAUAUAUAUAUAUAUAUAUAUAUAUAUAUAUAUAUUUAUAGAUGUAAUCACUACCAAGCCAAUGCGAAAAGCUAUAACAAUGAGGAUUACAAAGCUUCAAUUAUGUCUUGGAGACUCAUAUUGACAAGUUGUAAAUGGUGGGUGAAGUCUCUUUAAAAGGAGCUUCAACAUGUUAGCAGUUACCAAACUUAAGAAUCUAACAACUUGGCACUAUAUAUCAUUUUGCAACUCUUUCAUAAAGUAAUUGUGUAACCUCUAUUCACAUUUUCUAUCUUUAUUUAAAAAAAAAAAAAUGAAUUGGUAAUUGUGUGUCGAAUCUUGCUUACAAUCAUUAAUAGGUACUUAUAUGCUAAAUGGAUAAAGUUAUUUUACAAUUGUUUCAACAUAUUUGACACACAAGUACCUAUUAAUAAGUAUAUAUUUAUAGAUGUAAUCAUACCUAGCCAAUGCGAAAAGCUAUAACAAUGAGGAUUACAACGCUUCAAUUAUGUCUUAGAGAUUCAUAUUGACAAGUUGUAAAUGGUGGGUGAAGUCUCUUUAAAAGGAGCUUCAACAUGUUAGCAGUUACCAAACUUAAGAAUCUAAUAGCUUGGCACUAUAUAUCAUUUUCCAACUCUUUCAUAAAGUAAUUGUGUAACCUCUAUUCACAUGCUCUAUCUUUAAUUUUUUUUUUAUAAAAAAAAUUUAAUUGGUAAUUGUGUGUUGAAUCAUUCUUACAAUAUUUAAUAGGUACUUAUACACUAAAUUGAUAAAGUUAUUUUACAAUUGUUUCAACAUGUUCUGAAAACAAAAAAGAUUAAUAAGUAUAUUUUUUCUAGAUGUAAUCACUACCAAGCCAAUGUGAAAAGCUAUAACAAUGAGGCUUACAAAACUUCAAUUAUGUUUUGGAGAUUCAUAUUGAAAGUUGUAGAUUAUGGAUGUAUAGUAUAGGAGUUAGAUUGAGUUUAUCAUUCUAUCUUUGACAUCUUAGUUUUCUAUUUAUUGUCCCUCAUAUAUAUUUGUCAUCUAUUCUUUACAACCAAUUUUUUAAGGACUUCUAUAUUUGUUUAAAUUUAUAUAUAUAUUUUUAUUUGUACUAGAACUUCACCAAGCUACAAAAGCAUCACAAGUUUUGCAAUUGGAGUUCAUGGAUCGGGUAUUUUAGUAGUUUUUGAACUUGAAAUUUUUUAAUGAUACUAAUGAGGAUGUUUACCUUGAUUAAUUUAACACUUAUAUUGCAAAUAUCUAUAUAGGAGUUCUAUACAUUUAUUUAAACAUUUAUAGACAUAUUUAUCCUCUUUCUAGCACAUUCUAAUGAUAUUUUUAACAUUGAUAUAAAUUGUUUGCUUGAAGGUUUCAACUAUUGAAAAUUAUUAUUCAAGCCUAAUGUUAAUCUUUUUCUAUAGUGGAUUUCAAAUAAUAAAUUAUUAUUUGAUUAUUUGUAGGGAAAAUAAACAACUUCUAUGUUUGAUAAGAAAGAAGAUAGAGUAGAUCAAUUUCACAAUAUACGAAUGCUACGCUUUCUAUACUUUUAAAGAUGGUUACAAUUGGCUUUCUAUACUUAACAAGUACAUCUUAGCUAAAAGUGAAAAAAUGUUUCUCUUUGCACAUGCCUUCACUACUAUUUUAAUUGCUAUCUUAAUAUGUUAUGGAAAAACCACGCAAAUAACAAUAAUAAGGAGAAGAAAUAAAAGAACAAAAAUAGAAAACUUAUAAAGUAGGACGAUUUAUGUGGUGUGGCCUAAAACCUACAUUUAUCUGUGAAAAUGAAGAUGAGCUUCCACUAUUAUUAAAGAAGAUUACAAUCCUAAAGCUCUCAAAUCUCAUGAUUACACUAAAAAUGGACUUUUUUUUUUAAAUCAAAAUCUCUUCCUUUAUUUUCUUGAUUAUAUAAGAAUAUUCCAUAGAGAAUUAAUUGUGUAAUUAUCAAAGAUAACUAUUCCUAAAAGAAAAAUCUUAUAAUAUGAUAUUUCCUUUAGAAUAAAAGAAAAAUAUCUUAUAUAAAUAUAUCAUAAUAGGAAAAUAUUAAAGACUUAUAAAUUGACUCAAAACAAUUUGAAAUAUUUUUCAACAAUCUCCACAUUGGCUCAAAUUCUCAAUAUUCAAAUAAACUCAAAAGUCUUCUAUGUUACUUUGCUCUUAUACACCCUUAAGGGAACUUCAAGUAAUAUCAAUACCAAUUAAGUCUAAGCAAUGCAUAAACUUAAUCAUAGAAAUAAGUUUAGCCAUCAUAUCUAUAAAAUUAUCAACUAUAGGGAUCUUUUUCAUUACAUUAGUACCUUGUUCAAUCACAUCUCUAAUAAAAUGCAUUCUAACAUCAAUAUGUUUGGUUCUCUCAUGUAACAUAUGAUUUUUAGUCAAAAGUAUGACACUUGGCUACCAUGAUAACAAUAAUCAAUGAUUGGAACCAAAUAAUUACAUUUUGUGUGCCUAAAAUUAGGCAUUCAUAUUUAAUAUCCAAUUCUAGUUUCAUCCCUUUACUCAAUUUUAUUCCUAAGUCCUUAAUUUUGGGUUUAAUGUAUUUUUUAAAUAUUUUNNNNNNNNNNNNNNNNNNNNNNNNNNNNNNNNNNNNNNNNNNNNNNNNNNNNNNNNNNNNNNNNNNNNNNNNNNNNNNNNNNNNNNNNNNNNNNNNNNNNNNNNNNNNNNNNNNNNNNNNNNNNNNNNNNNNNNNNNNNNNNNNNNNNNNNNNNNNNNNNNNNNNNNNNNNNNNNNNNNNNNNNNNNNNNNNNNNNNNNNNNNNNNNNNNNNNNNNNNNNNNNNNNNNNNNNNNNNNNNNNNNNNNNNNNNNNNNNNNNNNNNNNNNNNNNNNNNNNNNNNNNNNNNNNNNNNNNNNNNNNNNNNNNNNNNNNNNNNNNNNNNNNNNNNNNNNNNNNNNNNNNNNNNNNNNNNNNNNNNNNNNNNNNNNNNNNNNNNNNNNNNNNNNNNNNNNNNNNNNNNNNNNNNNNNNNNNNNNNNNNNNNNNNNNNNNNNNNNNNNNNNNNNNNNNNNNNNNNNNNNNNNNNNNNNNNNNNNNNNNNNNNNNNNNNNNNNNNNNNNNNNNNNNNNNNNNNNNNNNNNNNNNNNNNNNNNNNNNNNNNNNNNNNNNNNNNNNNNNNNNNNNNNNNNNNNNNNNNNNNNNNNNNNNNNNNNNNNNNNNNNNNNNNNNNNNNNNNNNNNNNNNNNNNNNNNNNNNNNNNNNNNNNNNNNNNNNNNNNNNNNNNNNNNNNNNNNNNNNNNNNNNNNNNNNNNNNNNNNNNNNNNNNNNNNNNNNNNNNNNNNNNNNNNNNNNNNNNNNNNNNNNNNNNNNNNNNNNNNNNNNNNNNNNNNNNNNNNNNNNNNNNNNNNNNNNNNNNNNNNNNNNNNNNNNNNNNNNNNNNNNNNNNNNNNNNNNNNNNNNNNNNNNNNNNNNNNNNNNNNNNNNNNNNNNNNNNNNNNNNNNNNNNNNNNNNNNNNNNNNNNNNNNNNNNNNNNNNNNNNNNNNNNNNNNNNNNNNNNNNNNNNNNNNNNNNNNNNNNNNNNNNNNNNNNNNNNNNNNNNNNNNNNNNNNNNNNNNNNNNNNNNNNNNNNNNNNNNNNNNNNNNNNNNNNNNNNNNNNNNNNNNNNNNNNNNNNNNNNNNNNNNNNNNNNNNNNNNNNNNNNNNNNNNNNNNNNNNNNNNNNNNNNNNNNNNNNNNNNNNNNNNNNNNNNNNNNNNNNNNNNNNNNNNNNNNNNNNNNNNNNNNNNNNNNNNNNNNNNNNNNNNNNNNNNNNNNNNNNNNNNNNNNNNNNNNNNNNNNNNNNNNNNNNNNNNNNNNNNNNNNNNNNNNNNNNNNNNNNNNNNNNNNNNNNNNNNNNNNNNNNNNNNNNNNNNNNNNNNNNNNNNNNNNNNNNNNNNNNNNNNNNNNNNNNNNNNNNNNNNNNNNNNNNNNNNNNNNNNNNNNNNNNNNNNNNNNNNNNNNNNNNNNNNNNNNNNNNNNNNNNNNNNNNNNNNNNNNNNNNNNNNNNNNNNNNNNNNNNNNNNNNNNNNNNNNNNNNNNNNNNNNNNNNNNNNNNNNNNNNNNNNNNNNNNNNNNNNNNNNNNNNNNNNNNNNNNNNNNNNNNNNNNNNNNNNNNNNNNNNNNNNNNNNNNNNNNNNNNNNNNNNNNNNNNNNNNNNNNNNNNNNNNNNNNNNNNNNNNNNNNNNNNNNNNNNNNNNNNNNNNNNNNNNNNNNNNNNNNNNNNNNNNNNNNNNNNNNNNNNNNNNNNNNNNNNNNNNNNNNNNNNNNNNNNNNNNNNNNNNNNNNNNNNNNNNNNNNNNNNNNNNNNNNNNNNNNNNNNNNNNNNNNNNNNNNNNNNNNNNNNNNNNNNNNNNNNNNNNNNNNNNNNNNNNNNNNNNNNNNNNNNNNNNNNNNNNNNNNNNNNNNNNNNNNNNNNNNNNNNNNNNNNNNNNNNNNNNNNNNNNNNNNNNNNNNNNNNNNNNNNNNNNNNNNNNNNNNNNNNNNNNNNNNNNNNNNNNNNNNNNNNNNNNNNNNNNNNNNNNNNNNNNNNNNNNNNNNNNNNNNNNNNNNNNNNNNNNNNNNNNNNNNNNNNNNNNNNNNNNNNNNNNNNNNNNNNNNNNNNNNNNNNNNNNNNNNNNNNNNNNNNNNNNNNNNNNNNNNNNNNNNNNNNNNNNNNNNNNNNNNNNNNNNNNNNNNNNNNNNNNNNNNNNNNNNNNNNNNNNNNNNNNNNNNNNNNNNNNNNNNNNNNNNNNNNNNNNNNNNNNNNNNNNNNNNNNNNNNNNNNNNNNNNNNNNNNNNNNNNNNNNNNNNNNNNNNNNNNNNNNNNNNNNNNNNNNNNNNNNNNNNNNNNNNNNNNNNNNNNNNNNNNNNNNNNNNNNNNNNNNNNNNNNNNNNNNNNNNNNNNNNNNNNNNNNNNNNNNNNNNNNNNNNNNNNNNNNNNNNNNNNNNNNNNNNNNNNNNNNNNNNNNNNNNNNNNNNNNNNNNNNNNNNNNNNNNNNNNNNNNNNNNNNNNNNNNNNNNNNNNNNNNNNNNNNNNNNNNNNNNNNNNNNNNNNNNNNNNNNNNNNNNNNNNNNNNNNNNNNNNNNNNNNNNNNNNNNNNNNNNNNNNNNNNNNNNNNNNNNNNNNNNNNNNNNNNNNNNNNNNNNNNNNNNNNNNNNNNNNNNNNNNNNNNNNNNNNNNNNNNNNNNNNNNNNNNNNNNNNNUCAAGCAAGUACCCACAUAUGCAAAGUUUUUGAAGGACUUGUGCACUGUGAAAAGAUGACUCAAUGUUACAAAGCAAGCCUUCCUAUCCGAGCAAGUGAGUGCUAUAAUCCAAUGCAAGUCUCCAAUCAAAUACAAAGAUCCGGGGUGUCCUACAAUCUCAGUCAAUAUUGGAGGAACCCAAGUGGAGAAGGCAUUGCUUGAUUUGGGGGCAAGUGUUAACUUACUUCCAUACUCUGUAUACAAGGAGCUGGGGUUGGGAGAACUCAAGCCAACAUCGAUCACCCUAUCCUUAGUUGACCGAUCAGUGAAAAUCCCCAAGGGGGUAAUAGAGGAUGUAUUGGUUUAAGUUGACAAAUUCUACUAUCCAGUAGAUUUUAUGGUGCUUGAUACGGAUCCCAUUGUCAAAGGGAUCAACUAUGUUCCAAUCAUCCUUGGAAGACCAUUCCUUGCAACAUCCAAUGCAAUAAUCAAUUGUAGGAAUGGGGUCAUGCAACUCACUUUUGGGAAUAUGACAUUGGAACUCAACAUCUUCCAUCUAUGUCAAAAGCACAUCCAUCCUGAAGAAGAUGAGGGCCCAGAAGAAGUGUGUAUGAUAGAUACCCUGGUGGAGGAGCAUUGUAAUCAGAGUAUGCUUGAUCAGUUUGAAGAGAAUCCAAAUGAAAGACAUGAAGAUCUUGAUGAUGGGUUAGCUGAACCCAUGGGAAUGAAUGCCGUUAUGUCAAACUGGAGACAAAAGCCAGUGAUCCUCCCUUUGUUCAAGGAUGAGGAAGAGAUGAAAGAAGCUAAGGAUGCAAUCCUUAAGCUUGAAUUGAAGACCCUUCCUGCCGAGUUGAAGUAUGCUUACUUGGAGGAAGGCAAUAAAGCCCCGGUGGUAAUUUCUUCUUCUUUAACCAUUUCACAAGAGGACAAUCUUCUAAGAAUCCUUAGAAAGCACAAGAAGGCCAUCGGAUGGCAAAUUUCUGAUUUGAAGGGGAUAAGCCCAUUGAUUUGCACGCACCAUAUUUAUAUGGAAGAGGGAGCUAAGCCAACUCGUCAGCCACAGAGGAGAUUGAAUCCUCAUAUGCAAGAGGUAGUAAGGGCUGAAGUGUUGAAGCUUCUUCAAGCGGGCAUCAUUUACCCCAUUUCAGAUAGCACUUGGGUGAGUCCAACCCAAGUUGUUCCAAAGAAGUCUGUGAUAACCAUAGUCAAGGGGAAAAAUGGAGAUGAAGUGUCCACACGCCUCACAACUGGUUGGAGGGUGUGCAUUGACUACAGGAAGCUGAACAUAGUAACGAGAAAGGAUCACUUCCCUUUACCUUUCAUGGAUCAAGUCCUUGAGAGAGUAUCUGGGCAUCCUUUUUAUUGCUUCUUGGAUGGGUAUUCCGGGUAUUUUCAAAUAGAGAUUGAUGUGGAGGACCAGGAGAAGACUACCUUCACUUGUCCAUUCGGCACCUAUGCUUAUAGGCGGAUGCCUUUUGGAUUAUGCAACGCUCCUGCUACCUUCCAAAGAUGCAUGCUUAGCAUCUUCAGUGACAUGGUUGAACGAAUCAUGGAAGUCUUCAUGGAUGACAUCACUGUGUAUGGGACUUCUUUUGAGGAUUGUUUGUCACAUCUUGAAGAUGUUUUGAAAAGAUGCAUAGAGAAAGACCUCGUACUCAAUUAGGAGAAGUGCCAUUUUAUGGUAAAUCAAGGUAUUGUUCUUGGGCACGUAAUCUCAAAGAAGGGUAUAGAGGUAGAUAGAGCUAAGGUGGAACUAAUUGUGAAGUUGCCACCUCCCACCAAUGUAAAAGGAAUAAGGCAAUUCCUUGGGCAUGCCGGGUUCUAUAGGAGGUUUAUAAAGGAUUUUUCCAAGAUUGCCAAACCUCUUUGUGAAUUAUUGGUGAAGGAUGCCAAGUUUGAGUGGGAUGAUAAAUGUCAAAGGAGUUUUGAGCUUCUUAAGCAAUUCUUGACAUCAGCGCCCAUUGUGAGAGCACCAAAUUGGGAGUUGCCAUUUGAAGUGAUGUGUGACUCAAGUGAUUAUGCCAUUGGGGCUGUUUUGGGACAAAGAGAAGAUGGUAAACCUUAUGUGAUCUACUAUGCAAGCAAGUCUUUGAACGAUGCUCAAAGGAAUUACACCACCACUGAGAAGGAAUUACUUGCUGUGGUGUAUGCUUUGGAUAAGUUCAGAGCUUAUUUGAUAGGGUCUUCCAUUGUGGUAUUCACGGAUCAUUCAGCUUUAAAGUAUUUGCUAACCAAGCAAGAUGCCAAGGCUAGGUUGAUUAGGUGGAUACUUUUGCUUCAAGAGUUCAACCUUCAGAUCAGAGAUAAGAAAGGUGUUGAGAAUGUGGUAGCUGACCACUUGUCAAGGCUCAACAUCGCUCAUGACACCCAUGGACUUCCCAUAAAUGAUGAUUUCCCUGAGGAAUCCUUGAUGCUUGUGGAGGAAGUGCCAUGGUUUGCACACAUUGGCAAUUACUUGGUCACGGGAGAAAUACCAAGUGAAUGGAGCUCUCAGGACAAGAAGAAUUUCUUUGCCAAGGUCCAUGCAUAUUAUUGGGAGGAGCCUUUUCUCUUCAAGUAUUGUGCGGACCAAAUUAUAAGGAAGUGUAUGCCUGAACAAGAGAAGCAUGGGAUCCUAUCUCAUUGCCAUGGGAAUGCAUGUGGAGGCCACUUUGCCUCUCAAAAGACGGCAAUGAGAGUUCUUCAAUCGGGCUUUUGGUGGCCCUCACUUUUUAAGGAUGCCCAUGAGGUAAGUAAGGGAUGUGAUAAGUGCCAAAGACUAGGCAAGCUUUCAAGGAGAAACAUGAUGCCUUUGAACCCCAUCUUGAUAGUGGAUCUUUUUUAUGUUUGGGGCAUAGACUUCAUGAGACCUUUCCCUAUGUUUUUUGGCCACUCCUACAUCUUGGUAGGAGUUGAUUAUGUUUCAAAGUGGGUUGAAGCUAUACCCUGUAGAACCAAUGAUCACAAAGUGGUUCUCAAGUUCCUAAAAGAAAACAUCUUCUCGAGGUUUGGAGUGCCUAAAGCAAUCAUCAGUGAUGGAGGCACUCACUUUUUCAACAAGCCCUUUGAAGCUCUUUUGGCCAAGUACGGAAUUAAGCAUAAGGUAGCUAGCUACACCUUAUCAUCCUCAGACGAGUGGCCAAGUAGAGUUAGCCAACCGGGAAAUUAAGAACAUCUUGAUGAAGGUGGUGAACACCAAUAGGAAAGAUUGGUCUGUUAAGCUCCUUGAUUCCCUAUGGGGGUAUAGGACGGCUUAUAAGACAAUCCUUGGGAUGUCACCGUACCAUCUUGUUUAUGGCAAAGCUUGCCAUCUUCCCGUUGAGAUUGAGUUCAAGGCAUGGUGGGCCAUUAAAAAGCUCAACAUGGAUUUAACUAAGGUUGGGCUAAAGAGGAGUUUGGAUUUGAAUGAGCUUGAGGAAUUGAGAAAUGAUGCCUAUUUCAACUCAAAAAUAGCUAAGGAAAAGCUAAAGAGAUGGCAUGAUCAGUUGGUGACCAAGAAAGAAUUUUUCAAGGGACAAAGAGUCUUGCUAUAUGACUUUAAGCUUCACCUAUUUCCGGGAAAGCUCAAAUCAAGGUGGGUAGGGCCUUUUUUCAUCCACCAAGUACACUCACAUGGAGUAAUUGAGUUACUCAACUCAAAAAGUGCAAAGAUCUUCAAGGUAAAUGGGCAAAGACUCAAGCCCUACAUCGAGCCAUUUUCCCGUGACAAGGAGGUACUCAUCCUCCAUGACCCAUCACAUCCUUGAGAAAGUGUGGUAAGUUGAUGAGCUUAGCAUGAAAAGCUAAGUGCUCAUCUCUUUUUGUUUUAAUUUUAGUAUUACAUUCUUGUUUACUUUGCAUUUUUAAUACUUUUGCACAUAUUUUGUUUAGGUUUCUUAGUUUUGAUUUUGAUUUUUUAUGUUUUUAAUGGAGCUUUGAUGUCCAAUAGCAGGUACGAAAGCUCACAAGCUCACAAAUGUGGAGAGAAAGGUGAAAUAGGGGAGAAAUAUAUCUAAGUCCAAGCUUAAAAGCCCAUUUCGCAACUCAAAAAGUGAGUUGCGAAAAUUUGGCAAGGUGAAUUUCACCUUACGAAAUGCACAUUUUGGCAAGAUGCAAUUUACAACCUCUCGGGAUUGCACUUUUGCAAGGAGUAACCAGUGCGAAAAUUUUCGCAAGUCAUUUUUCACCUUGCAAAAUUGUUUUCAAAGCAAAUAUCAAAAUGCAACCUCUCGGGAUUGGUUUUUAAGGGGAGUAGCUAGUGCGAAAAUUUGGCAAGGUGAAUUUUCACCUUGCGAAAUUUUUUCUUCAUGCUUACCAAAGAUUUGAUUCUUUUUAAAUUCAUUUUCAAACUUCAAUUUUAUAGUUUUAACACUCCUCAGUUCAUCCCCGUACUUAGACAAAUUUUCAAAAAAAAAUUUCAUGGCCAAAAACCCUUUUUAAAGCCUUCUCAACUUCAUUUUUCAUGCAUAAAACGCUAUUCCCCUUGCAUUUCCUCUCUAGGCCGCGUGCUUCAUUGUUCCAAGGUGAGUAAUUUUUCAUUUUUCUCCAUUUUUGGCUCUUUAAAUUGCUUGUUUAUAUCAUUUCUAUGUUUUAGGAACCAUAAACAUGCAUUUUCAUCCAUUAAAACCAUUUCAAAAAUCCAUUUUUUCAAAUCAAAGACCCACAUGGCCGGCCACCAUUUUUGCAAAAAUCUCUAUCUUGCAAUGUGUUUUAGGCUCCCAAACUUACUCCAUUGCAUUUAGAAUCAUGUUUCCAUUAAAACCAUACCCUUUUUCUGAAUUUUAAACCGUUAAAAAUGAAAACUCAAAUUCAAAGUAAGCAUUGGAGAAGAAGAUGAAUAGUGCCUGUGAAUAGUGCUGCGUGAAUAGUGCCCGUUGCCAAAUUUAGCAACCACUAUUCAUGCCUUGCAAAUUUUGCACUGGUUACCAUUUCAACUGUAUUUUUGACACUUUACCCCUAGGAUGCUCUAUUUUUCGUGCUUUUCAGUCUUAUUUCAGUAUUUAUACCAUGGCACGGACAUGGGGGGCAUCCUCUUCAGCUAGUCAACGUGGGGCCCACUCACAGAGAGGUGGUCAUUCUACACCAUCUCAGCCUGCCCAAACCCUAGUUCCCUCUACUCAGCAUGGGUACGGGACCAGACGAUCAUCUGGGUCUUCCAGGGCACUAGUGCCACCCCCUAUGAGCAGUCCUCCACCUAAGAGGACUAGGAUUUCAAGACCAGGCGAGUCCUCCAGAGCCCCUCCAUCACCUCCAACAUCUACUAUCCCAGGCUCUUCACACCUAGCAAAGGUCCUCAAGCGGCCUAUGAUAGUAGGGCCACCCCUCCCAGGCAACACGGAGAUUAGAGAUAGGUCAUUUCACGAUGAGAUCUGUAUGGAGCAUAAGACUCUCCGCCUAUUACCAGAGCUAGAGGAGUCAUACCGCCUUCUGCAGAGGUACCACAUCGAGCCAUUUAUGACUCCUAGGUCCUUCUAUUACCCUAGGGUAGUCUUAGAUUUCUACCAGACUAUGACUACUAGAGGCGUCCAGGACCCCAUAGCCAUUCAUUUUUUGAUUGAUGGCCAGCAUGGUAUUUUAGAGGCCCGAGAUAUAGCCGCCACUAUGCAUUUUCCGCCUAUCCCUGAGGACCUUGGUUCCUUCCGGCAUUGGUCUCAGUAUUCAGAGCCCGACAUGGUGUCUACCUUAUUAGGAGGUAGAGUCACUGGUAGGACCAUUUUGAGGAGGGAGCUUCCUCCACGGAUGUUACUUAUCGAUUUGGUGCUCCGCACCAAUCUUUUUCCACUCCAGCAUGUCGUCCAGAGGAGAGGUGCUAUCCUAGAUGCGCUUUACCGCAUCUUUGAGGGAUUCUACUUUGGACCCCACCAUCUAGUUAUGGCUGCUCUUACCUAUUUUGAGGAGAAGGUGCAUAGGAAGCGCCUACGCAGAGCUGGUACUAUUCCACUCUUAUUUCCGAGGCUGAUCUCUCAGGUCUUAGAGGAUAUGGGAUACCCUUCUCAGCCCCACCUAGAGCGUCGUCAUCAUUGUCGAGAGCUCUUUACCAGUGAGAGUUGGACCCAUUUCUUAGACCGCUCACCCAUGGACCAGGGUAUCCCUAGACCAUUAGCUCCCGCGCCUCCAGCUUCUCCAGCGCCUCCCGAUUCUCCAGCAACCUCAGCACCUACAGUACAAACAUCACCAGAGCAAGACCCACAUACCACAGAGCCUUCUUCUUCAGUACCUGCUCCAGUGACUUGUACUACUGAUACUCCCACACCACCAGUCACUCCUGCUCCAGCCUAUGCUGAGUCUUCAGCCGGGCAAUCCAUCACUGUCCCCCACUACAGAGUUCAGAGCUCUCAUGUCGUCCUUUCACUCAUUGAGCGCCUCUCAGGCCACCUUAGUCUGUGAGAUGCAGGCCAUCAGACGACAGAUGGAUACCAUACAGACACAUCAAGCUCAGCAUACAACUAUUCAGGCUCAGCAUACAGCUAUCCUGGACCAGCACUUUGCCAUGCUCUCUCAGAUCCACCAUCACCUGGGCAUAUCACCUCCUCCACCUCAGGAGCCACAUCCAUGAUUGGAUAUUUCUAUCUCCAUUUUGUAUAUGUUUUUUGUAUAUGAUACAUGUUUUAUAUUCUGAGGUUGUAUGUACCUCAUGCUUAUAUCUUGUACUCAACUCUCUCAGUUUAUAUAAGCAUCAUUUUUUGUAUCUUAUUUCCUCUCUCACGUUUCUUAUGGUUUUUGAAUCAUGUGGAUGCACUCACACGCCUUGAAUACCACAUCACCAUAAGGUAUAUCAUUCCUUCCUCGUCUUUUUCGAUAGAAACAUUGGGGACAAUGUUCAUCUCGGUUGGGGGGAGAGUUGAGGAAGUAAGUAUUUCCUAUUUUAGUUAGUUAUUUUGUUGAUUUAGUAGUUUUUGACCUUUUUCAAAUUUUUUUGUUUCAUUCUCUAUGGUUGUUAAAGAUAAUUUCUCAAAAUAAAAUAGGAUAAGUCGAGUUUUAACUUAAUUACUUAAGUCUUAGAGUUUGUUUUAUGCUUUCAAAGUUGAUAAUCUAUUGAAGCCCUCUUUGAUUUCGAACUUAUUUCUUUCAUUUCAAGCUUUACACACACCGUGCACAUUAGAUCCCGGAUAUAUGAUGUAAAACUUUCUCACCCUCUAAGCUUAGGAAAAUUUUGACUUGGUUCAUUACUUAACCUCUUUUUAAUAGUGUUGGGACACCUCAAAAAUACCAAUGAGUUUUAAAAAAAAAAAAAAAAAAAAAAAAAAAAAAAAAAAAAAAAAAAAAAAAAGAAUAAGCUUCUAUUCUUUCCUUGAAACCUAAGCAUGAUCCGAAGGGGUGGCGAAAGCCUUUAAAACCCGAUGCCCUAAACCUUGAUUGGUUGGGAGUCAUUGAUCCUCUGCUUGCUACAUAGGUGAAUUGGUUAAGUUUAGUGAGUAAAAAGAAUUGUGAAUAAGAAGGUGCAUUCCUAACCUAUUAAGAGUUGGUUAAUUUUGCCAAAGUUCGAAAAAAGCUUAGGUUGGGGGGAGAGGAUAGUUGUACAUACUAUAUCCGAAAGCUAAUCUCAUUAAUACUUAGCUCAUUAUGGAAGAGUUUGAUCCGGAACCUUGAGAGUAGAGAUUCUUUUGAUACUUAAUUGCAUAAUCUCCACUCUUUGUACUUUUUGUUUAAGUUUUAGCUUUGACAACUCCUAUUGCAUUUUGAAUCUUCAUAUCUUUANNNNNNNNNNNNNNNNNNNNNNNNNNNNNNNNNNNNNNNNNNNNNNNNNNNNNNNNNNNNNNNNNNNNNNNNNNNNNNNNNNNNNNNNNNNNNNNNNNNNACUAUUUCAAUUGGUUGGUAAAGUUGAGAAAAGCUUCCACCAACCUCGCCAUUAAGUUGUGCUCCUUGCUCCAAUUUCUAAUUUUGCUUCCUACCCUCUUCUGGAGUUAGUGUGGAAAUGACUUUAUACAAGGGAGACGAAGGUUGGUUUUAAGUAAGGUAGCUUAUUUGUAAACUUGUAUUUUCUUUAUUCAGGCGGUAGUUCUCAUUUCUUAGCCUUGAUUUUCAAUUUUGAUCCUCUUGUCUUGUGAUUACUACCGAAAAGUGCUAUUUUGUAGACCUAAUUAUAAGGGUUUUAAGCACCUUUGAGUAGUAAUCAUAUUCAUUUAACCUAAUUAAUUCAUUAAGCUCCUUAGUAAUUAGUUCUAACCAUUUUUAGUGGCAAGUUUACAUGUUUUUCAUCAGCUUAUGAACCAAUUCAAGCAUGCCAAUUGAUGGAGGAGCUACUUGGGCGAGUUAAGCAAGGAUUUUGGACGUUUACAGGCUUGAAUUUCAAGUGGAAACACGAGCACAAGCAAUGGGAACACCAUUUCGCAAGGGGAGGCAAUUCACUUGCCAAAUGACCAAUUUCGCAAGGGGAUUUUCCUCAUGGUGCGAAAUUUGGCCAUUUCGCACCAUGAAGAAACCACCUUGCGAAAUUUGGACCUUUCAUCUUCCCCUUGCAAAAUGCCUUUGAAAUCCUCUGUUUUGAGACGCUGUUGAUGAUAUUCCACUGCCGGUUCUCCAAGAUAUUUUGCUUGACUUUUAGCUUUGUAAAUACCUAUUUUACCCUUGUAAUCAACCAAUGAAAAGGUUGCUUUUGUAAUAGCUCUUGUAAUUUAGCUUUUUAUUGUCUUUAAAUAGAGGUGAAGAGCCUCAGACACGAUCAUCUUGUAACCUGUAACUUUAUAAGUUAUAAGAGCACUUUUGUUCAUACGCUUCUUUUCUCUUUUCUUUCUCAUUUUCUUAGUAGCCAAACAUCCUUGGAGGAUGAAAUCCCCAAGGAUGAGAGGCUAAAACCUUUUAUUUUCUUGAAGUAAUGGAUGCCAUGUGAAGCUCCCGUGUUAGGAUGGAGAUUUCCAAGCCAUAAAUGUAAGUAGCUAAGCGUCAUAAAUGUUUUUAUUCAAAGUAAAGCUUUUAAUCCCUCUGACUUGCUUUGAAUGGCCAAUACUUGAUAACCUUUUGGUCUCAGUGGAUUUUAUUGUUAGAUCCAUUGACGUUCAUUAAUUAUCUCCUACGAGCCAUUGUAUUGCAAGUCAAGGAGAUGACCUAUACCAAUAAAAGAGCAUUUAUGAGGUUCAGCUACCCUUUUUGCAAGUUUUCAAGGACUAAAACUCAGUUGUUAAACUCGUACCGGUUCGGGAAGUAAGCAUCACCUUAGUUACUUCCCCAACUCGAGGUGAAAAGUCCCAAAAUCUCCAUUUUUACACAGUGAGUUAAGCAUGGCAAUCCAAAGCUUUGAGAAACUUCUUUUUCCAUCUUUUAACCUAUUUUCAUGUUAGUUUAGUUUACAACACCUUCAUCUUUUUAUGUUUUCAUCUUAACCUAAUUUUUAUUAAGAAAAGUUCACUCCAUCCUCCGAACUUCACCAGUUAAAGUAAAAACCCUUCCGAAUGUUCGAUCCUAGAGCCACUAUGCUAUAGUAGCUUUGCUACUUUAGUGUAAGGACCUUAGGUAUAAAUUUUGUUGAUACCCUUACAUGCCAAGCUACCAAGAAUCGGGUUAUCAAAUGGUGUCGUUGUCGGGGAAGGUGCUACUUCACUGUGAAUACAUCAGCCGGAGGUAACUUGUGAGACUUCUCAUGAGUGAGGUGAAUUCUAUCUCAUUUUUCAUUUACUAACUUUUUAUUUUAGUUUUAGAACAUUUUUAACUUAGUUUAGAUAAGUUUCUUUUAGCUUUUAACUUUCAUUUUUAGUUUAUUUUUCAUACUCUGUUUUUCUUUCCGCAUGCUCUGUUUUUUUUCUUUUUCUUUGUUUUGUUUAUUUGUUUUGUUCCAGCUGAAUCCGUGCAUGCCCUAUUGGAUUAGAGACCAAGAGGAAAGGUUAAUGUGGAUAGAGACUCCACGAGCUACUGAAUUAGAGAUUAUUUUGGAAGUCAUGGAGAAUCAUCCAGAGGAUCAGCAUUCACAACACGGGCAGGAGAAUGAUCCGAACUUGUAUAGGUCCAUGAGGGACAGGAUGCACCCUCCGAGGAUGAGUACACCAUCUUGCAUCAUUCCUCCUACAGAGCAAUUGAUUAUCAGGCCACACAUCGUGCCUCUACUUCCUCCUUUCCAUGGGAUGGAAAGUGAAAAUCCAUAUGCGCACAUAAAGGAAUUCGAAGAUGUGUGCAAUACUUUUCAAUAAGGGGGAACAACUAUUGAGCUUAUGAGGUUGAAGCUCUUUCCAUUCACAUUAAAGGACCAAGAUAUGGCUCAAUUCCUUGAGGCCGAGAAGCAUAAGAACAUGGACAAAACUUCAAGCUGAUUUUUUGAAGAAGUUUUUCCCUACUCACAGAACAAAUGGAUUGAAGAGACAAAUCUCCAACUUCUCAGCAAGUGAGAAUGAAAAAUUUUAUGAAUGUUGGGAGAGGUAUAUGGAGGUCAUCAAUGCAUGUCCUCACCAUGGCUUUGAUACAUGGCUUUUGGUGAGCUAUUUUUAUGAUGGCAUGUCAACUACAAUGAAGCAGAUAUUGGAGACAAUGUGUGGGGGUGAUUUCAUGAGCAAGAACCCUGAGGAGGCUAUGGAUUUCCUAAGUUAUGUCUCAGAGGUUUCCCGUGGAUGGGAUGAGCCCAAUAACAGAGAAAUGGGGAAGAGACCAGUUCAGCAAAUGUCAAGAGGGGGGAUGUACAAUCUGAGUGAAGACAUGGAGAUGAAAGCCAAGGUAGCUGCCAUGGCUAGAAAAAUAGAGGAAAUGGAGUUGAGAAAAGUUCACGAAGUCCAAGCUAUUUCAGAACCUCAACAACAAGCCAAUCCUUGCUCCAUCUGUCAGUCAUUUGAACAUAUGGUGGAAGAAUGUCCACCAUUCCAGCAGCAAGAGAAAUGUUCGGGGAACAAGCUAACCUGAUUGGCCAAUGGAAGCCAAAUUCAAAUGCUCCCUAUGGCAACACGUACAACUCUAGCUGGAGGAACCACCCAAACAUUUCAUGGAAGCCAAGGCCAAACCCAUAUCAGUCACCAGCCUAAUCAAGCCAACAGAGUCAAGGUCAAUCCUCAGUUGAGCAAGCACUCAUAAACCUUAGCAAGGUUAUGGGUGACUUUGUGAGUGAGCAAAAAUCCAUCAACUCUCAACUAAAUCAGAAGAUUGACAACGUAGAGAGUACAUUGAACAAGAAGAUAGAUGGGAUGCAUGAUGAGUUGUCUCAAAAAAUUGACAACAUCCAAUAUUCCAUCUCAAGGCUCACAAAUUUGAACACUGUCAAUGAGAAAGGGAAGUUUCCCUUUCAGCCUCACCAAAAUCCUAAGGGAAUACAUGAAGUGGAAUCCAAAGAUGAGGAUUCUUCAAAGGUGAGGGACGUGCAAGCUAUUAUCACUUUGAGAAGUGGAAAGGAAGUGCAUCAGCCGGAGCAUGAUCAGAGGAAAGCCAAAGAAGACAAGGCUGAUAGAAAAGAAGAAAAGAAGAAAGAACAAAAGGGAAAGGAAGUUCAGAUGAAAUAAAGCAUGGAUGAGGAACCUCAAAUUCUUUUAAAGGAAGGCAUGAUGAAGAAGCACAUGCCUCCUCCAUUUCCUCAAGCCUUGCAUGGGAAGAAACCGAUCAAGAAUGCUUCUGAGAUUCUUGAUGUGCUAAGACAAGUGAAGGUGAAUAUUCCUUUACUUGAUAUGAUCAAGCAAGUACCCACAUAUGCAAAGUUUUUGAAGGACUUGUGCACUGUGAAAAGAUGACUCAAUGUUACAAAGCAAGCCUUCCUAUCCGAGCAAGUGAGUGCUAUAAUCCAAUGCAAGUCUCCAAUCAAAUACAAAGAUCCGGGGUGUCCUACAAUCUCAGUCAAUAUUGGAGGAACCCAAGUGGAGAAGGCAUUGCUUGAUUUGGGGGCAAGUGUUAACUUACUUCCAUACUCUGUAUACAAGGAGCUGGGGUUGGGAGAACUCAAGCCAACAUCGAUCACCCUAUCCUUNNNNNNNNNNNNNNNNNNNNNNNNNNNNNNNNNNNNNNNNNNNNNNNNNNNNNNNNNNNNNNNNNNNNNNNNNNNNNNNNNNNNNNNNNNNNNNNNNNNNNNNNNNNNNNNNNNNNNNNNNNNNNNNNNNNNNNNNNNNNNNNNNNNNNNNNNNNNNNNNNNNNNNNNNNNNNNNNNNNNNNNNNNNNNNNNNNNNNNNNNNNNNNNNNNNNNNNNNNNNNNNNNNNNNNNNNNNNNNNNNNNNNNNNNNNNNNNNNNNNNNNNNNNNNNNNNNNNNNNNNNNNNNNNNNNNNNNNNNNNNNNNNNNNNNNNNNNNNNNNNNNNNNNNNNNNNNNNNNNNNNNNNNNNNNNNNNNNNNNNNNNNNNNNNNNNNNNNNNNNNNNNNNNNNNNNNNNNNNNNNNNNNNNNNNNNNNNNNNNNNNNNNNNNNNNNNNNNNNNNNNNNNNNNNNNNNNNNNNNNNNNNNNNNNNNNNNNNNNNNNNNNNNNNNNNNNNNNNNNNNNNNNNNNNNNNNNNNNNNNNNNNNNNNNNNNNNNNNNNNNNNNNNNNNNNNNNNNNNNNNNNNNNNNNNNNNNNNNNNNNNNNNNNNNNNNNNNNNNNNNNNNNNNNNNNNNNNNNNNNNNNNNNNNNNNNNNNNNNNNNNNNNNNNNNNNNNNNNNNNNNNNNNNNNNNNNNNNNNNNNNNNNNNNNNNNNNNNNNNNNNNNNNNNNNNNNNNNNNNNNNNNNNNNNNNNNNNNNNNNNNNNNNNNNNNNNNNNNNNNNNNNNNNNNNNNNNNNNNNNNNNNNNNNNNNNNNNNNNNNNNNNNNNNNNNNNNNNNNNNNNNNNNNNNNNNNNNNNNNNNNNNNNNNNNNNNNNNNNNNNNNNNNNNNNNNNNNNNNNNNNNNNNNNNNNNNNNNNNNNNNNNNNNNNNNNNNNNNNNNNNNNNNNNNNNNNNNNNNNNNNNNNNNNNNNNNNNNNNNNNNNNNNNNNNNNNNNNNNNNNNNNNNNNNNNNNNNNNNNNNNNNNNNNNNNNNNNNNNNNNNNNNNNNNNNNNNNNNNNNNNNNNNNNNNNNNNNNNNNNNNNNNNNNNNNNNNNNNNNNNNNNNNNNNNNNNNNNNNNNNNNNNNNNNNNNNNNNNNNNNNNNNNNNNNNNNNNNNNNNNNNNNNNNNNNNNNNNNNNNNNNNNNNNNNNNNNNNNNNNNNNNNNNNNNNNNNNNNNNNNNNNNNNNNNNNNNNNNNNNNNNNNNNNNNNNNNNNNNNNNNNNNNNNNNNNNNNNNNNNNNNNNNNNNNNNNNNNNNNNNNNNNNNNNNNNNNNNNNNNNNNNNNNNNNNNNNNNNNNNNNNNNNNNNNNNNNNNNNNNNNNNNNNNNNNNNNNNNNNNNNNNNNNNNNNNNNNNNNNNNNNNNNNNNNNNNNNNNNNNNNNNNNNNNNNNNNNNNNNNNNNNNNNNNNNNNNNNNNNNNNNNNNNNNNNNNNNNNNNNNNNNNNNNNNNNNNNNNNNNNNNNNNNNNNNNNNNNNNNNNNNNNNNNNNNNNNNNNNNNNNNNNNNNNNNNNNNNNNNNNNNNNNNNNNNNNNNNNNNNNNNNNNNNNNNNNNNNNNNNNNNNNNNNNNNNNNNNNNNNNNNNNNNNNNNNNNNNNNNNNNNNNNNNNNNNNNNNNNNNNNNNNNNNNNNNNNNNNNNNNNNNNNNNNNNNNNNNNNNNNNNNNNNNNNNNNNNNNNNNNNNNNNNNNNNNNNNNNNNNNNNNNNNNNNNNNNNNNNNNNNNNNNNNNNNNNNNNNNNNNNNNNNNNNNNNNNNNNNNNNNNNNNNNNNNNNNNNNNNNNNNNNNNNNNNNNNNNNNNNNNNNNNNNNNNNNNNNNNNNNNNNNNNNNNNNNNNNNNNNNNNNNNNNNNNNNNNNNNNNNNNNNNNNNNNNNNNNNNNNNNNNNNNNNNNNNNNNNNNNNNNNNNNNNNNNNNNNNNNNNNNNNNNNNNNNNNNNNNNNNNNNNNNNNNNNNNNNNNNNNNNNNNNNNNNNNNNNNNNNNNNNNNNNNNNNNNNNNNNNNNNNNNNNNNNNNNNNNNNNNNNNNNNNNNNNNNNNNNNNNNNNNNNNNNNNNNNNNNNNNNNNNNNNNNNNNNNNNNNNNNNNNNNNNNNNNNNNNNNNNNNNNNNNNNNNNNNNNNNNNNNNNNNNNNNNNNNNNNNNNNNNNNNNNNNNNNNNNNNNNNNNNNNNNNNNNNNNNNNNNNNNNNNNNNNNNNNNNNNNNNNNNNNNNNNNNNNNNNNNNNNNNNNNNNNNNNNNNNNNNNNNNNNNNNNNNNNNNNNNNNNNNNNNNNNNNNNNNNNNNNNNNNNNNNNNNNNNNNNNNNNNNNNNNNNNNNNNNNNNNNNNNNNNNNNNNNNNNNNNNNNNNNNNNNNNNNNNNNNNNNNNNNNNNNNNNNNNNNNNNNNNNNNNNNNNNNNNNNNNNNNNNNNNNNNNNNNNNNNNNNNNNNNNNNNNNNNNNNNNNNNNNNNNNNNNNNNNNNNNNNNNNNNNNNNNNNNNNNNNNNNNNNNNNNNNNNNNNNNNNNNNNNNNNNNNNNNNNNNNNNNNNNNNNNNNNNNNNNNNNNNNNNNNNNNNNNNNNNNNNNNNNNNNNNNNNNNNNNNNNNNNNNNNNNNNNNNNNNNNNNNNNNNNNNNNNNNNNNNNNNNNNNNNNNNNNNNNNNNNNNNNNNNNNNNNNNNNNNNNNNNNNNNNNNNNNNNNNNNNNNNNNNNNNNNNNNNNNNNNNNNNNNNNNNNNNNNNNNNNNNNNNNNNNNNNNNNNNNNNNNNNNNNNNNNNNNNNNNNNNNNNNNNNNNNNNNNNNNNNNNNNNNNNNNNNNNNNNNNNNNNNNNNNNNNNNNNNNNNNNNNNNNNNNNNNNNNNNNNNNNNNNNNNNNNNNNNNNNNNNNNNNNNNNNNNNNNNNNNNNNNNNNNNNNNNNNNNNNNNNNNNNNNNNNNNNNNNNNNNNNNNNNNNNNNNNNNNNNNNNNNNNNNNNNNNNNNNNNNNNNNNNNNNNNNNNNNNNNNNNNNNNNNNNNNNNNNNNNNNNNNNNNNNNNNNNNNNNNNNNNNNNNNNNNNNNNNNNNNNNNNNNNNNNNNNNNNNNNNNNNNNNNNNNNNNNNNNNNNNNNNNNNNNNNNNNNNNNNNNNNNNNNNNNNNNNNNNNNNNNNNNNNNNNNNNNNNNNNNNNNNNNNNNNNNNNNNNNNNNNNNNNNNNNNNNNNNNNNNNNNNNNNNNNNNNNNNNNNNNNNNNNNNNNNNNNNNNNNNNNNNNNNNNNNNNNNNNNNNNNNNNNNNNNNNNNNNNNNNNNNNNNNNNNNNNNNNNNNNNNNNNNNNNNNNNNNNNNNNNNNNNNNNNNNNNNNNNNNNNNNNNNNNNNNNNNNNNNNNNNNNNNNNNNNNNNNNNNNNNNNNNNNNNNNNNNNNNNNNNNNNNNNNNNNNNNNNNNNNNNNNNNNNNNNNNNNNNNNNNNNNNNNNNNNNNNNNNNNNNNNNNNNNNNNNNNNNNNNNNNNNNNNNNNNNNNNNNNNNNNNNNNNNNNNNNNNNNNNNNNNNNNNNNNNNNNNNNNNNNNNNNNNNNNNNNNNNNNNNNNNNNNNNNNNNNNNNNNNNNNNNNNNNNNNNNNNNNNNNNNNNNNNNNNNNNNNNNNNNNNNNNNNNNNNNNNNNNNNNNNNNNNNNNNNNNNNNNNNNNNNNNNNNNNNNNNNNNNNNNNNNNNNNNNNNNNNNNNNNNNNNNNNNNNNNNNNNNNNNNNNNNNNNNNNNNNNNNNNNNNNNNNNNNNNNNNNNNNNNNNNNNNNNNNNNNNNNNNNNNNNNNNNNNNNNNNNNNNNNNNNNNNNNNNNNNNNNNNNNNNNNNNNNNNNNNNNNNNNNNNNNNNNNNNNNNNNNNNNNNNNNNNNNNNNNNNNNNNNNNNNNNNNNNNNNNNNNNNNNNNNNNNNNNNNNNNNNNNNNNNNNNNNNNNNNNNNNNNNNNNNNNNNNNNNNNNNNNNNNNNNNNNNNNNNNNNNNNNNNNNNNNNNNNNNNNNNNNNNNNNNNNNNNNNNNNNNNNNNNNNNNNNNNNNNNNNNNNNNNNNNNNNNNNNNNNNNNNNNNNNNNNNNNNNNNNNNNNNNNNNNNNNNNNNNNNNNNNNNNNNNNNNNNNNNNNNNNNNNNNNNNNNNNNNNNNNNNNNNNNNNNNNNNNNNNNNNNNNNNNNNNNNNNNNNNNNNNNNNNNNNNNNNNNNNNNNNNNNNNNNNNNNNNNNNNNNNNNNNNNNNNNNNNNNNNNNNNNNNNNNNNNNNNNNNNNNNNNNNNNNNNNNNNNNNNNNNNNNNNNNNNNNNNNNNNNNNNNNNNNNNNNNNNNNNNNNNNNNNNNNNNNNNNNNNNNNNNNNNNNNNNNNNNNNNNNNNNNNNNNNNNNNNNNNNNNNNNNNNNNNNNNNNNNNNNNNNNNNNNNNNNNNNNNNNNNNNNNNNNNNNNNNNNNNNNNNNNNNNNNNNNNNNNNNNNNNNNNNNNNNNNNNNNNNNNNNNNNNNNNNNNNNNNNNNNNNNNNNNNNNNNNNNNNNNNNNNNNNNNNNNNNNNNNNNNNNNNNNNNNNNNNNNNNNNNNNNNNNNNNNNNNNNNNNNNNNNNNNNNNNNNNNNNNNNNNNNNNNNNNNNNNNNNNNNNNNNNNNNNNNNNNNNNNNNNNNNNNNNNNNNNNNNNNNNNNNNNNNNNNNNNNNNNNNNNNNNNNNNNNNNNNNNNNNNNNNNNNNNNNNNNNNNNNNNNNNNNNNNNNNNNNNNNNNNNNNNNNNNNNNNNNNNNNNNNNNNNNNNNNNNNNNNNNNNNNNNNNNNNNNNNNNNNNNNNNNNNNNNNNNNNNNNNNNNNNNNNNNNNNNNNNNNNNNNNNNNNNNNNNNNNNNNNNNNNNNNNNNNNNNNNNNNNNNNNNNNNNNNNNNNNNNNNNNNNNNNNNNNNNNNNNNNNNNNNNNNNNNNNNNNNNNNNNNNNNNNNNNNNNNNNNNNNNNNNNNNNNNNNNNNNNNNNNNNNNNNNNNNNNNNNNNNNNNNNNNNNNNNNNNNNNNNNNNNNNNNNNNNNNNNNNNNNNNNNNNNNNNNNNNNNNNNNNNNNNNNNNNNNNNNNNNNNNNNNNNNNNNNNNNNNNNNNNNNNNNNNNNNNNNNNNNNNNNNNNNNNNNNNNNNNNNNNNNNNNNNNNNNNNNNNNNNNNNNNNNNNNNNNNNNNNNNNNNNNNNNNNNNNNNNNNNNNNNNNNNNNNNNNNNNNNNNNNNNNNNNNNNNNNNNNNNNNNNNNNNNNNNNNNNNNNNNNNNNNNNNNNNNNNNNNNNNNNNNNNNNNNNNNNNNNNNNNNNNNNNNNNNNNNNNNNNNNNNNNNNNNNNNNNNNNNNNNNNNNNNNNNNNNNNNNNNNNNNNNNNNNNNNNNNNNNNNNNNNNNNNNNNNNNNNNNNNNNNNNNNNNNNNNNNNNNNNNNNNNNNNNNNNNNNNNNNNNNNNNNNNNNNNNNNNNNNNNNNNNNNNNNNNNNNNNNNNNNNNNNNNNNNNNNNNNNNNNNNNNNNNNNNNNNNNNNNNNNNNNNNNNNNNNNNNNNNNNNNNNNNNNNNNNNNNNNNNNNNNNNNNNNNNNNNNNNNNNNNNNNNNNNNNNNNNNNNNNNNNNNNNNNNNNNNNNNNNNNNNNNNNNNNNNNNNNNNNNNNNNNNNNNNNNNNNNNNNNNNNNNNNNNNNNNNNNNNNNNNNNNNNNNNNNNNNNNNNNNNNNNNNNNNNNNNNNNNNNNNNNNNNNNNNNNNNNNNNNNNNNNNNNNNNNNNNNNNNNNNNNNNNNNNNNNNNNNNNNNNNNNNNNNNNNNNNNNNNNNNNNNNNNNNNNNNNNNNNNNNNNNNNNNNNNNNNNNNNNNNNNNNNNNNNNNNNNNNNNNNNNNNNNNNNNNNNNNNNNNNNNNNNNNNNNNNNNNNNNNNNNNNNNNNNNNNNNNNNNNNNNNNNNNNNNNNNNNNNNNNNNNNNNNNNNNNNNNNNNNNNNNNNNNNNNNNNNNNNNNNNNNNNNNNNNNNNNNNNNNNNNNNNNNNNNNNNNNNNNNNNNNNNNNNNNNNNNNNNNNNNNNNNNNNNNNNNNNNNNNNNNNNNNNNNNNNNNNNNNNNNNNNNNNNNNNNNNNNNNNNNNNNNNNNNNNNNNNNNNNNNNNNNNNNNNNNNNNNNNNNNNNNNNNNNNNNNNNNNNNNNNNNNNNNNNNNNNNNNNNNNNNNNNNNNNNNNNNNNNNNNNNNNNNNNNNNNNNNNNNNNNNNNNNNNNNNNNNNNNNNNNNNNNNNNNNNNNNNNNNNNNNNNNNNNNNNNNNNNNNNNNNNNNNNNNNNNNNNNNNNNNNNNNNNNNNNNNNNNNNNNNNNNNNNNNNNNNNNNNNNNNNNNNNNNNNNNNNNNNNNNNNNNNNNNNNNNNNNNNNNNNNNNNNNNNNNNNNNNNNNNNNNNNNNNNNNNNNNNNNNNNNNNNNNNNNNNNNNNNNNNNNNNNNNNNNNNNNNNNNNNNNNNNNNNNNNNNNNNNNNNNNNNNNNNNNNNNNNNNNNNNNNNNNNNNNNNNNNNNNNNNNNNNNNNNNNNNNNNNNNNNNNNNNNNNNNNNNNNNNNNNNNNNNNNNNNNNNNNNNNNNNNNNNNNNNNNNNNNNNNNNNNNNNNNNNNNNNNNNNNNNNNNNNNNNNNNNNNNNNNNNNNNNNNNNNNNNNNNNNNNNNNNNNNNNNNNNNNNNNNNNNNNNNNNNNNNNNNNNNNNNNNNNNNNNNNNNNNNNNNNNNNNNNNNNNNNNNNNNNNNNNNNNNNNNNNNNNNNNNNNNNNNNNNNNNNNNNNNNNNNNNNNNNNNNNNNNNNNNNNNNNNNNNNNNNNNNNNNNNNNNNNNNNNNNNNNNNNNNNNNNNNNNNNNNNNNNNNNNNNNNNNNNNNNNNNNNNNNNNNNNNNNNNNNNNNNNNNNNNNNNNNNNNNNNNNNNNNNNNNNNNNNNNNNNNNNNNNNNNNNNNNNNNNNNNNNNNNNNNNNNNNNNNNNNNNNNNNNNNNNNNNNNNNNNNNNNNNNNNNNNNNNNNNNNNNNNNNNNNNNNNNNNNNNNNNNNNNNNNNNNNNNNNNNNNNNNNNNNNNNNNNNNNNNNNNNNNNNAAAAAAAAAAAAAAAAAAAAAAAAAAAAAAAAAAAAAAAAAGGAAUAAGCUUCUAUUCUUUCCUUGAAACCUAAGCAUGAUCCGAAGGGGUGGCGAAAGCCUUUAAAACCCGAUGCCCUAAACCUUGAUUGGUUGGGAGUCAUUGAUCCUCUGCUUGCUACAUAGGUGAAUUGGUUAAGUUUAGUGAGUAAAAAGAAUUGUGAAUAAGAAGGUGCAUUCCUAACCUAUUAAGAGUUGGUUAAUUUUGCCAAAGUUCGAAAAAAGCUUAGGUUGGGGGGAGAGGAUAGUUGUACAUACUAUAUCCGAAAGCUAAUCUCAUUAAUACUUAGCUCAUUAUGGAAGAGUUUGAUCCGGAACCUUGAGAGUAGAGAUUCUUUUGAUACUUAAUUGCAUAAUCUCCACUCUUUGUACUUUUUGUUUAAGUUUUAGCUUUGACAACUCCUAUUGCAUUUUGAAUCUUCAUAUCUUUAGUUUGCCAUGUGAGAUGUGUUUUGAUAUCAGUCAUGCCACUCAAUUAUUUUUUGGAGUGAUUUGCAUGACCUCUUUUAUGUAUAUUAUUAUGUUUGCUUAGUUUUUAUCUCCUCCAUUGCUAAGGGACUAGCAAUGAGUCGGUUAGGGGGUGUGAUUACUACCGAAAAGUGAUAUUUUGUAGACCUAAUUAUAAGGGUUUUAAGCACCUUUGAGUAGUAAUCAUAUUCAUUUAACCUAAUUAAUUCAUUAAGCUCCUUAGUAAUUAGUUCUAACCAUUUUUAGUGGCAAGUUUACAUGUUUUUCAUCAGCUUAUGAACCAAUUCAAGCAUGCCAAUUGAUGGAGGAGCUACUUGGGCGAGUUAAGCAAGGAUUUUGGACAUUUACAUGCUUGAAUUUCAAGUGGAAACACGAGCACAAGCAAUGGGAACACCAUUUCGCAAGGGGAGGCAAUUCACUUGCCAAAUGACCAAUUUCGCAAGGUGAAUUUCAUCUUGCCAAAAUUUCGCAAGGGGAUUUUCCUCAUGGUGCGAAAUUUGGCCAUUUUGCACCAUGAAGAAACCACCUUGCGAAAUUUGGACCUUUCAUCUUCCCCUUGCGAAAUGCCUUUGAAAUCCCCUGUUUUGAGACGCUGUUGAUGAUAUUCCACUACCGGUUCUCCAAGAUAUUUUGCUUGACUUUUAGCUUUGUAAAUACCUAUUUUACCCUUGUAAUCAACCAAUGAAAAGGUUGCUUUUGUAAUAGCUCUUGUAAUUUAGCUUUUUAUUGUCUUUAAAUAGAGGUGAAGAGCCUCAGACACGAUCAUCUUGUAACCUGUAACUUUAUAAGUUAUAAGAGCACUUUUGUUCAUACGCUUUUUUUCUCUUUUCUUUCUCAUUUUCUUAGUAACCAAACAUCCUUGGAGGAUGAAAUCCCCAAGGAUGAGAGGCUAAAACCUUUUAGUUUCUUGAAGUAAUGGAUGCCAUGUGAAGCUCCCGGGUCAGGAUGGAGAUUUCCAAGCCAUAAAUGUAAGUAAUUGAGCGUCAUAAAUGUUUUCAUUCAAAGUAAAGCUUUUAAUCCCUUUGACUUGCUUUGAAUGGCCAAUACUUGAUAACCUUUUGGUCUCAGUGGAUUCUUAUUGUUAGAUCCACUGACGUUCAUUAGUUAUCUCCUACGAGCCAUUGUAUUGCAAGUCGAGGAGAUGACCUAUACCAAUAAAAGAGCAUUUAUGAGGUUCAGCUACCCUUUUUGCAAGUUUUCAAGGACUAAAACUCAGUUGUUAAACUCAUACCGGUUCGGGAAGUAAGCAUCACCUUAGUUACUUCCCCAACUCGAGGUGAAAAGUCCCAAAAUCUCCAUUUUUACACAGUGAGUUAAGCAUGGCUAUCCAAAGCUUUGAGAAACUUCUUUUUCCAUCUUUUAACCUAUUUUCAUGUUAGUUUAGUUUACAACACCUUCAUCUUUUUAUGUUUUCAUCUUAACCUAAUUUUUAUUAAGAAAAGUUCACUCCAUCCUCCGAACUUCACGAGUUAAAGUAAAAACCCUUUCCAGUAUUCGAUCCUAGAGCCACUAUGCUAUAGUAGCUUUGCUACUUUAGUGUAAGGACCUUAGGUAUAAAUUUUGUUGAUACCCUUACAUGCCAAGCUACCAAGAGUCGGGUUAUCAUCUUGCCACUAUGAGUGUCCAACAUCCAAACCAAGGAAUAAUUUUUAAUAAAAUAUUAAUAUUAAUGUUAAAAUAAAAUCAUAUAUUUAUAUUCCUUAUCACAUUUAUAGGAAGAGAAAUAUUUGGGACUAGGCCCAGUUCACUUUUUAUAAUUAUAAAUAUCAUAAAAAUAUGAAUAUUAAUAUCCUUAUCCUCAUAAAAGCAUAAUUAAUUUAUUUUAUAAAAAAUUAAUAAUAAUAAUAAUAAUUACUAGUACGAUUUUAUUUUAAAUGGAUUUAAAAAUAAAUAAAGUUUAAUUUUUAAGGUAUACAUGCAUAAGUUUUUCAUUACAUAUACACAUUUAAUACUUAAUUAGUAAUAGUGUAUUCUAAAAUUUUUUUAUCUAGUCUAUAACUAAUUAAUCCAUUUUUUGGAAUUCUAAAUUGUUCUUAAAAAUUAAAAUAUUCAUUAAAGAAUUGAAGUGUUUAUUAUGUUUAACUUAAUUUAAAUUUAUUUAUUUAGUGAGAAAAUUCAUAAAAUAUAGUUUUAUGUAUAAAGGAAAUAGUAACGACUUUACAUUUAACGAAUCUUUUAUUUUAUAUUGAUUCAUUUAAUAGUCUAUUAUAUAUAUUUAAAAUUUAUUAAACUCAUUAAUAAAUUCAAUACAAAGUUUUACUUAAUUUGAAAUUCAUCUCUCUAGUGAAAAAAUUGAAAAAAUAUUAUUUUGUGAAAAAAAAAUACAAUAAAAUCAUUCUAAACUAAUUUUUAUCCAUAGAUUUUUUGUAUUUAUUAGUUUAUUAUUUGAUUUUUAAAUUAAUUUAAAAAAUUAUUGGACUUAUUAAUGAAUCCAAUACAUUAUUUUUUUGUUUAAUUUAUUUAUCACACUAUCAAACAAACUUUUAUUAUUUAGUAAAAGACCUCUCAAAAGAUGUUUUUUUUUCUAAAUAAAAAAAAAUAAUAUUCUAAACGAUGUUUGAUUCGAGAGUUUUUUAAAAAUAAAAAUUAUUUUAAAUUAUGUGUACAUAAUUGUUUCAAAUUUAUUUCUUUUUUCCAUUACCAUUUUCAUUCCUACCUAACAUUGAAAUGGAAACAAAUAAUCAAUCAAACCUUACAUUUAUUCCUAAUCCAAUGACAAGAAUUGGUAUCACCAAAUUCAUUCCAUUCUCUAGUCUCAUGUAUCAAAAAUAGUCAUAUAGUACCAAAAACUUCUUCUAAGUAAUGUGGGAUAUCACAUUCACUUUCAUACAGAUACAAUUUUUAUUGUAUCACAUGGAAUUGUGAGGCCUUUUAGUACCAUUUGUAAUGACUCACCUCCAAUUAUAUAAAUAUUAUUUGGUCUAAGUCCAAUGGACUCUAAUCGGUUUUAAAACUUGGCUAUACUGUUAAGAGAAGUCUACUAUGUAUACAAUCUUCUCCUAAUAAACAUGUGACAUAACAAAUGGUGGGACUCAAACUAAAGCAAGGCCGUUUCAAACUGUCUACCAUCUUAGUUUCAGCAUGAAUUCAGUUUGUUCCAAACAACAUAACUCUGGAGUAUUUUAAACAAACGAUUUCCAUUGAAAACACAUUAUUAAAGUAUAAGGAAAACAAACCCGAUCUUCAAGCGGUUCUGGGGAUUGCUUGUGGAAGAGUAGUGAAAUAAAAAUAUCCACUAAGUGUAUAAGGACCCAAGAUCAACACAUGCAACAGGAUAUCUAAUUCCUCCUAAUAUCAUCAGCAUGAAGAAAAUUGGCAUCAUUUCCAUUGAGUUCUGAUGCCCUCUCUGAAAAAAAAAUAAAUGCAAAACAUUUGUUUUUUCUAAUCAUCGGUCAUUGACUCAUGCCCAAUUGGUGUCUCAGCUGAUUUGUGUUCAGCUGGUGCUCCUUGAUUGAGGAAGUGAUCAACAAAAUUUAUACCUAUAACACCAUACACUAGGGUAGCAAAUAAAAAGCUACUAUAGUAUAGUGGCUCUAGGAUCGUUCACUGGGAAUGAUUAAAUUAACAAGCAGUCAAGGAUACCAAUUCCAAGUGAAUUGGUCUCGUUUCAUUUCACGGUUAGCUUAAGAAAUAAAACACAAACUUUGAUUGGUAAAGGUUGAGACUUAAACUAACUAACUUAACAGAAGUCUGGAAUAAUUUAGGAAGAAAAACAUUCCUUGGAGAUUUAGGUUCACUGGGGUGGUUCCUCAUGCAAAAGACAUAGCUCCGGUCAGAUGGUUCAUUUCCUCGCAUUAGAGAUUCAACUUAGAGUCAAUUCUCUAAUCGGUGAUGUACAGAGACUCCUUCAAUUAGAUUUCACUUUAAUUCUCUCACUGAUACAACUUGCAAUGGUUCAUGCCUCUCACGAGCACUUACCAUUCAAGGUGAUCUUUAACCUUGGACUUCCCUUCACAAACUCGCAAGAGAUAACUAAUGGAUGUCUCCUAAGAGUCCAAAAGCUUACCAAGUGUUGGUAAUUCCAGAAAAUCCUACCUUGAAGUCACCUACCAGAGGCUCGCAAGGGGUAAACUAGUGCAUUUCCAUGGUUGGAAAUCACUUGCCUUACCAAGUGUUGGCCUAGGUGACUCUAAGGUGUUUUAAGUUAACUAAAAAUAUUGAAAUCACUAAAGGAUUUCACUUCCUCUUCAUUACUAGCUAAAACCACAGAGCUUAGCAUUCUUGCACUUGGAACCUUCCCCGGCAACCUUAGCUCCAAGGAAUUGGAGGUUUAGUUACUCAUUCUCUGGGGAAAACUCCUCAGAGAAUUCAUAACUUAGAAAUAAAAUGAAAAUACAAAGUGAGAAGGUAAGGUAGUAGAAAGAAAAUAGACUUUACUUGCUUACCAAACGGUUAUAGAAGGAAUUCCUCCCUGAGAACAGGCUCCCGAGAGGUAUAUAUAUCAAAACAAUAUAAAACUAAUUGUUACAGAGAUAUUUGGUCUUUUUUACUAACUUAAAAACUAAGGAAUCAUGUAAUUGGUGGUUUACAAGGAGUAUUUUGGGAUUUAGACAACAAAAAUCUAAUGGAAAAUAUCUCCCAAUGUCGGUAGCAAGCUUCGGGAGGCUUCAGGAACCAUUUCGCAGGAGUAAAAUGGUGUCUGCGAAAUUUCGCAGACACCCAAGAGGGCUGCGAAAUUAUUUCGCAACACCGAGCUAUCUUCAUAGGGCUGCGAAGUUGGCUUCCACCUUGAGGUUCCCAGCUCCCUUCUCGCGGCAUGGUUCGUGAAUCGUCAGAAGGAGAAACACCUUACUGUACAAAAGUGCUGCGAAAUUCUCGCAACAAAAGGUUGAUUCCGCAACACUUUAGAGUGAUUGACUUGUAAUGGCUGCAACUUCUUCGUUUCAAAUCCGAAUUGCGCACCGUUUCAAGCAUUGGAUUGUUGACUUCCUGAGCUUUGAAAUGGUAUAAAGCAUGCAUCAUUUGGACUUCAGAAAGUGCUCUAAAAGUGGCUGCUACGACUGUCAUCAAGAAUAGGCUUCAUGGCAGAUUCUCUUUGCUUUUUCUCCUUGCAAUCCGGAUUCACUCUUGGCAAAUGAAUUCUAAGCUUUGCCCAAGAUUCCUCAUAGCUCUCCUCAGACUUGACUUGCUUUGGUGAUCAAAAUACUAGCAAAAACACCAAAACUUACACAAAGUGAUCAAAAUUGCUUUAAAGGAUCCUUAACAUGCCAAUUGAGUUAAAAUGCCUAAACUACUACUCAAAAGUGUUUAAAAGGAUUAAUUAUAGGCUAUCAAAUAGUACUUUUUGAGUAGUAAUCACUCCCCCCAACCGACAUAUUGCUAGUCCCUUAGCAAUAUAGGAGAGAAAAAUGAAAAUAAAUAGCUAAUUAUACUAAAAUUUACAACAUCAUGCUAAAGGAAAAUAAUUCUCAAGUGGCAUGAUGAUCUAUUUCUCACAUGAAGCAUUGAAGAAAUACAAACCCAAAUCUCAACAAGAGUCAUAACAACUAUGCUAAACACUGUCAAUCAAGGGAGUGCAUUAUGCAAACUGAAGUUUUAAAAUCAUUUCCCCUUUCAAAGAACUAAACUUCAAUCUUCCACAAAAAUCUAUGUGUAUUGGCUCCUUAGGUUCCGAGAAUAAUAUGCUAAACUAGCCUUUCCCCCCAACCUAUCUCUUUUCAACACUUUAGCAAACUGACCAAAAUCAAUAAGAAAAUAACACACUUUCAUCAUUCUUUUUUUUUUUUUUUUUUUUUUUUUUUUUCAGGGCAGCUUUAUGGGGUACUCUUUCUGACUUGUCCAUGUAAUGGGGGUCCAUCGAUGACUCCCAACCAAUUAAGGUUUAGGGCACCAAGUUUUAAGGAUCUUUCAACCACUAACUACUCGGAUUUUUCCCCGGACUUUUAAGAAUGAGUUUCUAAUACCCAAGCAUCUACCAUAUGCUAACUCUACCUAUUCACCCAUAUAACGAGCAUUGAGGUCGGUGACUCCCAACCAAUUAAGGCUUAGGGCACCAGGCUUUAAAGGCUUUCACCAUAUGCCCCUCAGACCUUGCUCGGGUUUCAAGGCAAGCAAACAACUUUCUUUAUUUCAAAGGCUCAUUGGCCUUUUGCAGGGUGUUUCAAUUUUUAUCAAAUGAGGUCAAAUAUACCAAGUCCCAAAAUUAUCCUAAGUCAAGAGGGAAAUAGCUUUUCAUCUUAUAAUCGGAAUCUAAUGUGCACAGUGUGUGGAUAGCUUAAAGUGGAAGAACUCAAUUCAAUUUCAGUAGAAGUUUCAACAAUUGGACCACUUUAGGAAGCAUAAUCCAUACUCUAAGUCAAGUGAAAAACAACAGUUCAAUUUCUCUUGGUUUAAUUUGAAAAUUUUUCUCAAAAUUCAUGGAGAAUAGAGUAACACUAGUAAAAAGUAAAAACUACAACUAAUUAACCAAUAUAAUUGCAAUACCAAAAAGGUUUAGACUACUUCCUUCCUCAUACCCCCCAACCGAACUGAGCAUUGUCCUCAAUGUGAUUUGAGUGACUGUAAUAAAAGGGAGGAAGUGGUACCUCCAUGCUGAUAUCAAAUUCGAAUAUUGAUUGGGGAAAACCACAUGUUUCAAAAGGAAUAGAAUAUGUGAGAAAAGGAAAUAAGGAAACUUUAAUGCUAACUUUUAACAAGAAAAAUUCAACUUGUAUUACUUUGAGUUCAUUUGAUUACAAUGCUAAAGACAAGUAACACAAGGAAUCCCAUAUAUAGUACCAAAAUACUGGGAUUUCAUUUCAACUAAAACAAAACAAACAUAAAAACAUAAAUAGCAAAUAUAUAUAAUGUCUGAUGAGUAGGGUGAUGGUGCUAAGCAGAAGGAUCUGCCUCUUCAGUAGGUGGAUCAGCUGGUGCUUCAGGCUCUGGAGGAUGAGACUCUGAAGGCUGAGAGUGUGGCUCUGGUGGAGUAGGAAUGGAGGGCUCUACAGCUUGUGGCAGAUCGAAAUGGACUUGGAGCUGCCUUAGGAUGGCAGCUUGUUGAGCCUGAGAGGCUAACAUCUGCUCCUGGCAUGCUUUAAUGGCUGCCAACUCCUGAGCAAGAUUGCUCUGAGAAGCUGUAAGAGUCUCCAAUGCACGGCACAGCUCUCGAUAUUCGGAUAUAGGGAUGGCCAUCCUCGGCUCAGCUGAUGUGGAUGGCUGUGAUGGAGUAGGUGCAGCUGGUGAAGCUCGAGGGAUGGCAGGAGUAGCAAGUGUUAUACCUUCAGGUAUAUGUCUUGGGGAGGCUCUCCUUGCUGCUGGUUGAGGCUGCCCAGGCUGAUCAACUUUGUAGGCCGUCAUAUUAUUCCAUUUAUCAAGGGUAAAUGGCUCACGGCAUAUUCUCUUUCUUUCCUGCUGAGGCUCAGAGGGGUAUCCGAGAUGCUCCAAAACUUGGCAUAGCAACCUUGGGAAGAGGAGUGGAAUGCAAUCUGCUCUUUGAAGCUUCUUCUUGUGAACCUUCUCCUCAAAGUAUAGAAGGGCUGCCAUGAUAAGAUGAUGAGGCCCAAAAAAGAAUCCUUCUGACAUCUUGUACAAGGCUUCCAGGAGAAUUCCCCUUCUUUGGGUCCAAUGCUGCAGGGGAUAGAUAUUAUGCCUCAAAAAGGCAUCAAUAAAAAACAUCACUGGAGGUAGCUCCCCCCUCAACAGGUGUGACCGAUUUGCAGCUCCUCUAGUUAGGGUGCGAACCAUCUCUAACUCAAUAGGAUUUGCCCAAGCUUUAAAAUUGUCGAAUUGGGUUGGCUCAAAAGGAAUUUGCAGGGCUUCAGCAAUAUGUCUUGCUCCCAAAAUUCCAUGUCUUCCAUCAAUUGUGAAAUGGAUCAGAGUUGGAUUUCUUACCUCUUUGGUUGUCAUGGACUGGUAGAAAUCAGUGACUACCCGGGGAUAGAAAAAAUCCCUUGGAGCUAGCAGAUGCUCCAUAUGAUAUCUCCUCAGCAGCUGGAAGGAUUGGGCAAGCUCUGGCCUCACUCUAAAUGCUGUUAAAUCGAAACAAAGCUCAAAAUGGAAUGCCCGAGUUCGACAAUCCAAGUUUCCUUCGAUUGGGGGCUGAGGCAGCAUUGGCCUCCUAAUCACUUCUUCCAGAGGUGCUUCAGCUGCAAUUUGGGGCUCUGGAAUUGGCGCUUGAGGCUCCUGAGCUUUUUCUUGGGGUUCCGGAGAUGGUACCGGCGAUGGAAUUGGCAGGGGACUCAGCGAGGGAAUUGGCGAGGGAACCGGUGACGGCACUGGAAUUUGUACCGGUGAAGGAUUUGGUGAAGAUACCGGAGAUUGAACCGGUGUUAGCUUUGGGGAUUUCUCAGGGGAUUGCUCAGUCAAAUCAAUUGGUUCAGAGCUCUCAACCCUGGGCUUCUUCUUCAAUGGCCGACCGCCUGACCUUGUUAAAUAUCGCCUUGCCGGCGGCUUUGGUGGCGCCGGCUUCACUAGAGAAGGUUUUGGUCUCGAGGGCGAAGGCUUUGGAGCAGGUUCUGGAACAGAACCUGGGCUUGGCUCCUUUCGCAGACUCCUUUUGCGGUUCGAAGGGGAUGAAGACUUUGCCCCUCGCGUUCGUGCCAUUUUGGGCUAUCGAUCUUUGGCCGGCGCUGCUGAACGGAGAAGACGACCGGAGGCUUGGACGGCGAAGCUUGGUGAAGAAGACGAAGGGGCUGCGAGAAUGGUGCUCUGAUUUUUGAAACCCUUUUCGCAGCACUUUUGAUCGGUAUAAAUAGGAAAAACGGAAGCCCAAGGAUCAGUUUAAGUUUCGCAACAAAACGCCAAUUUCGCAGCAACUUGCCAUUUUCGCAGCAACUUCGCAGAGAGUUUCGCAGCUGCGAAAUUGAUGUUACUGUGCUGCGGAGUGGCACUUGUGUGCCAAAUCCACUUUCGCAAUUGCGAAAUACCCUGCGGAAUGGGACUUUUGGUGCGAAAUCACGCAUUUCCACUUCGCAAUGGGUUUCGCAGCUGCCAAAUGGAUGCUACUGUACUGCGAAGUGGCACUCGUGUGCCAAAUUCACUUUCGCAGCUGCGAAAUACACUCACAGAGGCUUCUACAGUGCUGCGGAGUGGUUUGGCAACAAAAAUCACAUUUCGCAGAAGUUUCCUUCUCUCUGCGAAAUUUCGCAGAGCUCUGUUUUUCCCCUGUUUUUGCUCUGUUUCGGCUCCAAUUUCGGCCCGAUUUUUUUUCUUUUCAAUCCCCUUGAAAUUUCUUCCACCUGGGAUCAUUUAAAACAAUUAAAACACAUCUAAAAACAUGAUUUAAGAUCAAAAACUAAGAUCAAAAGUAUGGAAACAACUUGAAAAUUUACAAAAUUUACAAAAAUUUUGGACUGUGGUUAAACCACGUCCAGCAAACCCUUUUUCACUUGGUUUUUUGAGGCUCAAGGAGGUUGAUUGCCUCCUUUUUUGAUUUGAAUGACUCCAUGAACGGCUUAAGACGAUAUCCAUUGACUCUAAAGCUGUCCUUGCCAUUGGAAUUCAAUAAGUCCACCACUCCAUUGGAAUAUACUCGGUGAAUAACAAAUGGACCAAUCCACCUUGAUUUGAGCUUCCCAGGAAAGAUAUGGAGUCUUGUGUCAUACAUCAAAACUUUUUGCCCUUCCUGAAAUUCCUUAUUGGAAAUGAGUUGAUCAUGCCACUUCUUCAUCCUCUGUUUUGCAACUUUGGAGUUGAUAUAAGCAUUAUUUCUUAAUUCCUCCAUCUCAUUAAGGUCUAGAAAUCUCUUUUCUCCGGCCUUGAUCAAGUCCAUAUUCAGCUUCUUUAUUGCCCACCAAGCCUUGUAUUCAACUUCCACAGGGAGGUGGCAUGCUUUACCAUAGACAAGACGAUAGGGAGACAUCCCAAGAAUAGUCUUAUAAGUUGUUCUAUAUGCCCACAAUGAAUCAUGAAGCCUAAUAGACCAAUCUUUUCUGUUGGAAUUCACCACUUUCAUCAAGAUGUUCUUUAUUUCCCUGUUAGCUAGCUCAACUUGCCCGGAAGUCUGAGGAUGAUAAGGUGUGGCCACCUUAUGCUUCACUCCAUACUUGGAUAACAGAGCUUCAAAAGGUUUGUUGCAAAAAUGAGCACCUCCAUCACUGAUUAUGGCCUUGGGCACCCCAAAUCUUGAGAAAAUGUUCUCUUUAAGAAACUUGAGAACCACCCUGUGAUCAUUUUGUUUACAGGGGAUUGCCUCAACCCAUUUAGAAACAUAAUCUACCCCCACCAAAAUGUAAGAAUUACCAAAAGACAUUGGGAAAGGUCCCAUGAAUUCAAUGCCCCAUACAUCAAAUAUCUCAACUAUCAGAAUGGGGUUCAUAGGCAUUUGAUUUCUUUUUGUUAGCUUUCCAAGCCUUUGGCAUCUAUCACAAUUUUUACACAUGAUGUGGGCAUCUUUGAAAAGAGAGGGCCAAGUAAACCCUGACUGCAAUACCUUCAUGGCUGUUUUCUGAGAGGCAAAGUGGCCUCCACAUGCAUUCUCAUGACAAUGAGAUAGAAUCCCUUGCUGCUCAUCUUCAGGGACACAUUUUCUAAUAAUCUGAUCUGCACAAUACUUAAAAAGAAAGGGCUCUUCCCAAUAAUAAGAAUGAAUUUUGGCGAAGAAGUGCUUCCUGUCCUGUGCAUUCCACUCACUUGGAAUUUCACCAGUUACUAAAUAAUUAGCAAUAUGAGCAUACCAAGGAGUUUUCACUAGGAACAUGAGUGAUUCUUCAGGAAAAUCAUCAUUGAUAGGCAAGGGAUGGGAAUUAUGUGCUAUAACUAACCUUGACAAGUGGUCAGCUACUACAUUUUCCACACCUUUCUUAUCUUUGAUUUGAAGAUCGAAUUCUUGUAACAAAAGAAUCCAUCUAAUCAACCUUGCUUUUGCAUCUUGCUUUGUCAAUAAAUACUUCAAGGCUGAAUGGUCAGUAAACACAAUGAUGAAAGACCCCACUAAAUAAGCUCGAAAUUUGUCCAAAGCAAAUACCACAGCUAACAAUUCUUUCUCUGUAGUUGUGUAGUUCCUCUGAGCUUCAUUUAGUGUUUUACUUGCAUAGUAAAUCACAUAGGGCUUCCCAUCUUCUCUUUGGCCAAGCACAGCUCCUAUAGCAAAGUCACUGGCAUCACACAUUAGUUCAAAAGGUAAUUGCCAGUUAGGGGCUCUUACUAUUGGAGUUGUUGUUAGAAACUUCUUCAGUUGAUCAAAGCUAUGCUGACACCUUUCAUCCCAUAUAAACUUAGUAUCCUUAGCUAACAAAUCACAAAGAGGUUUUGAAAGACUUGAAAAACCUUUUAUAAACCUCCUAUAGAAUCCUGCAUGGCCAAGGAACUGCCUUACUCCUUUCACAGUUGUUGGAGAUGGUAAUUUGGCAAUAAGCUCCACCUUUGCUUUAUCAACUUCAAUGCCUCUUUCAGAGAUGAUAUGGCCAAGGACAAUUCCUUGACGUACCAUAAAAUGGCAUUUCUCCCAAUUCAGCACCAAAUCUUUUUCAAUGCAUCUAUGAAGAACUGCUUCCAAAUUAACCAAGCAUUCCUCAAAUGUACCUCCAUAUACGGUGAUGUCAUCCAUGAAAACUUCCAUAAUUCUCUCCACCAUAUCACUGAAAAUACUCAACAUGCAUCUUUGAAAAGUAGCAGGUGCAUUGCAUAACCCAAAAGGCAUUCUUCUAUAAGCAAAUGUUCCAAAUGGACAUGUAAAAGUGGUCUUUUCUUGAUCUGCCAAAUCAAUUUCAAUCUGAAAAUACCCUGAAUACCCAUCCAAGAAACAAUAGAAUGGAUGUCCAGAGACUCUCUCCAGCACUUGGUCAAUAAAUGGCAAUGGAAAAUGAUCCUUCCUGGUGACAGCAUUCAGCUUUCUAUAAUCAAUACACACCCUCCAACCUGAAGUGAGGCGUGUAGUAAUUUCUUCCCCUUUUUCAUUCUGAAUCACUAUGAUCCCUGACUUCUUUGGUACCACUUGAGUAGGACUCACCCAAGGGCUAUCAGAAAUAGGGUAAAUGAUUCCUGCUUGAAGUAGCUUCAGCACCUCAGCUCGCACCACCUCUUGUAGAUGAGGAUUCAACCUUCUUUGAAAUUGACGAAUUGGCUUUGCUUCCUCCUCCAUAUAUAUAUGAUGAGUACAAACUAAAGGACUAAUGCCUUUCAAAUCAGAUAUUUGCCAUCCUAUUGCCUUCUUACACCUCUUAAGAACUUCCAUUAAACCAUCCUCUUGAUGACUGGUCAGAGAUGAGGAUAUCACAACAGGACAUUGAUUAUUUGCUUCAAGAUAUGUAUAUUUCAGCUCCAUAGGUAAAGGCUUCAGAUUGAGUUUUGGAAUUUCUUUUUCAACAGCUGCCUCCUCUUCUUCAUUGAACAGAGGUAGAAUUCCUUCUAUCUUUCUCCAACUUUGUAGAGUAGCAAGCCCAAUAGGAGAUUCAGAAAAACCUUCCUCAAUAUCCUCAAGACUUUCAUUCAACUUGUCUUGCAUAUUUUGAUUGCAGUGCUCCUCUACCAAAGUAUCAAUUAUACAUAACUCUUCUGGACCUUCUUCUUCUUCCGGAGUGAUUUGCUUUUUAGACAUAUAGAAAAUAUUGAGAUCCAAUGUCAUAUUACCAAAAGUGAGUUGCAUAAGCCCAUUUCUACAGUUGAUGAUUGCAUUUGAAGUUGCAAGAAAUGGCCUUCCAAGGAUGAUAGGAACUAAAUUAGCUUCCUUUACAGUAGGAUCUGUAUCAAGAACAAUAAAAUCUACUGGAUAGUAGAAAUUAUCCACUUGAACCAAUACAUCCUCAAUUACCCCUCUUGGAAUUUUCACUGAUCUAUCUGCCAGAGAUAAAGUGAUUGCUGUUGGCUUCAACUCUCCAAGGCCCAAUUGCUUGUAGACAGAAUAUGGACGCAAAUUCACACUUGCUCCCAAGUCUAACAAGGCUUUCUCCACUACCUUUCCUCCAAUCAUGACUGAAAUGGUAGGACUUCCAGGGUCUUUGUACUUCAAAGGAGACUUGCAUUGUAAGAUUGCACUUACUUGCUCAGUCAAGAAGGCUUUCUUGUUUACAAUCAACCCUCUUUUGAUAGUACACAAGUCCUUAAGGAAUUUUGCAUAUGUUGGAACUUGUUUGAUCAUAUCCAGCAGUGGAAUAUUAACUUUCACUUGCCUCAAGACUUCAAGGAUUUCAGCUGCAUUUCUAACCCCCUUUUUCCCCUAUAAUGCUUGAGGAAAAGGUGGAGAAGUUGAUUUCUUCAGCAUUUCUUCCUUCAGAAGCUCCUUCUCUGGAAUUACUUUCAUUGUUGCAUCAGAGUCCUUCUUUUCGUCACUGAUCUCACUGCCUUUAUCUUCCAUUUCCUUCCCUUUCUUCAUCUCUUCUUCUUUCUCAACAUGUGGCUUGGGUGUUGGCUGCUCAAUUUUCUUACCACUCCUUAGAGUGAUCAAGGCCUUCACAUCUUUCACCUGUGAUGAUUCUCCCUCAUGGCUUUCCACUUCAUGGACACCUUUGGGAUUUUGGUGAGGUUGAGAAGGAAAUCUUCCCUUUUCUUGCAGUGUAUUCAAAUUUGUAAGCCUUGAAAUUGAAUAUUGGAUGUUAUCAAAUUUUUGGUUCAUAUCAUUUUGCAUUCCAUCCAUCCUUUUAUUCAUCAUACUCUCCACUCUAUCAAUCCUUUGAUCGAGUCGAGCAUUAGUGGCUUCUUGCUUUUCAAUAAAAUCUCCCAUUACCUUGCUGAGAUUGGCUAUUGCUUGUUCAAUACUUGAAGAUUGCUGAGAUGGUGGAUCCGGCUGUUGGUAUUGAGUUGCUCUAGCCUUCCAUGAGAAAUUUGGAUGAUUCCUCCAACUUGAAUUGUAGGUAUUUCCAUAUGGCGCAUUGUUAUUGGGCCUGAAUUGUCCAACAACAUUUGCUUGAUCUCUAUACAUUUCUCUUUCAGCUGAAAUUGCAGGGCAUUCCUCCACCAAAUGUUCAAAUGAUUGACAAUUGGGACACAGCUUCACUUGCACUGGUGCUUCAGCAACAGCUUGCACUUCAUGUAUUUUUUUCAGCUCCAGCUCCUCCAAUCUUCUUGUCAUAGCUGCCAACUUUGCCUUCAUAUCAUCAUCUUCUUUCAAAGUGUACAUCCCAGCCUUUGCAUUGUAAGCAUUCAACUGAGACUUCAUCUUUCCCACUUCUCCUUUAGUUGGUUCAUCCCAUCCCCUUGAAACAUCAGCUACAUAGCUCAAGAAAUCCAUAGCUUCCUCUGGAUUUUUGCUCAUGAAAUCUCCUCCACACAUUGUCUCGAGGAGUUGCUUCAUUGAGGAGGACAUACCAUCAUAAAAAUAGCUCACCAAUAGCCAAGUAUCAAAACCAUGGUGAGGACAAGCAUUUAUAGCUUCCAUGUAUCUCUCCCAACACUCAUAGAAUUUCUCAUUCUCUUUAGCUGAGAAAUUUGAAAUUUGCCUUUUCAAGCCAUUUGUUCUAUGAGUAGGAAAAAAUUUCUUGAGGAAUUCAGCUUGUAAAUCAGUCCAAGAGCGGAUACUCCUUGGCCUUAAAGAAUUAAGCCAAAUUUUGGCCUUAUCCUUUAAAGUAAAAGGAAAUAACUUAAGCCUCAUCAAAUCAAUUGAAGCUCCUCCCUCUUGGAAUGUAUUACAAACAUCUUCAAAUUCCUUGAUGUGUGCAUACGGAUUCUCACUUUCCAUCCCAUGGAAAGUUGGUAGAAGUGGAACAAGAUAUGGUCUGAUCACUAGCUGCUCUGUAGGGGGCACUAUACAUGAUGGUGCACUCAUACGAGGUGGAUGCAUACGGUCCCUCAUUGAUCUGAAUUCAUUGAGAUUGUCUUGACGACCUUGGUGACUAUGCUGAUCUUCAGGUGCAGCCUCCAUGAUAUUCAAGAUUACUUCCAAUUCUCUUCUCUGAGGUGUAUCACACUUAACAAGCCUACCUCCAAUGUCUCGUAUCCACUUUGGCAUACACAACUAGUAUUCAGCUGCAACUUAAAUAAAAACAGAGGACACAAAGAAAAACAGGGCUACAACAACAAAAUUAAACUAGACUAAAUUUUAAAAGAUAAACUUAGAUUAUGAAUUAACUAAGAAAGAAUGAAAAUUAGUAAAGUGAAAGAAACUUUACCAACUUGUGAUGAAAAUCACAAGUGCUCAAAAAUGGUAUCACAAUGAACUUGACACUCAUUCCCCGGCAACGGCGCCAUUUGACUCAUGCCCAAUUGGUGUCUCAGCUGAUUUGUGUUCAGCUGGUGCUCCUUGAUUGAGGAAGUGAUCAACAAAAUUUAUACCUAUAACACCAUACACUAGGGUAGCAAAUAAAAAGCUACUAUAGUAUAGUGGCUCUAGGAUCGUUCACUGGGAAUGAUUAAAUUAACAAGCAGUCAAGGAUACCAAUUCCAAGUGAAUUGGUCUCGUUUCAUUUCACGGUUAGCUUAAGAAAUAAAACACAAACUUUGAUUGGUAAAGGUUGAGACUUAAACUAACUAACUUAACAGAAGUUUGGAAUAAUUUAGGAAGAAAAGCAUUCCUUGGAGAUUUAGGUUCACUGGGGUGGUUCCUCAUGCAAAAGACAUAGCUCCGGUCAGAUGGUUCAUUUCCUCGCAUUAGAGAUUCAACUUAGAGUCAAUUCUCUAAUCGGUGAUGUACAGAGACUCCUUCAAUUAGAUUUCACUUUAAUUCUCUCACUGAUACAACUUGCAAUGGUUCAUGCCUCUCACGAGCACUUACCAUUCAAGGUGAUCUUUAACCUUGGACUUCCCUUCACAAACUCGCAAGAGAUAACUAAUGGAUGUCUCCUAAGAGUCCAAAAGCUUACCAAGUGUUGGUAAUUCCAGAAAAUCCUACCUUGAAGUCACCUACCAGAGGCUCGCAAGGGGUAAACUAGUGCAUUUCCAUGGUUGGAAAUUACUUGCCUUACCAAGUGUUGGCCUAGGUGACUCUAAGGUGUUUUAAGUUAACUAAAAAUAUUGAAAUCACUAAAGGAUUUCACUUCCUCUUCAUUACUAGCUAAAACCACAGAGCUUAGCAUUCUUGCACUUGGAACCUUCCCCGGCAACCUUAGCUCCAAGGAAUUGGAGGUUUAGUUACUCAUUCUCUGGGGAAAACUCCUCAGAGAAUUCAUAACUUAGAAAUAAAAUGAAAAUACAAAGUGAGAAGGUAAGGUAGUAGAAAGAAAAUAGACUUUACUUGCUUACCAAACGGUUACAGAAGGAAUUCCUCCCUGAGAACAGGCUCCCGAGAGGUAUAUAUAUCAAAACAAUAUAAAACUAAUUGUUACAGAGAUAUUUGGUCUUUUUUACUAACUUAAAAACUAAGGAAUCAUGUAAUUGGUGGUUUACAAGGAGUAUUUUGGGAUUUAGACAACAAAAAUCUAAUGGAAAAUAUCUCCCAAUGUCGGUAGCAAGCUUCGGGAGGCUUCAGGAACCAUUUCGCAGGAGUAAAAUGGUGUCUGCGAAAUUUCGCAAACACCCAAGAGGGCUGCGAAAUUAUUUCGCAACACCGAGCUAUCUUCAUAGGGCUGCGAAGUUGGCUUCCACCUUGAGGUUCCCAGCUCCCUUCUCGCGGCAUGGUUCGUGAAUCGUCAGAAGGAGAAACACCUUACUGUACAAAAGUGCUGCGAAAUUCUCGCAACAAAAGGCUGAUUCCGCAACACUUUAGAGUGAUUGACUUGUAAUGGCUGCAACUUCUUCGUUUCAACUCCGAAUUGCGCACCGUUUGAAGCAUUGGAUUGUUGACUUCCUGAGCUUUGAAAUGGUAUAAAGCAUGCAUCAUUUGGACUUCAGAAAGUGCUCUAAAAGUGGCUGCUACGACUGUCAUCAAGAAUAGGCUUCAUGGCAGAUUCUCUUUGCUUUUUCUCCUUGCAAUCCGGAUUCACUCUUGGCAAAUGAAUUCUAAGCUUUGCCCAAGAUUCCUCAUAGCUCUCCUCAGACUUGACUUGCUUUGGUGAUCAAAAUACUAACAAAAACACCAAAACUUACACAAAGUGAUCAAAAUUGCUUUAAAGGAUCCUUAACAUGCCAAUUGAGUUAAAAGGCCUAAACUACUACUCAAAAGUGUUUAAAAGGAUUAAUUAUAGGCUAUCAAAUAGCACUUUUUGAGUAGUAAUCAGUCAUCCAUACAUAGAAAAAUCUGUGUGAUCUUAAGCCAGAAAAGAUGUUGCAUCUAAUCAAAUUCACUAGAUAUGAUGAUAUCUAUACUUUUUUUUAAAAUUAUAUUCAUAUUUAUGUCAGAAAAUAAAUUUUUUAUUUUUUAUUUUUAGAACAUUAAACUUUUUAAAAGUCCUUUCUGGGAUAUUUUCUAGCUUUUUCCUUUUGCUAAUUUUUGCUAUUCAAACAAAUCUUAAGAAAUGAAUCAAACUUGGACACAAUUGAAGAGCUUGGCAUCCUUGUUUUUAGAUUCCAAAGCAUAUAUAGAGAUUGGGGUAAAACACCUUGUACCUAAGAAAAAAAAAGGAAAAAAAAAACACCACAACAAAAAAUUAACCAAAAAUAAAAAAAUUAACUGGAAUAAAAAAUCAAGAAAAUAUUUUUCUGGGUUAAUAAUUAAUUAUAAUGAAAUCAAAAGAAAAAGAAAAAAUACAUACUUCUUCCUGGCUUUGCCUACACUGAAAGCCAUGAAAGAAUUGGGAAAGCAGUAAAGAACAAGAACAAGAACCACAUCCAUAUUCUGGGGAAAGCAAAUCCUCUGCUGCCUUCUUCAGAUUGAAGGCAACUAAUAAACGUGUUAAGGGGUUAUGAGUUUGACUUGGUUGAGUUUGAAGCUACAAAAGUAAGAAAAAUGGUAGUAAUUUUGGAAGCAUUUCUAACUCUUCUAUAACUUGAGAGAUAAAAAAUUUUAAAAGUUAAAAAUGUUAAAAGAGCUUUUUAGAAUCACCCCAAAUGUACUCUAAAUUAUUUAUGACUUGAUGUCACCUUCACACUCAUUUUUCAGUGUCAUUUAUUUUUGGUGUUCCCAUAUUGAAGAUUUAGGGUAAUGUAAUAUUCAAGCCUUCACAUUUUGCCUUCACUAACCUUUGAAUUUUAAUUAAAUUCUUUGAAGGAUAUUUGACCACUUCAUUGUCCAAAAAUGCUUAUAUUGCCAUUUUUUUUUUGGUCUUUUUCUACAAUUCCAAUUUUACUAUUUUUCUUUUAUUUAUUCCUAUUAUUAUUUAGGCUAUUAUUUAUAAUAUUCUUAAUAUUAUAUUUAUAAUUGUUAAUAGUAUAAUUACUUUUCAUUUAUUUGUCAUUUAUAUUGCUUAUCUUAUCUUUAAUCAUGUAUAAGACUCAAAAAUUGCAGAAAACAUUAAUAAGUAACUACUAAACUUCAAAGAGAUAAUAAAAUUCAACUACAUUGAUAUUACAACAAUACAAAUAAAAUAUAUAGCAACCAGCCCUUAAAGGGGCUUUUAAGAGAUAAUGAGUCUACUUCAGAUUGACAUUUAAAGUAGAAUCACCAUCUCUAUAGAUAAAUAUGAAGCCUAAAAAGAAUAGAACAUCACUAAAUAAUAUUAAUAAAGCAACAACUAGAUCAAUUGAUAGUGAAAAUAAAGGUUUACAAGAUGAAUCACAUAAAUAAGAACAACUAAAUUGAGAAACAAAUUACAUGUCUGACAAAUCUAAUGAGGGAAAACAUUAGAGCUAGGUGCCCAAUGAUUGGCUCCGUGAAGUUGACCUACCUCCUCAAUAGGUACAUAGGAGUCCUUACCUAAAAAAACAUUAAAAUCAAUAGGGUGAACAUAAGAUCUAAUAAAUAGGCACGAUAUGCAGAUGUUAGGAUGGUUAGUCCAAGGUAAAAAAAAAUAGUUCUAAAAUGUAUCACGUAAUAAUUUUGGUGUAUUAUGAGAGGAAAAUGGACUUGUGAGGACUAUACUUUGUGGAUAGAAAUGCGAGGAAGAGUGAAAGACACUCAGUGGAGUAAGAGAGCGGUGGAGUAAGAGAGCUAACAGUUUAGGGUAGUCAUACAAAGUGUGGGUAAAUAGAUGUAUCUAUUUUUGUUCCUAACAAUAUUUUUUUUAUUGUAUAGUGAAAUAUUAUCUCUCAAAUAUGGAAGUAAGAAUGGUUAGGUGUACCAUGUUAAAAUCUUAAGUGAAUAUAUUUUUAUAUUAGAAUAAACCAUUUUCUUAAUUAUAAGUAUAUUUGAAUAUUUUACUAAACUAUUUUAAAAUAAAAUAUAGUAAAAAAAAUUAAUAUAUAUAUAAUAAUAACAUGAUAAAUAACAUAUCCCAAACCAAAUGCAACAUAAAUUUCUAAAUUGUCUCUCCUUUCUUAGUUCUCUAUAAUAAUAUUGCCAUACCCAUUGUUUAAGCUAUAAAUUAACAUUUUAUGUUCUUUGAAACAUAUGUAUUACCAACUCAAUAUAUACAUAGCUACGAAGACAUAUUUCUCAUUUUCCCAAUCAGAAAGCAUUGUGAGUUGAAACCUUUUUGUUUAGAAAGUUAACUUGCAAUGUUAAUAUUCUUUUUUUAUAUUAGCCCCCUAGGAAUAUCAUUGCCUUUCACCACACUUUAAGUUUUUUUUUUCAAUAUUCUUUUUUACUUCUACACUAGAAUUUAUGUAACUUCUUGUUCUUUAUUUAUUAUUAUUAUUAUUUUCAAUAUUUUCUCUUAAGUCUACCUUACACUUCUUAUUACCUCUCAUAUAUUUUUUUUUUUUGUCUUUUUCAAAUACUUGGUUGCUUCUCUAUUACAAUUCAUUAACUUCCUAUCCUUUUAUUUAUUUUUAUUUUUUGCAAAAUUCUUUCUUAAACUACAUAAAUCCAUAGUUUUUAUUUUAAAAGCAUCAAGUAAAGAACAUAGACCUACUCAAACACCAUUGUAUAAUACCCCUAAAAUUUCCAAAAAUCCCUAAAAUUUCAUAAAUUCUCUGCAAACUUAUCCCUAAUUAGAUGCUAUUAUAUUAAAUAUAUCUAAUUCACUCUAAACACAUGAUUGAUAAUAAUAUAAAAAACUAAAACAAUAUUAAUAUGCAAUUUAUUAUUUUUCAACACACUGUAAUAGUUCCCAAAUAUUUUCAAACAUCAGCUAACAAACCUAAAUUUAUUAACUCAAAAUACAUAACUGAUAACAAUGGAGAACUAAAAAAAAAAAAAUUAUAAAUAUAACAAUUUUAUACUUUGAAUACAAUUCAAUAAAUCCUAAAUUUUUAAAAACAUUUAACUAAUAAACUUAACCAUACUCAAAUAUUAUUGUAUAACAUCUCUAAAAAUUUCAAUAAUUUAUCAAAUGUGAAGACUACACUCACCGAUUUAGUAGAAUCAUUUGCCUCUUUUGUUGGUAAUUGGGAUUUUUGCUCAGUAGCUUCGCUUUCCUUUGCUUCACUUUCUUCUGCUUCAUUUUUUUAUUCUGUUCGCAAUUGGCAUUUUUGUUUUUUCGUCACUUUUUUUAAUCUUUUUAUCAAAUCACUCUUCAAUGAACUCAUUGUUUCCUUCGUGCUUGAAGAUACAAUAUGAGAUAACUUGAAAAAAAUAGAAUAACAAUUUUUCUAAGGAUUCAGAAUGAAACAAAGGAUGAAAUGAUAGACGAUAAAAUUUCUAGGGUUUUUGAAGGAAAAAUGAGAUUUUCGUUUUGUGCAUCAAAGGAAGAUAAUGAAAUAGAAGAAGAUGAUGAAAGAUGAAGACUCGUUCUGUAAAUGAAGCGAAAGAGGAUAUGAGUUUUCCUUUUUGUGCACCAAAUGAAGAUAAUGAAGUAGAAGAAAAUGAUGAGAAAGUUUUUUUGGAAAAUAUGAGGAGUUGUUCUGUAAAUGAAGCAGAAGAGGAGAAGUUGUAAGUGUUGGAGAGAAAAAAGAAGAAGGACAUUUUUGUCUCAAUCAACAAUUUUGUUUUGUUUUUUAACCGAUGGGUUAUAUUUGCAAAUAUGGGGGUUAUUUUGACCCCUUUAACCAAAUAACCCUAUUUUUUAUCGAGUUACAUCUUUAAAUUAGGUGUAAAAAGAAAUUUUGAUAUGGUAGAGACUGUAUAGUUAUAUAUUGAAAUUCCAUGGUUCAUUAGAUAAACCAUCCUUGAAUUUCUUUGGUUUCAAUCAAGAUGAUAGAUCAUCCUUCCACAGAGUGACCUGAUAUGACAUUGAUUUCUAGGGCUUCAAACACGAAGGGUGUCAAUGACUAAGAACUCCGUUUGAUUGUCAAAAAAAUGAGGAAAAAAACCCUAAAAUAAAAUAUAAAUACAAUUCAGAAUUUCAAUUUUACAUUGUUAGGGACCCCAAAAAUGGGAACAUUCACUUAAUUGAGCGUAAUCCAACCACCUGCCUUAGUUCAAUUCAGUCCCCACUUUCUAGAAACCAAAACAAUAUAAAAAUUCCUGUGUUUGACUGCUCAGAAAGCAUAGGACAAGCAAAGAAAACGACGGUGCCUCCUUGAUCAAACAGUUUUUUUUUUUUACCUUUUCUUUUCUUGCAUUUUCUUUUUUCGGCAACCAAACAUAACUUUUUAAUUGAGCAUUGUUGUAUACAAUUUAGAUUUCUUUCCCUCGGUUUCUCCGCAACCAAACAGAAUUUUUCUCAAUUGAGCGAGGGUAUAGUAUAUCCUUCGUUUUCCUAUAACCAAAUAGAACUUCCCUUGUUAUUUUUUUAAUCUUUUCUUUGAAUUUCUCGGAAACCCAACGGAGUUUACUUCUGGUGCAACCGUGCAAGAAAAUGGUUUUACCUGAUCGCAAUUCACCGGACUAGCUGAAGCAAUAGAGGCUUAAGAAAAAGAGACUGAGCUUUGUUUGUUAGACCCCCUAUGUGAGUACGCAAAGUAAGAAGAAUUGAAGCUGAAAUUAGGCAGCUUCCAAACACGUCUUAGGAGUUGGUUUUAAAACCCAUUUUUUCCCCUUUUUGGUUGCAAUUGGUCUGCAAAGAUGCCAUUAAAAGGUAACCGCGGUUGGUUGCAUGAACAAGAAAAUGAAAAAAAAAGAGUUAAAACUAAUUAAAAUUAUUUAAUAUUUACAUUGAAGAGUAAAAAUAAUUACAAUAUAUUUAAAUAAACACAUAAAAAUAAUAAUUUAUUAAUUUUAAAUCUAUUUUUAAAAUUUUCAAUUUUUCAUUUAUUUUAUUCCCUCUAAGCUUUCUAACUAAGGUCAUAAUUUGGACAAAUUGUUGGAUUCAUAGCUAAUCUAAAUAAUCUAAUAGAGAUAAAUAAAUAAUUAAUUUAAGUUCAACCCAACUUCUAAGCUUUCUAACUAGGGUCAUAACUUGAACAAAUUGGAUGGUUAACAUACAACUUGGACAAAUUGGUGGGUUCAUAGCUAAUCUGAAUAAUUUAAUAGGGAUUAAUAAAUAAUUAAUUUAAGUUUAGCCCCACCUCUAAACAGAGGUAUUUAAUUCAAGCUCAACCAACUUCAUUUCUUCGAGCUCUGGUUGAUGAGGUUAAACUUGGGUUAGCCCUUGAUUGUAUAAUUCAAAAUACAUGUAUAAUGUUUUUUAAUAAAAAAAAUUUAUAUACUUAUAUCAAAUUUUAAAUAGUAAGUAGGACAAAAUUUUAAAAUAACAAAAAAAAUAAAAACAAAGUUAUAUAUCUUUUUUAAAAAGUAAAAAAAUAUAUUAUAUAAUAUAAUUUGAUUUUUUUUUAUAAAAAUUUAGAAAGAAUAAAAUUAUUAUAUAAAAUAACAUAUAUUGGAAAUAUUAUAAAAGCAUUAAAAGUUUGUUCAGUAGUUAUUCAAAUAAGUGUUUCUAUCCCUAAUUUAAACUUUGGUUUCAAUCUAACUCGAAUUGAAUUUGAGUUGAAAAAGUUUAACUUGAAUAUUAAAAAUAAUUGUCUAAACCAAAUCAAAUAUCAGAUUGGAUUCGACUAAUCUGCCAAAGUUACACUCCUACCAAGAACCAUACACAAUAAAAAAAUUUUAAGAUAUUUUUUGUUCUAGGAAAGUACUCAAAAAGGAGAAAUAAAGAAAAAAAAUGAUUUUAUAUGUAUAAUUAAAAUUAGUUAAAUUUUAUAUAUUUUAAAAUUAUUUAAUUUUUUUUAUAUGGAAAAGAAAAAAAAAAAGAGUGAAAUAAGUUUGAAAAAACAAGUAAAAAUGAUUUGUUAACUUUAGUAUUUUUUUCUUUUCUUUUCUUCUAUUUUUUUCUUUUUAGUUUAUUUUUCUCAAAUUUUUCAAAAAAUAAACAUAGAAUUAAAAAAUAAGAAAUAAUUACAGAAUUGGAAAAUCAAUUUUAGAAAUUGCUUAUAUGAUUGCAUUAGUUUGUGUAAAUAAUAAUUUUAUUGAAUGUUAAAAGAGUGGUAUUAAAUGCACAUUAUUUAAUAUUUUUAUAUGGAUAUUUUUAUUUCUAAAGAAAGUAAUCUUUACAUGGAUUGGACCACUGUUUAUUUAUCCAUGUGGGCCAGCCUAUUAAAAACAUCAAACCAACAACUCAAGGGACGACCCUGGUCAUUCUCGGGGGCCCACAACCUUCAUCUCAAACAAAAGCCCAUGGGCAGGAUCACCUUCCACACACAUCUUCAUACCAACCACCACACUACCAACAAUCCUCCUCCAUGAAAGCCCACCUCCAUCACAGCAAGCAGAAAAUCCAACACGCCAACUAUAAGGAUUGCACAGACAAUUUGGCAAGAAAGAAAAGCAUCUGUAUUCUUAUUAUAACUGGACUAUAUACAAUACAAUGCUGUGACUAAUUAAGGAAUAUACAUAUAUAAACAGAAGAUAGAAAGAGUGAUUACAAAUCAAUUUACAAAGAUAAUUCUAGAAUGAACGUAAAUCAUGGAAUUGCCGUUGUUAUGCAGAUUCCCUUAUACGGCCCCUCAAAAUUAAGGUGCCAUCAGCAACAUUGAUUUUGCUACGCAGUUGUUGAAAGCGAGAUCGUGCAAGGGGCUUGGUAAGUAAAUCGGCAAGCUGAUCAUCUGUAUGUACAUGUGCUACACGCAACUGGCCUCUUUGAACAAAGUCUCGUACAAAAUGAAGAUCAAUGGCUAUGUGUUUCAUCCUGGAAUGCAUGACGGGAUUGAGACUGAGUUGUGUGGCACCAACAUUAUCACUUAGCAGUAGUGGAGUGUCACGAAGCUUGACACCAAGUUCAUUGAGAAGAGAUUGAAUCCAGGCCAUGUUAGAGGCAGCAAUUGCGAGGGCUCGAUACUCUGCUUCGGUGGAUGAACCAGCAACGACCUUUUGCUUACGGGUGUGCCAACUGAUGGGGUUGUUACCAAGAAAUAUAAUGUAAGCAGUUGUAGACUUGCGAUCAUCAAGAUUAACCCCCUAGUCAGCAUCGGAGAAGCCACGAAGAACUGGAUUGAGUUGCCGUCAUAAUAGAAUACCAAAAUGAAUGGUAUGUUUGAGAUAUCGUAGGAGUCUUUUAACUUGCUACCAAUGGAAGACUGUAGGUUGAUGCAUAAACUGAGCAAGUCGGUUGAUAGCAAAGCCAAUAUCUGGGCGUGUAAGGGAUAGAUAUUGAAGAGAACCAAUGGUGCUGCGAUAUUCAGUGGCAUUAUAGCUCGUAGUGCCAUCAUUAAGGAGAAGUUUGGUAGACACGGACAUAGGUGUUUGAACUUCUUUGGCACCUAUCACCUUCAGUCGACGGAGGAUAUCAUGAACAUAUCGAUUUUGGGAGAGAAACAUACCUUACUUUACUAGUAUGACUUCGACUAUUAGGAAGUAAUGCAGAUCACUUAGUUCCUUUAAAGAGAACUUAUCACCCAAGGUUGAGACUUUGGUUGGAGCUUGUUUGUUCGGUAAGGAACAAGCCAAGGGUAACAUUGGCAACCAAAGGUCCGCAAUUUGUGAUAGUUAGGGGUACGACCAGAGAGCACUUCAAAGGGACUUUUGUACGAGAGCAAAGGAGUGGGGAGAUGAUUGAUGAGAUAGACCGCAGUGGCUAGAGCAUAAGUCCAAUAAGUGGAAGGGACUGAGGCAUGAUGGAGCAAGGUCAUCCCUGUUUCAACAACAUGACGAUGGUGACGCUCAAUCGUGUCGUUUUGUUGAGGGGUGUGUGGAGCAGUAGUGUAAUGGCUAAUACCGCGAGUAGUAAGAAAGGAUCGUAGUUUGAUGAAUUCGCCACCGUUAUCUGAGUACAAGUUUUUAAGCUUGCAUGAAAAUUGAUUUUCGACCAUGGUAGUGAAUUGCACAAAUGUGGAGUGAACAUCAGAUUUAUGCCGUAAAGGAUAAAACCAAUAGUACUUAGUGAAAUGAUCAACAAGCAGUAGAUAAUAGUGAUAGCCAUCAAUAGAAGAAACCGGUGAAGGUCCCCACACAUCAACAUACAAAAAUUCAAGAGUGAUAAUACUCUUGAGAGAAGUUGAACUAAAGGGAAGUUUGUGUGACUUAUUCCAUUGACAGGAAAUACAAGACAACGUAGACUUAGAAGAGGCAACGGGUAAAUCAUGACUUCGAAGUAACGAUGACAAAAUCUUUGGAGUUGGAUGCCCCAACCGAUGAUGCCAGCAAUCAAAGGUGACCCGAGUUCCAGCUAAGCGAAUUUGAUUUGCUUGAGGUGAGGAAGAUUGCAAUGCCACAGGAUACACACCAUUUUCACACCUUCUGCGCAUGAGCACUGCCCCUAUCAUCCGAUCCUUCACAAGGUAAAAGAAAGGGUGAAACUCAAUGGUAACAUUGUUGUCAUGAGUGAAUUUAUGAACAGAUAUUAAGUUUUUGUUAAUAAGAGGCACAUGUAAUGUUUCUUUUAACAUAAGAGAGUGGGACGGAGAAGAAAGGGUUGUGGAACCAAUGUGGGCAAUUUGCAAACCUGUACCAUCUCCAAGAACUACCUCAUCUUGUCCCUCAUAUUCGGAAUGAAUAGAGAGAUUGGCCAAGUCGGAGGUGAUAUUGUGGGAGGCUGCGGAGUCAAGAAGCCAUUUUUUGUUUGUCGAAGUGGCACAGUUCGCAGUAGGGCGUGACUGCAAUUUGGCACAUGUUUUGGCAGUGUGUCCAGACUGAUCACAGAUUUGGCAAACAACAUGGGACUUUUGUGAUCCAGACUUGUUGUUAUUAGAGUUUUGCUUGGAUCGGGAUAUGUUGUUUUUGAACCAACCAUUGGAUGACUUUCUUUGAGAGGAAUUUGCUGUGACGACUAGAGCGGAAGCAUUGUUAUCCAUACAUUUGAUGUAAUGCUCAUGACCAAUGAGCAAAUCAUGUAACUCAGCAAAAGAGAGAGCAGUUUCUCUAGUGCGAAUGGGCGCAACCAUAUCUCUGAAUUCCGAACCAAGACCAUUAAGCACGUAGAGCAUCAAAUCAUCAUUCGAAACUGGUGCAUCAAUAAGGGAGAGCUCAUCGGCAAUCACCGUGACCGCAUGAAGAAACUUAGACACCGUGCGAGAACCUCGUUGGAUAAGGGUUAAAUCCUCCUUCAACUGCAUAAUCCUAGCUCGAGAUUUGUUUGCAAACAAACGGGCUAGAUGCUGCCAAGCAUCACGACUCGUAGUGGUCAUUGCGAUGAGAGGCAUCACGGUUUCAGAAACCAAGGAGAAGAUCGCGUUGAGCAGCAACUGGUCCUGUCGAUACCAGUGUGCAUAGUGAGCCAAAGCAGAGGGAGAAGACUUCUCAGUGAAUGUGGGAGGACACGGGAGGGUGCCAUCCAAGUAUCCCAUUAAAUCAUAACCAAACAAGAUGGUUAUGAACUUUGCACGCUAGGAAGGGUAAUUUGAUGCGGUAAGCUUGUAAGGAAUUUGGCUGGAGGUGUUGAUGGUGACUAGGGGUAAGUAAGAGGAAGGACUGGAGUCACCCGAAACAGAGUGGGGAGUGGAGUGGACGCUGGACGACAUAGUGCAAAGGAGGAUCGCUAUGGUCGUGAGAGAAGAAGACCUUCUAAUACCAUAUAAGGAUUGCACAGACAAUUUGGCAAGAAAGAAAAGCAUCUGUAUUCUUAUUAUAACUGGACUAUAUACAAUACAAUGCUGUGACUAAUUAAGGAAUAUACAUAUAUAAACAGAAGAUAGAAAGAGUGAUUACAAAUCAAUUUACAAAGAUAAUUCUGGAAUGAAUGUAAAUCAUGGAAUUGCCAUUGUUAUGUAGAUUCCCUUAUACCAACCAUCAACCUCCGCACAGACCUAACACUGCAUAGCCGUGUUUUAGGAGUGUUAGGACGUGAUUAGAGAGGAUCUACUUUGAGUGUUCAUGGAGUUUCGCUAUAAGAGGAAUCAGUUUACCAAAAAUUCUUCAUGAAACCAUCCAUUUAUCUCAGGGAACAUUUAUUAAGUAGAGUCAAAUAGAUUUACAAAUAAGAGAUGAUUUAUUCAUUUGAAAGAAAUAACCUUAUUUCAAAUUGCCCUAAUGUGGCCUAAUAAGCAAAAUUACUGGUUAUAUUUUGGACACAUCUCAGUAGAGGUUCGGGGGAGAAAAUAGAAGAAGCAGAGAUGCUUACUUACUUCAGAGGGGCCACUGCUCGCCACCACCACUUCAUGGCUGUGCCCAUUUCACUUGCCCAAGCCACUCUCUUCUCCAAACCCUCCAUUUUACUCCACAGAAAUGCCAUCAAUGGCUUCUCCUUUUUCAUUCCUUUCUCCUCUUCUUCUGCUCAGAAGAUUCAGACUCACAAGUGGAGGCAACCGGUGGUCUCGGUUCUGGAGCUUGGUGGAGUCAAGAUUGGUAGAGAUGGUAACAUACACACAUCCCAAAAUUGCGUUUAAAAAGGAUCUUUAGCUUGAAUUUUGUGUGCCCAAUUUGCGUUUUUGCAGGCAUUUGCACUCGAGUCGUGUCGUUUGUUUGCAAUUUCACAAUCUGAUUUCUUUUCUAUUGUGCGUUUUUUUUUCCUGCUAGGUUCGAAUUCAAGCAUCCAAUUUGCGUUUUUCUGGGUAUUCUUAUGCCCAACUUGUGUCAUUCAAUUUGCAAUUGUCGUUAUCAGACUUCCUUCUCUCUUUUGAGACUUACAUAGUUAGAGACGUCAUUUCAGUGAAAUUAAGAAUGCAUGUUCCAACUUUCACUUCUUUCUCUCUUUCCUUUUUUUUAGCAUUUAAGAAUCCAUGAAUGUUAAAUAAUCUGCAUUAGCAGCUUGGCUUUCAAGGGAAGCAAGGUCCCACAUGCCCAUACCAACUGAAUAUUAAUAUUUAAGUUUAUCUGGCUUGUUCCAAUUCAUUUUAAUGCCAUUGAGAUUAGUAGUUUCAAGGGAAGCAAGGUCCCACAUGCUACUACUUCUUCAUGAUUUUUUUUUUAAAAAAACAAGUAGAACUAUAAAUCAAUACCCUAAAUACAGUUCCAUUUAUAAAAAAUCUUGAGAGUGGGUUGCUCCGUGGCCUGUAACGAGUCUAGUAAUAAUGUCACACCUCUUUUAAAUCUUAUUUUCCUAUAUUUAAUCCACAUAUUUUUUUAAAAGAAGCCAACACAAUCCACAUACUUGUGAAAGAUGACAAUAACUUAGUUGCAACUGCAAUAUUUUACUUAGAUAUUCUCCCAAUAUUGCCAUUUUUAUCAUUUGCUCUCCCUUAACAAAGUUUCAUCACCAUCCACCAACACAGCAUUUUAAGAUUGCAAAACCAAGUAAUAAAUCAUCACCUAUCAAGAAAUUAAAUAAAAUAAUAAACCAUCACAGAGAGCCACAAAAUAUAUUUAGGAUAGAAGAGAAAAAUUCUAGCAAGGUGGACUUGAGACCAUAACUCAAUCAGUUGACUGUCUUGGCAUUUGAGUUUGGUUGUAAGGUGGGUGUCCUUCCUUUCUUUUACUUAGCUCUUCCUUUGAGUGCCCCAUUGAAAUCUAUGAUGGCUUGGUAUGGGGUGGAAAAGAGGCUCUGUAAAAGGUUGACCAUAUGGAAAAAACAAUAUAUCUCUAAAGGAGUGAGAAUUACUUUGAUUCGAAACACUUUUUUUAGUAUGCUUAUAUACUUUUAUGUCUUUGUUUUGCAUGCCAAAGUCAGUCAAAUUCAGGUUAGAGCAUAUUCAAAGGAAUUUUCUUUGGGGCGACGAGGCUCUCAUUUGGAAGCCACACUUGGUAAGGUGGGCAAUUGCUUAUUUAGAUAAAGGAGGGGCUUGGGAGUUAGGUGUCUAAUCAACACUAAACAAGGCUCCCCAAUGCAAAUGGAGUUGGCGUUUUACUUAUGAAAGGGGGGCCCUUUGGAAGCAAGUUACAAAAUCUAAGUAGGGAACCUAGUAUCCAAACUUCCAUCCAAACUUACAUAUAAAAAAAAAGUCCAGAACAGGCAUUCAGUUUACCAGGUUUAUCAGUUCUCUCCACUGUUUAUUCAACUCUUAAAUGCAGUAUUCUGGACGUACUCCAAAUUUGAAAUUCCUUUGGUAAAAUAAAGGCAUGGUACUUACAGUGGUCUAUUAAGGAAAAGGUUUGUUUGACCUAGCUUUUGUACAAAAAAUUCAAGGAUAGUCUUGCAAAUAUGUAUUGUAUGGGUGUAUAUUUCUCUAUCAUGAUACAAGUGAGAAAAAAUUCAGGAAAGUUGUUUUGUUUAAAAAAAAAUUGAAAGUUAAUUUAUGUUUUGAGAGGGAUAUUAGACAACCUAGGAUUCAAAGGGACAUGUUGUCUCUUAGGAAAAUAUAAUUCAUAGCAUUCUCAAUCACUUACAGGUUAUUUUAGUCCUUUUAAAUUGAUUUAUUUAAUUUUUUUCUUUGUUGUAGGCAACCAACGAAUAUAUUUACAACACCUACUAUUAUCAUUAUUUUGGUAAUUAGCAUUGAUGGAGAUUGUAAAAAUUCUCUAAUGGUAUGCAGGAGAAAAAUAAUAUUUAUGAAUUUUUGUUAAACACAAUUGUCAUAAUGAUAAUAAUUAAUUAGAAUAAUAUAAGUUUGCAAUUGGAAAAUUUUUAAAAAAUAAAAGCUUUUGGAAAUAGUUUGAAUAGGAGUAGAAAUUCUUGGAUUUCAUGGAGAGCUUAGGUGGGAUCUAAAGCAUGGGGCUGUUUGCUAUCUAUUUUAGUAUUUGCUGCUCUUCUCUCUUAUAGGUGUUCAGUUGCAACUUGUAUUCUCUGAGCGUACUUGGGUUGUGCCCCCUUUUGUGUUCUUCAAUAUAAUCUUCAGGCUCAUGAUUAGUGCAAUUUCUACUAAUUGAACACUUUUCACUUCAAAUAAUAUUCAGUAAUCUAAAUAGCAUUCAUCAAAUUAUUUUUAACUCGCCUUUAGAUUUAUAAAGAACCCAAAUAUGAAAUUUUCUUCUUAGGCAUGAGAAAUUGUCAUUGUUAUAAACCCCAUGUUUGUCUUGUACUUACAAGCAUAAUUAUAAAGCAUGAUCUGCAUGUCUUAUCAUGAAAUAUAAUAAUGUCAUAAAAUAGAUGAUUGAUAAAAUAUUAGAAGUCCAUUGCAAAUGCUUAAUGGAACUGAAAAUUAUUACAAAGAAAGUGUGUAUUUCACUCAAACUUUUAUGCAGUAGUGGUAGCUUAUAAACUCACAACUUUGUAAUCAUGUGCUUGAAUCAAGCAAACGUAAUGGAUCUCAGCUACAACUGCUCUACAUUUUAACCAUUGUUUUAUGUUAUGGGAAUAGUGACUGAAUUACAUUUGUGGGACUUAGUUUUCACAUGUGUUCACAUGUCAUAACUGUAAUUUCCCUAAUUUUAUGAGUAAGAAAAACUCUUUCAUUUUCCCUAUUUUGACUGAAACUUUUGGAACUUGGACUUUAUACGGUGCAAAUGUAUGUUAUCAGCUAUUGCUUUUGACUAGUCAUGAGUAGAUAUUAUUUAUAAAAGGACACCAAAGAGGAUAUAAUCCAAGUGCAUUUGUAGUCAACAAGUUACUCUUGGCAUCAAAAUUGAAAGAAACAACAAUGAAGAAAAGCAGCAAGAAAGUGCCCCUACCUCCCAAACUCUCAAUGAACUACUGGAAGGAUCUACUACUAUUCAAGAUAACUUCUUCUAAGCACAACUACAUGUAACAGUACUUAGCCCAAUUUGCGUUUUUCUGGGUAUUCUUAUGCCCAACUUUUGUCAUUCAAUUUGCAAUUGUCGUUAUCAGACUUCCUUCUCUCUUUUGAGACUUACAUGGUUAGAGACGUCAUUUCUGUGAAAUUAAGAAUGCAUGUUUUAACUUUCACUUCUUUCUCUCUUUCCUUUUUUUUUCCCUGUUAUACUCCUCGUUCUGUUUGGCGAUAGUAGAAUUCAGGAAUGGUUUCCCUUUUCUUUUUUCUUUUAUUUAUUUAUUUUUUAAUUUUUGGGUUUCUUUUGGUUAUAUGAAUUCUACAUUUUUCCUUUCUUUUUUUUUUUUUUUUUUUGUGAAAUUGGAAUUGAAGAACUUAUUUUGCGUUUUACAAGCUUAGCGGGUUACGUUUCUGUUCUAUUUGUUGUACUGUUGGAGGUGUUUGGUGCAUUUAUAUAACUAGGUUUGCAAUUUCGCCUUCUAAUAAAGGUUAAAUUUUCUCCCUUUUUAUUUUUUAUUUUUUUAAUGGUGUAUUUGUGUUGGGUAUUUGGUGAAAUGGGGAUUCUGUACUGGGUUUAUGGCAUUUUUUCAUUUGGUUUGAUAUUUGUGAAUGCGGGUUUUGUAGGGAAGAUGUGCAAACUUUUUGAAAGUAAGAAUGCAAUUACAACUUUGAUUUCCUUUAUAUUUAUAUUUAAAUUUUUUAUGCUUAUUUGCGUAUUGGUUGAUGUCAAAAUUCAUCUAAUGGGUUGUUUUUUAUUGCUUUGGAUUGGUUUAAUGUAGUUGAAUGGUGGAUUUUGUUUCUAAAACUUGGGGUCAAUUUCAAUUUUUUUAUUUAUUCAACUUGAAGACCUGGGAGUCUAUGUGAUUGGAAUUGAUCUAUCGGAGUGCGACUCUAGGCUGUUUUUGUAUGCUCCUUGUAUACUUUGAGGGCACUGUUUUUGGUGCUUCCUCAUUCUCGUUUAAUAUACUUACUUUUAUCUAUCAAAAAAAAAAAAAUUUGAUUUACUCGAGUUUUUGGAUUUUUCUGAUUGCUUUGAUAAACUUGGCUUGCAGAGCCUUAAAAAAUAAACUAUACUCACUAAGCUAUAUCUCAAAUAAUACUUCGUCAGGGCGUGUAAUGCAACUUGGAGUCUUUUUAUUUUUAAAAUUUUUUGGGUUAUUCUAUUCUGAAUAUUUGGUAAAAUUAGAAUUCAUGUACUCAACCUUUUUCAAGUUCUUUUGGUUGGCUUGAUAUAUUUGGUUGUGGGGUUUGUAGAUGUGGUGAGGGAUGAUCCUACAAACAAUGUCCCGGAUGCAAUUUUUUUGAAACUUGGAAUGCAGCUUCACAGGAGGGAUUAACACCCAAUUGGAAUUCUGAAGAAUGCAAUAUAUGAUUAUUUCAAUGCCAAUUACUCAAACAAAUUUGAUAAGUUUGACAACCUUUGCCCAAUAGUCUCCACAAAAGAGGUUUGACCAUUAAGAAAUAAAAUAGAAAUUGUAUGCAUGUUUUUUUUCACUGUUUUGAGCUAUACAUUGCACUAUUUGGAACUUGUAUUAUCUUGCUAGGACUGGUGCUUGACAUUUUGUUGUUGUUUAUAUUUAUUUUGCUACCCAUUUCCUGUUGGUUUCUGUCCUGCCCUUGGUGUUUUAACAUUUAAGAAUCCAUGAAAGUGGUAUUUGCAUUUGUUACCAAUUAUUCCAUCGACGAUGUUCUAAGUACAUAUUAAAAAAGUCCAGAACAGGCAUUCAGUUUACCAGGUUUAUUGGUUCUCUCCAGUGUUUAUUCAACUCUUAAAUGCAGUAUUUUGGACGUACUCCAAAUUUGAAAUUCCUUUGGUAAAAUAAAGGCAUGGUACUUAUAGUGGUCUAUUAAGGAAAAGGUUUGUUUGACCUAGCUUUUGUACAAAAAAUUCAAGGAUAGUCUUGCAGAUAUUUUUUGAUAGAUAAUCAUAAAUAUAUUAAAGGGCAAAGGCUACAAAGUAUACAGGGAGUAUACAAAUUAGCCUAAAACAAGAACACAAAAAACAAGCACCCUCACCCACCCUUAAGUGGCCGCUAGCCACUCCAAAAAGCCUAAGAGCGAAGAGGACUCCUCUUUAAUAUACACCCUAGCCCAACUCCACAAGGUACAUACAAAAGAAUUUUUGAGUUUCCGUAUAUCUAAAAAACCACCCCUAAAAGCUAAUCUAUUCCUCUCCUUCCAAACCGUCUAAAAAAUACACAAUGGGAUGGAAUUCCAAAUCUUUUUCCUUUUUUUCCCCACAAAAGAGCCUCUCUAACUAAAUAACGCCUCUUUAACUAAUUUCGGGAACACCCAUUGAACCCCAACAAGGGCAAGGACGAUCUCCCAUAGGCCCCUUACCACUAUACAAUGUACAAGAAUGUAAUUUACAUUUUCCUCUUCACAACUGCACAAAAAACAGCUAUUAGGGAGCUGUCAUCCCCGUUUUUGAAGCCUAUCCAAGGUGAGAAUCUUCCCCCACGACGCUUCCCAAGCAAAAAAGGCCGCUUUGGUUGGGACCUUGUCCACCCAAAUGCAUUUAGUCGGAAAGGCGCAUGCAUUAGGAACAGCCAGCAAAUUGUAGGCAUCCUUAACCCCAUAUUUUCCAUGACCCCCACCUUUCCAUAGCACUGAGUCCUCCUCUGAAGAUAUCCUGAAGUCCCUGAGCGUAUUAAGCAAUCCUCUAAUCAAGUCCAGCUCCCAAUCAUUAAAAUCUCUAUGAAAUCUAAGAUCCCAACCUCCUUGAUCAAUGCUUGGGUCCAACAUCUCAUUAACCGUUGCAUUCUUGUGAACCGCCAAAUAAAAAAGCUGGGGGAAAGUUUGGGACAGCGCUGCAUUGCCACACCACUGGUCAGUCCAGAAUUUAACUCUAGUCCCCUUCCCCACCUUAAACUUUAUGUUAUCCCAGCACCACUUUGCCUCCUUCAUAAUCUCCUUCCAAACCCCCACUCCAUAAGUCCUACGGGCUUCUUUAGCUCUCCACCCAAAAUCUUCCUGACCAUAUUUCACCCCAAUCACCAUCUUCUAGAGAUUAUCCUUUUCAACGGCAAAUCUCCAUAACCAAUUACCCAACAACGCUUUGUUCAAGGGAUCAAUCUUCCGAAUGCCAAAGUCACCCUUCUCCUUUUGAGUGCAUACCACCUCCCAAUUAAUUAAGUGGACUUUCCUCUCCAAGCUUCCCCCUCCCUAAAGAAAGUCCCUUUGUAAUUUUUAGAGUCUAUUUGCAACACUCUUUGGCAUUUGAAAGAGGGACAUAUUGUAAAUAGGCAAGCUGGUCAGAGUGCUCUUGAUUAAGGUGAUACGCCCACCCUUCGAUAUAUAUUGUCUUUUCCACUAGGCUAAUCUUCUCCUCAUUCUCUCUUCCACCCCAUCCCAUAUAGAGAUAGCUUUGUGAUGUGCUCCAAGGGGCAACCCCAAGUAAACAGUGGGCAGAAACCUCACUUUGCACCCAAUUUCCACAACCAUUUCCUCAAUUUCUUCCACCUCACCAACCGGAAUUAAGACGCUCUUAUCUAGAUUAAUUCUGAGACCGGAAGACACCUCAAACCAAGCCAAAAUCCAGCUUAGAGCAAAUAGUUGCUCUUUCCUAGCUUCACAAAAGAUGAUUGUAUCAUCAGCAAAAAGAAAAUGUGAAACUAUUAUCUCCGCUUCCCCUUUCCCCCGAAUUCUACAGCUUGACAAGAAGCCCCCAUCAACCGCCCUUCUUAUCAGAUUGCUUAGCACUUCCAUGCCCAACACAGAGAUAUAGAGAGAAAGGAUCUCAUUGCCUUAGCCCCUUGGAAUUCAAGAAGAAGCUAGCUGGCACCCCAUUGAUCAUGACUGAAAAUUUGGCGGUUGAGAUGCACCACCAAAUCCAUUCCAUUGACCCAAAGCCCAUUUUAAACAAAACUUUCAUGAGAAAAUUCCAGUUGAUGUUGUCAUAUGCUUUUUUAAUGUCCAAUUUACAGAUAAGCCCUUUCUCGUUCCUUUUGUGCCAGAAAUCAAUCACCGCAUUGGAAAUAAGUGAUGCAUCCAAAAUUUGUUUGCCUCUCACAAAGGCAUUUUGAUUCUCAUAAACCACCUUGUCUAACACCUUCUUCAGCUUAUUCACCAACACCUUAGCCAAAAGCUUGUACAAACUCCCUAACAAACUGAUUGGCCGAAAAUCUCCCAGGUCUUUAGCCUCUCAUUUCUUAGGGAUAAGGACUAAGAAAGUGGAAUUGAGGCUUUUGGCAAAAGAUCUCUGGUCAUAGAAUUCUUUAAACAGGUCCACAAUCUCCUCCUUCACAAGCUCCUAGCUUGAUUGCCAAAAAGCAACUGUGAAGCCAUCUGGGCCUCGAGCUUUAUCACCCUUCAUUUCCAUUAAGGCAGAGUAAAUUUCCUCUUUAGUAAAAGACAUCUCCAAGACUUCAGCUUCACAGGAAUUGAGGCGAUUAAGGUGCAGCCCCUCAAUAUUCGUUCUCUAGCCUGACUCUUUUGAGAGCAAAUGCUGAAAAGCAUUCACUAUCCCCUUCCUCACCUCCUGGUCCUCAGUCAUCCACUCCCCAUUAAUUUUAAUUCUAUCCAGGGAAUUAUUCCUUCAGUGGGCAUUUGCCAUCCUAUGGAAAAAGCCAGUGUUCCUAUCCCCUUCCUUAAGCCAUAGCUCCCUUGACAAUUGUCUCUAGUGGGUCUCUUCCAUUAGCACCCAUUUUUUAAAGGAGUCUUUGGCUUCUUUUUUCAGCUCAGUUUCUCCUUCAGACAGGCUUCUCUCACUUUCCACCCCAUCCUAGAACUCCACUUGUUGAAGAGCUGAGUUCUUAUUGGCUUCCAGCCUACCAAACACCUCCCUGUUCCACACUUUGAUUUUUUGCUUCAGCUCCUUCAUUUUAGUGGCUAACCUGACACUGGCCCUCCCUCUCACCUUAAACCCUUGCCACCAACCCCGAAGAAGGUCCGUAAAACCAUCAGCUUUAAGCCACAUAUUUUCAAACCUAAACGGGAAAGGACCCCUCCUUAACCCACCCUCCCAUCAACAAGAUAGGAAAAUGAUCUGAGGUAGGUUUGGGCAGCCUGCUUUGCAUGACCUCAUUGAAAUGAUCAAGCCAAUUUUGGGUCACCAGGAACCUAUCGAAUCUGGCCCAAGCCUGAUUAAUCCUCCCCCCACUCCAGGUAAGCACACCCCCUUGCAAUGGAAGGUCAAUGAGCUCUAACUCAUCAACAACCUGGGCAAACCUUCUCAUUGCACUCGUUAGCCUUCCCUGAUUACUUUUUUCCCUCUAGGACAGGAUGACAUUGAAGUCACCCCCUAGACACCAAGGAUCAUCCCAAAUGCCUCUAAUUGUUCCUAUCUCCUCCCACAUCCACUCUCUUUCCUCUCUAGAGAAAGGCCCAUACACACUAGUAAACAUCCAAACUAGCCUAUCUUCCACGUUCCUCAGCCUACAAGAGAUUGAGAAGUUUCCUACUUCCAUUUCAAUCACUUCUAGGGUCCUCUUAUCCUAGCAGAUCAAUAAACCUCCCGUAGAACCAUGGGCAUCCAGGGUACCCCAAUCGAGAAAUCUACCAAUGCCCAAGCUUCUCACCAACCCCUCUGUCAUUGCUUGAAUUUUGGUCUCCUGAAGACCAAACAAAUCCACCCUUUGAAUCCUGAUCAUGGCCUUAAUCACCUUUCUUUUAGAGCUGUCGUUAGUUCCACGAGCAUUCCAACUCAAGAGUCUUAGCUUCAUUUAACCACCAUGAUUUGACAUCAUCUUCCUUGCAUUUCACACUUCUGUUUCUUCUCCCCCUCGUAAUUAAUUGAGCACUCUAGUCUUUUCAAUUCCCUUUCGAACUUAGAUUUUUCUAGAAGGUUUUUAUUAUGGACUCUUUCCUUUCUAUUUCAGAUUUUAACCAAAAAAUCCAAAAUUUCUUUCUCCAGACCUUUUGUCGAAAACCCCAAAAACUCACUAAAUUUGGCCAAAUCACUCUCCUCCAAACUAUCCUCCUCCCAUCUCUUUCCUUCUCGUGGCAUAGAUUGAACUAAACACAACUCCUUUCCACAGUUAUCUUUGUAGCCAUUAAUAACCUCCGUCAAUUCCCAAUGCUAACAUUCUCCUCUUCUAGGGGUCCCGGAGUGAGAAGCAUGCGUAAAGGGGUUUCCCUCUAGGAAGUCUCCCUAUCAUCCCUAGAAAGGUUGCAAUACUCCCCCAAUGGAGUCCGACCGAAAAAGAAAGAAGGAGAAGAUGAGGACCCAGAUGCCAACAAACCACUAGGGUUAGGAGCACACCCAUACCUCGAUGCUUCCUCAAUUAGGGCGCUGUCAGUCCUUGAUCUCUCCAUGGAAUAGAACUCCUCCUCAAUUUGCUUCCGCCGGCCAUCAUUUUCCCAGAAGGAAAAGCUUUCAGCAUCUGGAUCCCUCAGAGGACUUGGGCCAGCCCACACUAGUGGCAAGGCCACCCUAGAGCAACCCACCAAAGAUUGGGGUGGGCCUCGACAUAUUUCCAUCCUAUCCGGCCCAGGCGCCCCAAUGGUCUCCAAGGUAUUUAACUUCCUAGAGCCCUUUAAGGACGAAAGCCCAAUAGGAGACGACCCAACCUUAGGAGAUGAAACUGGAUCAAGCCCAAUGGGCCCAGAGCCCAAAUCGGAGCGUCGAGAAGCCCCAGUAGGGCCAAGCUUAAUGGGCUCCCCUUGCAAGCCUUCCUGGUCCCCCACUGAUGGCCUAACGAGGCCCCAAGACCGAGCCCAAAGGAGCCCCGACCCACCUGUUUGCCCCCGUGUCCCAUCAGCAGACUGCAGAUGGGUCUCGAUCCUUGCAUCGUCCACCUCUUCCAGCACGCGCUUGCCCGCACGUGUAGAGACGUCACCCUCAACCUUUCCUUCUGCUCCGCUGUUCUUCCCCUUUCUCGCUGCCGACAACACUCUCAUUAUCGGUCUUACCUCCUACCACAAGGUUAGCAAAUAACACACCCCUUCGACCCCAAUUUCUACCAUGCUAGGGAUCUCCUCGCCGUUUAGCUUCACCAGGAUUCUUGCCCAUUGCAGCUCCUCCAGGUUCUUCUUCUGAGAUUCAAUGGCUAAAAAUCUCCCACACUUCUUCCCUACCUUUCUAAGGGUGGCCCGAUCUCAUAACGAGAUGGGUAGCCUCACGAUUCUCACCCAUGCCUCAUUCUUCUUCUCUCCUUCCAACAGACACCCCGUCCUAGGGCUCCAUUUCUCUAGUCGCAGAAGUGUCUUCCCUACCAAAAUUCCUCCUAGAUUUAGAGUUUUUUCGGCUUCCACUACCAUCUCAAACUCUAGUAGCACCUUUCCCCAUUCCAACUUAGCCAAACCUAAGUUGCCCUUCAACCCCCAACUUCGUGCCAUUUGGGUCCCCCAACUUCUCAAGUCAUCCCCCUUCACUGACUUUGGAUCCCACGAGGCAACAAGGCAGUGAUCCAACCUCUUUAGAUUUCGACUGAGGUCCUUGUGGCUUACUUCCACCCUAGCCACUAACCUACCAUUGCGAUUUUGCAGCUUAACCACUUUCGUAAAACUUUUCCCUAAACUGGGCACAGACGACAUCAUCUCGUCCUUCUGACUCUCCUUCCUCUCCGUAGCAACACCCAAAGCCCUAAGCGUCUCCACCAUAGAAACCCAACCCUCUUUUCCUCUUCUUCCUUUGGGGAUAAAGAUGUUGAACAUUUUCUUCUCUAGGUCCUCGACACCUAAACGGAUGAAGAAUCCCCCCUUAUUUUCAUCAUGCAACAGUGAGUAGAUCUUCCAUCUUUCCCUCCAAUUUCUUACCCAUUUGCCUGUUCGUGUGUCCUUAAUGCAAAGAGCCAAACUUUCCACAAAAAUCCCUAGACUAUCUGGACCCAUUUUAAUCCACGAAGACACCCCUCUUUUUCUUUCCACAAUAAUGACUUGCACUUUGCCCUUCUUCUUUUCUACAUCGAUCUCGAAGGUCUUCGACUCCACCUCAAAGCUGCUCUUCCCCCGGCUGUUCCGAGGCUCCAAGCAGACGAUGUUUUCUGCACCAUCGCUCGCACACAGAACCACUCGCUCUCUCUCUCUCUCUCUCUCUCUCUCUUUCUCUAGCCCUCUCUACAUUGUAUAGGAUUACCAUUUGGUCCUUGGACAAAACCCUAGUCUUGCAGAUAUGUAUGUAUGGGUGUAUAUUUCUCUAUCAUGAUACAAAUGAGAAAAAAUUCAAGAAAGUUGUUUUGUUUUAAAAAAAAUUGAAAGUUAAUUUGUGUUUUGAGAGGGACAUUAGACAACCUAGGAUUCAAAGGAAUAUGUUGUCUCUUAGGAAAAUAUAAUUCAUAGCAUUCUCAAUCACUUACAGGUUAUUUUAGUCCUUUUAAAUUGAUUUAUUUAAUUUUUUUCAUUUUUGUAAGCAAGCAAAAAAUAUAUUUACAACACUUACUAUUAUCAUUAUUUUGGUAAUUAGCAUUGAUGGAGAUUGUAAAAAUUCUCUAAUGGUUUUGCAGGAGAAAAAAAUAAUAUUUAUGAAUUUUUGUUAAACACAAUUGUCAUAAUGAUAAUAAUUAAUUAGAAUAAGUUUGUAGUUGGAAAAAUUUUAAAAAAUAAAAGCUUUUGGAAAUAGUUUGAAUAUGAGUAGAAAAUUCUUGGAUUUCAUGGAGAGCUUAGGUGGGAUCUAAAGCAUGGGGCUAUUUGCUAUCUAUUUUAGUAUUUGCUGCUCUUCUCUCUUAUAGGUGUUCAGUUGCAGCUUGUAUUCGCUGAGCGUACUUGGGUUGUUCCCCCUUUUGUGUUCUUCAAUAUAAUCUUCAAGCUCAUGACUAGUGCAAUUUCUACUAAUUGAACACUUUUCACUUCAAAUAAUAUUCAGUAAUCUAAAUAGCAUUUAUCUAAUUAUUUCUAACUAGCCAUUAGAUUUAUUAAGAACCCAAAAUAUGAAAUUUUCUUCUUAGGCAUGAGAAAUUAUCAUUGUUAUAAACCCCAUGUUUGUCUUGUACUUACAAGCAUAAUUAUAAAGCAUGAUCUGCAUGUCUUAUCAUGAAAUAUAACAAUGUCAUAAAAUAGAUGAUUGAUAAAAUAUUAGAAGUCCAUUGCAAAUGCUUAAUGGAACUGAAAAUUAUUACAGAGCAAUUGCAUAUUUCACUCAAAACUUUUAUGCAGUAAGGGUAAUCAUGUGCUUGAAUCAAGUAAACUUAAUGGAUCUCAGCUACAACUGCUCUACAUUUUAACCAUUGUUUUAUGUUAUGGGAAUAGUGAUUGAAUUUCACAAUCCCAUCAUUAUAAUUUAUGCAUUGUAAUUUCAUUUGUGGGACUUAGUUUUCAUAUGUGUUCACAUGUCAUAACUGUAAUUUCCCUAAUUUUAUGAGUAAGAAAAACUCUUUAAUUUUCCCUAUUUUGAUUGAAACUUUAGGAACUAGGACUUUAUAUGGUGCAAAUGUAUGUUAUCAGCUAUUCCUUUUGACCAGCCAUGAGUAGAUACUAUUUAUAAAAGGACAUAAAUGAGGAUAUAAUCCAAGUGCACUUGUAGUCGACAAGUUACUCUGGGCAUCAAAAUUGAAAGAAACAACAAUGAAGAAAAGCAGCAAGAAAGUGCCCCUACCUCCCAAACUCUCAAUAAACUACUGGAAGGAUCUACUGCUAUUCAAGAUAACUUCUUCUAAGCACAACUACAUGUAACAGUACUUAGCCUGCGCUAUGGUGUCAAGAGGUAGGCUCAUUGGAACAUGCCUAUUUUGAUGGAUUUUAGUUUGUGGGGAUAGUUAAAGUGUAAAGUGUUUGAUAAAAUAAAUUUGCUAGUUUUAAUAAAUUGGAAUUACUACUGAAUGAAAUGUGAAGCUAGAUAUUAGGAGAAAGAAAGAUAAUUAAUUUAUUUGUAUGACACUAUGACUUACACAUUGUGAAGCUUACUGGUUGGGAAUUGUUGAACGGGGGAACUUACUUAAUAGGGGAGAAAGAACCACACAUAUUUCUUAAUGAGAAAAUAUAAUUACAUUAGCAAAAGGCCAAAAAUACAUGAGUAGUUCACUAAUUGCAUAUUAUUGGAAAGAAAGCUGAGCAACAUAUGAUUCAUAAACUUUUUACAAUUUAAAGGCCUGGGUCCAAUGAGAUAUGUUGCAUCAUAUUACCUAAUGAACCAAUGAAGUUUAUGGAUUUCCAAAACUUCUUGGAGAGGUUCAUUAUUUUAUGGUUCUUUUUUUCUUUUUUAGGGUUCUUUAUUUUCUUUUUGCCGAGAUAUCUAGAAUAUGGCAUGGUAGGUAUUUUUGCUCCAUACCUCUUUGGAGCUCAAUUAUUUGGCAAAGUAGGAAGAAAACAAAUUAGCAUCAACUUUGGCUUGACUUGAGAUCACAAAUCUGACUAGAGAUUUUGCAGUAGUGUGUUGAGGUCUAAUUCGAAUCCAGGUUGUGAUGUGUGCAUCAAAGAGUCUUUCCAUAAGCCAUUAAGCUUUGAGGUGUUUUGUGAUGGCAUGACUGGAUAAUGAGCUGCAUUUUGGUCUGGAAUUUGGAGUUCGGUUAUGCAUUUCUGUAUCUAUAUCUCCAAAAUUAUUAACUAAUUUUAAUUAUUUUAUCUAUUUUUCAAAAUAAACAUUCAAAAUUGAAAGUUUGUGUCACGAGUCUUCAGGCUUAUCCGUAAUAGAAUGCCCUACAUUAACUCUUACUGUUAAUGCAUAUAAUACCAGGUCAGUCAUCACAACCAUUUGCUUGCUUAUGUUGACUUUCAAUGGCUUAAAAUUCAUGGCUUCAAUGGUUAUUACCAUGCUAACACUCAAACUAAUUCUUUUUUUUUUAGGUAAAUAAGAGCUUGUAUUAGAAGCGCCUAAAAGUGGCAAAAACAGUUCACAUGAAGUAUGCAAACAGAUUGCCCAAGAAACUAGGCAAAGAAAACAAAAAACCUUUCCCUUAAUUAGACAUAUGACCACUCUAUAAAAUCAAUCAUAGACGAAGUAUGAUCCUCUAUAAACACCCUAGCCCAAUUUACAAGAGUAUACAAAAAGGAAUGUUUUAAAGCUUGGUGGGACUAUUGAUAUCAUUAAAUGCUCUUUCAUUUAUUUCCUUCCAUAAAGUCUACAUUAAGCAUAAAGGGGCAACCCUCCAAGACUUCUCCCUUCUCUUACCCACAAAGGCACCAUACCAACCACCAAAUUCCUUUUAAUCAAAGAAUGCAAAACCCACUGCACACCAAAAAGGGAGAAAAUCAAACUCCAAAGCAUUGUAGCCUUUCUGCAAAACAAGAUUAAAUGGUCACUGGUUUCCUCUUUCUCUUUACACAAGCAUAUUCAAACUAAUAACUAAUAUUUGCUGGAUUUAAAGCUUGUUUGUUAGUGUUCUUCAUGGUUGUGCUUCUAUUUUUAAUUGAUUCUCUUGGCCAUCACCGUUUCCCCCUUAUUAAGAUUGGAUAUUUAAGUUUCAACGAAACAGCCUACUAAAUCCUCAAGAUAGAUCCUAUUUAUAAGGCAUGGGAGUUUUGGUCAAUGUCUGCUUCCAAGAUUCUUAUCCAUAUUUCUAUGAAUUCUUAUGCCAGAAAGUCUACUUCUUGCAGAAUUUUGAUGAUGUCUUGGUUCCUCCUGAUCACGUCGGUAGGAGUUACAAUGAUACAUACUACAUUGACUCUCAAACUGUCUUGAGGUGCCACACUAGUGCUCAUCAAGCAGAGCUGUUGAGGAGGGGACACACUCAUUUCCUUGUGACUGGAGAUGUUUAUCGUAGAGAUUCCAUUGAUUCAACUCACUACCCUGUUUUUCAUUAGGUUUCUUAUCUCUGAUUUUAUCAAUGAUUGUUUUCUAUUAACAAGUUUCUUAAUGUUUUCUUCAGUUCAAUAACUUAUCAUGCAGAUGGAAGGUGUUCGUGUCUUCUUUCCAGGUGAUUGGGAGCAUGGUUCAAAGUCGCGGUAUCGGUCAUUGACUCGGAGGGUCAUGAAGCAUAUCGGUCUCAAUUCGGUAUCGGACGAUACGUAAAAUAAGAUAAUUAGAAAUUUCAAAAAAUUAUAAAAAUAUUAUAUAAAUUAAAAAAUAGAUAUAAUUGAAUAAGUUGAAAAUUUUAAGAAAACAAUUUUUUUUUUUUCACAUGUAGCUCAAAAUUAUUUGUGAUAAUAUUCAAAAUUGAGGAUUUAAUUCUUACCUUGCCAUAUAAACACUUUAAUUUAUCAUUAAACCUCAUUCAUACCUUUCAUAUCAUUUUACUUUAGCAAAUCGGGACCCAAUUCUCCUAAUAUGUUACUAUUAAAUCAUAUCUCAUAAAUCCAUAUAAAAUGCAUUUUUUACUUUACUAAUUUUAGCUUCUCCCACCCUCGCACGCCACCAUUGCUAUCAAGAGUCAAGACCCACAACACCACAUGCAAUUGCAAAUUUGCAACCGUGCAAGACCCAACACAGGAGGGGGAGCAAUUUGAUUGUGAGGGGGUUGUCUUGUCGAUGUCGCUGGUGAAAGAUUCAAUCCACUUUAUGAGUCACCACCGUUGACACCAAAGCUCCACCCUCCGGUAAUGCUCGAUUUUGAGGAAAAUCAGGUAAGUAAAUCCUAAAUCAUGCCCUCAUCCUUCAAUGGUUUCUCUGCUUAUUUCCGAACGGGUCACGGGUUGGUUUUUUCUUCUUCGUCUUCUUUGAUCUUCUCAUUGAUGGUUUAAAAUUUCAUAAUAGGUGUUUGCUUUUGAAAGGGCAAUCUUUGAUUUUUUUAUUCUCUAUAACCUAACUGAGUCAACCGAGUUAACUCGGAAAAUCAGAUUAGUCAAUCGAGUCUUACCGAUUCCCAGUCGAGUUCAUGCAUAAUACCGUAUCUGGUAUCGGUCUCGUCGUGGCAGGUGUCGAGGCCGAUACGACUUGGCUGAGUUGUAUCAGACUCGGCCGAUACUUUGAACCCUGAUUGGGAGACAUCUGGAAUGGAUGACAUGUCUUAUGCGGCUGAGGAUUUAAAGAAAUGUCUUGAGGGUUUGGUGCAGCACUUGUUUGGUAAACUUAGAUCAGGAGAUUGUCUUAAUCAGAUGCGAACUUAAUACUAUCAGUUGAUGCUACAGUGAGAAAUAUGGGUUAAGGAAUUAUUUACCAGGUCUAAUAAUUCAAAAUCUGGGAAAUACUUCAAGUAAAAGGGGGAAAAAUAAUGAAAUAAUAAAAUAAUAAAUUUAAGUGGGGAAAGCAAUUCAUGUUAUGCAAAAGCAGUACAGGUUGGUCAUUUAGAAGUCAAAUCAAGAUAGUCCAGAAUAAUAUAGGGAAUUAUUUGCGAUUCUCAAGGUACUUGUUAAAAAUCAUUGACAAAUUACCUAAAGAAACAUUUAAGAGUGCUAUUAUUCUUGAAAUUUCUGAAAUCUAUCAGAAAGGUAGUUUUCAUCUUGGGGUUUACAAUAUACUGUAUAGAAUCUGCGUGGGCUAAAUCUGUUGAAAUUUGCAGGUAAUCUGGAAAUGCGCUGGAUUGAUACAUAUUUCCCUUUCACCAACCCAUAAUUUGAACUUGAGAUAUGUUUUCAGGUAUGCUUUUGAUCUGGCUGGUGGUUACAUUUUAGCACUAUAUAUUUUGAAUUUCUUUAAAACUUUGUUUUUGAACUAAUUUUAGUAGAAACAGGCUCCAUUUCAUUUUUCUGUUUUCAUCUUUUGCAAGAAAGGGUAAAAAUCAUUUCAAAAAUGUGAACUUCAGUUUAUUCCAUUGCUGGCAUGUGUGGCUUUCAUCUGUUAUUGAAGACACUAAGAUUCAUAGACUGAUAAUAUUCCAAUGCUUAUAAUAACAGUAAUGUUGAUGAUAAAAUAAUAUAAAAGUAGAAACAAAAUUAGUUGUCUCCCUUUUUUUUCUUUUAGUUUCUUUGUUCUUCUUACCCCUCUGAUGUGGGGAAGGGGUGUGGGGCUCUUUGUUGUCGCCAAAUGUGAAAAAAAGAUGCAUUAUGUCCUUUUAUUUUGGACUUACAGGACCUAUUAUGAAGGCAUUGCUUUCUUCAAUGUAUAUUUAUGACUUCAAGACAUUUUUGUAUUUUAUUUUAUGGCAGCAUUUUUAUAUUGAAGGAGAAAUUCAUAAACAUAUAUACACACAUGCUAGUGAGCAUACACAAACACUGAUGUUCCACACAGUAAUUAAAAAAUUCUUGCUUUGAGGAGUAUUUUUUUCCAAAACUCAUUUCCAUGUCAGAUGGCAACAUGCCAAUGACUAUUUGCCAGCAAAUGGAAUGCUGGCAACACUUUUAUGGAUUGAAUGUUUUCCUUUCCCUUUUCCUUGUAGUGAAUGAUGUGUACACUUUAGUUGCUCUUACAUAUUUGAUGCAUUGUGCUUCAUGCCCUAACUGAUGCAGAACAGAAAAGUACCAGAAAAAAUGAUGGGAGUCUAGGAAUUACUUCCAAAAACCUUAGGCUUCACAUAUAGGUUUGGUUUUCAUCACACAAAAAAGAAAACAUUGAAAGUUGGAAGGUUUUGUGUUUUCAUUCAUUAAUCCUUUUAGAAGAUAGAGUGAUCAGCUUUGUUAACUACAACCCUAAGACUCUUAAGACCCCUAACACUCUUUGGAACCAAUCACAGUAAUGAUUAGGCUGAGAAAUCAGAAACUUGAACUGAUAAAUAAAAAUUAAAAGGCACUUGCAAAUAUAAAGCAAUACCCCCCACGCCCUUCGGAAAACUCAACCUUGACAAGUUAAAGGCAUGAAAUUUCUCAUAAAGAUCACAAUUCAACUGCUGAAAUUCAUUGCUUGUGAUCCACAUACAAUCUCAAAGUGGCCUUUCUCUCCAUUCCACAUGAUACUUUUGAUAACCUCCUCUUUUGGUUGAAACAAUUUAGUGACCAACAACUUUUCAAUCUUCUCUUUCAAUCAAGGGGCUGGUAGAAGAUGACCAUUUGGACCAUUAAUUGAUGUAGCAGCUUUAGGAUUAGGAUAAAGGGUGUGGUCUUCAAUAUUAGAGAUCUUAUUAAUGCCCAUAUUUUCUGGCAAGUCAAGCACAUAAGCGUUGGGACUUGUUUUCCUGAGAAUUUUAUAGGGACCAACAUUCUUUGAGUGGAGUUUCUUAUUGGCACCUCUAGGAUAUUGUUCAGGCCUUAUUCACACAAUAACCAUGUCACCUUCAAUAAGUUCAGCAAAUUUUCUUUUCACAUAAUCGUAUGACUUGUUUAUUUAUUUGAUAGGCAAGCGGGAAAAACAUGUAAUCCAUAUGACUUAUAAUUUCAUUGAUGAAAACAAUUUUCAUUGAACAUGAUAAUGUAUGUCAUCUAUAUGCGCACUAAAAGCAUCAGCUUCAAUGCUAGGUCAUGCAUCCAUUGGUAAAGGAGCCAAAUCCAUAGGCUUUCUAGGAAGCGAUUCAGUCACAAUCUCAAAAGGACUGUGACCAAUAGACCUGUUCAGUAGGCAAUUGAGGCCUUGCCAUAAAAUCUAUAAGCUUGCUGAAUGUUGCACAGAGAGGAAAGUUUUUGAGCAACAUCUAUGGUAGGUCUUUUCGAGCAACAUCUAUGGUAGGUCUUUUCGAGCAACAUCUAUAGUCAUCAGGAUCAUAGGCUCUAUAAUCAAAUGAAUUUCGGUUUCUUCAUCUUUUUGUUGUUCUUGUUCUUCUUCAGGCUCCAUUCCGAUGUACAAAUUGUUCUUUGGACAAUUUAGGUUAUUUGGCCGGGUUGUUGACACUUAAAACACCUAUUAACCUUACCCUUAGGAUCAACAGCAUUAAAAGAAUACAACUUAGAUCCUAUAGGUUGGAUAAAUGGCUUGAAUUGGCCUAUUCUUGCACUGCAACCUACAUCAGUGAACCUUCUCUGCACUGGUUCUAUGGAUGAAACUCACAUCCCAAGUACUCCUCCAUAUCUAAUGCAAAUUGAAAAGCAUGUUCUAGGAUGUAUAAUGGCUGAUUCAUCAACUCUCUUCUCAUUUUAGGUCUCAAUCCAGCUUUGAAUCAUGCAAGAGUUUGCCCUUGGGUCUUCUACUAUUUGACUCCAAGUCUUUAGCUCAUGAAAUCUUUGCAUGUACUUUGGUCUCUGCAACAGACAUGUUGUUCUGAUUCAUAGUAAUGAGGUGAUUACAUAACCUAUUACAAUAAUUGGUCCUGCAUGUAUUUUUCACAUAGCUUAUCCUUCAUCUCCUGUCAUGUGCUGACAGGUGGUAGCCUCAUCUUCCCAUCUUCCUAGUAUCUCUUUCAAUUUCUGUCCACUAAUCUUUUGCUAAGCCUACUAGUUUCAUUUUAGUAAACCACCCUCUUUGUUCAUCAUUCAUGCAUACCAAUCAAAACGGUCCUCAAUUGUAGCUAGCCAAUCAACAAAUUGAGUAGCAUCACCCCUCCUUCAAAUUAGGAACUUCUCCUUUUACUUUCCUUGUGAUAUCUUCAGCAGUUUCACAAGGUUUACACCUUGUUUCAGGUAGUUCUCUAGCCCAUUCAGAUAUAGGAUAUUGUGGUGCAUGUCCGAUGUUCCUCCAAGUUUUUGUUAUUAAUUUGAGAUAAUUCUCCUUGCACAACACGUGCUAAAUCAUUAGUGGGCUGAGAUAUUUGUGUCUCAAUGUUGCUUAGUCGAAUAUGCAGGCUAUCAAGCUGUUCCAUCACCAAAAUAGUAUCUCGUCAUUUUGACUAUUAGAUAAAUCUAUUUUGAAACUCCUAGGUCUUGUAAUCAUGCUCUCAGCUUGCUCUGAUGCCAAAAUUGAUGCCGAACAGAAAGGUAAAAGAAAACAUGUUGGGACUUUAGGAAUCACUUCCAAAUUUUAGGCUUCACACUUAAGUUCAGUUUGCAUCACGCAAACAAGUUGAACUAUCACAGUACGAUUGGUUCAUAAUAAGGUGUCAUCUGAUUGGUUCUCGUGGAGACAACCUGUGAUCGUUCAAACUAGGGGCUGCGCCUGAUUGAUUGCAUUGAAAGUUGGAAGGUUUUGUAUGAGAUAAAUGAACCAACUUUAUACACUAUAACUCUAGACCUUAGACUCUUUUGGAGCUAGUGGCAAUACUAAUGAAGUUGGAAAAUCAACAAUGUGAACUGAUAAAAAAAAAUGAAAGACUCUUGAAAAUGUGAAGCAUUAAUGAUUUUGGAAAUAAGAACACUUGUGAUCCUUUGACUAGACUCAUAAACAAAACUUAGACUGAAAUCCACAUUGAAGUAUAUAAAAUCCCGAUUAGGCCUAUUAUCAUCCAAAGUAUGCCAAAUCAUAAUUUGGGCCUUAAGAGUCCAAUCUCUAUGCAUUUGUUAACCUUUCAUAGGUGAUUGCCACUUGUCUUCAUCGCUAACAAACACGAUUAUAGCAUCAAAGAAGGGCCAUGUCCCCAAAUCUGGCAAUAAAAGUUCUUUUUACAAGCUAACCUUAGGGGUCCAAUUACUACAUUAUUGUGUUAACCAUGAACAUUGGUGCUCCUGUUCUGCUUGCAUGGUUACACUGAACCUGCUAUCCAAAUAUGUUGGUUGACCAAAUAAGAAACUCUAGGAAAAUGAAUGAAUUCAUAGCGACAUAGCUACAUUGAAUGCAACUUGUGUGUUUGUGUGAACAGGAUUGGGUGAGUUAAAGAGAGUUUUUAGAAGGGAGAAUACCUUUUUAAUUGGUCUUAGUGUUCAGUAUGCAGCUGGUUCAGUGAUCAUGAGGCCAGUUUAUAAUACAAUUUUCUUGAGAUUUUUAUUGAAGUGAUCCCUUGAAAAGUCAGGCUACUUUUUCAAGAAGUAAAUGUUUUAUCUGUUGGGCUUUGUGGAGCCUAGUUUUGUUUGAUCCGGUCUGACGACUCAACCCCGAAUAAUAUUGCAUGGUUUUUUAAUGGGAGAUUUACUGAGGCCUGUUAGACCCGUUUAGCCCAUUGUGGAACCACCUUUUGUAAUUAGGGUUUUUUUUAGUGUGAGUGUGGUUGCCGUGUUAUAUAUAGAGAGAAAAUACUGUAACCGCCGAGGUUGUACUUUGUAUUCUUCCCUGAUAAUAGUGAUAUCCCUGCAACUCCGUGGACGUAGGCAAAUUGUCGAACCACGUAAAUACUAUCUUGUGCGUGUGAUUGUUUUUCUUUGACGUGUGUUUUUCUCUAUUUUUCGUUUCUCACAGGUUGGGAAUUUGGUUUAAUUCCCUACAACUGGUAUCAGAGCCUAGGGUUAGGUUUGAGUGGGAGCAAUGACAGAGGAAGCAGGAAAGGCGUCUGGAAUAGAAAAGUUUGAUGGCACAGACUUUGCGUGUUGGAGGAUGCAGAUUGAAGACUAUCUCUAUGGGAGGAAAUUUCAUUUGCCUCUUUUGGGGACAAAACCUGAGAGUAUGAAGGCUGAGGAAUGGGCGCUUCUUGACAGAUAGGUUCUAGGAGUUAUUAGGUUAACUCUAUCUAGGUCUGUUGCACAUAAUGUUACAAAGAAGAAGACCACAGCAGAUUUGAUGAAGGCUUUGUCCGGUAUGUAUGAAAAGCCGUCAGUAAACAAUAAGGUGCAUCUGAUGAAGAAAUUGUUCACUUUGAAGAUGGUAGAGAAUGCAUCAGUAGCACAACAUCUUAAUGAAUUUAAUACAAUCACAAAUCAAUUGUCGUCUGUAGAAAUUGAUUUUGAUGAUGAGAUUCAUGCUCUGAUCAUCUUGUCUUCUUUGCCAAACAGUUGGGAGGCAAUGAGGAUGGCAGUAAGCAAUUCUACGGGAAAGGAAAAGCUCAAGUACAAUGAUAUACGAGAUUUAAUUCUGGCUGAGGAGAUUCGCCGAAGAGAUGCAGGUGAAACCUCAGGAUCUGGUUCUGCCCUAAACCUUGAAACAAGAGGCAAAGGUAAUGACAAAAAUUCAAAUAAGGGUAGAUCAAAUUCCAAAAAUUCUAAUCGGAACAGAAGCAAAUCUAGAUCAGGCCAACAAGUACAAUACUGGAAUUGUGGGAAAACAGGUCACUUUAAAAGGCAAUGCAAAAGUCCUAAGAAGAAGAAUGAAGAUGAUUCUGCUAAUGCUGUAACAGAAGAGGUACAGGAUGCAUUACUUCUUACAAUAGAUAGUCCACUUGAUGAUUGGGUUUUGGAUUCAGGAGCUUCAUUUCAUACCACUCCACACCGAGAAAUCAUACAGAAUUAUGUUGCAGAUGAUUUUGGUAAUGUGUAUUUGGCUGAUGGUUUAGCCUUGGAUGUUGUGGGUUUGGGAGACGUCCGGAUAUCAUUGCCCAAUGGGUCUGUUUGGUUACUGGAGAAGGUUCGACAUAUUCCUGACCUGAGGAGGAAUCUGAUUUCUGUUGGACAACUUGAUGAAGAAGGACAUGCAAUACUAUUUGUUAGUGGUACUUGGAAGGUUACAAAGGGAGCUAGGGUAUUGGCUCGUGGAAAGAAGACUGGUACUUUGUAUAUGACCUCAUGUCCAAGAGACACAAUUGCAGUUGCUAAUGCAAGUACUGAUACAAGCCUAUGGCACCGCAAACUUGGUCACAUGAGUGAGAAAGGGAUGAAGAUGUUGUUGUCAAAAGGAAAACUACCAGAAUUGAAGUCCAUUGAUUUUGACAUGUGUGAAAGUUGCAUCUUAGGAAAGCAAAAAAAGGUGAGCUUCUUGAAAACUGACAGGACACCGAAGGCUGAAAAAUUGGAAUUAGUACACACUGAUUUGUGGGGGUCUUCUCCGGUUGCAUCCCUAGGAGGUUCAAGGUACUACAUCACUUUUAUUGAUGACUUAAGUAGAAAGGUAUGAGUUUAUUUUCUGAAAAAUAAAUCCAAUGUAUUUGAAACUUUUAAGAAGUGGAAGGCCAUGGUUGAGACAAAAACAGGUUUGAAAGUAAAAUGUUUGAGGUCAGAUAAUGGAGGAGAGUACACAAAUGGAGGGUUCAGUGAGUAUUGUGCUGCACAGGGAAUUAGGAUGGAGAAGACUAUUCCUGGGACACCACAGCAGAAUGGUGUGGCUAAGCGCAUGAACAGAACUCUCAAUGAGCGUGCUAGAAGUAUGAGGUUGCAUGUUGUUAGCACUGCAGCUUACUUGAUAAACCGAGGACCAUCAGUUCCCAUGGAGUUCAGACUUCCUGAGGAGGUUUGGAGCAGUAAAGAGGUGAAGUUUUCACAUUUAAAAGUUUUUUGUUGUGGUUCUUAUAUUCAUAUUGAUUCUGAUGCUCGUAGUAAACUUGAUGCAAAGUCAAAAAUAUGUUUUUUCAUUGGCUAUGGUGAUGAGAAAUUUGGCUAUAGGUUUUGGGAUGAACAAAACAGAAAAAUCAUCAGAAGUAGAAAUGUGAUAUUUAAUGAACAGAUUAUGUACAAGGACAGGUCAACUGUAGUGUCAGAUGUUACAGAGAUGGAUCAAAAGAAAUCUGAGUUUGUCAACUUAGAUAAAUUGACUGAAAGUACUGUCCAAAAGGGGGGGUGAAGAAGAUAAGGAGAAUGUAAAUUCACAGGUAGAUCUUACUACACCUGUAGCUGAAGUUCGCAGAUCUUCCAGGAACAUUAGACCUCCACAACGUCAUUCACCUGUUUUAAAUUAUCUCCUAUUGACUGAUGGUGGUGAGCCAGAGUGUUGUGAUGAAGCCUUGCAAGAUGAGAAUUCAAACAAGUGGGAGUUAGCCAUGAAUGGUGAGAUGGAUUCUUUGUUGGUGAAUGAGACAUGGGAACUGACUGAAUUGCCAAUAGGAAAGAAGGCUUUGCACAACAAGUGGGUAUACAGAAUAAAGAAUGAGCAUGAUGGUAGCAAACGUUACAAGGCCAGAUUAGUUGUUAAAGGGUUCCAGCAGAAGGAGGGCAUUGACUACACAGAGAUAUUUUCUCCAGUAGUGAAGAUGUCAACAAUCAGACUUGUACUGGGAAUGGUGGCUACAGAAAACUUACAUCUUGAGCAGUUAGAUGUGAAAACAACAUUCCUUCAUGGUGACUUGGAGGAAGACCUUUACAUGAUUCAGCCAGAAGGGUUCAUUGUUCAGGGACAAGAAAAUCUAGUCUACAAACUGAGAAAGAGCUUGUAUGGCCUUAAACAAGCUCCUAGACAGUGGUACAAAAAGUUUGACAGUUUUAUGCAUAGAAUUGGGUUCAAGAGAUGUGAAGCUGAUCACUAUUGCUAUGUUAAGUCUUUUGACAAUUCUUACAUCAUAUUACUGUUGUAUGUGGAUGAUAUGCUUAUUGCAGGGUCUGGCAUUGAGAAGAUUAAUAAUCUGAAGAAGCAAUUGUCCAAACAGUUUGCAAUGAAGGAUUUGGGAGUUGCAAAGCAAAUCCUUGGUAUGAGAAUCAUUAGAGACAAGGCUAAUGGUACAUUGAAGCUUUCACAGUCAGAGUAUGUGAAGAAAGUUCUCAGCAGGUUCAACAUGAAUGAAGCUAAACUAGUGAGCACACCCUUAGGGAGUCAUUUCAAACUAAGCAAAGAACAGUCACCAAAGAUAGAAGAAGAAAGGGACCAUAUGAGCAAGGUGCCCUAUGCCUCAGUUAUUGGCAACUUGAUGUAUGCUAUGGUGUGUACAAGGCCAGACAUUGCACAUGCAGUGGGAGUUGUGAGCAGAUUCAUGAGUAUGCCUGGAAAGCAGCAUUGGGAGGCAGUCAAGUGGAUUCUAAGAUAUCUGAAGGGUUCAUUAGAUACAUGUCUUUGCUUCACAGGUGCAAGUUUGAAAUUGCAUGGUUAUGUAGAUGUUGAUUUUGCUAAUGAUAUUGAUAGUAGAAAGAGUACUACUGGGUUUGUUUUUACUCUAAGUGGUACAACUAUAUCAUGGGCUUCAAAUCUACAGAAGAUUAUUACUUUGUAUACUACAGAAGCUGAGUAUGUUGCAGCAACUGAAGUUGGAAAGGAGAUGAUUUGGAUACAUGGUUUCUUAGAUGAAUUGGGUAAGAAGCAGGAGAUGGGCAUUCUACAUAGUGACAGUCAGAGUGCAAUUUUUCUUGCCAAAAAUUCGUCUUUUCAUUCAAAGUCGAAGCAUAUACAAACAAAAUACCACUUUAUCUGUUAUCUUGUUGAAGAUAAACUGGUAAUACUUGAGAAGAUUUGUGGAUCUAAGAACCCGGCAGACAUGUUGACUAAGGGUGUCACUAUUGAGAAGUUGAAGCUAUGCGCAGCUUCAAUUGGUCUUCUAGCUUGAGGACAGGAGGAUGAGUUGCAGGAAUGAGGGAUUGUUUCUUGGAUGAUAGCGGUUUGAUGUUGGUGAUUGAACUAGUCUCCAAGUGGGAGAUUUGUUGGGCUUUGUGGAGCCUAGUUUUGUUUGAUCCAGUUUGACGAUCCGACCCGAAUAAUAUUGCAUGGUUUUUUAAUGGGAGAUUUACUGAGGCCUGUUGGACCCGGUUAGCCCAUUGUGGAACCACAUUUUGUAAUUAAGGUUUUUUAGUGUGGGUGUGGUUGUCGUGUUAUAUAUGGAGAGAAAAUACUGUAACCGCCGAGGUUGUACUUUGUAUUCUUCCCUGAUAAUAGUGAUAUCCCUACAACUCCGUGGACGUAGGCAAAUUGCCGAACCACGUAAAUACUGUCUUGUACGUGUGAUUGUUUUUCUUUGGCGUGUGUUUUUCUCUAUUUUUCGUUUCUCACAGGUUAGGAAUUUGGUUUAAUUCCCUACAUUAUCUUGGAGGUUGUAAAAGAUGCAUUCUCAUAAUAGAUGCCUUGAUUAUGUUUCUUCAGUAGAAGAACCUACAAUUAGGGUCCUGUGUAUAUCCUUUCUUGGAAUUUUCAUAAAUUUACCAUUAUUAACUUUCUAUUUUAGGACUAACUGUUCAGCAAAUCUAUGGAAAAGACUAAAUAGUAAAUACUAAGUAGUUCCUCCAAGGGCUGCUAAAAAGCACUUCCCAGGGCCAUGAGCCAAAACUAGGCCACAUGGAAAGGGGUUGUAACAAGUCACUUGACUUGGGGUUGUUAGAGGCCAUCAUUAGUCAAGAUUGGUUUUAGAUUCAACUUUAGGAAUUUAUUUAUUUUCCUGAUUUCUAUUUUAUUUUUAGUUACAUAAUCAUAUUUGACUCUUGUUUUCCACUCUAAAUUCACAAUAUGUGAACCUUAUGAUAGAAAUUUUUAACUUCAGAACAUGAGUUGGGAUGUAUCAUAGAAGAAAGAUUCAAAUCCUUGGACUAGCAUUUCUGUAAUGCCUCAAUGAAAUUUUAUUGUAUGAUUAUCUACUUGAAGUAGCGAACCAUCAUCCUUUUAUUUAUUUAUUUAUUUUUGAUGGGAAACGACAAAGAGAUAUAUUGAUAGAAAAAAGAAGUACAAGAAAAGGAUGAGAAAUCCUCCCACCAAAGAAAAUCUAAACUACAAUAAUACAAAAACAAGAAUAUACAAUGUAAAAACAAACAAACUCUCUAGAUUAGACCAACCCAUUGGAAUUACACACUGCUAGUCAAUCAAGUUGUAACAUAUUAAGGGGAAUCCGCUUAAAAACCAUUAUCUUUUUAUUGGCAUUGAAUUGUGAAACCAUUAUGCCAUUACAUUGACAUCUCCAAAUGAAUGGUUUUAAUUUGAAUAGUUUUGUAUUAACUUAUUAUUUGACAAUUAUUGCCUAUAGUUUUUUGGCAGAACUGCUACGAUCUCACUAAGCAACAUCCAUUGAUAAUUUAUCAGGAGAACUGGUUGGAAGUUUUAGGUUGUGGGGUGACAGAGCAAGAAAUAUUAAAGAAAAGUGGUAAAACAGGUAAUGUUGCUUUGGCUUUUGGGCUUGGAUUGGAACGGCUAGCAAUGGUUCUGUUUGGGAUACCUGAUAUUUGGCUUUUCUGGUCAACUGAUGAGCGGUUCACCUCUCAAGUAAUUCCCCAAUUCAGUAAAUGAUAUUCUAUUUUAUUUUAUUCUCCUUUUCUUUGUCUUUGUGGUUAAGUAAUCAUUUCCAAAAUUGAUAUCCUUAGGAAAAUAAAGCAUGCUGAAAAUUGACCUUGUUGACAUUCUUAAUGUCUGAUUUGGGUUCCCUGAAUGUUUAAUUUAAACACUUUGUAUGCAGUUCUCAAAGGGCCAGCUUGGGGUCAAGUUCAAGCCAUUUUCAAAGGUAUUGCUUAUAAUUUUCUCAGUUUGAUAGUAGUAGUAUCUUCUUCUGAUGUUGUGUAAAUUGAAACUCUUGCAUAAUUUUCAUGCAAAAGGAUCCAAGACAUUUUGGGGGCCUGCAUUUUUAAGUAUAACCAGAAAAAGUCCUUUAUGCAAAUUUGUCUUUUACAUUCUGAAAUCGAAAAGAUUAAUUACACACAACAUAAUAACUAAAUAUUUAUACCUGUUAGAGCCCAAUGUAACCUUCUCUAUUGGCUGCUAGAAACUGACUAUCGUCUUUUUGCAGUAUCCUCCUUGUUACAAGGACAAGAGUUUUUGGAUUAAUGAGUUGUUCACAGAAAACAAUUUAUGUGAUGUUGUAAGAGGAGUUGCUGGAGAUCUUGUCGAGGGGGUAUUGCCUUUUUAUGUUUCUUAUUGUAAAUUGUUCAUUAGCUAUAGAUCUCUUCAUGGUUCACUUGGUAGAAUUUUCCUAAUCAUUUGUAUAGUUACACUGAAAGCACCGUACCAAUUUGUGUUUUAAUUAGGGGUGUUCAGGGUUUGGUUUGUUUAGUUUUGAACUUUAAAAUAAAACCAAACCAGUCUAAUUGGUUUUAUGUAUUAGGAACCCAAACCGGCCUAAUCGGUUUUAUGUAUUAGGAACCAGACUAAUUGAACUUAAAGAGGGAACUGAUCAGUUCAGUUCAGUUCAGUUAAUUUACUAUAUUUCGGUCAACAAAUAAAACUGAUUUUUUUUUUUUUUUUUUAUAAUCAAUUUGGGCCAAAACCAAAAAGCUCAUAAUAGGACAUUGUUGGUCAAAAAGCUUAAAAUAGUUUAUUACAACAAGUUGCUUUAGAGUGCUCAAAUUACAUCAUUGUAACUCAUUUCAAAUCAUAUUAUUGUAACACAGCCGCAUGAAUAACUAUUGUUGUAGUCUAUGCUUAUCAUACUAAGUAGUUCAAAAAUACGAAAAACUAUGUUUGGUUUGGGAUUCUAUCGAGUGUGAAAGAAGUGUGCCAAAUUAAAAAUGUAACUAAUGGUUAUUGUGUAUGUAUAUAAUUUUUGGUUUGGUUUGGUUUAUUAUUUGUUUUCUAAAUGGCAUAAUUCGGUUUUUUUUAGAAAACCCAAAUUGUUGAAAAAUCUUUAAAAAUUGAUUGGUUCAGGCCAGUGUGGCUCAGUUCUAUCAUUUUUGUCCAUUUAAUCGGUUUUUUACACAACCCUAGUUUUAUUUCACUUUUCAGUUCUUGGACUUUCCAUGAAAAUAAUAUUGUUGUCAUGAAGCUACUGAGGCAGUUAUUGGACCAAUUCCAUCCUCUGAAGCUGCUCAUAAAAGAGAUCCUCUCUCUUCUUUUCUAUCUACCAUCAGUUGCAAUAAUAGAUCCAGUUUGCACAAAGCCAAGCUUAGAAAAUCUGUUCAUUGACAACCUGAAUAGUCUCUGGAAGCAUCCAGUAUCUUUUCUCCUUUGUGAGGGUGGAUAACCGGUCUGGGUCCCCUGCAUCAUUUUUCAUAGGCUGCAGAGCUGCUGUGUCCGUAUAGGAAGUAACAUGUUCUUCCUUCAUAGCUUUAAGUGCCAUCAGGAAUUGGAUAUGCUAAUAUGAGUGGGAGGACUCCAGAUGGUGGACUUUCGAAGACCUCCACUCUGAUUCAUUGAUGCCAAACAUAUAAUUGUGAUAAAGCGAGGCUUUGGAAGUUAAUAUUCUUUUAAGGUGUUUCAUAUAUUGAAGGUUUAUAAAGAGGUCAAAAUUGAGAAAUUACUAUUCUCUAAAUAAUAGGAUAGUAGUCAAUUUUUCGUUCAAAAUUUGUCAUAUAUUCCAAGAGGAUUGUUAACAAUCUGAUCUAUAUUGAAACAGUGGCCAUAAUAAGUCCCUAUUUUCCUAGUGCCUGAAAGUGAAGCUCCAUUCUGAAGUUUUCUGAACUAUAAGAUACAUUUUUGACUUCCAGGUGCAAUUGAUCGACAAUUUCACCAACAAGAAAGGAAUGACCAGUCAAUGUUAUCGGAUAGCAUACCGGUCCAUGGAGCGUUCACUUACAGAUGAGGAGAUAAACGAGUUGCAGGUAUUUCAUGUUUAGGGGAUUUGUACAAGUGAUUAGUAUUUCGUCUUGAUUACGGGUAAUGACUAAUAACCUGAAAUUUGGCUUUGAUUCUGGGUGCAGUGGAAUGUUAGGGAGCAAGUGCAGAGCAAGUUGAAGGUUGUUCUUAGAUGAGAUUUCUGAUGCUGACAACCUAAUUUUACUAUCUCACUCUUGUAAGUCUCCUUAUGGACAUUUUCUAUUAUUAUUCUUUUUGUUCCUACCUUGUACAUUUUACAAUUAUCAACAAGAGUUUGAACUAGUUACAGUGGGGAAAUUAGGCAUUCAAAACCAGCUUUAAUGGGAGAAACACUUCAAGGAAAAUAAGGAAAAUGUACUAGAAAGAAUAGUGCAUACGUUGAUCAAUGUGAAAUUUAUUUUUGUAUACAAUGUUUCUCUAAUAAUUUUAACAAUGCCUGACCUUAAAUAUAGUAAUUAAUUGCUCUUUUGCAGUUGUAUUCCCUUUUAUUUUAGUUUUAAAAUUUUUUUUUAAACAUCAUCAACAACCAUUUUAUUAUAUUAAAAUAGUAGGUGCAAUAUUUAUGAAAAUAGGUGUAUACUAGUCCAAAAAUAUCAAUUUAUCAAUUUAUCUUAUAGGCAAAGGUUGGGAUCUUUGCCUCAAUGGCUAAACUCUGACUUGAGUAUAUAGAGAAUUCUCUUAUUAUUAAACCAAAGUGGUCAUUGAGUAACUCUCUAAUCCCCAACUCCCCUAGUUACCCAAAGAACUCCAUUAACAAUUAGCAUAUAACUUAUGCAGCACAUGCUACUCUGAUGGAGCCUUUAGGAACUAUUUUCAUGUUUGUUUGGCUAAUUCAUCCUCAAUAUUAUGGAAAGGAAAUAAGAUAGAAAGAAACAUGAAAUUCUCUUGUUUGAUUUACUAUGAAAAAUAUGAAGAAAAAUAAAAUAUAGUAGAAAUUAUUUAAAACCCGUUAUAUGUUCAAAUUCUUUAGUUUUUCUAUGAUAGAAAAUAAAUUUGAAGGAGUAACUUUAUUGGGUUUGAACUUGUAUUGCACUUCACAUUUUAUUUCUUUCUUUUUACUCCCAAUUUUCUUUUUCACAUACUUUCCUUAAUCUAAUUCAAGCCUUAAGGAGUCUAGUGCAACUCAUAGAAAAUACCUAAAUACUAAUGCCCCCUUAUACCCAAAUGCAAUUAGCAAGACCAAUGGGUUCAACCAAUUCUAUAACCUGCACUGAAACAUUUGAAUAAAGCUUUAUUUGAGAAAGCUUCCUAAACACUUAGAGGAGAGUUUGGAGGUCAUAGUUCUAGACAGUUUGAAAUAGAAAUCUCAAAAGUAGACCCUACAUUUCCUAAAGAGACCCCCAUUUUUCCUAAAAUAUGAUAUGGAAAGCAGAUUCUUAUUUACUUCAAUUUUUUGGUUGUUAACGUUAUCCUUAUUUUAAUGAAUAAAUGAAAACAAUUUUAAAAAGCAGAUGUUAAACUUAAAACAAAUCACACAACACCAGUAGCUUGUGGAAGAAUCAGACAUUCCCAACCUUCCUUACAUUCAAGCCAUUGUUAGGGAAACACUAAGGCUUCACCCCGGCUUUACUGUACUCAGUAGACAAUCCUCCCAAGACUGCACUGUUGCGCGUUAUCACAUUCCUGCAAACACAGAGAUCUCAGUUAAUGAGGACGGAAGUAUAAAGAAGGGGUUGGAUGUAGAGGGACAGCAGUUUUUUCUGCUGCCGUUUGGGAGUGGAAGAAGGAUUUGCCCCGAAGCUUCUCUAACACUGCAAAUUGCCCCCUCAACCAUUGGUGCUGUAAUCCAGUGCUUUGAUUGGAAGGUCGGCGAUGGAGGAAAUGGUAGCAUUAAUAUGGAAGAGGGACAUGGUAGGAUAAUGCAGAAAAGUUUUCUUGAAUUUGGGUCAGGCCACUUCCAAGGCCCAGUAGUAGCAAUUGGUUUUGUUGAAAGAGAUGGGUGUCAAGAUUAGUACAUCAUGUGCUAUCUGGGCUCUCUUACCUUGCAAAUUUGACCAAAAAUAUAUAUAUUUUUUUUUUAAAUUCUACAAAGUAAAUCCUCUUGCAAAAUAAUUCUUAAACUAGUACUUCUCAUCUAUGUGGAUAUCCAUGUCAUAAAAUCGUAAUUGAUAACUAUAGCUUUAAAUUUAUUUUAAAAUGGUUAAAACUAUAGUUACCAACUAUAGUUUUAAAUUUAAACUUAAAACUGUGGUUAAUGAUAAUGAUUUUAAAGAUAAUUUAAAAUAUUUAAAAUUGUAGUAUCUAAUUACGGUUUUGUGAUGUACAAAAAAUUAAAUAAAAAAUUCUUAGGCCACCAUAUGGAUGCCUAGGUGGCUGAUUUAGAUGCAUUAGUUUGGAAACUAUUUUGAUAAGAAAUUUAUUUUGUAGAUUUUUUUUAAUAUAUUAUUUUUGUUCAAAACUCAAUUUUAAAUUUUAAGCCACCCUAUCCAACCACUGGCCAUCAACCUCCACAUGUCUCCUUCCAUUUAUUGUAGAAUGAGGUGUUUCUAAAAUAGUUUUCUAUUCUUAAAAACUGAAAAUUGUUUUCAAGACUUAAAAACAUGUUUUGUAUUUUUUUUGAUGAAAAACAAUUUUAUGAGAACUUGUUCUAGAAAUAGGGUAUUUCCUAAGAACAAAUUUUGAUUGUUUUUAGGUGCUUUCACUUGUUUUUCAUAGAUUGUUUUAAAAAAUAUUUAUAAUAAUUUGUAAGAAAUAUAGAGAAUGAUUGAAAAUAAAACAUUAUCAAUAAAAGACAUUUUUAGAAAAUAUAAACAUAGAAAAUAGAUUAAUAACAUUUUAAAUUCUUAAAUAGAUCCUUCACAUCCUAAAUUCAUUGUCAUCAUUAGUAUCAAAUUUUGUCUAGUGUUUUUUCAAGAGCCACUUCUCAUGUUACCUUCAACUUUAUUACAUCCCACUAAUAUUGACAUAAAACUUGAACAAUAUGUUGCUUAAUUAAAGUGCAAGUGUUUUGAGUAUCGGUUGACCAAGAAAUUCAUGAGGGAGACAAUAAGGCCUGCUAUAUAGGGCAAAUGUGUAAGUCUAGGGUAUUAUUAGAUGCACAUCAUUAUUGGGAGUCAAGAUGUUGAUAUAUAUUUUCAUAACCCUAUCUAAUUUAUCUUUUUAUAGAGGAUUUUGAUGUAUUCCUCCUCCAUGGAGAAGUAAAUUGUUUGACUAUGCUAAAUUAUGCUCUUAUUAGAUAAUUGUUACCUUGUACUUAUAUUCACUGUCAUUGGACUGCUCAAGUUUAGACCCGAAAAAAUAGCAAAGAAUGAACAUUUGCUUUCUUGUUGCAUGUAUUUUGAUCAAAUCAAGUUUUAGUAGUAGUUGAAUCUGUGUCUCUGAAACCAGGUUCUCUGACAUGAAAAUGAUAUUGAAUUGGCUUUACUUGAAUAUUUUAUGAGCAUAACUUCCACUGUCAUUGACAGAACAUUACAUGGAAAUUAUACAAGAAUUUAGUGGCCAACAACUUCACAUUCGAUGGCUCAAGCAGAAGGUGACUUAUAGUCUCUUUAAUAUAAUUUAAGUCAAGGAAUAGCAUAGAUGAGAAGCAUAAUAGAUUCCAAAAUUGUUGAGACAUACUUAUUCUUUGUGCUUGUAGUCUUUUGCUAGAAUUGAAUUGUCUUCAGAGAAACUUCUCAUGCAAUAAGAAUAUGCACACUAGAUGUAAGUCUCUUAUCUCUUACAUAAACAAUAUGAAAAUAAACAUAGAAGCAAUCAUUUAGAAAACAAUAAGAUAUAAGUAAUGGUAGACACCAACUUCUUGAUCAAGUGUGGUGGCUCAUAGAUGAGAACUGCCAAAGGCAUACUAUAUGAGGCUAAAAACUCAAUUCUUAAAGCGACAUAUGAUGGGAUUGAAUCCUAAAAAGUAUGACAUGAUGUAAUAGAUUGAAAUUCAUUUAUAAAUUUAUUUAUUUAUGUUCUUUUGGCUUCUCUUUAUUAUCUUAUUUGCAUUAAUUUGUUAUCUGAGCAUAUAUAUACUCAUAUAUCUCACAUUGUACAUAACUUAAGUGCAUUAGGAGUUGCAUAAAUGAUACAAGUCAUGGGUUCCUUAUAAGUAGAUAAGUUAUUCAUAGUUAGUUUAUAGAUUUGGGCAAUCUAAUAGAGAUUAUAGUGUAUUACCUCCAAAUAAGAGAGAUGACUUGUCUUGGUCAUUGGGAUGAGUUUUUCAUUAUAUGAGUGCAUUAGUGUGUAUGAUUACAAAUUGGACAAGAUCUAUGAUGGAUCAUAACGUAAGGUUAUUGAUUGUCAUGAUUCAUUAAACUACUAUAUUGUAUGGACUCCUAUCCUUAAAGAGAAUAUUGAGCUUGGACCAAAGUCAAUAAGCGGCUUUGAUCUACGGUGAAAUCCUAAUGUGGUCACAUAUCUCUAUGGAUUGGGUCACUGUUGAUGGAGGUUGGUGGUAACAUGUAUUCCCAAUGGAGGCACCUGAUAUCUCAUGGUAUUGAGACAAUGUGUCCCUUUGCAUAAUCCAAAGAGCUUGUAAUCUAAAAGACUAUAGCUAUAGCAUUUCCUUUAGUGGAAUUUUUACAUAUACUCUUUGGAGUUAGAGUAUGUCAAUUGAUCACAUAAUAAGAUUUGUAACUUAAUGAUUGUAGAGAUGAUCUUGAUAGGUAAUAACACUACCUUGUUAGAUUGUACACACCACUUCAUGGGGAGUCUGCAUGUUGUGAAUAGUAGGUCACGAACUUGAGCUUCAUCUUGUUGUUAUUUACAUAAGGUAUUAAAUGCAAUUGAUUCUCUAUAGUGGGAUAUUGUAUCAGCUUCAAAAUUGGAUUUUGAGGAAGCCAAUACUCCUAUGGGUUCCAAUGGUCCUCAUUUGAACUCAUAUACCUUGAUGACACGAUUUAUGAGGAUUGGAUUAACUCUAACUUCACUUUUAUGUAUAAGGGCAUUUUGGUAAUUAUGCAAAGUUGCACAAGGGUUAGCAAACAAAGUUUUUGGAUUGGGCUAAUUAAUUAAUUAAUUAAUUAAUUAGAUGAUCCUAUUAGGUUAAUUAAUCAAUUAGGACCCAUUUUGAGUUAGAUUAAAUAGUCCAAACCCUUGGUAGACUUAAGUCACUUAAGCCUAGUUGGAGAACCCUAUAAAUACCCCUUUAGGGGUUAGGAUUUCCAAAGAGUUGUCUUCCACCUUUAGAGAGAAAAGAAAGCUAUAGCCUCCAUCUUCCCAAAUCUCCCCAUUGGUUGUGUGCCAAGAUUAAGUUCGAGCCAUCGAGUGGAAGAUCUAGGGUUUAUGAGACUUCCUGCAACUACAUGUUAGGAUAGAGCCCUUAAAUGCAUGACAUGAUGUAACUAAUUUAGGAAUUCAUUAUUUAUUUAAUGAUAUUCCAGUUUCAAUUUUAUCUAUCUUUAUUCCAGGCAUUAUACUUUAUAAGCAUUCUUGUCUAGCAUCUCUUGAAUUGUACAUGACUUAGGUACAUUACGAGUUAUACAAAAGAUCAAAGUCAUGGGUUGUUUUUACAAGUAGAUUACUUGUUCACGACCGGUUCAUGGACUUAGAUAAUUCAUUAGAGGUUGUAGUAUACUACAUCCUAAUUAAAGGGAUGGUUGGUCUUGACCAUAGAGAUGAGUUUCCCCUAAUGAGUGCAUUAGUGUGUAUGGUUACACAUUGGACAUGACCUAUGGUGAGUCAUGACGUAAGGUUAUCAAGUGGUCAUGACUUCACCAAGCUACUUCAUUGUGUUGUCUCUCAACCUUGAGAGAAUAUUGAGUUUGUGCUAAAGUUAGUAGUGACUUUGACCUACGAGUGAGAUCGUAAACUAAUCAUAUAUUCCUUAUGAAUUGGGUUAGUGUUGAUUAAGCCCGUAGCAAUAGGUAUUCUCAAAAGAGGUACCAUGAUAUCUCAUAGGAUUGAGAUAAGAGUGUCCCCUUGGGUGAUCCUAAAGAGGCGUGUUCAUGAAAACUAUGGUCAUAGUAGUUCCUUAAGUGGAACUUGACAUAAACUUUUGAAGAGCUAAGAUAUGUUAAUUAAACACACAAUAGGAGGAUUUUUAACUUAAGGAUAGUAGAGGUAGUCUUGAAAGGUUGAUAGCUUUCACCUUGUUAGAUUAUAGAUGCCAUUUCACAGAGAGAGUAAAUGUAAUGAAUAGCAGGUCACAGAUCCGAACACUUAGUGUCUUUUUGUUAUUUACAUAGGAUACUAAAGUGCAAUUGAUUCUCUGUAAUGGGAUGUUAGAUCAACUUAAGAAUUAGAUUCUAAGGGAGCCAGUACUACUAUGGUCCCCAUGGUCCCCGCUCUAAGCACAUAUACCUUGUUGGCAUGGGUUAUGAGGGUUGAAUUGACUCUAGGUUCAGUUUUAUGUAUAAGAGCGUCUUGGUAAUUAUGCAAAGUUACAUAAGGGUAAGUGAACAAGGUCUCUAGAUUGGGUUAAUUGAUUAAUUAGUAGGUCCCGUUAGGUUAAUUAAUCAAUUAUGACCCAAUUUUGGACUAGAUUAAGUGACUUAAGCUCAUGUGGGUUCAAGUUACUUAAGCCUAGUUAGGAACCCUAUAAAUACCUCCUAGGGGUUAGGAUUUCCAUAACUUUUUAUCUUCCACCAUUUAGAUAGAAGAGAAAGUCAUAUCCUCUACCAUUCCAAGCUCCCUAUUGUUUGUGUGCAAAGAAACGAGGUUGAGUUAUCGAGUGGAAGAUCAUGGGUCUAAGAUACUUCCAACGACUUUGAUUUGGUUUUUCAAUACUUGUAUUCAAGGUUUGGAAACAUCCAAACCUAAAGGUUAAUAUUUUAACCCUAAAGGUUAUUUUUUUUGAAAAAUUGGUAUUGCUUCCAUUACUUAGAUCUAAGACGCCAACACUACGAAACUAUUCUUCAUCAAAAGAGUUGAUUUGGGAACAUCCAAAUAAGAGGUAAAGUUUUCUAAUGCACACAUCUAGAUUUUUUUUUUUUGGUUAAAAAUGUAAUUUUUGUUUUCGUUGUAUAAGAUUUAAAUGCCCUAAAGAGUAUUCAUGUACCCAACCUGAGCUUAGGAUAGGGAACAUAGAGAUCUAGGAUUCCCUAUAACAUCGUAUUAUGUAAUGAGUAUAGAAAAAUGGCCACUUAGUAAUACAGGACCUUACAUUGUAAGUUUGGAAUUUGCAAAACAUUGUUUAAGGAUAAUGAUACACAAACAUGGGAAAGUUUAGGAAUGUGUGUUUUGAUAUGUACCUUCAUGUAACAAUUGUAAAAGCCAAAAAUCUAACAUCCUCAUUUGGACUUCAACAAUCCUAUGAAAUUUCUUUCAUUUACAAUCCCAUUUGAUUAUUUUAAUCUCUUUUCUUAUUUUGUAGGGAGCCCUUUAAUUCAAAGACUUUGACAUGUCAAAAGAGCUUGGUGAGGUUGAGAGAGCAAUUUAGAAAAAAUUUAAUGCUACUGUAUUAUAAAACAAUCUUAAGUCAUUUGCCUUGAGUUGGUAAGAGAACUUAUUGCAAUUCAAUCUAGGGUUAUUAUAGACCAUCCAUUUCAGCUCUCAAUGUUGUUUCAAGUAACAUAUCUGAAUGAUAUUUUAUGAAUUUCAUUUAAUAUAAUAUGUGUUCUAAAUGAUGCUUCUUUUUUUAUAAUUAGAGUUAGUCCCUAUUUACUUUUCUUAGAUUUUACCAACUAUAACUAGAAUUCCACCAAUUCCUCUUUUAAAGAAAAAACAUCAGAUUGAUUGUGGGUGUUCAAUUUCUAUUAGAUGUGUGAGCAUCAAACUAAUAUGUGAAGUUUUUUUAUAUAGAAAUAAAAUCUUCAGAUGUUAAUGAGGAUGAAGGCACUUCUUUUGCUCAACAUUACUAAAUUUAAGCUUCAGAUGUCAAUGGGCUCUUUUCUUUAGAUGUCAUGGUAGCAUCUUCAGUUAGUAUUAUUUGCAGCCCAGUUACAGAAGACCCAAGAAGCUAGAUGGGCUUGAGAUGCAUGGAGUGGUAGUUGAGUGAUUUAUCUUAAUGUUGUUGAUUCAACUUUUUGUAUAUAAUGUAGCAAUGACAUUUGCCUAAUAAUAACAUCAUAGUUGAUUCAACACAACAUAAUUAAGCUUAAACUUCUAUAUUAGGCUCAAACGGAUCAUGUAUAUUCUUAUAUUUAAUAAAAAGGGGUCAUAUCAUGACCAUUUAUUGUUCAGCAGAUCAUUUUUCACCAAUGAAAGCGAUAAUCAUUUUAAUGGUUACUAGGCUAUGUUUGAGUAACAUUCUUCACCUAGCCAUUACCUUGUCCACAUGAUAACCUAUAGUAGCAACAAAGAAAAAUUGCAUCCAUAUCAAGACUUAUAGUAGCAGCCAAAGCAUAUCCAUCUCCAUAUUAGCACAUAUGGUUGUGACCAAAAUUAACUCACACUUUUAAGCAUUAUAGGCUCAAAUUUUUUAUAUUUUUACAACCUUAUAGUUGCAGCCACUCUUAACUGCAACUAUACACUACCUUUAGUUGCAAGUAAAUUGAGGUUGUGGUCAUAGUUUUAAUACUUAUGGCCAUACUUUUACAUGUGGCUGCAACUAUAACAUUUCUCUAUACCCCCAUAUGAUCACACCUUGUUGUGGUCUCUUUUGUUCACACCCAUAUCUUAUAGUUGGGCUAAAUUUUUCUUUUAGCCGCAAUUAGUGGAAACUACUAAAAACCCACUUUCUUGUAGUGAUUUAAGAGUUUUGAGAUUAUAAUAACUCUUUUGAUCUUCUCUCUCUAUGGAUAUAAGUGUAUUUUCAUUAAAUCCCAUGAUUCUCAUUUAUUUAUUUAUUUUUAUUUUUUGUUUAUUGUUCCCUUAAUUGAGCAUAACAUAUUGAGAUGAUUAUAUUUUAGAGUUUUCAAUAAUAUAUAAUAGGCCUAAAGGAUAUGGAAGUUUGUGAUAUAUACAUGAAUAAAAAUACUCUUUGACUUAUAAAUGAUCUAAAUAUGGUAAAAAAAGAAAAAAAAAUAAAAACAAAACAAAAAUUGGAAUAAUUAAAUGUUUUUUAAAAGGGAUAAAGAUUCCAUAGAUUUUUUUUCUUCUCUUUUCAUAAUAUAGGCAAUAUCUGUGUAUUCUCUUCCAUGGAUAUAUUAGUUGGAUUAAGAAUAUUAAACAACAUGCAAAAUAUUUAUUAGAGAAAAAAAAAUGCAUUUCUUGAAUAUUCAAUAUUUAUAAAAAAAUUGAACAAAAUAAAAAACUCUCUUAUUGCUAAUUAAUGUCUAUGUUAAGCACUAAAGAAUUCAAAUUUUAAUUUCUCACUAACAAUUAUUUUUUCUCAUAUUAUGUGUACAUACUGGAGGAAGAGAUUACCUAUCCAUAUCUUAUUUAUCUUCUUUAAUGGGAAGAAGAUGUUAGAUAGUGAAAAAUAUAUGAACAAUUGAGGGGUAAAGGUUCUUUAGUCUACAAGUGAGUAUGUCAUUUUAUCCGUCUCUAAUAUUACACCUGAGGGAUAAGAGGUCUCUACUAUACAAGUGAGUAUGUGAUUUUAUCCAUUUGAUAUUUGAUCUCGGAUAGACUAGUGAAAAUUGUCUCAUAUAUAUAUAUAUAUAUAUAUAUUAUAGAUCGUGAAUUUGGUUGCUAUGGCUGGAGAUAUGAUCUAUGACUUUUGCUUUUAUAAUUUUAUGUUUCUGAAAUAUGGAGAUUUUAAUAUUUAUUAUUAUAUAUAUUUUGCAUACUCUGGUAAGGUAAUAUAUUGUUAUUAUACAAAGGCAAAUUAAAUUUUAAAUGCAUUUAUUAUAUUUUGAAUUAGAAAUUUAAAUGUAUUUUCAACUUCAAACCCAAGUUGAUUUUAAUUACUUUAAAAAACAAGUUGUUCUUACAGCCUAAAUUAACUUACAGGAAAUCAACUGUCUAAAUUGAAUCAAAUUGACCUUAAAUAAGAUUCAUUUUAUUGUCGAUGUAGCACAACUUGAAAUAGGAGUCAAUUUAUAGGAAGCUUUUGAAAACACAGUGCACCACAUCCAAGGAAAAAAGAAAUGAGGGUUUUUCAUUCAUCACUAAAAGAUUAGUUUGAUUUUGAUUCAAGUAUAAACCGACCAUGUUAAUUUAGAUUUUUUUUCCUAGUUAUAUAAAUUUUUCAUCCAUUAAAACCUAUAAGUCUCAAUCCAAUGGCUGGAUUUUAUAAUCUUAAUGAUAAUAGCUUAGAAAUCAAUUAUAUAUAAAGAUGGUUAGUUCAUUGAAAAAGUUGUUGGCUCAUAGUUCAUAACCAAUAAAACUAGUGGUUCAAUUGUAAUCAAACUAUCAUGUCAUCAUAAAUAUUUAACUAAUAUAUUAUUUAAAUUAAAAUAAUUAUAAAAAGUUAAAAAUCUAUAAAUAAUUGAAAAUUUAAACAUAUUUUUAUUAUAAAAUUUGAGAAUUUAUUAUAUCGCAGGAAGUUAGGGAUAAUCAUCUUGUCGAGCUGUCAACCGAUUCAAGAAAUUGUAGUAUUUGCUAGGGUCAAUUAGGAUUUUAGCCUUAGAAAGUAUAUAUAUAUAUAUAAAGAAAUUGAAUGAGAAAAAAUAUUCCCAUUUUAUCACAUCUCUUAAUUUCCUAUAAAACGAGACUUGAUAAUGACAUAUUAUUCAAUUUCUUUGUUAGCAUUUUAUUUCGCCUUUCUAAGUUUCUUCUCUUUCUACUUUCUUUUCUACAACAUGUUAUCAACACAAGCCUAUAACAACUGGUUUGAAACAUCAUUUUUUUUUUCCUUCUAAGAUUUCUACAUAAAACAUUAUGAGAAGGUAUUUCAUAAUGUAGUUUUUUUUUUGUGAUUAUUAUAAUUAUUCAUUGUCUUGUGUGAUAUAGAAGAUUACUUAAAUUUUAAUUAUUCAUAGUCUUAAGUUAUGUAAAAUAUUUGUUAAAUUCAUAUAGUAAAAAGCUAUAUGAAAAAUAUUGUGUUUAUAGAUAACCAAAAGUUAUGUAACUAUUAAUAUUAUUCAUAACUAGAGGUUAUGAGAAGUCAAAAGCUAUAUGAAAAAUAUUAUAUUAUUAUACAUAGUCAAUGCAUUAUUAUUAUUAUUAUUCAUAAUAAGAAGUUAUAAAUAUGAGAAUAUUAAUUUAUAAUGUUUAUAUUAGCUAGAGACUAUGUCAAAAAAAAAAAAAGUUGUGGCUUGGAAGUAUUAAAUUUUUUCAUUGUUGUAUGAUGUCUAUCAAAAUGGUAAUAGUUAUAAUUAAUUAAUUAUUGACAUCUGUGCUUACCGUAUGUGCAUACAAGUUGGAAUGAGUUUUAUGCACUUGUAGAGCUAGCCAAGGCCUAGGAGGGGCACAUAACGCCCCUAAAAAUUAAAAUCAUAAUAAGGGUUUUGAACACCCUUAAUCUUCUAUUUAAGGGGAAAACAUGCUUUCCACUACACUAUAUAUAAUUAUCUCUCCAUAUUUUUCCCUCCUGAAAUAAUUCUUUUAUUUGUGCCCCUCCUAGAGCAUAUUCCUAGCUCCGCCACUAGUUUUAUGUAUGAAUUAUGAUACUUCUAUUUUAUGUUUUUUUUCAUUUUACACUUUAAACUAUUAGUGGGAAUUCUAAAAUAUAUAUAUUCCUAAUUCAAUGAAUCAAUGAAAAUAAAUAUUUUAUUUUUGUGAAAACUAUACCCAAAAGAAAACUUUUUAUUAUUAUCUUACAUUAAAAAAAAAUUUGGAUGGUUCUUGAGAUUAAGGUUUGGGUAUAGGAAUUUUUUAUUUUUUAUUUUUAACCCUAUGCAAUCAUUAGAAAAAAAAAGGUUUAUUGCUUGUUUAGUUUGACCUUAUUCAACCACCUAAGCCAUUACUUGAAUUUUUCCAAUCAUGCUACUCUAGUUAGGAUUAUUUAUUUAUUUAUUUUGAAUGGUGUAUGAUUUCUUUUAUUUAUCAUAACGAGUUUAAACUAGUAGAGGAUUAAAAAUCCAUUGUUAGAUAGACUUUUAUAAUUUUAUUUUUAUUUUAAAAAAUAUAAAGCAUUAUCUAGGAGAUUUUUCAAUUGUUAAUUAAAUUUGUCUUAGGCAUUAAUCUUCUUUUGAGGACUUCUAUGUUUGUUGGAUCAACAUCCUACAUGGGGUUUUCUAGUACUUUUCUUUUUAGAAACUUCAAGCUUGUUUAACAAUAUAGCAUUCUUAUAAACAGUCCUACUAAAUCAUGUAGCAUAGUCAUUGGAUACUUACUAUAGUAAUAAUAUAUGUAAUUCUAGGUUGCUUACAUGUUCAUUUUGGGGUUAAUAAAAUAGGAUAUGGUGAACCAUUUUUAUGCACUCUUUUGAUCUACAAUAACAUUGGUUUAAGCUAAUUUUAUGUUAUAGUUAAUCUAGCUUUGGCUAUUGUAUGACAUAUAUAUAUAUUUUAAAUUAUAUUACUCUUCUAUGAAUUUGGGUUUAUUUUUUUUAAUACUUUCUUAUUGCAAUAUUUCAUACAUAGUUCUCUGAUAAUGUCAAACCUCAUCAAACUGGAGUUUGACGCCCUUGAUAUCUUAAGAAAAAACUACUUGUCAUGGAUAUUAGAUAUUAAAAUCCACCUUGAUAUCAUAAACCUUGGGAUAACCUAUAAGGAAAGAAAUGACAUGCCCUUACAAGAUCACGUAAAAGCCUUAAUAUUCCUUCAACAUCAUAUUGAUCAAGGGUUAAAAGGUGAUUAUGUCAUGCUAAAAGAGACUCUCAUUCUUUGAAGCAAUUUGAGAAAAUGAUAUGACUACCAAAAGAUUGUGAUCUUGCCUAGAGCCCAUUAUGAUUGGUUGUAUUUAAGAUUACAAGAUUUUAAGUUUGUCAACAAACACAAUUGUAAUAUCCUUGAAGUAUUAAAAUAUAUACAAAUAUUAAAACAUUGAUAUUAGUAUGUUAAAUUAUGAGAGUUGGAAGUAGAGAUUUUGUAUAAAAGUUCUAGCUAAAUUUGAGGAUUUAUAACUUGAUUAAUAAUCUUAUCAACAGAAUGAUUAGCCACAGAAUGAGAAAAUGAUAAUUAAUGAUUUAUCACUGGUAGUGAUCUAUAGGGAUGGUGGUGGAGGUUUGGAGUUAGUUAAAUUUGAUAGAGAAUUUUUGGGUUUCUUUAAAGAGAAAUUAAUGUUCUCAUAAAUAUGAAUGAGAUAGUAAUUGAAAUUCUUAGAUGAAUUGGGGAUAUAAUUAGCCAUGUACUUAGGAUGAUAAACUAGUUGUGAAGUGGCUUAGAGAUGUACUAAAUGUAGUGAAUUUUUUUUUUUUUUUUUUUGUAAAGGAAUUGCUAGCAUCAACAAUUAGGGUAAUUAUGAUCCUAUGAGUUAGUUGAAAUAUUGUUUGAACUAUUGAUAAUUGUUGCUAAUAGUAGAUAUGUUCUUGGUUGUGAUAUUCUCUAUUAUUAAGACUUAUUGAAAUUUGCAGUAUGAGCAACAUGGAGAGUGUUACUAGCACUUAUAAUUCAUAUUUAAAGUACCAUAAUAAGUGUCCUUAUGAAAAGUAAUAGAGGGCAAGGUCCCUAGGUGAGAGUCCUUAAAAGAAACAUUGUAAAGUAACCUAGGGUGAAAGACUUAAAAGAUCCUUGCAAGAUCCAUGUGUUGAUAUAAUAUGGGGCAUGCAUAGAUGUAUAUCCCUCAGUGAGAGUCCCUAAAAUAUAGGUACCCAUGGCUACAGACAAAUGAUGUGCUACCUAAACAAUAUAUGAAAGUCUUAUAAAAGACAUAUGAUAAACUAGAAAUUAGUGAUUUUAAAAAUAUAUAUUUAUUUGGGUGAUAAUACAUACUUUUGAAUGAAUUCUUGUUUAGUGUUACUAAAAAGCAUGAAGAUCGAUGACAUUUUGUAUGAUCCAUUUUGUGAACAAAUCAUUUUCUACUAAGCUAUGACUUACCUUUAUUUAAAAGUCUAUAUAUCAAACAUAGCUUAAGGGAUUAAGAAGAAGAAAAAAUAGUUAAAGUAUUAUGCAAAGCUUGAAGAUUUUCUAUCGUUUGUGUUCACUAUAAUUUUUUAUUGUAACUAUGUAUAUUAAAAGCUACUUGGUGUUGUACAUGGUAGGAAAAUGAGAGUUAGAAGUUGGUGAAGUAUUGUACAGUUGUGUGUAGGAACCUACAUUGAAGGAUUUUAUUUUAAGGUUAAUAAAAUUUGAUUUUGAUUACAUAAACUCAAGAUUUUCAAUUGUAAAUGAGUUUUUAGUGUUUAUAAUUUUUCAAUUGAAAUUUAUGGAAAUUUAAGAAUGAUGUUUUAGAGGUUUUGAUAUGUUGAAAAAGGAAGAAAAUAUGAAAGUGGGAAAAUCUUAGGGGGUCUAGUGGAGGUGUUGGAGGUACGCAACUUAAGUGGCAUGCCUCUCUUCCCUUGUGUUCUAUAGGUGUGCAACUUAAAUGGUGCAUAAUUUAAGUGGCACACCUCUCUUCCCUUGUGGUUGAUGCACCUUUCUUCCCUUAUGUUCCAUAGGUGCACAACUUAAGUGGCACACCUAUCUCUUUUGCCUUAAAAUGGUUAUUUUUUUACCUUAACAUAGUUGUUUUACCCUAGCAUAGUUAUUACACCUCUCUAUUUUACUUCAACAUAGUUAUCUUUUUAUCCUAACACAAUUAUUUUACUUCAACAUAGUUAUCUUUUUACCCUAGCGCAAUUAUUGCACCUCUCUGUUUUACCUUAGCACAUGUAGUUAUUUUACCUCAACAUAGUUAUUUCCUUAAUACUAUAUUUAUAUUUGAAAACUUAAAAGUAAAUGGAGAGAUAAAUGAUAAAAUAAUAAAUUUUAAUUACAAAUUAACAAUUUUUUUUUUCAAAUUUUCUUCAAAAAAAAAUUCUCCCAAGUAAAAUUGUUGAAGAUAAAAAUCCCAUAAACUCAUUUUGAGUAUCACCAAUAUGAAAACAAUAAAAUUUGUCAUUUUUUUUUUAUCUUAAAUUGCGAAACUUUUAAAAAUGAAAUAUUUCUCAUACUUAGUCAAAUUUUCAACACAACUAAGUCCACAAAUAAGAAAGACUUGAUGUUUUUCCAACUCAACAAGCUUUAUUUAAAAAGCUUUUAAAUGAGAAAAAUUUGGUCUCAAACACUAAAAUUCCCUUCUUAAUUUACAUCUCAAGUACUAAAAUUGUAGGUUAGUCUUUAAUAAUAUUUUAGAACCAUAGUUUUAGAAUUUAGGGCAUGAUAACCACUUUGCAUGAUGAUUCAAAAUUAACACUCAAUUGAAGCUAUGUGGAGAAAAGGUUAUUGAAAAAGACAUGAUAAAAAAGUUAUUUAUUACUUUUCAUACUUCAAAUAUUCAAAAUUAAUGUAGAUUUACCAAAUAUUCAAAAUUAAUUUCAUGCUUUCUAAUUGUAUUCAUUUUUAUCCUUCAUAAUAUUUUCUAUCAUAUAAUAUAAUUUUCUCUCUCAUCCUUGGAGGUAAGCAUGGUUGAUCGAACCACACUAAAACCUUGUGUACCUUUUUGUGUGAUUGUUUUAUUCUUAUGCUUCUUUAUUAAUUUGUUUGCAUAAGAACUUUUUGCAUACCCAAUAAGUGGUAUCAAAGCUUCCACACAAGGAUUAAAAUAUCGGUUUUUAUGAAUAUAUUAGUAACUCGAUUUUACAGAUUUAUCAGGAAAUAUUGACGGAUAUUUUGACACAAAAUAUUAAUAAGAUGAAAAUUGAUCAAAACUCAUGAAAAUGUUGGAAAAAAAAUCUAAAAAAUAAUAAAAGAAGUAACAAUUGACAUUUUGAAAUUAUUUUAUUGAAGAAAUUGAUAUAUAUAUAUAUAUAUAUAUCAAAGCUGUCCUUCUGGAUACCGAGGAGAAGCAGCAGCAGAACAAUCAUGCAGUCAAAGAUUGGGUCCAGAGGCUCAAAGGCGUUGUGUAUGAUGCAGAUGACUUGCUGGAUGACUAUGCGACCUAUUAUCUACAGCGAGGAGGAUUGGCAAGGCAGGUGAGUGAGUUCUUCUCAUCUUCAAACCAAGUUGCAUUUCGUUUUAAGAUGAGUCGUAAACUCGAGGAUAUCAAAGAAAGGGUAGAUGAUAUUGCAAAAGAUAGCCGCCUGUUAAAUCUGAUUCCACGGGACACAAUACACACACGGGUAGAGAAUACCUGGAGAGAUACGCACUCAUUCGUGUUAAAAUCUGGAAUUGUGGGGAGAGAUGAAAAUAAAAAGGAGAUAGUAAACUUGUUGGUGUCAUCUGGCGAUGAGGAAAAUCUUUCUAUUGUUGCCAUUGUAGGUAUUGGGGGAUUGGGUAAGACCACUCUUACUCAAUUGGUAUACAAUAAUGAAAGAGUGGUACAACACUUUGAGCUUAAGUUCAUCAUGUGUCAUUCUUUAUACCAUUGAAUCCUUUGAUAAAGGCUUCAAAGGCAAAAUCAAUAAGAACCCUUUUAAGGCUUGAUAGAAUUGAUUUUAAAGAUGAUUCAACUGUAAAUGCAUUAUUCCUAAGUUUUAAGUGUUUACGUGCCUUGAGCCUAAAUUCGUUGAGUUUGUAUGAGGUCCCAAAAUAUUUAGGCAAAUUGAGUCAUUUAAAAUAUCUUGAUCUUUCCGACAAUUAUUUUGAGAUACUUCCUAAUGCUAUUACAAAGUUAAAGAAUUUGUUAACUCUAAAAGUCCGUAAUUGUCCGAAUUUGAAAAGUUUUCCAAAUUUUACAAGGAAGUUGAUCAAUCUUAGGUACUUGGAGAAUCAUGGGUGUCAUAGAUUGGCUCACAUGCCAUAUGGCAUAGGAGAGUUGACUUUACUUCAAAGGUUACCAUUGUUUAUUGUUGGGAAUGACAGCGAGGGGUCAAGGGAUCAUAAAAUUGGUGGUCUGAUGGAAUUGCAGAGGCUUAACGAACUAAGAGGAUGGCUACACAUAAAAAAUCUUGAAAACGUGACGGAUGUUAUACCAGUAUCCAAGGGAGAAAUUUUGAAAGAAAAACAAUACCUUCGGUCCUUGAUAUUAGAAUGGCAUCAAUAGGGUGAGAAUGAGAAUGAUGAGUUAGUGAUGGAAGGCCUCCAGCCACACCCGAACCUAAAAGAGUUCUUUAUAAAUUGUUAUGGAGGUAGGAGAUUUCCAAGUUGGAUGAUGAAUGAUGGGUUGGGUUCCCUCCUUCCUAACAUAGCUAAAAUUGAAAUGACGUAUUGCUCAAGAUGCCAAAUUCUGCCACCCUUUUCCCAACUCCCUUCUCUCAAGUCUCUGCUGCUUAAUGGUAUGGAAGAGGUGGAGAAUGUGAAGGAGGGUUCAUCAGCAAUGCCAUUCUUCCCAUCUCUUCAAUCCCUCACACUCAGUUGGAUGCCGAAGUUGAAGGGAUUGUCUUUCAAAAUUAUAUAUAAAUUGGUGGCCUAAUUUCACAUCAAUACGACUGGCGUCAUGUCCAUCUCUUUCUAAAUUGUCUAUUGAUUUUUGCUCAAACUUGACAUCCUUUGAACUUCAUUCAUCUCCUCAUCUUUCUGAAUUACAUAUCAAAGAGUGCCAUAAAUUAACAUCCUCGGAUCUGUAUUCAUCUCCUUGUCUUUCUAAUCUAUCUAUUUGUGGUUGCCGUAACUUGACAUCCUUCAAAGCGGCUUCAUUACCUUGUCUUGAGCAACUAAUUCUGAAGAGAGUAAAAAAUGAGGUAUUACAGCAGAUAAUGUCUGUCUCUGCUUCUUCAUUGAGGUCUCUGUCUAUCAAGGGCAUAGAUGAUAUGAUAUCUCUCCCAGAGGAGCUGCUUCAACAUGUCUCCUCUCUCGAAUAUCUCAACAUUAAAGACUGCUAUAAUUUGGCAACAUUACCACAUUGGACAGGCAGCCUCACCUCACUUACAUACCUUGGAAUACAUAGUGCCUAUAAAUUGACAUCACUGCCAGAAGAGACACGGUCCCUCAAAAACCUAUGGCUACUUGAUAUCCUUGGUUGUUUGCAGCUAGAGGAGAGAUGCAGAAAGGAAACAGGUGAAGAUUGGCCCAAGAUCGCCCAUAUCCCAGAAAUUCCCAACCUUUUUUCUCAUUUUCAUUUGCUUCAUUUUUAUUAUCUUACAUUCAAAAUGCUCUGGCAUCAUUUUGUUUUGAUAAUUCUUCAUAUAGCUUGGAAUUCAUGGCAACCCUGAAUUCACAUCAUUACGAGAAGAAUGUGUUCUCUCAAAAUUGACAACUAUUACCUCACAUACAGGGCCUAAUAUACAUUCAUAAUUGCCUUGAAUUCACAUCACUUCUGGAAGAGAUGCAUUCCCUCAAAAACCUGCACACACUUGAUAUCUCUAGUUGUCCACACCUGGAGGAAAGAUGCCAAAAUGAAACAAGUGAAGAAUGGCCCAAGAUUUCUCAUAUCCCACAUCUUUGCCUCGAGGAUGAAGUGAGAACUGAUACAGAAUGGCAUGUCAGGUCCGAAAUCCUUUAUCUUUGUUUCGUUUUGGUAUGUCUUUUGUAUUUGAACCUACUGUGCUUGACUAAAUGCUCACAUCAGUAAGGUUGAAAUUUUUUGCUUCUUCAAACUAACUGUUGAUGCUGUGUACUAAGCUAGGCAUUUUACUUCAAAAGCUUUGAUUUCACCUUGCUGAUAUCAAUGUAUUUGGAGCAUAGAUGGCAUGAUAUCUCUCCCAGAGGAGCCACUGCAACAUGUUUCCAUGAUCCAAAGUUUCAACAUGGAAUACUGCUCUGUUUUGGCAACAUUACCGCACUAGAUAGCCAGCUUCACUUCAUCUAUACACCUUCAUAUUGGUGAUUGCACUGAAUUGACAUCACUGCUGGAAGAGAUGCAUUCUCCUGACACUCAAAAUCUUUCAUUGUCUGCACUUACUUGAAAGAUGCUAAAAAGGAAACAUGUGAAGGCUGACCCAUGAUUGCUCAUAUCCUAAGAAUUCAUACAUGGUGAAGAUUCCAUCAAUUGAGAGAGCCAUUCCACCCGUCGCAUUUUCUUAUAGCUUCAAUUUAAUUCAAUAUUCAUUAAUUAUAUGAAUUCUGUUUUCAUAAUCAUAGUAUGUGUUAGCAUAUACAGCAAUAAUGAUUUUGUUAUUUAUGUUCAGACCUUAACCAUUUGAUGAAAUUCUUAAACAAAUAAGUUUCGAAAUUUUGCUCUCCAAUCAAUUACUAAUGUGAUGUAAACUUAGACAUAGUAAUGAAUUGGUAAUUGAAACCUAAACUAUUUCUUGUUUUUAAGUUUUAUAUUCUAAAAACUUCAGAAAAUUCUAGGGUUGAUAUAAUUAAUAUUUUGUAGCAGAUUUCAUCUUACUUAAAGAUGUGAUUAUUCCUUGGCCCAACUUGAAAUCCGUGUCUGCAUUCGUUCCUUCCCCGAAAUUCAUAUUUACUAGAUGCAAAAAAGACUUCUACUCUCCUUUCAAUUCUUGUCUACUCUUCGCCAUAUGUUUCAGGUAACUCUCUGCCUGCUAUUGAUGGCUAUGUCAUCUUUCAUUUUGCCAUGAUUCUAUCAAGAGUGUAAUACAAUUUGUAAUUAUAUUUGUUGAUUCUAGUACAUACUAAAAUAGUAACAAGAUUGAGCAAGUUAGCAAUAUGUACAGUAUAAAUUUUCUACACUGCUUCCAUUGAAUCUGCUCCAUGUAUAUACUAGCACAGACUAAACAGAACUCCAUGUUGUGCUUUUCAUUAUCUUUAAAACUGACACCAAACAUAACACAGGCAAAAUUUAGUAUGUUAGUCACGUGGCAUGUUCAGUUUUCCCUCUUCUUUGGUGGGCUAGUCCUAUAUGAUUUACAGUCUUCAUGUCUAGAAAAUUUCUUAGAUUAAUAUUUUCUUUUGGCAGAUGUAAUGCUCCCAAAUCAAUGGGAAAGGGACAAUUGUGGGGCUUGGACACCUGACUUCCUUGAGUAAUUGAACUGAGGGUCCUUAAACUAUGUCUCAGUAUCAGUGGCUGCCACACUUGACUUUCUCAAGUAUUUGAAAAUUCAGAGGUGAGAUAGGCUAUGUUUAUGUGUCAACGGAUUCUAAAUUUCAUUACUCUUGAGACCUUUGCAUAGAAGGACGAUGAGGUUGGCAUAUGAACCCCAAGGACUUAGAAUUGAGUCUAUCUCUGCUAUUCUGGAAAUUCUAAAAAUCAUCUAUAGACUGCCUCACAUCUUAGCUUCAAAUUGCUGUGUGCCCUGAAUUGAAAUCAAUUCCAAAAGGACACACCUCUCAGCACUCUCAUGUUGACUAGAAAUGGAUGGAUAAUUCAAAAGCACCCAUAGGCUCUUUAAUCAUGCCACCUACAAUGUAUUUCAGACUCAUGAUCCAACCUCUCUUCCUGCUUUCGUUGGCUUCAUUUUUUAUUGCAUUCAAUGAUCUAAGAAGGUUAUUUUUGUUUAUCUUCUAGAUUAGCCAUCUUUUGUAUACUUUGUGUGUACAUUGGGAGCCUCCUUUUAGGUGUUUUUAGUAUGUUUUCUCUUUUACCUAACAAAAAAAAAUGAUCGAAGAAAGUUAUAUUCUGCUUGUAAUUUUGUUUACUUGGUUCGUAUGCAUUAGCAAAUAUGAAGUGAAAGCAAAUAUGCUGUGUUUAGAAUACCACUUGUAUUAUACAUAAAAAAGUCAUAUAACACUUUGUAUGGUGCAAGCUGUUUCCAUCAUUACUUUAAGAUUUUACUUUGAGUUUGAGAAAAAUUCUGGGUUGAUUUAAUUUCUAUUUUCUUGCAGAUUUCACCUUGGUUAAGAAUUUUUUACUAUUAAUAUCUACCAGAUGUCUAAGGCAUCUAAUAGUGUUCAAACUUUCUGAUGUAUAUUAAAUUCAGGAGGGAUGUCUGCAAUACAUUUCAUCCUUACCCAGAGCUGACAUCAGUGCCAUAAGACAUGGUUGUCCUCAACACCCUAUGGACACUCAGAAUUGGCGAUUGUUCUGGUUUGGCAACAUUAACAGACUCAAUAUGCAGCCUUAUAUCAUUUACAGAGCUUCAAAUGCAUGACUUCCCUGAAUUAACAUCACUGCUAGAAAAGAUGGUUCACUCAAAUCUCUGCAAACACUUAGAAUUGAGGACUUUUCUGGUUUGGCAACACGACCAGACUCGAUAGGCAGCCUCACUUCACUUACAUACUUGAAAUUCAUAGAUGCCUUGAAUUCACAUCACUGCCAAAAGAGACUGGUUUCCUCAUAUCCCUGCAGAAACUCAUAAUCUCUUAAUUGUACAUGUCCAUUGGAAAGAUGUUGAAUGGAAACAAGUGAGGAUUAAACCAAGAUUGCUCAUAACUCAAGAUAUUGAUAUUUGGUGAAGAUUGAAGUGAUAUAAAAGGUUGUUUCAGGUUUGAAAUCCCAUCCUUUCUUCUCAUUUGUUAUGGUUUCAUUUUUAUCAAUAUGUUCUAUUUACAUUCUAUUUUGGUAAUUCUAGCCAUUUUCCUGCUCUAGAGCACUACUUCAUUUUUAUUUUACUAUCAAAAUGUUAAGAGUGUUACACUUUGUUUCAUAAUUUUGUUUUCUUAAUUAUCAUAUGUAUCAAGAGGUAACCAGGUAGUACAAAUGAGCAAUAUCAGUUGAGAACUAGUAACUAUUGCAUAAACCAGUUGCCCUCCCCCAAUCAAUAAAAUUUGAAUUUCGUUUUCCAAAGCUAUUAAUUGCUAGUGCUUUGUAGUUUGAUGGUUAUAGUUGAUAAUCGUUUGCCAAAAUGGUCUUGGUACUUCCCAAAAAAUUUAAUUGUAGAUGUAAUUGUUGCCAAGAAAAAGCGGAUAUUAAUGUCCAUACAUUGUACUCAUAUGAGGAACCUGAAAGUGAGGGUUUGUCAUAAACUAAUUGUCUUUGUCUCAAGUGACUUUGCACCUCAUUGCCCUUGCAACCUUAGAAGCUAUCUGUGUGGUUGGUGUCUCAGCAUCUUACAAUUCUAGAAAUUCUAAAAAUUUUCAACUGUUCUGGUCUUGCAAUUGCCUAGAAGUAAAAUCAUUUCCAAAAGGGAUAUACUCAUGACCAUUCUACAGAAACUCUGAACACUUAAUAGAGAAAUGCCAAAAGGAGAAGUUGAACACUGCUGAUUCAUAAAAUCUAGGGACAAUUGUGUUUUGAAUCUAGCUGGGCCCAAAAAUUAAGUUUUGAUCCAUAUAAGUUGCAUAAUUGAUGGGGAGGAUAUAAAAUAUGAAGAGACCAAUAUACCCUUCAAAACUAUUUUCUACCAUAAUGUUUGACAAACUUUUUUAUCUUAAUUUUUUUUAAAUAAUUAUUCUAAAAAUUUAUUAUUUUUAGAAAAAUAAUUUAAAAAAAUAUAUAUAUAUUCUAAAAAUAUAUCAUUUUAAAAAAAUAAAUUUGACAUAUUUUUAGCUAUUUUUUAUAUACACAAUUUUAAACAUAUAUAUUUUUCAAGAUGUUUGAUUUUAAAAUAAUAAUAAUGAUAAUAAUUUAUUUUUAUUUUUUUUGGAAAAUGAUGUAUUUUUUUCCAAAUCAUUAAAUUAUAUUAAAUUUUAUUGAGGUUUACAAAAGAAAUAAAAUUUAAAUUAAUGUUUUUUUUUUCAUAGUGAACAAAGGUCAAUUUUGGAAAGAUAAAAAAUUAAUAUAAUUCUUUUUAAUUUUCACACUUUUUCUAGGUUUUGGGCCUAAAUAGUGAACUUAUAUGGAUCAAAGCUUAAUUUUUUAGCCCAAUUGGGUCCAAUACACAAUUAUCCCAAAAGAAAAAAAUAUCAAUCUUCCUAAAUAAGUUGAAAUGGUGAGAUUGGAGGAGUAAACUACAUAUGAUGUAAUAUAUUUCUCUCUUCCAACAUAGGCCCAACUAAAUAAUGGGCUUGAGGCAAAGCCCUAACUACUGAACUGAAUGGACUGGGCUUGGUUAUCUAAGAAUUUCAUUUUUCCUUUAAAUCCAAGUAAUUCACCAAUUAAAACCAUGAACAUAUUUGUCUAUAACAAGGGAUUGCAGGAGCCCUUUAAACACUAAAAGUGGGGUUUAAAAGUCAAGAAAGGUUUAUUUCCUUAAAAAUUUUAACAAUAUAAAAAAAUAUAUCUUUAUUUUAAAUGAAAGUAUUUUUAAAAUUAAUUAUUCAUUACAUCUUAUUAACACUCACUACUUAUUAAUAAUUAUAUUUAUAUGGUUUAAAAAAUUAUUACUCUUUUUAAAAUAAGUCCUUGACAAGUUUAUAAAAUAUAGGAGUCGCUAGUUUUUCUAUUUUUAAGAACAAAAGAUGUAUUUAAACGACACCUAAUUCAUUAAAAGAUGUCUCGUAACUAAUUUUAUGAAAUUUUAAAAUUACAUUAAAUUUAAAUGACACACCUAAAAUUAUAUAAAAUUUAAAUCUCAUAAAUUGAAAACUUAAAAAAUGUCAGACCAAAAUUUUCAAAAUUCUUUCUUAAAUUCCCUCAAUUCCAAAUCCCCAACUUUAAGAUUCUGAAUCCAUUUUUUCCUUUUCCAUAUAAAUCCCUUGACUCCAUAAAGACGGUAAAAGAAAAUAAUAACAUUUAGAAACAUACAAUUUUUUUUUUUUUGUUUUUUUUUUUUGUAGAUUUCCCUUCAAAAAAAGUUGCAAGAUGUAAAAGUUUAUAAAUAUUAAAAAGGUAAUUUUUGAAAAUAAAUAAUAUAAUUUUUUUAUUUAUUCCUUUAUUCAUGCAUGCUAAAAAAAGAAGAUAAUAUCCAAAAACCAAGUAAUAAGAAAAAAAAUCAUAAUGGAAAUGUUUAUUUCUUUACUUAUAUUUAAGAAACAAGGUUAGUUCAAAGAAAUUAAAAGAAACACAUUAAAUAAAUUUUCAUUUUUUUUUAAAAAAGUUUUAUUUCGAUUUUUUGGUAGUAUUAUAAUUUGAGAUAGAUUGGAGGAGCAAAGAAGAGAGUCACCGUGAGUAGGUCACACGGGCUUGGGGAAAGGCCCAACUACUCAACUGAAUGGACUGAGCUUGGUUAUCUAACAACUUGUUGCUAGUGCCAUCAUCUUUAUUUGUGGGUAUCUCAGAAUUUCAUUUAACCCUGAAGAUAUUUCUCUACAACAAGGGAUUGGAAUAGCUUUUUAAAUGCAAAAAGUGGGGUUUAAAAGUCAAGCAAGUUUUUAUUUCCUUAAAAUUUUUAACAAAUAAAAGUAUUUUUAAAAAUUCAAUAUUAUUUAAAAAAAAGUUAAAUCAAACCCUUAUUAAGAUGUUAAAAAAAUAUAUUUUUAUUUUGUUUAUCAUUAAAUCUUAUUGACACUCAAUACAUAUUAAUACUUAUAUUUUUGAAAUAGCUUUGAAAAAUUAUUACCUCUUUAAAGUAAGUCUUUGAUAGUUUUUUCUAUUUUUAAAAAUAAAAGUGGUAUUUAAAUAACACCUAAUUUUUCAUUCAUUAAAAUUAUAUGCCUCCCAAAUAGUUUUGUACUGGGAUUUUUUAAUUCCACUUUCAUUAUAAUGCUUCUUAUCAUUUUUAUUUUUUUAUUUUAUUUUUAUGGUUAGAAUCAUUUAACAUUGAAUACAUAUUCAACAAAGCUUUAGCCAAACAAUGGCUAUGAAAAAUUAUAAAUUGAAUGAGUCUAGACAAUGCUUCUUAAAUUUUAUGACUAAAUAGAAAAAAUUAAAAUAUUUGACUCCUUACUAAAUGCUAAAUUAACUUUUUAAAAUAACAAAAACACAAUUUCUACAUAUUAAUGAUUAAUAUUUAAGAAAUAUAAAAUAAAAAAAAUAAACAACUUAAUACUUAAAGUUAUUAAAUCAUAUUUAGAAUUAAAUUAAAUUAAAUUAAAUUAAAUUCUAUUUAAAUUUAAGUAAAACAAUACAAACACCACAUAAGAUUUUCAGCUCUUGAUGUGAGUUCUCUUUAAAAGAUAGUAGAAUUAUACACAAAGCAAUAACAUGAAGAGGUAGUCUACAAAACUCUAUGAAGGAAAAUUAAGAUUUUUAGCUCCUCUCUUUUUCUUUCAUUCAAAUGCUCAAAGCUUAAGUUUUUGUUUAUAUACACAACUUAUAACAUAAAAUGAAUGACUCAACCAAACUAUGAUUCUAAAAUAAUAUCUAAAAAAAUAUAGCACAAUAAUUCAUCCUAUAUAAAUUUAUGAUUUAAUCAAUUUGAUCCCAAUUAAGUACGUGCAUUAUGAGUCACAUUCAUCUUUGUCUUCCAAAUAUUAAAAAGGAAAUUAUAUCCAUAAUUAAUUGCAUGUAACCUUUUGUAAAAAUAUGAUGGAUUUAGAACCCCACUACUUGAUAAUGGAUCCAUUAUUAAAGGUUAUUUAAUGCCACUUUUGCAUUCUAUUCUUUGAAUAAUUUAGUAUUAUUGAGGGGUCAUUGUCUUCCCAUGAGAAUCUUGAAAAAUCCAACCCUUUUGAAAGGGUGUGAAUAAGGUUCCAUAUAUCAGGAGGCUUAUUCGUUAUUUUUCCACCCAAAGCAUCGUUAUGCAUUCAAACUUUUUUUGGUAGGAAAACUGCUCUCUCUCUCUCUCUCUCUCCUUCCCUCCCUCCCUCCCUCCCUCCCUCCCUUUUUCACUAAAUGCUACUGCCUUCACAUUGUAGCCUCACAAGUCAAAUCCAUAGGACCGAUAAGCAUCACACUCUUUCAUAUCAUUUUACUAAGAAUUUAGUCAUUGUAAAAUAGAUUAUGUAUGUGUGAUUGGACAAAAAUUUACUUUGGUGUAACUUGAAGUCUUAUUAUGUCUGAAUCCAAAUAGAAAAUGGCAAAAAACUAUUAUUUAUACUUUAGAUUUCAUAAAAAAAAAUUUACUUAAACAAAAUAUGUAAAAAUAAAAUUUAACUUAAAAAAGGAAAUGGUUUUGCCACUAACUUUGAAUAUCUAGCUGUAAUUAUAUGAUCUAUAGUUCUCAUUAAAAAAGCUCAAAAAGGAAUAUCUAAAUGUAGUAAGAGUGUAUUUGAUAUUGUUUUUAUUUAAAAGGAUUUUAGUGGAAGUGUUUUUCUUUACAAGUGUUUUUGGGAGAAUCACUCAUGAAGUGCUUCUCCACUAAGCAUUGCAAGUGAUUCUCUUAUUGAUCUAUCAAAAAAUUACCUACUUUGUAAUUCUAUUAUAAUAAAUUUGUUAAUUUGAUAGCAAAACAAAAUGAUAUUUUACUUUAUAAGUUUCUUUAGAAAUAAAUUAAUAAAAUGAAUUUAUAUUUGUAAUAUUAUUAGUUGUGAUCGAAUUUGUUAUUUUUUUAUGUUAUAUUAUGAAUUGCUUUAAUAUUAACUACUUUACAUAAAAUCUCAUAACAUGUUGUAUAUAUAACUCAUUUUUUAAUUUAGUAGAUUGUGUAUUCGUUUAGAGAAAUAAGUUGAUAAACUUAUUAUGAUAUAAAGUAUACAAAUUUAAUGUAAGAAUCUUUUGCUUUGUGUCGCAUGAACCAAUGAUUUUUAAGUUCUAACAUAGUUCCUUUACAAAUCUCUCUUCUAAGUUUGGUGGGAAAUGGAAAUAAGCAUAUUGAUGCCUACAAAGUUUCUAUAAUGGAAAUGUGAUCCUUUUCUUUUGCAAAAAAGAAUUAUGGAAAAUAAGAGGAUUUUUUUUUUUGUUAUACAUUUUUUAGAAUAAAAAUAAAUGAUGAACAAGCAUAUUUAAUAACACAUUUAUAAACUUAAAACAGAAUUUUAUAUAAGGUUUAUUAAAAAAAAUGUUAUAAAUAUUAUUUCUUAUAUUUAAAAAUAUAAAUACUUCAAUUACUAAAAUGAUCUAAAAACAAUUUAUUGGCGCUCCCAUUCUCCUUUAGAUUAAAAACUCUUGUUAACAAUGAUUUCCUAUUAAUUUUAAAAAAUCAAACACUAAUGAAUGAUUAAUUAGAGAGAAAUGUUUCCUUCUCUUUUCCUUAGAAGUGAACACUUUGUAAACUAAUGUUUUUCUAGAAGUCCAUUGUCAUUUCCUUUCUGAUUGCAACACAUCCAUAUCAAAGGCCUCUUGGAUGGUAUGGUUAGCUUUAGAAAUAUAUAUUUGGUGUUUCUCUACAACACUCAACAUGUUGGUGGGUUAUUACGAGGAUUGUAUGACUCUUAUAUCUUGUGUAUAUAUUAAAAUGAUAUGAAUGAAUAUAUGAUUAAAUCAACAUGAGCUCAAAUACGUAUGGGCAUGGUGAAUCAAAUUCUCCUUUUCAUCAAAGACGCAAAAAAUAGAUUAAAUUUAGUCCACAGUCACAUUGAACCUUUCCCAAAUAUGACAUAAUUAGAAUCUUUAUCGGAGUACAUGAUAUACAUUAUGGAUUAAAAUCCUAAAAGUGUAAGUUUUCUUGAGAAAAAGGAUUGUAUAACAUAGUGUUGGAUCAUUGUCUUGCAAGAGUUUAUGUAUUUUAAACUUACGUAUGCUUAUUUAAGUUCAUGUGUUCUUCAAGAUGGUUAAUUUGAGAAACAAGUACACCAAAAAAGAAAGGAGACUAGAGGUUGAUGAAAUUUAAGAGUUAAUAUGUGAAUGCUUUGAACAUGAAAGAAUUUUUAAGAAGAUGACAAAGCUAUUCCAUGAAAAGUUAAUUUUACGUAAGGAAUUUCGUCUAAGUCAAAGUAUUGUUCAAUUCCCAUAUGCAUGUCUUAUCUAGGAAAUUGAAAAUAAAGUAGACAAGACCAUAUGAGGUUACAUAAGUCUUUUUGAAUGGGACAAUGAUCAUUAAAUAUCUAAAGUUCAAGGAGAUGUUCAUGGUAGACAACCAUCACUUGAAAAGGUUCAUGGAUAAAAGUGAAAUAUUAGGGAAUUUAUUACCUCACAAGUAAUAGAGGGCAAGACAAGGUAAUUAUAAACAAAUAACAAUAAACAACAACAAUAAUAAAAUAAUUUUUGUUAUCCUAUUUUGCUACUUAGAGGAUAGUGGAAAUUAGAACCUUGCCUAGAGAAAUCAAAGAAAAAAAUAGCUUCUACAUCCAUAGAAUAUAAGUUGAUUUUGAAUUCAACUUCUGAAUUUGAAAUGAUUUCAAAAUUUAACCCAUAAUUUUGAAUUCACUUCUUCAACACUCUACAUACCUAAUUCAAAAUUACUUCCAACAUUUGGAAUUUGUAAUUUUUUAGGGUUUUUUUAGACAUUUUGAUGUAAAUUUAAAGUGGUCAAUUAGGAUUGGCCACAUUUCAUGGUUUUGAUUGUAAUAUAUAAACUUACUUAGUUUUAGGGUUUUAAGAGUCUUGGAUCUAAAGUUUUGUUGAUUCAAUAUACCUAAUUAGCUUUUUCAAUAGAUAUUGUGUGACAAAAUCACCCAUGAGGUAGUUAUCUUGGGUUGUAAAACAUGAAAGUCUAGGUUUACGAUUAGAGAGGAAUAAUGGGUAAAAUAUAGGUACCUAAAAUGAAUUCUAAUAAUUGUUUGAGUAAAGAAAUUGAAUAAUAAACUCUUUAUGUAGAUCCGAUUUUGAGAAGGCACAAUAGAACUUUGUAGAGCUACUAGAGAUUCUUGGCAUUUCUUGAUCCCUAAUUAACAUAAUUUAUCUUAUCGUUACAUAUCCUAAAAGCUAAAUCUACAAGAGGAGUGAGAACUUACACGAUGUGACUUAUACCUGAAUUUGAUGGUAAUUCUUAGGGAUUAAGAUUAAAAAAAAAUAUGUUUUAAAUGCAAUUAUGAUAAUACUAUUGGAAUACUCUCCUCUUUGAUAGGUUGAAUCAUAUCCAUACAAAUAUAAGCCAGCAUUUGGAUCAAACUUUCUCAAAUGUAAGUUUUCAUCAUUAAUUUGAAUCAAGAUGCUUGAUUAGAAAAUUGGAAGUUCUUCAAAGAACUUACAACACAAUAUUAUAGGCAAUCAUUAAGUAAUUAUGAAGAUUUGAAUGGAAAUAAAUUUUAUUUUAAAAAAGCUAGUGAUAAAAAGAGAAAAUUAAAAAUCAUGGAAUUGCUUUUAAAACUAAUUCAAUGGACGGAAAUUUGAGAAAGCCUCCUAACAACCAAAUUAAUUAACCCUAAACAUAACAAUAAAGAAUUAAGGGCAUGGGGGCCUAAACUUCAGUCAAUGUAGGCCUCCAUCUGCAUAUCUAAUUCAUUCAAUGGGCCAUACUUCUAUACUUUUUGAAGAGAAGACUAGACUUUUGCUGCCCCUUGUGUUAUCGAAGGCUAAAACAAAGACUAAUUGCUUUCUCUAUUCCAAGUCUUCUGCAUAUCUAAGCCAUCCAAAUGGAUCAUACUUUUUAUGGAUAAGACUAGACUUCUGGCCUUGUGAUAUGAAGGCCAAGACCAAUACUAUUUGCUUUCUUUAUUCUAAGUCUCUGUGUACCUAACUCAUCUAAUGGGCCACACUUUCCAUGGAUAAGACUAGACUUUUGCCCUCGUGAUAUGAAGGCCAAGACUAAUUGCCUUCUAAGUAGGGUAAUAACAUAAGGAAGUUUCAUAUGGUUUUGUAAUGAAAGUCUAGAUUAUAAGCAUAUAUUUGAUAUAUAUUUUCUCUCAAAUAACAUGUAUAUUUUUUUGUCAAAUGCUCUUUAACAAAACUUUUAUCAUACAUUUUUUUUAUUGUUGUACUAUUUUCCUAUAUCUAAUAUUUUCAAAGCUUCCAUCCUAUUAUGCUAUUUAUAUCUUAGCAACAUUCCUUGCUACCUUACAACAAUUACUUUUAUUUGGAAACCAAUAUGUAUUUAGAUAGAUGACUUCGAACUUCAGAAAAAUUUUGUUCGUCAAUGUAACUUCAUGUACGAUAUAUAUGCAUAUGUUCUGAAAAAAGAAAAUGAAAAAUCGCAAAAUAUACAUGAUAAAUGUUAAGAUUCAUAUAUUGAUGCAAGUACAAAACAAACAAUUCAACAACAAAACUUUCUCCCUUUGAAAGUAAAAAUUAUUUUUACUUGGAAACAACAUUUGUAUAUAAUGAAGAUUUGCAACCUUAAGUUUUUGUCUCUCAAUCUAAUCCACUAGACACAUUUGUGCUUUAAAAGCUCGAACUACUUUAUAGGAAAGACCAAGACUUCUAGCAAUUGAUAUAGAGUUUUCUUUAAAAGCUAAGACUAAGACUACAUAAUUCUUACUUUGUGGAUGAAAAUCAAGAUUUUCAGCUCCUUUGUUUUUCUUUCUUUCUAGUGCCCAAGGUUUAAGUUUGUGUUUUAUAUACAUAACUUAAAACACAAAAUAAAUGACCCAACCAACCUAUGAUUAUCUAGAUAGUACUUUAAAAUAUAUAUAAAUUUAUAAUUUAAUCAAUUUGAUUUCAAUUAUGUAUGGACACUCUGAAUCACAUUCAUCUUUGUCAUCCAGAUAUGAAAAAAAUAAAAAAGUUCAAAUCCAUAAUUAUGCAUCCUAAUCUCUUUUUAAACAUGAGGGAUUUAUAACCCCCCCACUACUUGAUGGACCCUUUCCUAAAGGUGAUUCAAUGCCACUUUGUUUGAUCUUCACAAUCUUUAUCACAUUCUUUGAUCUUUUGCAUUCUUUGAAUAAUUCAAUAUUAUUGAGGGGUCAUUCUCAUUAAAUGAGAAUCUUGAAAAAUCUAACCCUUUUGGACGGGUAUGAGGAAGGUUUCAUAUUAGGGGACCCAUGUCUUACUUAUCCACCUAAAGCAUCAUAAUGCAUUCUCCACCUAUUGUAUUAUAAAAUCAUGCACGAUUUCAAACUUGAUUCUUUAAUACAUUUGAGAGAAAUUAGUAGUUGAAUUUUUUUGUCUUAAUAUGAGUAGUAGAAGAUGUUUUCCACUUCUCCACCUAUUGUAUUAUAAAAUUCAUGCCACAAGUGCGUCUUCAAAAACCACAUCCACUACAUGCGAUAUGUCCACAUUAGCUUGAAUUUUGAUAUAUGUGAAGUUGUUCAAUUUCCCUUUAUAUAUAUAUAUAUAUACUUUUUAUUGUAAUUUUGUGUUACUUUUAUAAGGUUGAGUUUUAUUUUUAAAAACUUUUCAAAAAAUACAAGAGAAAAAAAUUAAAAGAAAAAUAAAAUAUAAAAAAGUAUAUAAAAGUAAAAAAGAAAAUAGAUUUAAAACUAAUGAAUUAUUUUUAAUUAGUUUCUCAAAUUCAUUUCAUUUAAUUUCUUUAUUUAUAUAAAAUUAAAUAAUUUAAAAAUAUAUAAUUAUUUUGAUUUGAUUUUUCUAUUAUAAAUCAAAUACCAGAAAAUAAUUUUUCUUAGUUUUUUUUUCGUUUUUUCUAUAUAUCUUUCAUAUGUAUAAAUCAAUGGAGCCACACCCCUUCAACAACCCUUAAUCAUGUUGUAUCCAUAAUAAUAAUUCACUUUUUUUUUUUUUUUUUCAUAUCAGUUCACAUGUGACCUGAUCAUGAGCAACUAGGCAUCGUCUAAGCUGUACCUCUGGAUGCUGAGGAAACACAACCAUAUUUUCUAUCAUGUCACAUUGGACUUGGAAUAGUUCCAGGUAGACAAGUUAAUAAUAGAUUUGAAAUCUUCACCCAUUAAUUUAAGUUCUUCAUCUAAUGUCCAUAUUUUUCUACCAGGCCACAUAGGACUUUGAAUAGUUUAAAGUGACCAUGUUACCUAAUUAAUUUGGAGAGUACUUUGCAUACUGGAUAGAUCACUAACCUCAUUUAAAUAAUAAAAUCUUCUAAAUUCUUUUUUUUUUUUUUUUCUGAUUUGACAUGAUUAUGCUUUAUUUUAUAAAUUAAUUAAUAAUUAUAUUUAUUUAUCUUGGCUUCCCGUACACAUUUUAUGAAAAUAUUAUCCAUGUAUGUAAUACUCAAGAUGAAUGCACCCUUACAAUUAAAUUCAUCUUUUAAAUUUGAAAAAAAAAACUAAAAAUUAAUAUUUUUUUAAUUAACAUUUAAGUAAUAAAAAUAACAUAACCAAUUUAAUUUUUGGUUUUUCAUUUUUAAAAAAUUACUCUUAUAUUUCACAACUUUUCAUCCUUAAUGUGCUACAAAUCAUUUUACCACUAUAAGGGUUAUGAAAUAAAAAUCAUGUGUGUGGAAUAAAUAAGGAAAAGAAAAUUAAAUUAUCUUAUUAUUUUGCCAUGUAAUUUCGAUUCCUAAACUUUCCUCAAAUCUUUUUGUUUAUAUUUGAUUCUUGGAAAAUGACACUAAAAAAUUAAAAAAAAAUUAUUUUCUAAUGUUUGGUUUUCAUAUAGAAGAUAUCGGAUAUAACUAAAAUUAGUUAAAAAAAUUUGUAUUUUAAAAUUAUUUAUUUCUUAUGUUGAAAAGUUAAAAUAAGUAAAAUGAGUUUAAAGGACAUACAAAUAAUUUAUUAAAUUAAAAACUAUUUUUAAUUUUUAUUCAUUUUUUCUUCACAUUUUCUAUUAAACUUACGGAGAACCAAACACAUCCUUAGUAUUUUCCUUCUUUAUUUGUUAAUGUCGUUUUCCCUUAUCUUUUUCCAUAGUAAUUAAAAAUAAUAAAUUUGUUCCCUUUUCUUUUAGGUUAUGUUUGGUUUUUAGAAAAUUUGAGGGAAAAAAAAUAAAAAGAAAAAAUGGAAGAAAAGAAAAAAUAAAGGAAAAUAAAAAAAGAUUUAAAAUUAAUAACUUAUUUUUAUAUGUUUUUUCAAAUUCAUUUCACUUAAUUUCUUCUAUUAUAUAAAGAUUAAAUAAUUUUAAAUUGUAUAAAAUUUUAACUAAUUUUAAUUAUAUUUAAUUAUUUUUAAAAAUUUAUAAUAAAACCAAAUAUGAGAAAAUUAUCAUCCUUUUCAUUUUUUUUCUUUCCCGAUCACCAAACAUAACCUUACCAUUUUUCCAAAUUUCGGAUUCGUACGUUUGAAUAAUCAGCCUCAUGUCCAUCCAAAAGGAACUGAAUGAGCAUAAAUGGUACAUCAAUUUUAUAUUGACGGCCUUCAGUACCUUUAAUUGCAGCUUGUUGACUUGUCCACCGAAUCCAUGAUAUCAGCCAGUACCCACGUGACUUGGCCCAUCUCAUCCACCCCGAUAAAGAUAUCUCUUACUUUGUUCCCUAUUCUCUCACAAUUCCCUCAGCUUCUCAUCUUGUACGUGCUGUAUUUUCUUGGCUUUCUGCAACUUUGAGUUGUUCCAAAAUGGCUGGCCAAAUUCCAUUCGGUGUUGUGGAGCACAUUUUGACCAAGUUGGGGUCCAAGGCGUUUCAAGAAAUUGGAUCCAUGUAUGGUAUUCCAAAGGAGAUGACCAAGCUCAAUGGGAAACUGGGCACCAUCAAGGCUGUGCUUUUGGAUGCCGAGGAGAAGCAGCAGCAGCAGAGCAAUCGUGCAGUCAAAGAUUGGGUCCGGAGGUUCAGAGGUGUUGUUUAUGACGCAGAUGACUUGCUGGAUGACUAUGCAACCCAUUAUCUUCAGCGAGGAGGAUUGGCAAGGCAGGUCAGUGACUUCUUCUCAUCUGAAAAUCAAGUUGCUUUUCGUUUUAAGAUGAGUCAUAGACUCGAGGAUAUCAAAGAAAGGCUAGAUGAUGUUGCAAACGACAUCCCCAUGUUAAAUCUCAUUCCACGGGACAUAGUACUACACACACGGGAAGAGAAUAGUGGGAGAGAAACCCACUCAUUCUUGUUGCCGUCUGAAAUUGUAGGAAGAGAAGAAAACAAAGAGGAGAUAAUAAGGAAGCUGUCAUCUAACAAUGAAGAAAUUCUUUCCGUUGUUGCCAUUGUUGGCUUUGGGGGAUUGGGUAAGACCACCCUCACUCAAUUGGUAUACAAUGACGAAAGAGUAAAACAUUUUGAGCAUAAGACAUGGGUUUGCAUUUCUGAUGAUUCUGGUGAUGGUCUUGACGUCAAACUGUGGGUCAAAAAGAUUUUAAAAUCUAUGGGAGUUCAGGAUGUGGAGAGUCUGACCUUGGAUGGUUUGAAAGACAAGCUUCACGAAAAAAUAAGUCAAAAGAAGUACUUGUUAGUACUUGAUGAUGUUUGGAACGAAAAUCCUGGAAAAUGGUAUGAAGUGAAAAAAUUGUUGAUGGUUGGUGCUAGAGGUAGUAAAAUUAUAGUAACCACCCGAAAACUUAAUGUUGCAUCCAUUAUGGAAGAUAAGUCUCCCGUUAGUUUGAAAGGUCUAGGAGAAAAGGAGUCUUGGGCUUUAUUUUCAAAAUUUGCAUUUACAGAACAGGAGAUUUUGAAGCCAGAAAUUGUAGAAAUUGGAGAAGAAAUUGCAAAAAUGUGCAAGGGAGUUCCUCUCAUUAUUAAGACUUUAGCAAUGAUAUUGCAUUCUAAAAGAGAACUGGGAUUGUGGUUGUCUAUUAGAAACAAUAUUAAAAAUUUGUUAUCACUUGGAGAUGAAAAUGAGAAUGUUCUACGGGUGUUGAAACUAAGUUAUGAUAAUUUGCCAACACAUUUGAAACAAUGUUUUACAUAUUGUGCUUUAUUUCCAAAAGACUAUAAAAUUGAGAAAAAGUUGUUGGUACAAUUAUGGAUCGCACAAGGUUACAUUCAAUCUGCAAAUGGGAAUGAGCAAUUAGAGGAUAUAGGAAAUCAAUAUUUUGAGGAAUUAUUGUCAAGGUCAUUGUUGGAGAAGGCGGGAAAGAAUCCUUUUACUAAUACAUUAAGUUGUAAAAUGCAUGACCUUAUACAUGAUCUUGCAUAAUCAAUUGUAGGAUCUGAGAUCCUUGUUUUAAGAAGUGAUGUAAAUUACAUUCCAGAAGAAGCUCAUCAUGUAUCAUUGUUUGAAGAGGUAAAUCCUAUGAUAAAAGCUCCAAAGGGAAAAGCCAUAAGGACCUUUUUACCAUGGGAAUAUAAUUUUGAAUCUGAUAGUAAAAUUGUGAAUUCAUUUAUUUCAAGUUUUACAUGUUUACGUGUGUUGAGCUUAGAUGCUUUUCAUGUAAAGAAAGUGCCAAAGUAUUUAGGCAAAUUGAGUCAUUUAAGGUAUCUUGAUCUUUCCUUCAACGAUUUCAAGGUACUUCCAAAUGCUAUUACAAAGUUAUAGAAUUUGCAAACACUCAAACUUGAAGGGUGUAGUAAUUUGAAAAGAUUUCCAAAAAAUUUAGGGGAAUUGAUCAAUCUUAAACACUUGGAGAAUGAUGUAUGUAUUGCCUUGACUCAUAUGCCACGUGGAAUAGAAAAGUUGACUUUACUUCAAAGUCUACCAUUGUUUGUUGUUGGGAAUGAGACAGGGUGGUUAAGGAAUCACAAAAUUGGUAGCUUGAGUGAGUUGAAAAGCCUGAACCAUCUAAGAGGAGGGUUAUGCAUACGAAAUCUUCAAAACGUGAGGGAUAUUGAACUGGUAUCCAAGGGAGAAAUUUUGGAACGAAAACAAUAUCUUCAGUCCUUGAGAUUGGAAUGGAAACGGUCGGGCCAAGAUGGGGGGGAUGAGGGUGAUAAGUCAAUGAUGGAAGGCCUUCAACCACACCCACACCUAAAGGAUAUCUUUAUAGAAGGUUAUGGAGGUACGGAGUUUCCAAGUUGGAUGAUGAAUGAUGGGUUGGGUUCCCUGCUUCCCUGCCUAAUUAAAAUUGAAAUUUCGAGAUGUUCAAGAUGCAAAAUUCUGCCACCCUUUUCUCAACUCCCUUCUCUCAAGUCUUUGAAGCUUCAAAACAUGAAAGAAGUGGUGGAGUUGAAUGAGGAUUCAUCAGCAACGCCACUCUUCCCAUCUCUUGAAUCGCUCGGACUCUUUAACAUGCCAAAGUUGAAGGAAUUGUGGAGGAUGGACUUACUAGCAGAGGAAGUUCCUACAUUUUCUCAUCUUUCUCAAUUAGAGAUCAGAAAUUGCCAUAACUUGGCAUCCUUGGAACUGCAUUCAUCUCCUUGUCUUUCUCAAUUAAAGAUCAUCGAUUGCCCUGGCUUCUUAUCCUUGGAACUGCAUUCAUCUCCUUCUCUUUCUCGAUUAACAAUUGAUGAUUGCCCAAACUUGACAUCCAUGGAACUGCCGUCAUCUCUUUGUCUUUCUCAAUUAGAUAUCAGAAAGUGCCCUAACUUGGCAUCCUUCAAAGUGGCUCCAUUACCUUCUCUUGAGACACUAUCUCUGUUUACAGUUAGAUAUGAUGUGAUACGGCAGAUAAUGUUUGUCUCUUCGUUGAGGUCUCUGUCUAUUGGAAGCAUAGAUGAUAUGAUAUCUCUCCCAAAGGAGCUACUUCAACAUGUUUCUGGCUUGGUAACGUUACAGAUCCGUGAGUGUCCUAACUUGCAAUCCUUGGAACUGCCCUCAUCCCAUUGUCUUUCUAAAUUAAAGAUCAUAAAAUGCCCUAACUUGGCAUCCUUCAAUGUGGCUUCAUUACCUCGUCUUGAGGAACUAAGCCUGCGUGGAGUCAGUGCAGAGGUACUGAGGCAGUUAAUGUUUGUCUCUGCUUCUUCUUCAUUGAAGUCUCUGGGUAUAUGGGAGAUUGAUGGUAUGAUAUCUCUCCCAGAGGAGCCGCUUCAAUAUGUUUCCACUCUCGAAACCCUCUACAUUGUCAAGUGCUCUGGUUUGGCAACAUUACUACACUGGAUGGGCAGCCUUUCCUCACUUACGGAACUUAUUAUUUACAACUGCUCGGAAUUGACAUCACUGCCAGAAGAGAUCUAUUCCCUUGAAAAACUGCAGACAUUUUAUUUCUGUGAUUAUCCACACCUAGAGGAAAGAUACAACAAGGAAACAGGUGAAGACCGGGCCAAGAUUGAUCAUCUCCCACGUAUUUAUUUCGAAAAGGAUUUUCCUAUGAGAUAUAAGGUCCGAAAUCCCUAACCUUUCUUCCCAUUUUUAUUAUUUAAGAAUCAAAAUGCUCACAUUAAUAAUUUUGAAAAUUUUUUCCAGCUUUACUGCGUUUUCUGAUGCUGUGCACUAAACUAAUCAUUUUACUUGGAGUUGUACAUUCUAAGAGUUUGAGGAAAUACUGAGGUCUGAUAUGAUAACUCUCAAUCUUAAACGUUGUUUUGUGUUUGGAACGUUACUACACUUGAUACAUACCCUCACCUCACUUACAGAGCUUUGAAAUCGUGGCUGCCCUGAAUCGACAUCACUUACAUACCCUCAAAAACCUGCAGACACUUAACAAUCUGCAUCUGUUCACACUUAAGAGGAAAGAUGCCGAAAGCAAAGGUGAAGACUAACCCAAGAUUGCUCAUAUGCCACAAAUUGAUAUCAUACAUCCAUGAAGAUUGAACUGAUACACAAUGCCUUUCAGGUCCGAAAUCCCUAACUUUUCUUCUCAUUUUCUAUGACUUCAUUUUCAUAUCUUACUUUUAAAAUGCUCUGUUUUCAUUUGUUUUGGCAGUUCUUUGUAUUUGCACCUUACUUGUUUGAUUAAAUGCUUACUUCAGUUGAGUUUGAAAAUUUUUACAUCUUCAAAUUAUUUUACUGUAAGUGUUUUGCAUUCUAAGAGUUUGAGGAAAUACUGAGCUCUAAUAUUACUAGUAGAGUCCACCGUUCCUAAGAAGCUUACCAUUGCCUAAUGCCCAAAGGAUCCCGAAAGGAGAGAACUUUGGAUUGGCUUGAAGAUUUCACAUGGUCCAAAAAUUUGUAUUUACUAGACGCCUGAUACAAAAAGUAGUUUAAAUUUAGCCAUUAAUAUAACUUUUUUAUUAGAGAAAUAAUUGUCAAACAAAUGCAAAAUAGAAAAUGGUGUUAAUGAAUUCAGUACUUCAUCUAUGUUGCAGUUUAGCAGCUUUUGUUAGAUAAAGAGUAUGGGGUUGGGUUUAUCAUGUUACCAUUCCAAAUAUUCUUAAAAAAAAUCAUCAAGGCUUUGUUUGGUUUCUUGAAAAUUUGAGGGAAAAAAUAAAGAGAAAAAGUGGAAGGAAAAAAAAAAGUGGAAGUCAAUAAAUUAUUUUUCUAUUAUACUUUAAACUCAUUUCACUUUUUUUAACUCUUUGAUUUAAAGAUUAAAUAAUUUGAAAAUGUAUAAAUUUGUAAUUAAUCUUAAUUAUAUUUGAUUUUCUUUGGUAUUUUCCAUAGGACAAUUAAACUUGAGAAAAUCAUUUUCCUUAACAUUAUUUUCUCAAUACUUUUUGGAAACCAAACAUAACCUAAAUGUUCUAGUUUAGUUUAGCAGCUUCAUCAAAUUAGAUAGACAACCUCACAUCUCUUAUUCAGCUGAGGUGCUAUGUUAGUUAAUGUUUUGUCUCUACUUCUUCAUUGAAGUCUAUCUAUUGGGUGCACAGAUGAUAUGAUCCAAACUCAAAUUGAACACUACUCUUGUUUUGCAACAUUACUGCACUGGAAAGGCAACUUGAACUCACUUAUAGACCUACCUAUUGGUGACUGCAUUGAAUUGACAUCACCUUGGAAGAGAUGUGUUCCACAUGGAAAAUCUUUCAUUAUAUGCACCUACUUGCAAGAUACCAAAAGGAAACAGGUGAAUACUUGCCCAAGAAUACAGAGGGCCACACUUGGUGAAGGUUUCAUCAGUAAGGAGAACCAUUUCAAGUAUGAAAUCCUCCCUUCUCAUUUUCUAAUGACUUCAUUUUUAUUCAAUAUCCAUUUGAAAUUAUUUAAGUUCAUUUUCUUUAGAUAUUAUAUUUUCUUGCUUGCUCAAUAAUUUCAUUCAAGUAAGAUGUUUGGAUAUCACAUUUUCUUUGGGGGGUUUUUUCUUUUUAGAAUAAUUUCAAAAUGUCAUUUUUAACUAUUCACAAAAUUUGAUCAUAGUUGAGUGAUUAAAAUUCAAGUUUAUUCUUAUUAUCAUUAGUAGUUAUUUGAUAUAUCCGUUUGCUAAUACAAAAAUAAGACUAACAAGUAAUGUGCAUAGAGUUUGUAGAAGAGAAGAAAGAUUUGAUCCAAGAUAUUCCUAAAGAUUGGAAACUUUCAGAGCCACCCAAGAUCCCACAGGUUGAAUUCAGAUUCAUCCAAUUUACAAUCCAUUAAUUCUACUUAUAUCAUCUUUGUUAUGUUACAAUUUGCCUUUACUUGUUAUGCAGCCUAUCUUAAUAAUUUGGGGAGACCAAGAUAAGGUAUUCCUAGUAGAACUAGCUCACAAAUUGAAAAGGUAAACUUGUGUCACCUAUCUACAUGCCUACAACAAUACAAACACUAGGUCAUGUCUUUCUCACUAUUGAAAUUGUUAUUGCGUGCAGGCAUUUCAGGCGAGGAGGCCCAACUUGUGAUCAUAGAGCAUACUUUUAUUAUAGAGAAGCCCAAUGAAAUAUUUUAAGCACUUGAAAUCCUUUAUCAUUGAUUUGCUUCUACCUCCCAAGCAACACCUAGAACCACUCACACCAUGACGAAGUUAAAAGGAACUAAUGCAACAUUCUCAAUAUAUUAGAAUAUAUUGAAGGAAGGGUGGCCACAUAUGAAGACCCUAUUCCAAGGUCAAAUUUUAGAUUUUUGUGUUUUUCCUAUCACUAUUCCUAUACUAUUACCAGUGCACCUUAUUUGUCAAGAUGAUUAAAAGGGAAUUCCCUAGGAUAACUAGUGUCUCAAGUGAUCUUGAGGUUCAUAAAUUUUUGGUUUCCACAAGAUAGGUGCCAACUAUUUUUUUUACACCCAUGCAAUAUUCCAGUCAUCUAUUAACAUGGGCUAAAAUGUCUUGUAGAUAAUAGAAUAAAGAACUAAAUUACAUGAAAAUAGGACAUUAUUAUUCUAUUUACAAGUAAGGGCCAAAAAUUGUUGAGGGCCAUCAAGCACACUAUUCCUAAAAUAAUAGCAUCCAUGUCGUUGAGCAAAAGUUUUUUUAUAUUGACACCUCAUAUGUUUGUUUAAACGCUCACAUCAAUAACUUUGAAAAUAUUUUCCAGAUUUUCGACAAAUUGUAAUGUUGUGCACUAAACUAAUCAUUUUACUUGGAGUUCUACAUUCUAAGAGUUUGAGAAAAAACUAAGGUCUGAUAUGACAACUCUCAAUCUUAAAUGUUGUUUUGUGUUUGGAAUAUUAUUGCACUUGAUAGAUGCCCUCACCUCUCUUACAGAACUUGGAAUUCAUGGCUACCUUGAAUUGACAUCCCUGCUAGAAGAUAUGUUCUCUCAAAAUCCUGCAAACACUAAACAAUUUGCAUCUGUUCACACUUAGAGGAAAGCUACUGAAAGGAAAAGUGAAGACUAACCAAAGAUUUCUCAUAUCCCACAAAUUGAUAUCAUGCAUCCAUGAAGAUUGAACUGAUAUAGAAUGUCUUUCAGGUCCGAAAUCCCUAACUUUUCUUCUUAUUUUCUAUGACUUCAUUUUUAUUAUCUUACAUUCAAAAAUCCUAUGUUUUCAUUUGUUUUGGUAGUUCUUUUUAUUUGCACCUUAUUUGUUUUAUUAAAUGCUUACUCCAAUAAGUUUGAAACAUCUUCAAAUCAUUUUGCUUAAGUGUUUUGCAUUCUAAGAGUUUGAGGAAAUACUAAGCUCUAAUAUAAAUAGUAUUGGUCAUAAAGUCUUCUUUUCUUAAGAAGCUUACCAUUGACCUAAUGGCCAAAGGAUCCCAAAAGGAAACGACUUUGGGUUGGCUUGAAGAUUUCACAUGGUCCAAACAUUCGUAUUUACUAAAUGCCUGAUACAAAAGAAAUUUUGCUUUCUUUUCAAUUUAGCCAUUAAUGUAGUCUAAAUGUUUUAUUAGAGCAAUAAUUGUCAAGUAAAUGCAAAAUAGAGAAUGGUGUUAAUGAAUUCAGUACUUCAUCUAUGUUGUAGACUUGUAGUUUAGCAGCUUCUGUUGAUAAUGAGUGUGGGGUUGGCUUUAUCAUGUCAGUGUUCCAAAUAUUCUUAAAAAAAUCAUUUAAGCUCUGUUUGGUUCUUAGAAAAUUUGAGGAAAAUGUGAGGAAAACAAAAUAGAGAGGAAAAGUGGAAGGAAAAAAAAGUGAAAGUCAAUAAAUUAUUUUUGUAUGCUACUUCAAACUCACUUCACAUUUUUUUAACUCUUCAAUAUAAAGAUUAAAUCAUUUGAAAAAUGUGUAAAUUUCUAAUUAAUUUUAAUUAUAUUUUAUUUUCUUUGGUAUUUUCCAAAAGACAACCAAAUAUGAGAAAAUCAUUUUCCUUAACAUUUUUUUUCUUAGUACUUUUAGGGAACCAAACAUAACCUAAAUGUUUUAGUUUAGUAGUUUCAUCAAAUUAGAUAGGCGACCUCACAUCUCUUAGUGAGCUGAGGUGCUAUGUCAAUUAAUGCUUUGUCUCUACUUCAUUGAAGUCUCUAUCUAUUGGAUGCACAGAUGAUAUGAUCCAAACUCAAAUUGAACACUACUCUUGUUUUGCAACAUUACUGCACUCGAAAGGCAGCUUCAACUCACUUAUAGACCUUCCUAUUGGUGAUUGCACUGAAUCGACAUCACUUUGGAAGAGAUGUGUUCCACAUAGAAAAUCUUUCAUUAUAUGCACCUACUCGCAAGAUACCAAAGGGAAACAGGUGAAUACUUGCCCAAGAAUACAAAGACCAUACUUGGUGAAGGUUCUGUCAAUAAGGAGAACCAUUUCAAGUAUGGAAUUCUCAUUUCUUCUCAUUUUCUUAUGGCUUCAUUUUUAUUCGAUAUCUAUAUGAAAUUAUUUAUGUUCAUUUUCUUUAGAUAUUACAUUUUUUUGCUUUCUCAAUAAUUUCAUUCAAGUUCUUUUGAUAUCACAUUUUCUUUGGUGUUUUUUUUAGAAUAAUUGAAAAUGUCUUUUUUAACAGUUCACAAAAUUUGAUCACAAUUGAGUGAUUAAAGUUCAAGUUUAUUAUUAUUAUUAUUAUUAUUAUUAUUAUUGGUUAUUUGAUAUAUUUGUUUUCUUAUACAGACAAAAGACCGGCAGCUAAUGUGCAUAGAAUUUGUAGAAGAGAAUAAAGAUUUGAUAUAAGCUAUUCCUAAAGACCAGAAACUUUUAGAGCUACCCAAGAUCUCACAGGUUGAAUUUUGAUUCACCCAGUUUACAAUCCACUAAUUAUCCUUAGAUCAUUUUUGUUAUGUUACAAAUUGCCUUUACUUGUCAUGCAACCUAUCUUAAUAAUUUGGGAAGACCAAGAUAAGGUCUUCCUAGUAGAACUGGCUCACAGGUUAAAAAGGUAAACUCAUAUCACCUAUCUACAUGCCCACAACAAUAUAAACACUAGCUUAUGUGUUCCUCACUAUUGAGAUUGUUGCUGCAUGUAGGCAUUUUGGGCGAGGAAACCCGACUUGUGAUCAUCAAUAACACAAGGCAUGCUUUUAUACAGAGAAGCCCAAAGAAACAUUUAAGCAUUUUGUUAGCCCAAUGGUUCUCCUAAUCAUGUUUUGAAGAUAACAAAUCAUGGUUAAGUGACUAAUUGGUUUGAAUGGUAAAGAAUCUUAGGUAUAAAUUUGGAAAUUCAUCAAAGGACCAAAUGGAUACAAGAUCGAGACUUUUGGAAGACUUUUGAUCAUAGGAAACAAAUGUAAGAUGAAUGCAUGGGUGCACUUAGGUUUUACAUAUCUUUUCAUGCAUCUUUGAAAACUCAGUUUAUUCCUUAAAAUUACAAUUUCAUUAAAACCUGAGUUUUAUCAAAUGUACCUUAGGCAAAACGUUUCAAAAUUGGCAUAUUAAUUUACCUAAAGACCUUGCCUAAGUGUUAGAAAGGAAAAUAAUUGAAAAAUAUAGGUUUUCGGGGCCAAAAGGCUGAACCGAUCAAGGCAUAGGCCAACCAGCUUAACCAGCUAAGGAACUAGUCGACCGGUUGCCCUUGUCCGGCAGGAGAUCCGAUCGAAGAGUGUAAAAAACACUCUCUCUCAUCCAGUAGCCUUCUCUUCCCAGUUGAGGUACUCUCCUUCCCGAUCGACCUCUGGUCGAGGUCCGAUCGAGGCAACGGUAACCUGCCAAAGCAUUAAAUGCUCCAACGGCUAGUGAACUGGUCGACCCCCAACUCGAUCGAUUGAGGCUGCUUUUUGCUCUUUUUGGCUCCUGAGCUUAGAAACCUAUAAAUUGAGAGCUCCACUUCAUUUAUGAUAUAGAGAAAACUUGCAAUCAAUUGUUUACCCACUUGUUUUUGCCUUAAAAGCUCUCAUUUCUUUUUUAGUGCGUUAAAUCCUCACUUGCAUAUCCUUUAGUGCACCCUUGUGAGUCAUCCUAGCUUUGAUUUGUAUUUGAGCUAUCAUUAGGCUAGGUUGAGGGAUUCAUUCUUGUAAAAAUUGAGUGUUAAAGACUUCAAGAGGUUUGAAUCUUGAAGAGAUUAUGUAAGAGCCCAUUGGAGCCAGAAUCCAAGUGUAAAGGAGAUUGAAAGCUUGGUUGAAGCUUCAAGUUAGUGGAACCCUCACUCAGUUAGGAGAUUGAGGAGAGUGGACGUAGGCAAGGAAAUGUCGAACCACUAUAAAAUCCGAGUUUAAAUUCUCUAACUCUAUCUCUUUAUUUUUUUAUUAUAUUGUGCUUGAAAUUGUUGUGUUGAAAAAGUUUUUGAAAAACCCAAUUCCCCCUCCUCUUAGGUAUUUUUCUCAUUUAAGCAUAGCCUUUAUUUUCUCACACUUGAAAUCCUUUCUCAUUAAUUUGCUUCCACCUCAUAAGCAACCCUCAGAACCACUUACACCAUGACAAGGUGAAAAGAAACUAAUGCAGCAUUCUCAAUAUAUCAGAAGAUAUCAAAGGAAGGUUGGCCACAUAUGAGGACCCUGUUUCUAAGGUAGAAUUUUAGAUUUUUUUGUUUUUCUUGUCACCGUUUCUAUACCAUUACUAGUGCACCUUAUUUGUCAAGGUGAUUAAAAGGGAAUUCCCUAGGAUAACUAAUGUCUCAGAUGAUCUUGAGGUUCAUAAAUUUUUUGUUUCAACAAGAUAGGCGUCAAACCAUUUUUAUUUUUUUCUACACCCAUGCAAUAUUCCAUUCAUUUAUUAAUAAGGGCUAAAAUUUCUUGUAGAGAAUGGAGUAAAGAACUAGAUUAAAUGAAAUAAGACAUUAUUAGUCUAUUUACAAGUAAGGGCAAAAAAUUCUUGAGAGUCAUUAAGCACACUGUUCCUAAAAUAAUAGCAUCCAUGUCAUUGAACAAAAUUUUAUUGCAAUUACAUUAGCAUAUAAAACAAAACUAUUUUUUUUAUUUAUGUUCACAUCUUAUCCAUUUGAUAAAAUGCUUAAACAAGUAAGUUUGAAUUUUUUUUUUGUCUUCAAAUCAAUUUAAAUUUUACAUUCAAAAGUUGAAUUAAUUAUUUUUUUUGAAAAAUUUAACCACACUUUAGAAGUUUGUGAUUAUUCUUUGGUCCAUCUUAAAACGAGUUCUUGCAUUCUUUCAUUCCUCCAAUUAAAAUCACAAUAAAAAGUUUUAGAUUGACCUAAAAAUUUUUCAUGGCCUAGAAAUUCAUAUCUACUAGAUGGCUAAAGCAAAAAACACUUCUUCCUUGUAUUUUAAGUAAUCUCUGCCUGCUAUUUGUUUAUUGAGAGCAUCAUACAAGUUGUGAUUAUAUUUCAUAAUUUUUUUAUAUGAUAAGACAGUAACUAGAUUGAGAAAUAUGCAACUUGUAGAGUAGAAAAUUUCUUAACUACUUCCCUUGUAUUUGCUUUGUGUGUAUCAACUGUUCUGUUAAUUAUUUUUAAAAAAUAUCACUAAAACGAACCUAUUAUGUUAGUGCUCUCUAUUGUUAUGUAUCAUAAUUUAGCUAUUUUUUUCCCUUAGAAAUCAUGCUUGUUAUUGUUUUAAUCAGUAGAUAGCAUAAAAACUAUUUUGUUCAAGUUAUUUUGUAUUGGCAUUCUUCAUGUUUCAAAAUAUUGUCAAACUAGCAAUUUUACUGCAGACAUAAUGUUCUCAAAUCAAUGCAAAAAGGGACGAUUGUGGGGGUUGGGCACAACCUUCCUUGAAUAGUGGAAUUGAGGGUUUCUAUAAACUAGGUCUCUAUAUCAAUAGAUUCUACAUUUCAUCACUAUGAGACCUUACAAUAAAUAUAGCAAAAAGCUUCAUUUACUACAUAGUAAGGAUAAUCCUAAGGACUUAAAAGCUUGAGUUGUUCCUUCCAUGGCAGCUUUAGAUCUCUUAAUGAGCUCCAAGUCAUUGUCUACCUUGAAUAUAAAUCACUGCUAGAAGUAUGUGCCCUCAACAUUCCCAUAUUCCCGAUAUUGACUAGAUAUUUGUUGCUAAUUCAUGAAGAAUUGAAGGGAUCUUUGAUAAUGCCAUCUAUAAUGUACUUCAAGUUCAUGAUCCAAACCCUCUUCUUGCUUUCAAUAACUUCAUUUUUUUUUAUAUUACUUUGUGGUCAAUGUUAUAAGAAUGUUGUAUUUUGUUUACCAGAUUCUCAUCCAUCAGCACACAUGAAAGGAAAAGUUUUACAUUGUUUUCCUUCCCUUUGCUCUGUGUUUAUAUAUGUUUAUGCAACUAAUGAGAACUUCCACCGUAACUUUUUAAGUUUUUUUCAUUCUCGAGUUUGGGAAACAACUGGAUUUGAUUGUAAUAUUUUAUUGUAGAUAUCACCUUUCUUAAAAAGCUUGCAUUUAUUCACAUUUUCAAGAUGGCUAAGUCAUCUGAUUAUGCUUAGAACUUUUGGUUUCUAUUAAAUUCAGGUAUGAUGUUUGCAAUUCUAACCCUCUCACUCCUCUUGAAGACUACAUAAGUUUCUAGUGCUUUUACUUUAAUGGUUAUGGUCAAUGUAUCCUCUUGUUACUUCCUGUUUGCAUUCUAUAUGUUCAAGAUCUUUAUUAGAGUAAUUAUUUUAUUGAAGAUAUAAUUGUUUUCAGGUCAAAGCAAAACCAAAACCAAAUAAUGAUGUGGUUUCAACAACUUCUCAAAAGUAACUAGAAAGUAAGGAACUUUGUGGUAGUAUUUUGAUAUCACAUUGGGCUUUCAAAUUGUUGUCUUGAAUUGACAUAAAUAACAUAAUUUCUUUCCUAGUUCAGCUACUUCAACAUGUUAUUAUGCUUCAAACUCUUUCAAUUAUGUGUUGUUUAGGUUUGGCAACAUUAGUACACUGGAUAUGUUGCCUCAAGUUACUUACACAACAUAAAAUUCAUAUUUGUUAUUAAUUGGCAUCACUACCACAAGAUGAGUUCCCUCAGCAUUCUACAUACAACUAUAAUUUGGGACAAUUAUGAUUUGGCAACAUUAUCAGAGUUGAUAGGCAGCCUAUCUUCAUUAACAAAAACCUUUAAAUUUAUAUUUAUCCCGAACUAGCAUCACUGCUGGAAGACGUGCAUCCUUAGCACCCUAUAACCACUCACAAUUGGAGACUGUUAUGGUUUAUAAACAUUCAACAGACUUUAUAGGUAACCUUGCACCACUUACAGAGCUUCAAAUUCAUGGCUAUCUUGAAUUGACAUCACUUUCAAACUAGAUGGUUCACCCAAACCUCAGUUGACACCCACAAUUUAGGACUUCUCCAUUUUGGUAACGAUACCAGAUUUGAUAAGCAUCCUCACUUCACUUACAUACACUAAAAUUGAUAGCUACCUCGGAUUCACAUCAUUGUCACAAGAGAUUAAUUCCUUCAUAUCCCUGCAAACACUUGUGAUCUUUUAUCGUCCAUGUAUAUUAGAAAGACUUAAAAGGGAAAUAGGUGAAGAUUGACCCAAUAAUCUUCAGUCCUAGAUAUUGAUAUUUGGUGAAGAUUGGACUAAUAUAGAGUUAGUUCAGGUUUGAAAUCCCAAUCUUUCUUCUGAUUUGUUAUGGUAUUGUUUUUAUCAAUAUGCUCUGUUUACAUUCUAUAUGGUAAUUUUUGUAUGCAUUUGCAUAUAGAUAAAUAAGGACUUAGAUGAUUAAUUUGAAAAUUUUGCAUCCUCAAUUAAUUAGUAAUUAAAGACCAAACUGAUCAUAUUACUUUAAGUCUUGCAUUGUAAGAGUUUGGGAAAACGUUAGGGUUGACUGAACUACUAUUUUAUAAUAGAUUUUGCCUUACUAAGGAAUCUUGUGAUUAUCCCUUGGCACAAACAUUUCUCGUGUCUAAGAAAUUCAUAUCUACUACAUGGCUAAAGAAUUUAGUACCAUUCAAAAUUUCUGUUUUCUUUCAAAUCAGGUGUAUUGCUUUCAAUUCUAACAUGUUUCCUAUUUUAAAUGUUGUAUUGUUAUUUUACUAUCAAUGUGUUAAGAGAAUUAUACUCUAUUUUCUAUAAUGUUGUUUACUUGUCAUAUGUAUUAAUUAUUUUAUUGCAAAUGUACUUGUUGCCAAGUUAAAGCAAAAGAGGAAAGUGAGGAUUUUUCAUGGACCAAUGCCUCUCUUAGUUGCUGCCACACUUGACUUCUCUUUAAGUUGUUGAAAAUUUUGAAGUGUGAUAGCAUAAAGUAUUCAGCUCAAGUGCUUUAGUGCCUCACUACCCUUGAAGCUUUAGAAGUUAUCAAUACAAUUGGGGUUUCAACAUGUAACCAUUUUGGAAAUUCUAAGAAGUGUAAGUAUUAUGGUUUUGCAACUUUAUUAAACUAGAUAGGCAACUUCAAAUUGCUGAAUGCCUUGAAUUAAAAUCACUACUAGAAGGAACCCAUGAGCACUCUAUAGAAAUUCAUAAUCUACUACUCUUGCCACUUAUUAAGAAUGCCAAAAGGAAAAAGUGAAUAUUGGCCUGAGCAUGAUUGAUUAAUAAACCACACAUAGCCUCCUUAAUUCAAGUGUCUUCUGUUAUAUGUUUCAUGUCAGUAAUCCUACAUUUAUCUUGUUUCUAUUGGCUCUAUUUUUUUGAAUUAUUUUACAAUCAAUCUUCUAACAAUGUUCUACUUUUUUUACAAUUUUAUUUUUUGAUUCUAAAAUGAAUUAAGACAUAUAAAGAAAAAAAUCACCUUGUUUGAUUUUCAUAUACUAUAUGCUUAUAUGUACAUGUGUUAAAAUCUUUUGAUUUUUUAUUGAUUACUUUCUAUUUAAUUUAUUAAAAAUUGUUAGUCUAUUUGGAGAUGAUUUUUGUUUUUUCAUAUGUAAUAAGAUACCAACAAAUUGAGUGAGGAGCACAUCUUACUAAGUCGCUUGUCAAUCUAUCCACCUUCCUAAUCUCAAGAUUAUUCAUGUUUGAAUUAAAAUACCAUGAAGUACAAAAACAAAAAAUGAUGAAAAUGAGUCUUCCUCAUCAUCUUUAUUUUUAUUAGAAGGCAAUUUGUAGCAUCCUAUUUCCCAUUCCUAAAAAAUACUAAAGCUUUGUAGGUUGAGAAAUCAGACAUGUUUUCUUAAAUGAUCUUCUUGGUCCAUGCAUGCUUAUAUUUGGAAGAUUUUUAAACCAAGUAUUUUAUGACAUAUAUGAUAGCUUUCAAGUUAGUGCAUAAAUGGUGAUGGUUAGGAUGCAAAAUAUAAUCUAUGCUCAACCUAUUUAUUGACAAACUACCAAAGGCUAGUGCUAAGGUAAACACCCGUCACUUGCAUCAUACUCUUUCUUCUCUGCCCUUUUUAGUUGUUAUCCAAAGUUCAUAUAAUGUCUUUAUUAUUCAAGUUUUCAUUUUCAACCACUUUUUAAACUUUUUUUCUUUUUAUGGUUUAUUACACGACAAUCCAUUUCUAAGAAAUUGUUGUACUCUAUUUAUAAAUCUUAUCUUUUUGUUCUUAUAGACAAUAGAACAACGUGGUAAUUGCAUGACAUACAAUUUGUAAUAGAUGUUCAACUAUAUAUUAGGUAAUCUUUAAUUGCCUUGGAGCUGAAAAGUUUGAUGUUGAUAAGGUUUGAUAAUUCUCGCUUUGGUGCUUUGUUGGAUUUCAAUUCAGGUGAUUAAUUGAUCUUGUUAUGAUUCUUUGAUUGUUAUUAUAACUAUUGUGAUAAUCAUUCUUAUUUUAUCGUGGCAAUUGACUUCACUGACUUUUUAACAAUUAUAUCAUGAGUGAAAUGCCCAACCUAUUAUUGUUAGUAUUCCAUUGACAUACCUUUAAUGCCACCACUAAUAAACAUCAUGUAUUAAUAUUUAUAACACGUUUCAUUACUGAAAUGAUUUAAUAUUUUCAAAUUUCUUUUUAGAGUGUGAGAAAUAACCAUUAAUCUUUGCAACAGCAUAAGUAUCAUUGAUUUGAUAUUGCUUUCUUGAGUAAUUUGGCAAUUUAAUUAUGAAGUUUAGUUGGACAUUACUUGAGAUUCUGUCUUAUGUAUAUGGUUUAUUUUCCAAGCUUCAAUUAUAUUUAGUAGACUUCUAAGUGGUGUUUGUCUAUGAGUUUCAACUCUUGAAAACUACUAUUGGAGCCUAAGUUCACUUUCAGUAAGGAUUAAAAAAAAAAAAAAAAAUCAACCUUUUCCUCAAUUGUGUAAUUUUAUUCACUAUUGACAUGCCCUUAAAUGGCUUUGCUAUUAUUUGUAGGGAACAUUGUCAAGUUCUAUAUUUGUCUAGAAAGUUAAAAGAAGUAUUUAAUUUGACAUGGUUUGGACAUCUUGCUACUAUCUUUUUAAAUUAGUUAUCAAUAAUUUUUCAAAGUUGACCUUUUUGUUUAUCUCAUACUCCUUUUAUAUUAAAAGGUACCGCAUGGGUAUUGUGUAGUCAUGCCUUCUUUAAUUGAGGUGAACCUCUUGCAAAAUAUUUUGGGUUUGCUCUCUUUCCAUUUGUUACUUCAUGUCUAUUUUUUUGUAAUCAAUCAAGCAAGAGUUUCUUACUUGUACAAUGGUGAACUUGCUUGCAUGAAUAAUACUCUUUUUACUAUUUUUUUUUCCUUUCUUUAUUAUAUUCAUGGAUACGCUUAGAAGUGAAUAGUGAACCAAGUUUUUUGUUAAAAGAAAUCAAAUUUUGGUAAUUAUUUAGUAUCAUGUUUGUAAUAAUCAAUUAUUGAUUGUAAAGAUACUUGGCUUAAUCAAUUUAGUACUAUGACUAAUACCAAAAUGACAAUAUUUAGUCUUGUUUGACCAUUAGUCACUAUUCUAGAGGCAAAUGCUCACAAGUUUUGCAUCUUUGAAGCAUAUGAGAAACGUUGGCUCAACUGUAUCACCAACUUACAACCUCCUUAUAGUGUCCAUAUAUAUAACCUCUGUUGUUCAGCUUUAUGAUUCAUAUCUCUUUUAUUUUUUAUUUUUUUUGUUUUCAUCUUUUUAUUGUUUAUACUUUUUUUAAUUGAUUUGUUUAUAAAAUUUUAAACUUUAUUGGCAGUACUAAUUUUUUUUAUUCUCAUGUGCAAUAGAAUAAUAAGUUGAAUAAAAAGCAUAAACUACUUAAUUGGUAUAACCGUUUACUCAAUUCUCUUCUCAGAUAUUUUUGUUCAAGGUAAUCAAAGUAUCAUUCUUUUUGUUUUUAAAGGUACUUGAACUCAGUGAGGACCAUUCCCAAAACAAGCAAUAACUAUAGUUGGAUUACUUAUAUCAUAUCCUUGAUUGACAUCUAUGCCAUUACAUUUGCAUAUAAAGGAUUUAUGAUGAAAAAAAUAUCUUCUUUAUUUCCAUUUUCCUUCCUUCUUUUGACCAUAAUUUGUGUGCUUAUUGAUAGCAUUCAUACCCUAAUAUAUUUGCUAGCAUAUAUAUGCAUGUCAUAAUAUAUUGAAUUUUUUAUCAUAAGGUCUUAGAGUAUUCACAUAUCUCUAGGUUCUAUAUAUUUAUAAUUUUUACAACAUCAAAUGAAGUAUAUGAACCUUAUCCUGAAGGUGAAGUCUCUUUAAAAGGAGGUUCAACAUGUUAGCAAUUACCUAACUUAAUAAUCUAACAAUUUGGCACUAUAUAUAAUUUUUCAACUUUUUCAUAUUGUAAGAUAUUUCUCCUUAUGUAUAAUAUAAGUAUGUUUUUUAUUACCUCCUAUAUGGAUGGUUUUUAAUUAAGUUUUGUUUUUCAUUUUAUUUAAUGUUCUUGUACCGCCUACAUGGUCGGUUUUAAUUAAGCUUUGUUUUUAAUUUUAUGUUUUUAUUUUGUACCGCCUACAUGGCCGGUUUUAAGCUUAUUAUGAACUAACAAGUUUUUUGUUCCUUCUCUUUAAAUUUCUUGUUGGAUAUCUUUUGUAUUUUCUAACCCUCUUCUUUGUUUUGAAUCAUGGCAUAAUUCCUGUUUUCAUUGCAUUAGAAUAGAUGAUCCACCUAAGAUAUUAGGUACCCAAUUCAUUCAUAAUCUCAUUAUAAAUGAUAUUUUAAGCAUUCCUUUAUGCAUUUCAAAAUUUCAUGGCUUUAAGAUCAAACCAGGAAACAGCCAUGUUUCUAUCAUAACCAGGUUUGCCUAUAAGAGCAUGAACACAAGCGUUGGUUCUGGGGCUCUUUGCACCAGUCCUAAAGGUGAGACCACUUAUUUUCACUCAGAUAUGCUAGAUAAGUCAGAUUUCAUCAUCCCCAAGAAGAUCUUGUGGAAAGAUGUUGAUUUUCCUGAAAAUUGGCAUUUUGCUAAUGUUGUUCCAACAAUUGCACAGCGUUCUAAAAGUAUUGAACAAAUUGUUCAAUAUCCUGAUGGAUGAGGAGAACUGGUUUUCUCCAACUCUUUCAGACAUUCCAGCAACCCUAGAGUUUCUGUUUAUGAACCCUCUAGAGUUUCAAGCUCUUCCAUCCCAAUUAGAACCACUAGGGAAGAAGAAGGAUCCAGCUCAGGAAACCCUAAGAACAUUAAGCUAACCGGUGUUAGAAGUCACACCAACGUGGCUAGACCAUUUUACAGUGAGGAAAAUGAGUCUACACAGGAAUCCCAACAGGAUGAGUCUCCUGUUAUGUCUCCUACCUAUUCCCAGAUGAUUAACACUAUAAGCCUAAGUAAUGAGAACUUUGAGAUCAACAAGGAUCUCUUAAGAAAGGACUUCUAUUCUGAAGUCAAUAAGAAAAGAAAUGAUUGGUUCUUUAGCACUAUCCCUAAGGUCAUUAGAACCAUUUACCAAGAAGAAUUCUAUGCCUACUUAAGACAAGAAAAGAAAAAUAUUAAGUUUUGGAUUUGGUUUGAACUCUUCAAACAAGAGGAAUAUCCAGAUUAUCCUUGUAAGCAUAUUAACAACACUAAGAGCACUGAUAAAACUAAGUCCUUUGAAUUUUCUAAGGAAUUCCAGGAAAAUCCCCAAAUCAACCAGGCUUUUGUUGAUAGGAUUAAUCAUAAGAUUAAGGAUAAUCUUGUUGCCCCUUUGACUGUUUAGCCUGAUAAGAGAAUCAAUAUGGUUAAAGGUGAUAUUAGUUCAGAAGAAGAAGCUGAUGAACUAAUUAAGAUGUUUGAGGAACCCCAUAAUCAAAUUAUUAACAACUUGGAAGCUUUUAAGACUAGGAAUUACUAUCCUAGACCUACUUUUCCUGACAUGCAGUUUGAGGAAAGAAAUCAGUAUACUCAAGCCUCAUACACCAGUGGUACUAUCUAUGAAUGGAACAUAGAUGGUAUGACCGAGUAUAACAUACUCACUAAACAAUAUUGAACAUGGUAAGUAUAGCCUAUAAAUUAAACAAUAGACUGCCAGAUCAUGCUGUAGCUCAGACCAUUGUUGCUGGGUUUACAGGUCAGCUUAAGGGUUGGUGGGAUAAUUAUCUCACUUUUGAUGAUAGGAAUAGUAUCCUUAAAGCCUAUAGGAUUAAUGAAAGUAAUGAAGUUGUUAAGGACAAAGAUGGCCAUGAUAUUGAGGAUGCAGUGGCUACUUUAAUCUACUCAAUAUCCAAGCACUUCAUUGGAGAUCCUGCAAAAAUUAAGGAUAAAACUGCAGAUCUCUUAACCAACCUUAAGUGUCCCAAGCUUCAUGAUUUUAAGUGGUAUAAGGAAGUCUUCCUAACCAAAGUCAUGUUAAGAUCAUAUUGUAACCAGUCUUUUUGGAAAGAAAAGUUCAUCUCAGGAUUACCCAAGUUUUUCUCUAAGAGAAUUAGGAUCAAGAUAAGGGAACAGUAUAAUGGUCAAAUCCCUUAUGAUAAGCUAACCUAUGGUGAGAUUAUAAGCAUUGUCACAGCUGAAGGGAUUAAGUUGUGCAAUGACUUCAAGCUUAAGCAACAAAUGAAGAAUGAACAAAAAAUCUACAAGAAUGGAUUUGGAUCAUUCUGUAGCCAAUUUGGUUUCAGCCAAAAAGAAACUAUGCCUCCCUCUAAGCAAAAGCCAAGCAGGAAGCCUAGCAAAGAUAAGUUUUACCAUAGUAAGAGAGGUACCUAUGACAACUAUAGGAUGAAUGAUACUAAGUAGUCAAGGCACGUCCAAAGAAGGGUCAACAAAGAUACCCAGAAAAAGGUAGAAACUCCUUUAGAUGUCAAGCCAAUUAUCUGUUUUAAAUGUGGCAAAGUUGGCCAUUAUAAGAAAGAUUGUAGAGUUAAGCAAAAGAUUAAUAACUUAAGUGUCUCAGAUGACCUAAAAAAUAUGCUUUGUAAGGUAAUGUUAAACUCCUCCGAUUCUGAAUCAAGGAUUGAUUCAGAUAAUGAAGAUGAUAUUAAUCAACUAGAUAGCAGUGGCGAUGUUUCUAGCCAAUCUUCUAGUGACCAAGAUGUUUGUAUUAAGGGAAAUUGUAAUAUAUAUAUAUAUAUAUAUAUAUAUAUAUUUAAAAUUUAUUAAACUCAUUAAUAAAUUCAAUACAAAGUUUCACUUAAUUUGAAAUUCAUCUCUUUAGUGAAAAUUUUGAAAAAAUAUUAUUUUGUGGAAACAAAAAACAAUAUAAUCAUUUUAAACUAAUCUUUAUCCAUAGAUUUUUUUUUUUUUUGUAUUUAUUAGUUUAUUAUUUGUUUUUUUUGUAUUUAUUAGUUUAUUAUUUGAUUUUUAAAUUAAUUUUAAAAAUUAUUAGACUUAUAAAUGAAUCCAAUACAUUAUUUUUUUGUUUAAUUUACUUAUCAUACUAUCAAACAAACUUUUAUUAUUUAUAAAAGACCUCUCAAAGGAUUUUUUUUUUCUAAAUAAAAAUAAAAAUAAUAUUUUAAACUAUGUUUGAUUUGAGAGUUUUUAAAAAAAAAAUAAAAAUAAAAAUUAUUUUAAAUUAUGUGUACAUAUAUUAUUGUAAAUUUAUUUCUUUUUCCAUUAUCAUUUCCAUUCCUACCUAACAUUGAAAUGGAAACAAAUAAUCAAUCAAACCUUACAAUAUUCCUAAUCCAAUGACAAUAAUUGAUAUCACUAAAUUCAUUCAAAUUCAAGAAAUAAAAAUAUAAAUGAAAAUAAAAUAUUCAUUUCCAUCCUCUAGUCUCAUGUACCAAACAUGGUCAUAUAGCUAGUACCAAAAACUUCUUCUAACUAAUGUGGGAUAUCACAUUCACAUUCAUACAGAUACAAUUUUUAUUACAUCAGAUGGGAUUGUGAGACCCUUUGGUACCAUUUAUAAUGACCAACCUCUAAUUGUAUAGAUAUUAUUUGGUCUAAAUCCAAUGGGCUCUAACGGUUUUAAAACUCAUCUAUACUAUUAAGAGAAGUGAUUACUACUCAAAAAGUGCUAUUUGAUAGCCUAUAAUUAAUCCUUUUAAACACUUUUGAGUAGUAGUUUUGGCAUUUUAACUCAAUUGGCAUGUUAAUGACCCUUUAAAGCAAUUUUGAUCACUUUGUGUAAGUUUUGGUGUUUUUGUUAGUAUUUUGAUCACCAAAGCAAGUCAAGUCUGAGGAGAGCUAUGAGGAAUCUUGGGCAAAGCUUAGAAGUCACUUUCCAAGAGUAAAUCCGGAUUGCAAGGAGAAAAAGCAAAGAGAAUCUGUCAUAAAGCAUAUUCUUGAUGAUAGUCGUAGCAGCCACUUUUGGAGCACUUUAUGAAGUCCAAAUUAUGCAUGCUAUAUACCAUUUCAAAGCUCAGGAAGUCAACAAUCCAAUGCUUCAAACGGUGUGCAAUUCGGAGUUGAAACGAAGAAGUUGCAGCCAUUACAAGCCAAUCACUCCGAGCUGAAGGAAGCAUUUUGCAAAGUGCUGCGAAAUCACCCUUUUGUUGCGAAGUGAUUUCGCAGCCUUUUUGUACAGUAGGGUGUAUCUCCUUCUGACGAUGCCCGAUUUAUGCCGCGAGAAGAAAGCUUGGAACUUCAAGGUGGAAGCCAACUUCGCAGCCCUGUGAAGAUAGCUUGGUGUUGCGAAAUUAUUUCGCAGCCCUCUUGAGUGUCUGCGAAAUUUCGCAGACACCAUUUUUCUCCUGCGAAAUGGUUCCUGAAGCCUCCCGAUAUUUGCUACCGACAUUGGGAGAUAUUUUCCAUUAGUUUUUUUGUUGUCUAAAUCCCAAAAUACUCCUUGUAAACCACCAAUUACAAGAUUCCUUAGCUUUUAAGUUAGUAAAAAGACUAAAUAUCAAUGUAAUAAUUAGUUUUAUAUUAUGUUCAUAUAUAUACCUCUCGAGAGCCUGUUCUCAGAGAGGAGUUCCUUCUGUAAAAGUUUGGGUAAGCAAGUAAAGUCUAUUUUCUUUCUACUGCCUUACCUUCUCACUUUGUAUUUUCAUUUUAUUUCUAAGUUAUGAAUUCUCUGAGGAGUUUUCCCCAGAGAAUGAGUAACUAAACCUCUAAUUCCUUGGAGCUAAGGUUGCCGGGGAAGGUUCCAAGUGCAAGAAUGCAAAGCUCUGUGGUUUUAGCUAGUAAUGAAGAGGAAGUGAAAUCCUUUAGUGAUUUCUAUGUUUUUAGUUAACGUAAAACACCUUAGAGUCACCUGGGCCAACACUUGGUAAGGCAAGUGAUCUCCAUAGAGAUGCACUAGUUUACCCCUUGCGAGCCUCUGGGAGGUGACUUGAAGGUAGGAUUUUCUAGAAUAGCCAACACUUGGUAAGCUUUUGGACUCCAAGGAGACAUCCAUUAGUUAUCUCUUGCGAGCUUUUGACGGGUAAUCCAAGGUUAAAGAUCACCUUGAAUGGCAAGUGCUAGGUUAGAGGUAUGAGUCAUUGCAAGGUGCAUCAGUGAGAGGGAUUUAGUGUUUGAACCCAUUAAAGGGAAGCAUCUGUAUAACACCGGUUGGAGAAGGAACUAUAUGUUAAUUCUCUAAUGCGAGGAAAAGAAACAAGUGACCGGAACUCCCUUUUUGUAUGAGGAAUCUGAGCCUAGUGAUCUGAAACUCCAAGAAACACUUUUCUUUAUAAGUAAAAUCAGUUACUAUUUUUGGUUAGCUUAAAACCAACCUUUUUCAUUCAAACAUCUUUAUGUUUUCUUUUAAAGCUAACCUUGAAAUGAAAAGGCACCAAUUCAGCUUUGAAUUGAUAUCAUUUGUGAAGUGAAAACUCAUCCCAGUGAACGAUCUUAGAGCCACUAUGCUAUAGUAGCUUUGUCUUUGCUACCCUAGUAUAUGGUGUAAUAGGUUAUAAAUUUUGUUGAUUACUCCCUCAAUCAAGGAGCACCAGCUGGACACGAAUCAACUGAGACACCAAUUGGGCACGAAUCAAAUGGUGUCGUUGCCACUGCCGCUGCUAGGGACAAAUCAAGAAGUCUACUAUGUAUACAAUGUUAAGAAGAUCUUCCCCCCCUAAUAAAUGUGUGACAUAACAAAUGGUGGGACUCAAACUAAAGCAAGGCCUCUCAAGCUGUCUACCAUCUUAGUUUCAGCAUGAAUUCAGUUUGUUCCAAACAACAUAACUCUGGAGUAUUCUAAACAAACGAUUUCCAUUGAAAACACAGUAUUAAAUUAUAAGGAAAACAAACUCGAUCUUCAAGCGGUUUUGGGGAUCACUUGUGGAAUAGCCAGUGAAAUAGAAAUAUAAACUGAUAAUGUAUAGGGACCCAAGAGCAGCACAUGCAACAGGAUAUCUAAUUCCUCCUAAUAUCAUCAGCAUGAAGAAAAUUGGCAUCAUUUCCAUUGAGUUCUGAUGCUCUCUCUAAAAAAAAUAUAAAUUCAAAACAUUUAGUUUUACUGAUCAUCGGUCAUCCAUAUAAACAAAAAUCUACGUGCAUAUAGUGAACCUAAGCAAGAAAAUAUAUUGCAUCUAAUCAAAUUCAGUAGACAUGAUGAUAUCUAUACUAUUUAAAAAAAAUUAUAUUCAUAUUUAUGUCAGAAAAUAUUUUUUUAUUUUUUUAUUUUUAGAACAUUAAUCUUUUUAAAAGUCCUUUCUGGGAUAUUUUCUAGCUUUUUCCUUUUGCUAAUUUUUUCUAUUCAAACAAAUCUUAAGAAAGGAAUCAAACCUGGACACAAUUGAAGAGCUUGGCAUCCUUGUUUUCAGAUUCCAAAGCAUAUAUACUUCUUCCUGGCAGAUCUAAUGAGUGAAAACAUUGGAGCUAGGUGCCCAAUGAUUGGCUCUUUGAAGUUGACCUACCUCCUUAACAUGUACAUAGGAGUCCUUACCUAAAAAACAUUAAAAUCUAUAGGGUGAACAUAAGAUCUAAUAAAUAGGCACGGUAUGCAGAUGUUAAGAUGGUCGGUCCAAGGUAAAAAAAAAAAAAAGUUCUAAAACAUAUCACGUAAUAAUUUUGGUUUAUUAUGAGAGGAAGAUGGGUUUGUGAGAACUAUAUUUUGUGGAUAGAAAUGUGAAGAAGAGUGAGAGACACUCAAUGGAGUAAGAGGACUAAUAAUUCAGGGUAGUCAUACAAAGUGUAGGGAAAUGGUUGUAUCUAUUUUUGUAUUUACAAUAUUUUUUAUUGUAUAGUGAAAUAUUAUCUUUCAAAUAUGGAAGUAAGCAUGGUUAGGUGUACCACAUUAAAAUCUAAGCAUUUGUUUUAUUUUGUGUUCUUCCAUUAAUAUAUUUCAAUAUUAGAGCAUCCAUUGACUCAACAAUUUAUUAUACUAUGAAUUAUCAUAAGUGAAUAUAUUUUUAUAUUAAAAUAAACCAUUUUCUUAAAUAUAAGUAAAUUUAAAUAUUUUACUAAACUAUUUUAAAAUAAAAAUAUAAUAAAAAACAAAAAAAAAACAAAUUUAAUAUAUAUAAUAAUAACAUGAUAAUAACAUAUCCCAAACCAAAUGCAACAUAAAUUUCUAAAUUGUCUCUUCUUUCUUAGUUCCCUAUAAUACUAUUGUCAUGCCCAUUGUUUAAGCUAUAAAUUAACAUUUUAUGUUCUUUGAAACAUAUGUAUUAUUAACUCAAUAUAAAUAGCUACGAAGACAUGUUUCUCAUUUUCCUAAUAAAAAAUCAUUGUGAGUUCAAACCUUUUUGUUUAGAAAGUUAACUUGCAAUGUUAAUACUCUUUUUUUAUAUUAGCCCCCUAGGAAUAUCAUUGCCUUUUACCACACUUUUAGUUUUUUUCUUUGUUCUUUUUUUUUUAAUAUUCUUUUUUACUUCUACAUUAGAAUUCAUGUAACUUCUUGUUCUUUAAUUUUUUUUUCAAUAUUUUCUCUUAAGUCUACCUUACACUUCUUAUUCCCUCUCUUAUUUUUUUUGUCUUUUUCAAAUACUGGGUUGCUUCUCUAUUACAAUUCAUUAACUUCCUAUCCUUUUAUUUAUUUUUUUUGCAAAAUUCUUUCUUAAAAUACACAAAUCCACAGGUUUUAAUUAGUAAAAGUACAAUUUCGUGUUUGAUGAAAUACAUACUUUAAAGAAAAUGCAAAGAUUUAUAUGUACUGAAGUUUUCUAUAAAUAGACUAAAGUUUCGCAUGCAUGAAAUUAUAGAAAGUAUGUUUAAGUUCAACCAAUCAUUAAUCACAUCUAGUAGGAUUUGAGAUGCUCAUUUUGAGAGAGGGUGACACGAGCAUUACAGAAAAAGUUCAUCAUGUGUCAUUGUAUGAACUGUUGAAUCCUAUUAUAAAGACUUUAAAAACAAAACCCAUAAGGACCUUUUUGAAGCUCUAUGAAGAUUUUUCUAACGAUGAUUCAAUUGUAAAUCCAUUUAUUCCAAGUUUUAAGUGUUUACGUGUAUUGACCUUAGCUUCUUUCGAUUUAAAGGAGGUGCCAAAGUGUUUAGGAAAAUUGAGUCAUUUAAGGUAUCUUAAUCUUUCCUUCAACAAUUUUAAGGUACUUCCUAAUUCUAUUAUAAAGUUGAAGAAUUUGCAGACACUAAAAGUGAAGGGUUGUCUGAAUUUGAUACGAUUUCCAGAAUUUACAAGGGAAUUAAUGAAUCUUAGGCACUUAGAGAAUGACUGGUGUGUGAAAUUGACUCAUAUGCCAUAUGGAAUAGGAGAACUAACUUUACUUCAAAGCCUACCAUUAUUUAUUGUUGGGACUGCGAAAGCGGGGGAUCAUAAAAUUGGUGGCUUAAGUGAAUUGAAAAGACUUAACCAAUUCAGAGGAGAGUUACGGAUUAGAAAUCUUGAAAACGUAAGGGAUAUUGUACCAGUACCCAGAGGAGAAAUUUUGAAAGGAAAACAAUACCUUCGAUCUUUGAGAUUAGAAUGGGUACGGUGGUGAUGGAAGGGCUCCAGCCACAUCCGAACCUCAAGGAUCUAUUUAUACAAGGUUAUGGGGAUAGAAGGUUUCCAAGUUGGAUGUUGAAUGAUAGGUUGGGUUCCCUGCUUCCUAACCUAAUUAAUAUUCAAAUUCGGGGAUGUUCAAGAUGCCAAAUUCUACCACCCUUUUCUCAACUCCCUUCUCUCCUGUCUCUGGAUCUUUAUAAUAUGGAAGAGGUGGAGGAGAUGGAGGAGGGUCCAUCAGCAGCGCUGUUUUUCCCAUCUCUUCAAUCCCUCAAAAUCAACUGGAUGCCAAAGUUGAAGGGAUUGUGGAGGAUGGAGUCAAAAGCAAAGCAAUGUCCCUCAUUUCGUCAUCUUUCUGAAUUAUAUAUUAGUCGGUGCUCUAAUUUGACAUCAAUACAAUUGUCGUCAUCUCCUUCUCUUUUUGAACUAGAAGUCAAUGAAUGCUCUAACUUCACAUCCUUUGAAUUGCCUUCAUCUCCUUGUCUUUCUCAAUUAGUAAUCCAAGAUUGCCUUAACUUGACAUCCGUGGAACUACAUUCAUCUCCUUGUCUCUCUCAAUUAGAGAUUAGUCGUUGCCCUUGCUUGACAUCCUUAAAAGUGGUUUCAUUACCUUGUCUUGAGCGCCUCUCUCUUGAGAGUCCGAGAGGAGGUACUACGGCAGAUAAUGGUUGUCUCUGCUUCUUCAUUGAAGACUUUGUCUCUUGGCAACAUAGAUGAUACAACCUGUAUAUCUCUCUUAGAGCAGCUGCUUCAACAUGUUUCCACUCUCCAAACUCUCAACAUGUGGGACUGCCCUGAAUUGAUGACAUCACUGCCACAAGAAAUGCCUUCUCUCAAAACCCUCCAGAUGCUCGAAAUUAGAGACUGUUCUGGUUUGGCAACAUUGCCACACUGGAUAGGCAGCCUCACCUCACUUGCAGAGCUUCAUAUAUAUAAGUGCCGUGAAUUGACAUCAUUACCAGAAGAAAUACAUUCUCUCUAGAUACUCAAAAUUUAUUGCUGCACUGCUUUGGCAACAUUACCACACUCCAUAGGCAGCCUCACUUCACUUGAAGUGCUUGAUUUAACUUGUUGCCAUCAAUUGGCAUCACUACCCGAAGAGAUGCGUUCCCUCAAAAACCUGCAGAUGCUUUAUAUCUCCCAUUGCCCACACCUGGAGGAAAGAUGCCGAAAGGAAACAGGGGAAGACUGGCCCAAGAUUUCUCAUAUCCCAGACAUUGUUGUGAGAUAGGGAUGGAGAUGCAACAGAUACAUAAUAUUGUUUCAGGUCCAAAAUCCUAUACAUUUCUUCUCAUUUUCAUUAUCUUAUAAUCAAAGUGCUCUGUUUUCAUUUUGUUUUGGUAAUUCUUUAUAUUUGCACCCUAUGUGUUUGAUUAAAUAUUAGAUCAGUAACUUCUAAAAUUUUUGCUUCUUCAAACCAAUUGUUGAUGUCUCCACUUCUUCAUUGCAACCUGUGUCUACUGGAAGUAUAGAUGAUAUUAUAUCUCUUCCAUUAGAGCCGCUUCAACGACGUGUUUCCAUGAUCGUAACUCCCAACAUUGAAUGCUGUUUUGGUUUUUGUGCACCUUCAUAUUCGCGAUUGCACUGGAUUGACAUCACCACCAGAAGGGAUGUACCCGAAUACGCUCAAAAUCUUUCAUUGUCUGCACAAAUUCGUAUCCCAAAAUUGCUCAUAUCCCACAAAUUUAUACCUGGUGAAAAUUUCAUCCAUACACAGCUAUUUCAGGUAUGAAAUCCACCCUUUUUCUAGCUUCAUUUUUAUUCAAUAUCCUAUAAGGACAUGAAUUCUGUUUUUAUAAUCCUAGAUUGUAUUAAUAACAUAUAAAGCAAAAGUGACUUUCUUAUUUAUGUUCACACUUUAUCCAUUUGAUGAAAUGUUGAAACUAUCAUGUUUGAAAAAAUUUCUCUUCAAACAUAGUCAUAAAUUGGUAACUGAAGACCAGACUAAUAAUAUUAUUUUAAGUUUUUCAUUCUAAAAUUUUUGACAAAUGUUUGAUUGGCUUAAAAUUUUCUCAUGGCUCAAAAUUCAUCCCAUUAGAUCUACUCUUUGCAAUUUCUCAUGAUUGACAAAUGUUUGAAAGGACUUCUGCUCUUCUUUCAAUUUAGACCUACUCUUUGCCAUCAAUUUUAUGUAACCCUUUACCUAGGAUUGGUAACUACAUCAUCUUUCAUUUUGCUAUCAGUCUGUCAAGAGUGUCAUUCAAGUUGUAAUUAUAGAUGUUAAUUUUCAUAUGCAAUAACACGGUAACAAGAUUGAGCAAGUUAGCAAUAUGUAAAGUAGAAAUUUUCCUCUCUGUUUCCUUGUAUAUGUUGUGUGUGCAUGAGAAUGAACAAAACAGAAGUCCAUUGUUGUGCUUGUCAUUAUUUUUUAGAAUAUCACUCUAACAAAAAACUUAUUAUGUGGGCCCUCUCUGUUGUUAUGUACUAUAAUUUAGCUGGGGUUUUUGCCUAGAAAUCAUGCUUGUUACUAGCUAAACAGUUGGUAGCAUAAUAUCUAUCUUGUCUAAGUUCCUUUGUGUUUGCAUUAUUCAUGUUGGAAAGUAUCUUAGAUUAAUGAUUUUAUUGCAGAUGUAAUGUUCUCAAAUCAAUACAAAAGAGAUAACAGAUACCGCUUUUUAUCAUUCUUGAGACCUCAAAAUAAAUGUCGUAGAGAGUUUCAUUUUCUAGAUAAUGAGGAUGAGGUUGGCAUGUAAAUCCCAAAGACUUUAGAAGCUUGUUUUGCUAUCUCUACCAUUGGAGGCUUCAACAUGUUACAACUCUAGAUUGAAAUCACUAUUAAUGAGUUACAAAUUGUUGUUUGCCCUGAAUUGAGAUCACUGCCAGAAGCAUAAGCUUCUCAACACUCAUGUUUCUGAUUUUGGUAUUUACCAGAAAUGGAUGGAUAAUUCAAGGACACAUGGGCCCUUUGAUUAUGCCAUCUACAAUGUAGAGGUUCAUGAUCCAACCUCUCUUCCUGUUGGUGGAUUCAUUUUUUUAUAUUACUUUGCAGUCAGCAUUCUAAGAAUGUCAUGUACUGUUUACUUGACUCUCAUGCAUUAGGCAUUAGCACAUAUGAUGAGAAAAGUUUUACAUUACUUUGCUUCCCUUUUACAUGUGUCUAUAUAUAAUGCAAUCCUUUUCCACUAAUGCAAUCUCGAGUUUGGGAAAAUGCUUAGGUUGAUUUUAAUAUUUUCUUGCAGAUUAUACCUUGCUUAAGAAGCUUGUGAUUAUUCAUAUCUGCUGGAUGGCUAAGGCACCUAAUAGUGUUCCGAACUUUUGGUCCCUAUUUAAUUCAGAUGUGUUGUCUGCAAUAUAUUUUAGGUCUUCAAUUCCAAUAUUCUUCUAGCUUUUGAAGACUCAUCAUUUUUAUAAAAUCCUUAUAUUAAUAUAAUUUGAAGUUUUAUCUUUAAAGAAACCAAUUGCCAGUGCUUUUACUUCGAUGGUUAUGAUCAACUAAUAAUAUUCAGAUCUUCUUACUUCAUACUUGCAUUAUACAUGUAGGGAAAAUUUAUUAGGUUAAUUGUUUUAUUGCAGGUAUAAUUGUUGCCAAGUCAAAGCAAUAUCGGAUAGUGAUCUGGCUGCAAAAUCUCUCUUCUCUAAAGUACUUAGAAAGUGAGAAUUGUCUUUGGUUCAUAUUUCUCUAGAUGGCUGUCACACCUAAUUUCUCUCAAAUUAUCGAAAGUUUGGAGGUGUGGCAGUAGCCUAAUGUCUUUGUCAUAAGUGACGCCUUAUUAACCUUGAAGCCUUGGAAGCUGUCUAAAUAAUAUGAUAUCUUUUCUGGUUGAUCUGCUUUGACAAGUUACCAGGCUUCAAACUCUCUCAGUUAUGACGUGUUCGCGUUUUGCAACAUUAGCACACUUGAUAGGCAGCCUCACGUCAUUAACAAAGCAUAAAUUUCAUUCUUGCCCUCUACUGACAUCAAUGCCACAAGACAUGUUCCCUCAGCACUCUAUAGACACACAAUUCAGGACUGUCGUGGUUUGGUAGUAUUAUCAGACUCAAUAGACAGCCUCCCCUUACAAACACCUUCAAAGAACCAACAUCACUGUUGGAAGACAUGUGUCUCCUCAGCACAUUAUGAACACUCAUAGUUGGGGAUUGUUCUAGGUUGACAACAUAUAUAGACUCGGCAGGUAGCCUUAAAUAACUUACAGAGCUUCAAAUUCAUGACUGCCCUGAAUUGAUAUCAUUGCCAAAAGAAAUUUGUUCCUUUAGAUCCCUACAGACACUCAUAAUCUCUUAUUGUCUCUUGUUGUCCAUGUUUAUUGGAAAGAUGAAUGUCAAAGCGAAAUGGGGUGAAAAUCAGCCAAGAUUGCCCAUAUCCAAAAUAUUGAUAUUUGGUGGGGAUUGGACUUUGAACUAAUAUUGUUUGCAUUAAAGCUUCCAUUGGCACAACAUAUAGAAAGCUAUUUAAGGUAUGAAAUCCCAACCUUUCAUCUCAUUUGUUAUGGUUUCAUUUUAUCAAUAUGCUUUGUUUUACAUUCGGUUUUUAUAAUUCUAGUUUGCAUUAGCAUAUGAAGCAAAAAAGACUUUGAUGGUUAAUUUUGAACAUUGCAUCAUUUUUAUUUUAUUACCAAUGUGUUAAGAGCUUAUACGCUGUUUUUUAUAAUUUUUUUUCUAAUUAUCAUAUGGGUUAACACACCAAGUAGUACAAUUGAACAUCUAUAAGAGUCCAAACAUUUAACUAGCAGCUAUUGGAUAAAUUAGUUAGAUUAUUUUUUGUUUGCAUCACCAGUUUUAUAAAAUUCUUAGAUUAGUAAAGCUUGAAUCUUGUACUUUAGCAUAUAUGAAUUGCCAGUGUUUUGUACGUACUUUGAUGAUUAUGAUCGCUUAUAAAUAAUUGUUUGUCAAAAUGAUCUUAUUGCUUCAUAUUUCAUUUUAUAUGUUUAGAAAAUUUAUGAAGUCAACUAUUAUUUUGUAGCAAAUGUAAUUCUUGCCGGGUCAAAGCAAACGUGGACAGUAUUGUGGCUACGAUACCCUUCUCAUCUGAAGAAAUAAGAAAGCAAGGAUUGUCAUAGACCAAGGUCUCUCUCAUUGGCUGCCAGACUUCAGUCGUCGCUUCAGAAUUGUAGUAGCAAAAUGUUUGUCUCCAGUGGCUCAGCACCUCACUGCCCUUCAAGCUUCAGAAGUCGUCUAAAUAGUUGGGGUCUGAACAUGUUACCAUUUUGGAAAUUCUAAGAAGUAUCAACUGUUCUGGUUUUACAAUUUUAUUGCUGACUGCCCCAAAUUGAUCAUUCACUGCUAGAAUAGAUGCACUCAUGAACACUCCCUUGGAGAAAUGCUGAAAAGGAAAAGCGACGACUAGCACCCAAGAGUGGUUUAUGGACUUCUCUUGCUCUCCUUAAUCCAAGCAUUCUAUCUAUAAUAUGUUUCAGGUUUGCAAUCCAAUAACCUUUCUCCUAUUUUUGUUGGCUUUAAUUUUUUUUUUAUAAUUUUACAAUCAAUCUUCUGAGAGAGUUAUAUCUUGUUUACCAGUCUAUUUUACCUGUUCUCAUUUGAAUUCAGAUAUAUAAAGACCCAAAAAAAAAUUACAUUACUUCCUUUCUCUUUUACAUGUAGAUUCCUUUUUACUUAGACCGACUCUGUCACUUCUUUUGCUUCCUUCAAUUGAACUAAUUUUUUACUUACUAUGAUAAAAACAAAGUAGUUUCUUCGAUGUCAAAGGUGAAAGUGAAAAUUUUUCUUCUAAAUAUCUUUUAAUCAAUAAUCAAGAGUUUGUAAUUUAUAUUUUAUGUGUUUUUUGUUUUUGUUUAAAGUUUCUCUUAUACCUUAAGCAUAUAGAUUUUACAAUGGUUGUUUAGUUUUCCUAGGAACUUUCUUAGAAAUAAAAUUUCCAUUUAUUUGGCCAAUAAAGAUGCUGAAGAAAAUUACUUUUUAUCAUAUCUACUAUUCGUUUUAUGGUUCUCAUCCAUACUCCCCUACAUAAGUAAUUUCUAAAUAUUAUCAUCAAAUAAAUAAAUAAAUAAAUAAAUAAAAGUUACUAACAAAAUACUAAAUUAAAGAAAAAUGAAAAUGGAAUAAUUUCAAGAAUAUAUUGAUUAAACUUAAAAAAAAUAAAACAUAUAAAUUAAAAUAGAAAAAAUUAAGUGAUUUUGAUUUUUUAAAAAAAAUCAAGUCAAAACAAAUAAGAAUUCUUAAAAAACAAAAAACAAAAAACAAAUAAAAUUAAAGUUGCAUAUGAGAUGUUGAAAAUUAGAGUGAGAAUAUUUUAUGAGAAUCCAGUUCUAGAGAGGACAGAUGAAAGAAAAGUUAUGAUCUUAGGGUUUCAAAAAAAUUAUAUACAAUAUCAAUAAUUUAAUUAAUUAUUAAAAAUUUAUAUGCUUAUAUGGAAUUUAAUUUUUAUAAAAUUAAAAUUUUUGCUUUUGUGACAUUCUGAAUUUAAUAAAAUAAAAAAUCUUCUUAUUAUUUAAUAAAAUGUCACAAAUGUAAUUUUCAAUAAUUAGACUUCUUAUAUUAAAUAAAUUUUAUUUUAAUAUUUUUAUAUUCAAAAAUUAGAAAAUUACCAAUAUUUUUAUUUCGUUACAUUUUAUUACAAUUUUCUUUGAAUAUAUCUAUGUCUCAAGUCACUUGUUGACAAGUUAUUGAGAUGCAAAUACAUCUCUUUGGUUGCCAUCACUCUUAUCUCUUUUUUGAACUUUCAAUACUUCUUGUGGUUUAUUACAUCGGAGCUAAUUUCUACAAAAUUACCAUUCUUUGUUUACAAAUCUUGUUUUUUCAUUCUUAUAGGAAGUAGAACAACAUGCUAAGUGUAUGAGACACAUUUACUAAUUGAUGUUCCAAAGUUUGUUAAUCUUCAAGCACCUUGUGCUUGUAAUUGAAACUUUUUAUGUUAUUAGGGUUUGAUGAUUCUCACAUUAGUGCUUGGGUGCCAUGUUGGAUUUCAAUGAAAGUGAUUAACUAAUCUUGUAGCAAUUAUUUGAUUGUUGUUAUAAAGUAGUUGUUACUUUAUCUGGGUAAUUGGCUUCAAUAUCUUUUCAACUAUUAUGUGAAAUAUAUAGCCUAUUACUAUUUAUGUUCAAGCCCAUUCUUGAUUCAAAUGUUAGAUUAUAUUCAACUUUCUAAACUAUUAGUACUUUAUUCAAAUAGCUUCAAUGCUAAAACUAAAUCACUUUGGUUACUGGUAUAAGUUUACAAUGAAUACAUUACCCCUUGCAACUCGCAUACCUUCAAGCAAUUGUGAAAUGUUGUGCGGCUACUAAUUACUCUUUGUUUAAAUAUGAUAUGUGAAGUUAUGUUAUAGGUAAAAGUUUAAAACUAAUAAACUUUUUGUUUUAAUCCCUGUUAAAUUUUCUAUUAUUUAUACUAAUUUAAUAUUUAUUAAGUUUUACUUUGAAGUGGAAAGGACUACUAAUCUUGACCAUAACAAAAGUAUAUUCUAUGAUUGGUUUAUUGUUACUCUUGGUUAAUUCGGCAAUUCAAUUAUGAAAUUUAGUUGGAUGGUACUUGAGAUGCAUGCCUUGUGUAUUUGAUCUAUUUGCCAAGCUUCAAUGACAUUCACUACACUUGUGAGUGGUGUUUCUUUAUAGGCAUCAACUCUAGAAAAUUACAAUAUUUGGGCCUAAGUUCAUUUUAGGUAAGGAAGAAAUCAACCUUUACUACUAUGUUCAAUUAAGUAAUUUUAUUCCUCAUUGCCCCCUAAAUAAAGCUUCUAAACCUUGGCCCCUUAAUGGAAUUCAUAACUAUGCUACUAUUUGCAUUACUUUUUGUAGAAAAAUUGUUAAGUUUUACAUGUUGUUUAGAAGUAUGCAAAAAUGUUCAUUUGACAUGGUUUGACAUCAUUACUAUAGUUUUUUUUUUCUUUAAUUGUUAUCAAUAAUUUUCAAAGCUCUUUUUGUAUUGAUAGGUAAAUGGAUGGUUAAUAUGUAGAGAACGAUCAUGCAUUCUUUAAUUCAAGCAUUUCUUCCACAAAAUAUGUAAGAUUAGCAAUGUCAACCUUUGCCUUCCCAUUUGUUGCUUCAUAUUUUGUAAUCAUCUUGCCAUGAUUGUUGUAUUGUUAUGAUAAUACUCAUUAUGCAUAUAGGUUGCACAUGCAUGAGUGAAUGCAAUAUUCUACCUUUUUGCUUCAUUCUUUAUUAUUUUGAUGGAUAUACUUUGAAGCGGAGAUGGUUUGUUUGGUUUUUUGUUAAAGAAAUAAUGUUAUUCAAUAACAUUAUUGUAAUAAUUUACUAUUGAUUGCAAAAUUACUUGGCUCAACCCAUUAUUAUUCUAAAAUUAAUACAAUAUCAUGGCUAAUACCAAAAGGAUAAUAUUUAUAUUAGAUGGUAAAUCAACUUAAUGACUUAACAAGAAUUAAUUACUUAAUUUAAGUCAUUAAAUAUAUUAAGCAUGUUUGGUAAAAUAACCUAAUAUCAUAAUUUAAAGUAUAAAAAAUAAUAAUAACUUUAAAUAUUAAGUAAAAAUAGUUAACGUAUUCCUAAUAUCAAAUUUCUUUUAUCUCAUUUACCCAUGUUUAGUGAAACUAUAUUUUACAACUAUAACUCUAUAUUCACAACUCAUCUUUUAUAGUAAAUAUUUUUAUAAUUAUCUUAUGUAUUUACAAUACUUUAAAUAUAAAUAUUUAAUAAAUAAAUUUAUUAUUUAAAAUUAGUGAAAAUAUAAAUAUUGGUUAAAAUUUAUGAGGAUAAAUAUGUCAAUUUAAUGAUUUAAAAUAAAUUUUAAGUUAAUUUUACUAAACAACCUUAAUACUUAAAGUAAAAAACAAGUAAUAAGGUUUGAAUCAACAACUUAAGAACAAUUUAACUUAAAGUCAACUUAAGUCACUAAGCAAUAAGUAUUAAGUUUUACUAAACAUUCACUUAGUUGAGCAUUAUUUACUAUUCCGCAAGCACAUGUUGACAAGUUAUAGAGUGUUGAUGCAAAUGGAAAAAGUAAGCUAGAGUACAUCAUCAACUUGUGAUCUCCCUUUUUUUUACCAUCUAUAUUGUAAUCUUCAUUAUAUAGUUUUAUAAUUGAUACAUCUUUUUUAUUAAUUAUUAAUCUAUUUAUUAAUUAAAAAAAUGUGAAACUCUAUUUGCAAUAUUGAUUUUGUUAAUUUUCAUGUGCAUUAAAACAAUAAGUUGAACAAACAAGCACGUAACAUUGAAUUGGCAUAACAAUUUUGUCAAUUCUGUUAUCUUUAAUCUUUCUCUCCUUCAUUUUUCUGUAAGGCAUCAAUAGUACCAUUCUUUCCAUUGUUGAAGGCACUUGAACCCAAUUUGAAAACCUUUAAUACACAUUGAAGUGGAGGACUAUUCCUAGAGAAAGUGACAGCAACAAUAAUGGUUACUGAUAUCAUUUGUUAAAGUUAAUGUAUGUCAUUGUAUUUGCAUCUAAAGGAUAUAUAAGAGUAUUUUUUUCAUUUCCCUUUAAUCCCUUCUUUCCACACAAAUUUAUGUGCAUACCGAAAGCAUCAAUAACCUUAUUUGUCAACAUAGGAGCAUGCCAUAGUCUACUAGAAAAUAAUUGUAUUGUCUUUGUUCAAAUUUUCUAUUUUUAUUUUUAAAAAAUUAAUUACUAAUUAUGUGUCAAAUCAUACCUAAUUGGGUAAUCUAUGUUCACAUUUUCUAUUUUAUUUUCAAAAACAAAAUGAAUUGUUGAUUAUGUGACAAAUCAUGCUUACAAACAUUAAUAAGUAAUUACAAGCCAAAUUGAUAAAGUUAAUUACUUUAAUAUUGUUUCAACAUAUGUGGGGAAAAAAAUUAGUUAAGUAUAUCUUUCCAAAUGUGACCAUUUCCAACCUAACACACACACAAAAAAAAAAAAAAAAAAGGAAAACCUAUAAUAAUGAGGAUUGACAAAGCUCUAAUAACAUCUUAGAGACUCACACUAAUAAGUUGUUGAUGGUGGAUGCAUAUUGUAAGAGUUAGUUUAAGUCUAUUACUUUACAACCAAUUUCUUAAGGACUUCUAUGAUUUGUUUACAAUUUAUAUAUUGGUUCUCAGUUGUUGCAGAAUAUUGACAAGUCACAUGAGGAUCACAAAUAAUCUAACCCAAGUUCAUGGAUAAGGUAUUUUAAUGUUUCUUGUACCUGAAAAUUUUAUGAUGCUAGCAUAGACUUUUUAUCUUGAUUAAUUUAGCAAUUAUGUUGUAAAUGUUUGCAUUAGAGUUAUGUAGAUUUAAAUAUUGAACAUUCAGGGGGGUAUUUAUUCUUCUUUUAUCUCACUCUCAUGGUUUUUAUGGCAUAAAUAUAAAUGCUUAGCUUGAAAGUUUCAACUACUAAAAAAUAUAGUUUAAGCCCUUUUUGUGGUGAAUUACAAUAAAUAACUUUUAAGUUUGAUAUGAAAUGGAGAGAGUGACAUUUUCAUAAUACCAUGACCCUUGGCAUACGAAUGAGGAGAUGUUGAUGCAUAAACCACCAUUUGUCUUUGAUGUUGAUUGGAAGUGGCUUGUCCAUUUUUGGAGCUCAGAAAAGGCACGGGUAAUUAAAAUGUUUGUAUGAUACAAUGUUAAAUUGAAUGUCAAUAUAUUAUGUAAUGUAUUUGUUUUAAAUGCAAGUCAAAUGUAAGUCAUUUCUAAAAGGAACAAGGAAAAUAGAAUUAAAUAGAAAAUCAAUCAUAACUUAGGAUCCAAGAGUUUCGCACAACUUCACUAUGAACAAGUUUAGCAAAUCUUUUUUAAUAAUGUAUUGUGUUCAUCAUGACAAGUUUAUUAUAAUGUAAUAAUUGAGGAUGAUAGGGUCAAUUGAGGUAGCAUGGCAUACAACCUAAUCGAAUAGAGAUGUUUAAGCUUACGAUUACAUGUAAGAAUGGAACACCAGUUGAUGAACUGUCUCAUGAAAUUAUGGUGAAUAAUUAGUUAUCUUUUAAUAAUUCUUAUAGAAUAAAAAUUUAUGGUACAUUUUCAUUAUAUGUUUUAACAAUUAAUCUUCCAUUAUAUUCUUUGUAGGCUAAGUUUGCUGAGCUUUUGGUGGCUCAUAUGCAAUCACACACUAAGGAGUCUUCAACAUCCACCCCAUCCACAGUUGUGUUAUCCACUCCACUAUUGGUGAAUGACAUAUACACACAAGUAAUGGACCCGGAGUGACAUGGUCGUGUACAUGAUCUAGGGUUUGGUCCAACUCCUAAAUCAUUCUUUAGAGCCACAAGUAGAAGAGAGACAAAUGCGACCCUUGCAUCAAAGCUUAAGGAUACACAGGAAGAAUUGAUGCAUUUCAAACAAAGGCAUCAAGAACAUGAAAAAAAAAGUAUGCAAAAGAAAUUCAACAGCAACAGGAACAAACGGAGUUGAUGCAACAAUACAUGCAACAAAUGAUGUAGCAAAUGUUGUAGUUUCAACAAGGGCAACGCGGCUAACAAGGCCCCCCUUCCAAUUUCAGCAAAUAUUUUUUUUUUUUUUCUUUUUAGGCUUUUUUGGUUUGGGAUAGAGGAAGUUUCAAUGGCAUUUUUGAUACUUCAUGCAAUGGUUUAAGUUUUGACAUGAAACUUUUUUGUUCAUGGUUGAUGUUUUUGUAGAAAUGAAUCUUCCUACCCAUCAAUUUGAAUGCUUUGCCAAUUGAAGUACUACACACUUAUAAAGAAAGGUUCUUUUGGUUUUAGGCAUCUGUUUGGAUUUCUUAAUUGCCAUCUUGUUUCUUGUUGGUGUUUAAAUAUAAAAGUUUUUUGUAUACAUUUUUUAUGUUUAUGUUGGUUUUUUUUUGUAUGUUUUAUAAUCAUGUAGAAAUGAGUUUAAAUUUCUAUAGGAAUUGAAUCAUUUAAUCAUAUAAAUCAUAAGUGGUGGCAUCAAUGGACUGGCCAACAGUGGUUACAUACAGAGGCUUGGUUUCUGCACAGCCUCAUCGAUCAGAAAUUAUCAAGGACCUCUUCAGAGUUAAAGAAGAUCCAAAGACUGGCGUAGUUCAUGCAGGAAUGAUAAGGUAAGAAUCAAAAGUAUCCUAUUUAAUUGGCUAGUGCUCUAUUUAUAGUUUUCUUGAUUCCUGAUCUCAUUUUUCGCUUAAAUCAUUUUAGUGAACUCUUACUUUCUUUCAAGAGUUCAACUGGCCUCAAACCUUUGAGGAUUAUCUUCUUCAGGUAUAUAUUUGCCUUUGGAUUGUGGGACUACUGCAUCAUUUUGCAUAUUACUAAAAAAUAAAAUUUAUAUUGAUCAUGCAGCCCACUAUACCUGCUUCUGGAAGAAAGGCACCACAAGCGGGAAACCUUGGACACAUUACAUGGAUUUCUAAUAAGCUUGUUCAGUUGGGAAGCAGCAACAGUCGCAUUCAAGUCUUUCCCCCGGUUGGCGAUGAAAGACAAAGAGGGUUUCAAGUUCAAGCUCCUCUGGUGAGUCAUGUAAAUAUAGAAGUACAGGAGCAACAUUACUGCAGGUCGUUUGUGUAAUGUAUUUUUUCAGACUUCAUUCUGUAGUGUGUUUAUCAGGUGGUUCUUUUUUCAGACUUCAUUUUGACAGGGUGGCUUUCAUAUGAUAUUUAGUGGCAGGGACAAGACUGAAACUCCAGAACAGGUAUUUUUUUCCUGUUACUUGUGAGAUAACUUGUUUGAUUGACUACGGUUUAUCAUCUUUGAUGUUUAGAGUAGACUUCAUUCUUCUAAAUUAGGUGUUUAUCAUCAAUUUUACUACUCGGUACGCGGUGUAGGUCAAUGUAUCACUGGCUGCUGCCCGAGCACGCCUUCAUAAUGCGGUUAGAAAGCGAGCAGUUUGCUGAAGCUAGUAAUCAAAUUGUUGUACGCUUGAAAGCAAGGGUAUUCAAGUUAAAUAUAUUCAGAACUAACACAUGUAUCAUAGUCAACACCAGUAUUUCAGAGCAGAAUAUAGAUCCCUUUCAUCAUUAAUAUCUAUUUAUCUUAUAUAACAUUGUUUAAAUCAUAGGAAGAUGAGCUGUCAAGAUCCCUUGCUUCAUGUAGAGUAAAAGGAGUUGUUGUUCCUACAUGGAUUAAUUUUCUGGAAGAUACCUGGACUCUUCAGAGAGCAUACACGGUGCACAACGAGAAUCAGAUCAAUUACGUACACCACAUUCUUUGUUGGUUAAACUUCAUUGUUUUAAAAAAAAAAAAAAUGAGAUGGGUUUAACGUCUAAUUGUCCUCCCCAAGAAAAUCUCCAUCCCAACUGCUCUCAUGUCUAUCAGCAUGCCAUAUGUAAAAGAAUCAGAAUCUCGUCAAUGGUUUAGCAGCACCCACCUAAUUGAUUUACAUGAUUAAGGGUUUGAGAUUAUCUCAUGAUUCCGGAUCAAUUGAAAUGACUCUGUUUAUAGUUGUGAGGCCAUUAAAUAAAGACCCACUAAUGGGAUAGUAAAGACCCAAGAUAUCAAGCAGUUGUGCUGCUAAGGAACCAUGCUUUAGGUCAGGAGCUCAAUGGAG
rnacentral:lncRNA from 1 species